UUUGAAUGAUAGCGAAAAAUAAUUUUUUUAAUUAUUGUAAAAAUAAUUAACCAUAACAAAUCCCUUGUGUAAAUAAUAAUCAUUAUUUAAAAGGUAGAAAGAUGGUUAGUGCACAAUCAAAUUUUAAGCCCCUACCUCCUCGGCCCAAGAUUCAAACUUAGAUGAUCAGCCAAAUAAAAUUAUUUGAAAAUCAUUCAAUCAGGUUCUCGGGGAAAAAAUACAAGAUCCGUAUUUGCAUGAUAUAUAUGAAUUAAUGUAAUUUAUUUGAAUUAUCCAAAUUCAUUAGAGAUAAAACUAUAAAAGAUACCAAAAAAGUUAGAAGGAAGGGUGUGCUGGGAUAUUUUACAAACUAUAGGAAUCUGGUGAGAUUUUGAGCCAAACUGUAGGGAGUUGAAGGCAUUUGCCCAAUAUGUUUAGACGUACACUAACCGUUAUUUGAUCUUGUUGUUGGUCAUGUGAACUAAGAUGUAAAUUAAAGAAAAAGUAUAAAAUUAAAAAAAGAUAAGAUUUCUAAAAUGUGUGGAAGGUGAUUCAUGAUUCACUAAAAUUACUUGCCCCACAUAUAAAGGUAAACAUGUCUAAUUUCAUUAAAAAUAGGUGGAAAAAAUUAACUAAUAGAAAGCUACGGAAAUUAACCCCCACAAAAAUGACUUUUUAUAGAAGAAUUUAUGUUUUUUAAAAUAUGUUAUCAAAGUGUAUUUGAUCAAAUCUCAAUUGCUUAGUAUGGUUAGGAUUUUGUGAACAUAACUAAAAAGUGAAAAAUAUGAAUGAUAGGGGUGAUGCUUGCAAUAUGAAUAAAUAAUGGACUGAUUCAAUUGAUGAUUAAAUUUAUAUAUUAUUGAUUAUUUAUGAAUUUUCAGACUUGUUAUGAUGUAUAACUAUGUGAUUUUGAAACUUGAAACCGUGGCAAACAUUGAAAGGAAUUAUAACUUGAAAUCAUGACUCACGGGGUAUGUCAUGAUUCACGUGCACAAAAAAGGUAGAAUUGUGGAAAUUUACAACCCAACGACAAGUACGGAAAGAAAGGAAGAAAAUUAAAAGACUUCGGGCCUAGCCUGCGUGUAUUAAUUAUUAGAUUACUUUUUUUUAUAAGGGUAAUCAUCAAUUUACUCCAUAACAAUCUUUAAUUCAUUUCUUAAAAAUAUCAAAACUUUAAUUUAUCUUUUAAACAUCGUUACCUCUCUAUUGGUUUUAACAGUUCAAAGGGUAAAAUUAUAUUUGCAUAUUUUCUUGACCGCCAACUAAAUGAUAAAACUCAAAAUUCAAUCUUGUUAUCUUGUUUCAAUCCUCUAUCAAUCAAAUAAGAUUUCUAAAAUAUGUGGAAGAUAUUGCAUGAUUUCCUCAACCUACCUGGCCCGAACAUCAAGGUAAAUAUCUCUAAAAUAGUUGAUUAAAUCUCAGUUGCUAAGUAUAGUUAGGAUUGUGUGAACAUCACUGAAAACUAUGAUUGAUAGAAGUGAUCUUUGCAAUAUGAAUAAAUAAUUAACUGAAUCAAUUGAUUUAUAUAUUAAAGUUUAUGAAUUUUCGGGCUUGUUGCGAUAUAAUAAUAGCAUAUGAUUUUGAAACUUGAAACAGUGGUAAAUAUUGAAAGGAAUUAAUUUGAAAGCAUGAUCCGUGGGGAAUGUGAUGAAUCGUGUUUACAAAAAAGGUAGAAUUGUGGAAAUUUAUAACAGAACGAUAAAUAUGGUAAAAAGGAAGAAAAUUGAAAGACUUGGGGCCUGGCCUGGGUGUAUUUUCUAACUAUCCAAUGGACAAAAUUAUAUUUCUAUACUUUCUCUUACCUAAGUUUCAUAGAAUAGCUCAUUUCAUUUUUAUUUUUUAAAUAAUAGCCCAAAAUAUCAUUAUGUUAACUCAUUAUUAGUUGAAUGGCGUUUGUUAGUAAUUCAUUAAGGGUAAAAAAUGAUUUUCUAUCAAAGAGAAAAUUAGAAAAAUAAAUAAAAAUUGAUAUAUAACUAAAAAUUAUUUUAUCUAAUCCCACUAAAUAAGAAAUGCCAAAAAAGAUGAAAAAAUUAUAUUUCAAGCAAUUCUUUUUUCACUUAUUUCUAUUUUGGCAACAUGAAAGCCCUAUAAACCCUAGAUCUAAGUACCAAAAAUAUCACAAUUUUCUUAUUCAUAUAAGUAUACUCUCUAAUUGCAUUGUAAAAUGGCUUGAAUUGAAUUGAAGAUAAAGAAGAUAUUCAGCACAUGCAAGCACAUAAAAAUUGGUGGCAUUUUUGAGUUUUUCUUCCAAUGAUUUAAAGAUAUUGUUUUAAUUACAGUUUGUUCCUUAUGACAAUUAUUCAAUGGCGAUAUCAAACUAUAUCAUCGUUGAUUUCAUUUAAGAAAAAAGUUAAUGAAUUUUGCAUACUUUGUAGUGUUAUUUAAUUGUGUAAAAAAAUUAUUUUAAUAUAGUUUGUAUCGCUUUAAUGAAAAAUCCUAUUUUGCCCUCAAUGAAUUACUGGUUAACGAUUUUACACUAAUGGUGAGUUAAUGGAAAGAUAUUUUAGGCUAUUGUUUGAAAAGUAGGGAUAAAAUGAGCUAUUGCAUUAAACUCUAAGGAUGAAAAAUGAUUUUUCCCUUUUAUUAUCAAUCAACUAUCUGAUAAAAGUCAAAACUCAUAUUUUUUUUUCCCUUGUUUCAAUCCCCUCUCAAUCAAAAAAGUUUCCUUGUCUAAGCAAUGAGGAAUAUGGCUAGAAAGAUUGUUAUUAGAAAGAUUUAUCAAUAGUAAUUAGUUCACAACUGAACAGUUUUAGAUUAUUGUGAGUCAAUAUAGGUCCUGUUUAGGAUUGAAGUGUUGCAGUUUUUAAGCUACAGCUGCUGUAGAAAAAAAAACUAUAAUUAUGAAAUAAGAGUUAAUAAUAUAUAAUAAAUAUAAAUUUUAAAUAAUAAUUUUGACAAAAUUAUUAAAAAUAUAAUAGAUUUUUCAUAAUACAAAUAAAAAAAUCAUAUCAACAUAGCUUGCAAGGUACAACAGUUAGUAUGAUGUUAGUUUAUUUUUGCGUCAAUAUAAGUAGUCAAAUUGAAUAAGUUAGUGAAAUGCUGCCUCACUGUCCCAUUGAAUAUGAUUCAGCUAACAGGGCUAGAGCUUGUGGAUGCCAAUGGCACUGAACAAAGUAUUGGGUGGUAAUUUUAAGACCACGCUAUGCCCAAAACCCAAGUUAGGCGAUUACAAAUACGGGAAUCAAUGUCACUUUGCUAGGAAUGGAGAGGAUAGAUUGCUUAGUGAAAUGCAACUUUGUAGAAUGCUGAGAGAUGUGCUGAGAGAUGAGGAUAGUUGUCGAUUUCUUCAUGUAAAUGCUGAGAGAUGUGCGGAAGUUUCUACUCAGUUUAGGCUUAGUUUAAGAAUAGCCUGGUGAUAAACAUUUUGAGUGGUGGAUCUUCUGUGGAUAACAAAAGUAGGUCUAUUCAAUGGGAACGCGACAAGGGGCUGGCUAACUCGCUCAGGUUGUGCAAAUGUUAAAAGCAGAAUGCCAGUUGUAUGAAGUUAUGUCAUUUUCUUUAUAGAACUAUGAAAGCUUGGAGUCCACGAUUCAAUGGAAUCUCGGGCUGUGCCAAUGAUUGUUUCAAGUACUUUUUCUACUUUCAAUGUCCAGACUAAGACUAUUUCUAAGCAGCAAGUGCAGGAUAUAAAGUGCAAAUCAAAAUAGACAGAAGUGAAGAGGAAGAUACGUGGUAUAUAUGUUGAUUGGAUUGAAGAUAUACCACUUUUGCCUAGUUCUUAGAACAAAGCAGAAAGCUGUAGUUAAAAAUAUACCUUCUGCUAAAGAUAAGUAGUCAAUAGUUCUAUUAGUGCAUAACUUUGCGAUUAAGGAUGAUCGCUGUCUAUUUUAAGAGCUUUUAAUAGAAUUUAGUAGCCCUGAUUUUCAAUCUCAGUGUUUUGCGGCUGUUAUCGACAUCCCUCUGUUACAUUUUUCAAGUUUCAUUGAUAAAUUAGUAGUUAGCCUUAUGAAGAAUGCACACACCAUAACCAUGUACGUUAAAUAGCAAACCUGCAUUUUAUUGAACUGUGAACUACUGAUUCAAUAAAGCUCAACAUAAGCUAACAAGUCUUUGUGAAAUUGCUUCAUGGUACAUUGUUUGAAGUAUUUAAGCUAAUAUAUGAUUAUUAAUGGGCUCGUGAGCCAACCCCAUUAAUUAUAUGUACAUAUAUAUAAUGUUACCAUCAAUAUGAUAUGUGACAUCCCAUAACAGCUAAUUAUAGAUCUUUAUCCAUUUUCAUAAUUUGCCUUCUGGCUUCCACUGCUCGUCACUAAAUUCAAAAUCCAUUGCACCUCAAAACAACAUGAGAAAUCUUAUAGGCAAAUCAUGACCAGUUCAAAGAUAAUAGCGAUUAUAGGGAAAGAAAAUUAAAAUCGAAGACGCAUAUAAAAUAAUCAAGCUACUGAUGAACAAAAUAACAUGAAAGUGUAAGUAUUUAUACUAACCUUCACUUAUUAGGAAGUUUGUUUCGCUAUUGGGUAAGAUCAAGCUCUCUGCAUAUCCUAUUGGCAAAAGGAAAUCACGCACGUGUGAUCUCUCUCUCUCUCUCUACACACGCACACAUAUACACACGCAUAUACAUAUACAUGCAUGGUCAUCAUCUUAGAAACCGAUUGAGAAAUUAUUGUCAGAGUUUGAAUUUGCGCAAUGACUAGUCAUGUUGCUAAAAAGAAAAAAGAUUGAGAUUGAAAGAAAUUCAUUAUCAUCAAAUUGGUCCAAUAUCCACUUCACUGUGUGGAUCAAAUACGUUUUCGAAUAGUGCACUGAUCUACAAUCUACUGCAAUAAUUUGUUAGGACCCUACAUCAACAAAUUAUGGGAUUAGUUGGUUUAUUAACCCUAAUACAUCCGGACAAGUCAAUCCUUUCAUGAGAAACAAAAUGAAUUUUGCAUCCCAUGAAACACAACAUACUCAGCUAGUUGAAAUUGUGGAUAUACGGGGGUAACGUAAGCAUGCUUUCACAAUUUGAAAGAUUUAUUUUUUAAGAUUUAGUAUUUCUGGGAUCCUAUUGAGAUAGAGGGGUGGUGAAGGUCUAUAGAUUUUAACUUGACAGCUUCCUAUAACCAAAGAUACAUAACUAUACUAAAUGAGCAUCAUUGAAUUUCAAAGUUAUUCAUUAUAAAUACUUAAAGAAAGAAAAAUAGAUAUUUUGGUAAUAGUAAUACAUUAUACCUUUUCUCUUUUCCAAAUUUGCUUAACCUUACUACAAGGCAAGCUGAGUCCAAUCAGGUUCUCCAAUUCAAAAUCUGAUGUCAGUAUUUUCAAAAGAUAUUUAUGCCAAUGGAGAUUUCUCAAUUCUAUAGGAAGGCAUUUUUUUUUUUUGAAACUGAUUAAGCAUCAGUUGGUUACUGUAUUACACAGAGAUAUAUACAACUGCUAUGACAGCAGGUCAUUACACUGAUAUUUACAAUCAGAUAUAUACAUGUGACUUAUAUUAUUACAUUUUUAUUCUAUGAAGUACAUGCCCAUCCAAAUACCCCUCACAGAGGAGGGAUGUCUCUACUCCACUCCCAUUGCGCAAGGGAGAAAGACGUUGUAAGAAGUCUCCAUACAAUUAUAUUUAAUUGAGGGAGGUUGAGUCCGUGGGGACUCGAACCAUUGCCCUCAUAGUCAUGCUUAACUUUGAGGGCAAUGAUUCACCACUGGGCUACAAGCCCAAGUGGCUAUAGGAAGGCAUUCUAAACCUCAGUGAAGUUACACCCUGGAGCUUAUAAUUAGAACACCAUCAUACUCGGAUAUAUAAAAUUUCAGCAAUCUAAAAUUUGACAUUGUUUUAAAUGCUCCAGAAUCUAAACGUAUGUCUCUUAUCCUGGAGAAUUCAAGAAUAUACUUUCGGUUGCAUGUGUCCCUUCAGAAAAGAAGCAAAUAAUGAGUUCGCAUAAAUUUUCUCAGGAAAAAAAUCCUAAAAUUUAUAAAGAGCUCCUUAAAUGAAGACAAAACCUGCACUCGCUCAACUCUUUUUUUUUUUUUUUAUGUUGUUCUAGUCUUCUUCAAUCCCCCCCUCUAAAACUUUAAUCCAAGCGUUAAGUGUAAGUAAACUAAAAUAUGAUUUUCGUAUGCAAGUACAACACAACAUACCCAUAAAAAUGAAGAGCGGAAGUUAGAAUCAAACCUCCAGCAAUUGAUAUUUUGCAAACUGAUAUUUGAUUCUUCUGAGACUUAUGUAAUCGUUUUGAUGGUGCAGUUUUUGAAUUAGAUUACAUAGCCUCAGGUACUAAUACCAUUUUCACCAUUUUGUUUUUAUUUCAUCUUUCCAUCAAAGAUGAAGGGGUGGGAAAUUAUCAAAGCAGCUGUUAGAUGACACCUGCUUCUAGACCUGCAAGUAAAACCAAAGAAUGAGCUCCAUUAGAUACAUUUGAGUUAAUAAAAUCCCUUGUUCCUCCUAAUGAUUAUAGACAUUAAUUAGGAGGGAGAAAUGAAGUAAAUUAAAUUAAAUGAAGGACCUUCAUUCUCCACGCAUGCAGCCGGCUAUUUUGUUACCAAGUUGUUGAAAGGAAGUAAAUAGAGAAGCAUUCAGAUACCACUCUCCCAGAUCGAUAUUCCUAGUAAGACCAAGGUGUAGUUGUACCACUCGGCCUGUGGAGUUGCUGCAGUCAACCCUUUCCCUUUGUUCAUCUACCCAGUUUUGAAGUCUAUAAGGGGAAUUGAAGAAAUGUUUAAGCCACAAAAGAUCAAAUUCCUCAUGCUCCAAACAUCCCUCACUCCACCCCCCCCACCCCCCGGCGCCCUCUUCUAAUAUUAUUAAUACGAGAACUAACAUUGUCACCAUUUUGAAUUUUGAACCACCCAUUCUAGCUAUAUCUCUAACUAUUAAAAAACACACAUUCUCUCUUUCUCUAUAACUAUAAAUAACAAAAGGGCUCUAUGUUAUUUAUAACAAACACAUCUAACAAUUUAUACACUCAGGCCCCAGCUAGCUUUCAGUUGUCUUCUUUGGUAGUCUUCAGCCUUCUCAAAGACUUUCGUCAUGCCUUACUUUCAGCCUUCCUUUCCAUAUUUGUCAUUUUGCUUUAAUUUUCCACAAUUCUACCUUGGAUGGUAAUAUUUAAUUCGCCACGAAUUGAGUGAAACGCUGGUCCGUUACCCAUCCCACUUCAAUAUUAACAAUAUUAAUAAUAAUAAAUAAAUUCUUCAAGCAAUUGAGAUUUGACACCCACCCCACUUCAAUAUUAAUAUUAAUGGGAAAUCAUAAAUUCUUCUACAAAUGAGUCAUUAUUUUAAAAUUGUUAUAAGCUUAUUUAUUUAAAAAAAAAAAAACGAGAAGGGGAACUUGUUAUCUUAAAAUUAAAAGAUUCUGGUGUGGCUACCCGAAUCCGCACGUUUUUUAAGAUUUUUUUUCCAAUCUUGUGUACCGUUCAACACCUAUAUAUGCUUUGCAAUUGAUUAGUUAACAAAAUAAAAUUCUUGAUCAGUUGUGCGGUAAAAAUAAUAUUAUUUUACAAAGCUUUACCUGGUGCAGUCAAUACGGCUAGAAAUUAAAGGAUCCCCAGCAUGAUAAUUAAGGAAUAAUUAUUAUUCUAGAUUUGUGCAGUGGCGAAGCUAAUAGCAUUUUUCGUUUUCGAGUGAGCUGAACUUUUUCCCCCCCCUAAUUCAAUACAUUUUUAUCGUACAAUAUAAUUUUGUAAAUAAGAAAUUAUAGAUGCACCUAAUAAUGCGCGACAAAAUAAGCUUUACCUCUCAAAAUAUUUGUUCUAAACAUUAUUUAAAAUAAUUUAGACACAUAUUUAUUCACAAAAUGAUGAACAGACAAGAAUUUGAUGAUAAUUGAAGAGGCAGCAUAACUAAUUAAUAUAAAAAUUUUUAUAUAGGUUUCAAUAAAGGAAAUUUUGUAACUAAAUAAUUUUUUUUCUGAGAAGCCCGGCCUUGCCCUCUCCAAAAUUCGCCACUGAAUUUGUGGGGUGGUUACUGGAGUUCACACGUUUUCAAAUUUUUUUUUCCCGAUCAUUCAAUAGUAAUUUUGCUUUUUAGUUUAUUAUUAUUGUUGUUAUUAUUAUUAACUCAGGCAUUUAUUAAAGCUCGAACACAUAAUCUAAACUUUGAUAUAUUUUUUGCUGAGAGGAGUCAAAAUUUGGGAAUUAUAUGCGCAUCAUAACAUAAUAAACAACCGCAAAGUAUCCUACGGAAACUUUCAGUGCACUCUGACAGCAGCUUUUGGUAGUCAAAUAGUCUUGGAAUCAUUUUUUAGCGCAUAUUCUUUUCGGUAAUGUGAUGAAUUCAUAUCUAAAGAAUCAAAACUAUGAUGUGAAUUUGCUGCAAAAACUGAUCCAAGACUAUUCAUUCAUUAUUAAACAUAUGAUAUCGUCCGUAAGACUGGAGAAAUAUGAAUGAAUUUGUUGAUGAUAACUCAGAAGACGGUUAACGGUUAAAUAUGCUAUGUUGAAAUGCACUGUACAGUCAAUUAAUUUAGUUAGGACUCUGUUUCUAGAAAACAGAGUAUAAAAGAUGACUAACUGUUUUGGGAGAUGCUUUUGGAGGGACUUCUAGAUGAAAUUGAGAGAGAGAGAGUGUGAGAGAAACUCUGUAAAGUCUUCUCCAAUUGGUAACCCCUUUUGUUGCGAAUAAUAAAGCUUCAAGGCUGUUCAUUUAUUUGUACAUAAGCAGGGGGAAAGCCUAUGUAUAGACAGCUUCAAAUGAGGAAACUGCACCUAACUACGCAGCAGCUGUAAUGAAGAAGACAUUGAUGCAUUAGCUUCCUGUUCCGUCUUCUUGGUCUUCGGGGAGGUUGGUAGCAGCAACUUUAAUUGUUCAAAGCAAACACUUAUCUUUCGUUUCUCAUAAAACCUCGUGAGGUAAUGCUUUAGAUGACUGGUAUGCAAUAUUGUCAAUGACAAAAUGUAAUGUUGUAUUCUGCUGAUCAACAUGUAAAAACUACAUAUUACUUGAAUUAGUUUUUUUUUUUUUUAAUUUACUAAAUUUCAGAAUUUGUUAACGAUGUUUGUACUUGGUUUUAACUCGAUUAAAGCUCAUGAAACUUAAUUGAUUAAUUAAUCAUUUAGUUAAAUUUAUUCGCUUUCAUGCUAUGGAUCUUUGCUAUAAUAACAAAUGCUUAAUUAUAUGCGUAUGUGUGAUAUAAUAGCUGCGUCUUACAUAGCAUAACACUACACCAAAUAUGCCCCCCUCAGAUACUAAUUAAUUACACAAAUGUACUUUUAUUCAAUUUAUUAUUUAAAAUAAUAUUUGAAAAAAAAUGGACUUGAGCAGAGCAAAGUAGAGAUAAUAAACAAGGGUAGAUUAUGCAUGCGUCAAAAGAUUUUAAAAAAGAAAAAGAGAAAAUAUACGGAAAACAAGAAAAUUGCGGGGAGCCACUCUUGUCUUUUACUUUGGACUUGAAGUCGUUCCAGGUGGAUAAUGUUUUCCUUUUAAAUAUUUAGAAUUAUAUUGUGGCGCUAUUUAAAAUAAGUUAUAAUUUUCUUAAAAUCAGACUAUGAUUACGGUACUCCAUGGUCAGAGUGUCGUUGAAUAAUGCUGAGUCUAUUGAGUCCUUUUCAAAUCGAAACCAGAACUAAAGAAAAAUCCAGAACUGAAACAAGGGCACGAACCAGCAAGAUUUGAAGGAAAAAUUUACUUCGUUAGUGAUCAACAACUAAUCAAACGUAAGUGGAUUUACAGAAGACUUUGUACAGAUCACAAUGAAACAGAUUCUAUGCAAAUUGACGAACAACUGAAGAAGAAAAAGGAUCGUACAACAGGCACUGCUCAUAAGCUUCUAUUUAUACUGAUGUUUCUGGAAACGUUGUAACAGAUUAUAACUAAUUCGUGCCACGUCAGCAUAAAAUAUCUACUAGACCCAUUUAACUGAAGUCAAUCUGCACAACGACUCUGAACCUCUUCAUAUUUUCCAUUUCAGUCCACAGACUCAACUACACACGUCUCCAAAAAUAAUAAGUUUUAUUUAUUUAUUUUUAUUAAUAAAAUAAAUUUUUAUUAACUUUCGUUGAUUUUGGUAGAUUUUGUUUUUGAGCUGUUACUACACUGUCGGCUGGUGUGUCAUCAUACGUAGUAGCGUCAUCAACCCUCUCAUGACUUUGACGGCCGAAACAUGUUUCAUGGCACAAAUAAUGACAGAUUUGUUUGAGGUACGGCGGAGAUGCCUAUUCAAAUAUUUGAAGCCAGCCCCUCCUUGUUUAACAUUUUUUUUUUUAAAAGGGGAACAACUGCUUUAGCUGUAUAUAUCAAGAAAAUUAGCUAACAGUUUAUGCACUUAAUUAUUUAUUUUGCCACACAUUUGUAAGUGGUCAAUGCUGCCGUAAAAUUAUUAGACCCAAAAUAAAGUGUGAUGAGGGACAGGAAUUAAUGUUCCCAUUAGCUGUAGCACCUAUCUUCCAUCUCUAAUUUUAACUUUCGAUUGAUGAAGUGUUUUCAAAUUUGUCAAAUGUCUGUAAACUGUUUAAUAAUUGAAGAAAGUUAAAAUUCAUUUUCUAAAAAUUAUUUUCAUUCAAAAUUGCGAUUGGAUGGUAAUCAGGGUUAAUAUCAGAGCUUAAGAUACUAUAACCGUGAGAACCUAUUGACUGCCAAUUAAAAUAUCCAUUAAAAUGUCUAGGGAGUUAUGAAGGUGGGGGUAACUUCCAAUUUCUAAGGCCACAGAGUAGACAUCAUCCAGGAUCCUAGGAAAGUCCAGUUAACCUCCUGCUCGAUGCAAUUAAUAAAUUUGGUCAAUGCCACUGAAACCUGCUAACUGACGUCACAAUGCGACAUGAGCACUUCAAAAUGGGACGGACAGUCAGUAGCACUGAAUUUUUCUUGCCUAAGAUUGAGCAAUUGGUCUAACUACUAAUCCCUAUUGUAGGUUGAUCAUUAUUUUUUCAAUUAUGUUCAGUUUGACCCAAAAAGUUGCAGAAUCUUGAGCUGAAUAUUGUCACGGAACACUGUCAAUGUCGCUUAGCAUAGCCAACAAACUUGAUGUUAAAACAAACACACAGUGUGUCUCAUGUCUCACAAAUCAAAUUAUCAUCUGUAAUGAUGGAGAAUUUUUCCAAUGUAUGAAGUAUGCUUUGAUACGUGGGUUACCUUGGAGAAGAUAUCUCAAAAUAAAGAAUAUGGGGAGAAAACAGUUCAGUAGUUUAUUAUUCUGUAGUCAAGUUUUGUCUCGAAAAUGGUCAAAAUUUAAAUGAUUAAGGACAGGGGAUCUUCAUUCUUUUUCCCCUUUUUUAUACCAAGAUAUCUCUCAACCUUUAUAUAAUCCCCACUGGAUAUCUGCUUCUCAUAAUUAAAAUAAAAAUUUCACCGCUCUAACAAUAAAAAGUAACAUCUUUAGUCAAAUAAUUUUGCGGUUCCUCAUCAUCUUAGUGUGAGACUAUCAGUACUUCCAAAAACAUAAUAAAACUGGUUUGAUCCUGUUUAUUAAUGUUUAAAUGUUGUUCAUUGUGACAUGUAGAAAUGAUGAGGCGAAGUUUAUUUGGGCAUCAAUUAGUAAGAUCUUGUUCGAAGUUGUUUUCUGAAAUGAACUGCCAAAUGGUAGUUUUUUGGGGGCAUUUGAUGGCUCUUUUUUUUUCCUCAUUUUCAACAUGUGCCUGCUUGGAACAGGAAGGAUUAGGCUUUAGAGUUGUUAUUUAUUUUGAGAUGCUCUGGUCAUUGCACAAUUUGUUCACACUGGAAAUUAGAAUGAGAAAUUUGUUGAUGCUGUUUUGAGAGAUCUGCAUUCUAUGCACAAUAACAUGAUUAAUGAAAAUGUAUUGUAGGACUGGAAAGAUCUGUGGCAGCCUGAGCUCGCAGGAAGAAUUUCAAUGGUUAAUUCUCCCCGAGAGGUUAUUGGUUCAGUUUUGAAGUAUAGGGGAGCAUCAUACAAUUCAAACGAUAUUGAUUCGCAAGUUGCUGGUGGGAAGAUUGCUGUUCAGCAGAAUCUGGCAUUACUGGCAAACCAGGUACUCUUACAGAAAUGAUAUCUGGUCAUUGCAUGUUAUUGCCUGACAACUGAUUUUGUUUGUAAAAGUCUACUUCUUCAUACAUAUGAAUGCAUAUGUUAGUGUUUUCUUCUCGUUUUCAUACAUAUAAAUGCAUAUGUUAGUGUUGUCUUUUCCUUUUCAUACAUAUUACUACAUAUGUUGGUGUUCUCUCCUGAGAUGGAUGCAAUAAAGGCUUUUGCUCCUAAAUUUAGCUGAAGAAAUGGCAAGGGAUGUGAGAUUCUGUCUCAUUAAAUUAACAAAAACCCAAAGCAAUGAAAAUCCAUAAUAAUGUGGUGUGGGUAAAUUGGCUCCAUUUGGUUCGUUUCCUUAAUGUGAAUGCGCGAGCAAUAGAGACUAACAAAAUGAAGUGACAACAAGAAGUCAGUGUCCUUUGAUGGAUGCAUUUUUAGGCAGAAAUAGGUUUGUAAUUGACCAAAUUUGUCUGGCAUGCCAAUUUCAAAAAAAUUAAAUUAUGUGGUUAUUAGCUGUAAUGAAGGGGGAUAGUAGGUGCAAUCAGGUGGAUCCUGGAAAGUUCAAUAAAGUUUUGGUAUGGCGUAGUGAAAUUGGUUUGUGCAACUCAGGAGUCUUUCAGGUGAACGAUGAUAGGUUUUGAUUUAUGAAUAUUAUAAAUCUACUGUGCAUAGUAUUCUAGUAGAAUCAUCUAUAAGUUCUAGUUAUUGAAAUUGUAUACUUUGCCCGGUUUGAGUUAAGGGCACAUGUAAUAUGAAAGAUAGUUGUCGCAUCUUUUAGGUUACCUAACAUUUGAUCAAUCCUAUUAUGGGGGCUUCAAGAUGUCUAACAAUAUGUAGAAUGCCCAUGCUCCUCCCCAUUGUUUAUCUUCUACAAUAAUUUGUUUUAGAUGCUAAUAUCUUUGUCGAUACCGGUAACAAUAUUACAAUAUCUGCGUUUAUUGGGUUUUACAUAGGUUCGACUGUUUGACAGUACACACUAUCUGAAGGCAUUUGCAAUUGGAGAUGUAUGGGUUGCUGUUGGGUGGAUUAGUGAUGUUCUUCCUGCUGUCAAACAUAUGUCUAAUGUUGCUGUUGUUGUUCCCAAGUCUGGUGCUAGCUGCCUGCCAUUCUACUUCGAUAUUCACAUUGUUAUCUCCUUCAUAUUAGCGAUCAGUAAACACGAUAAUGUGACUAAUAAGUUCGUAUUCUCUUUAUAGGCAAUCCCUGCUGCCUCAAGACUUGAAACAAAACAAAUUGGAGGGCGAGUCGGAGGUCCAUCUCCGUUAAUCCAUCAAUGGAUAGAAUUCUGCUUGCAAACAGCGAGAGCAUUACCUUUCAAGCAAGAGGUAAUCCCAGGUGCAUCUCCCUCUGCCCUUGAAAGUACUCUGGUUAAGUUGCCUGAAGAACUUCUGGAGGGUAAACCAAGUCUGGAUACUAACUUAAUUGCUGGAGUACUCCCGGCUGAAAUUCUGGCCAGAUGUGAGUUUUUGGAGCCAUUAUCUGAAGCUACUUUGUCAGAUUAUGAGUGGCUGGUUGUUAAUCUGCAAAAACCUGCUCCUGUCUUGAUGAAAAGGGUGCAACAUUACUUGUCAUCAUUAAUCCAAAGCUUUCUAGCAAGAGCUACAUUGAAAAGUUAAUGGCGCUGCAUGCCAGUCAUUAUAAUGCUGUCAGGACAAUUGGGUCAGGGCAAUUAGGUCAGAGCAUAACUUCAUUAGGAAAGGGGGCUUCAGCUACGUUAAAUAUUACAGGAUGUACUGAGAUGGCUGAAGUUCUUGAGGUUUUAUGAGAAACGAAAGAUGAGUGUUUGUUUGAACAAAGUUGUUGCCAAUCUUGCAGAGUUUGAAAACAAAGAUCACGGAGCGAAUGCCACCGAUUUCUUCAUCAUUUUAGCCUCCAUAAUUGAAGUUUCCUCAUUUGAAGCUGUUUAUGCAUACGAUUUUUCCCUGCUCUAGUACAGGAAAUUGAAGAAUUAACCAGAUGUGAUAUGCUGAAAGAGGGAAGUUUUCUUCCUUGAAUGUGGCCUUUGUGAUUUGUCUUGAAGGAAUAGGAUGAUCACUGGCAAGAACCCUAUCAAGGUAGAUUUUAUGGUGUUAACAUAUUAUUCAGCAUUUUGUUACAUUAGCAAUGAUGCUUUCAUAGCAUGAAAGUGUUUAAAUUUAACUGAAUGAUCUUGAUUGAUCAAUUAUGAGUUUUAAUCGAGUAAAAACUAAAUACAAUAAUCGUAACAAANNNNNNNNNNNNNNNNNNNNNNNNNNNNNNNNNNNNNNNNNNNNNNNNNNNNNNNNNNNNNNNNNNNNNNNNNNNNNNNNNNNNNNNNNNNNNNNNNNNNUGCUACCUUUUGAUUUUAGUGCUUAAUAUUUAUUGAACUAUGAUGCAGGGAAUUUGAAAUCAAACUCGUAAUACAGAUUAUCUAAUUGCGAGUUGCUGUCCAUAGCUGCUAAUUUGUAGUGAUUAUCUAAUUGACUGAGGUGACAAUAAUUCUUUUAUUUUCAAUAGCACAAUGUGGAAUUCAAUAAUUAAAUUCUCCUGUUUAAUUUGUUUCAAGUUAAAUUAUUAAUUACUUAAACUCGGUUUUAAGUCUUUAAUUUUAUGUGUUUAUGCAGAAUUGGAUUCUUGAGCGUGUUGGACACGACCAACAAUGAAAUUGACAGUAAACAAACAUUAGAACAUGUGGACUCCGGUAAGCACCAAUGAAUUUCUAGCCCCGUUGACUCCGCCAACUAAAGUUUUGUAAAAUAAAAAAAAAUACAUAGAAUUCCACCAAAUGCAAAACGCGUAAAAUUUAAUUUUCGGCCGUGUGGACCAAAACAUAAUUUAACAAAAAAGAAAAAAAUGAUAAGAUUUUUAAAAUGUGUGGAAGGUGAUCCAUAUUUUACUGAAACGACUUGUUAAAUUUUUCAAGGAUUUAGAAUAUUUGGUCAUAAAUUACGUGCAUGUUAAUUUUUCCGCCAUUGACUAUCAUAUUCUAGACUUAAUGGUACCUUUUUUGAUGAAGGGUACUUAGUCUCUCUUCUCCUCUUAUAAAAAUUAUAUUAAUUGAUUUCUUGUUAUAGUUAAUAGUCUUCAAGAACGGAUAGAUUUAUUGUUUUCAUGACCAAAUUAUGCAUGCCUAACGUUGCAACUAUUAAUAAAAUUAAUAUUUAAUAUUUAUGUUAAAAGAUAUAAGAUUUUAUGCAUUCAUUAAUUGUUAUUAGCUAAAGGAUGAAUUAUUUUUUCCCAAUCAGUUGAUGCAUCUGCAAGAGUUUUUUUUUCUUUUAUUGACCAUAAUUAUAUUCCGGGUACAAUAAAUUGUCUUUGGUGCUUGGAAGAUAUGACAUCUCUCUGUCAACUUACUGGAAAUAUCUCCUCAUCUACUCUCAUUUAUCUAAUAUCAAUUGAAGAUCUCAUAUUUCCAAACUAUGACUUCCAAAUCUCAUUAUCAUUUGAGCAUUCAAAACUAAUCAAGUGUGGAAAUAAUCAAAUAUAUGCAAAAAUCGAGUCACAAUCUUUGGCCCCUCAAAAUUCUAAUUAUAUAACUUCUAUAUAUCUCAUACAUUUUCCAAAUUCCUCUUCCAUCAACAUCAUUAGGAGUAUGUUCAUCUCUCACACAUUAACUUGAGUGGAGAGUUUCCAAAUUGAUUGUCAGAAAACAACAAAAGAACUAGACACGCUUGAUCUGUCUAAUAAUUCUCUUUCGGUAAAAUUAAUUAAUUUUAGGGGAAUUCAGCCAACCUCUGUAAUUUUAUAGUGAUCAUUAAUUAAUUAAACAAUACAAAUAUCUAAAGUGAUUAGAUGUUUACUGACAAUACAAGUUCAUGGCUUGAAAUUUGAUCUCUAUCGAUUGGUUUUGUAGUGCUUAAUAUUUACAGAACUCCGGGAAUUUGAAAUCAAACUCGUAACUACAGAUUAUCUAAUUGUAAGUUUUUGUCCAUAGCUGCUGAUUUGUAGUGAUUAUCUAAUUGACUGAGGUGACAACAAUUGUUCUUUUAAUUUUCAAUAGCAUAAUGUGGAAUUCAAUAAUUAAAUUCUCCUUUUUAAUUUGUUUCCAAUUAAAUUAUUAAUUACUUAAACUCUAUUUUAAGUCUUUAAUUUUAUGUGUUUAUGCAGAAUUGGAUUCUUGAGCGUGUUGGACACGACCAACAAUGAAAUUGACAGUAAACAAACAUUACAACGCGUUGAGUGUCGACUCCGGUAGCUGCCCUACAAGUCUACAACUUUACAAAAAAUAAUUGAGUACACACAUUCGAUUCUCGGGACCCUUCAAUGAAUUUCUAACCCCGUUGACUCCACCGACAAAAGUUUUGGAAAAUAAAAAAAAAAUUUAUAGAAUUCCACCAAAUGCAAAACGCGUGGAAUUUAAUUUUCGGCCGUGUGGACCAAAACAUAAUUUAAUGAAAAAAAAGAAGAUAAAAUUUCUAAAAUGUGUGGAAAUUGAUCCAUAUUUUACUGAAACAACUUGUUAAAUUUUUCAAGGAUUUAGAAUAUUUGGUCAUAAAUUAUGCUCAUGUUAAUUUUUCCGCUAUUGACUAUCAUAUUCUAGACACAAUGGUACCUUUCUUGAUGAAGGGUACUUAGUCUCUCUUCUCCUCUUAUAAAAAUUAUAUUAAUUGAUUUCUUAUUAUAAUAAAUAGUCUUUAAGAACGUAUAGAUUUAUUGUUUUCGUGACCAAAUUAUGCCUGCCUAAGGUUGUGACUAUUAAUAAAAUUAAUAUUUAAUGUUUAUGUUAAAAGAUAUAAGAUUUUAUGCAUUCAUUAAUUGUUAUUAGCUAAAGGAUUAAUUAUUUUUUCAACCCAAUCUGUUGAUGCAUCUGCAAGAGUUUUUUCUUUUAUUGACCAUAAUUAUAUUCCGGGUACAAUAAAUUGUCUUUGGUGCUUGGAAAAUAUGACUUCUUACUUCAAGUUUGAUAUGUCUCUCUCCAUAAGCUUACUGGAAAUAUAUCCUCAUUUACUGUCAUUUAUCUAAUAUCAAUUGAAGAGCUCACUUUUUCAAACUAUCACUUCCAAGUCUCAUUGUCACUUGCCAUUCUUGGACCAUUCAAAACCAAACAAGUGUUGNNNNNNNNNNNNNNNNNNNNNNNNNNNNNNNNNNNNNNNNNNNNNNNNNNNNNNNNNNNNNNNNNNNNNNNNNNNNNNNNNNNNNNNNNNNNNNNNNNNNNNNNNNNNNNNNNNNNNNNNNNNNNNNNNNNNNNNNNNNNNNNNNNNNNNNNNNNNNNNNNNNNNNNNNNNNNNNNNNNNNNNNNNNNNNNNNNNNNNNNNNNNNNNNNNNNNNNNNNNNNNNNNNNNNNNNNNNNNNNNNNNNNNNNNNNNNNNNNNNNNNNNNNNNNNNNNNNNNNNNNNNNNNNNNNNNNNNNNNNNNNNNNNNNNNNNNNNNNNNNNNNNNNNNNNNNNNNNNNNNNNNNNNNNNNNNNNNNNNNNNNNNNNNNNNNNNNNNNNNNNNNNNNNNNNNNNNNNNNNNNNNNNNNNNNNNNNNNNNNNNNNNNNNNNNNNNNNNNNNNNNNNNNNNNNNNNNNNNNNNNNNNNNNNNNNNNNNNNNNNNNNNNNNNNNNNNNNNNNNNNNNNNNNNNNNNNNNNNNNNNNNNNNNNNNNNNNNNNNNNNNNNNNNNNNNNNNNNNNNNNNNNNNNNNNNNNNNNNNNNNNNNNNNNNNNNNNNNNNNNNNNNNNNNNNNNNNNNNNNNNNNNNNNNNNNNNNNNNNNNNNNNNNNNNNNNNNNNNNNNNNNNNNNNNNNNNNNNNNNNNNNNNNNNNNNNNNNNNNNNNNNNNNNNNNNNNNNNNNNNNNNNNNNNNNNNNNNNNNNNNNNNNNNNNNNNNNNNNNNNNNNNNNNNNNNNNNNNNNNNNNNNNNNNNNNNNNGUAUUUUACUUGGAAGAUAUGACAUCUCUCUGUCAACUUACUGGAAAUAUCUCCUCAUCUACUCUCUUUUAUCUAAUAUCAAUUGAAGAUCUCAUAUUUCCAAACUAUGACUUCCAAAUCUCUCAUUAUCAUUGAGCAUUCAAAACUAAUCAAGUGUGGAAAUAAUCAAAUAUAUGCAAAAAUCGAGUCACAAUCUUUGGCCCCUCAAAAUUCUAAUUAUAUAACUUCUAUAUAUCUCAUACAUUUUCCAAAUUCCUCUUCCAUCAACAUCAUUAGGAGUAUGUUCAUCUCUCACACAUUAACUUGAGUGGAGAGUUUCCAAAUUGAUUGUCAGAAAACAACAAAAGAACUAGACACGCUUGAUCUGUCUAAUAAUUCUCUUUCGGUAAAAUUAAUUAAUUUUAGGGGAAUUCAGCCAACCUCUGUAAUUUUAUAGUGAUCAUUAAUUAAUUAAACAAUACAAAUAUCUAAAGUGAUUAGAUGUUUACUGACAAUACAAGUUCAUGGCUUGAAAUUUGAUCUCUAUCGAUUGGUUUUGUAGUGCUUAAUAUUUACAGAACUCCGGGAAUUUGAAAUCAAACUCGUAACUACAGAUUAUCUAAUUGUAAGUUUUUGUCCAUAGCUGCUGAUUUGUAGUGAUUAUCUAAUUGACUGAGGUGACAACAAUUGUUCUUUUAAUUUUCAAUAGCAUAAUGUGGAAUUCAAUAAUUAAAUUCUCCUUUUUAAUUUGUUUCCAAUUAAAUUAUUAAUUACUUAAACUCUAUUUUAAGUCUUUAAUUUUAUGUGUUUAUGCAGAAUUGGAUUCUUGAGCGUGUUGGACACGACCAACAAUGAAAUUGACAGUAAACAAACAUUACAACGCGUUGAGUGUCGACUCCGGUAGCUGCCCUACAAGUCUACAACUUUACAAAAAAUAAUUGAGUACACACAUUCGAUUCUCGGGACCCUUCAAUGAAUUUCUAGCCCCGUUGACUCCACUGACAAAAGUUUUGGAAAAUAAAAAAAAAAUUCAUAGAAUUCCACCAAAUGCAAAACGCAUGGAAUUUAAUUUUCGGCCGUGUGGACCAAAACAUAAUUUAAUGAAAAAAAAAAGAUAAAUUUUCUAAAAUGUGUGGAAGGUGAUCCAUAUUUUAUUGAAACAACUUGUUAAAUUUUUUAAGGAUUUAGAAUAUUUGGUCAUAAAUUACGCUCAUGUUAAUUUUUCCGCUAUUGACUAUCAUAUUCUAGACUCACUGGUACCUUUCUUGAUGAAGGGUACUUAGUCUCUCUUCUACUCUUAUAAAAAUUAUAUUAAUUGAUUUCUUAUUAUAAUAAAUUGUCUUUAAGAACGUAUAGAUUUAUUGUUUUCGUGACCAAAUUAUGCUAGAUUAAGGUUGCGACUAUUAAUAAAAUUAAUAUUUAAUGUUUAUGUUAAAAGAUAUAAGAUUUUAUGCAUUCAUUAAUUGUUAUUAGCUAAAGGAUUAAUUAUUUUUUCAACCCAAUCAGUUGAUGCAUCUGCAAGAAUGUUUUCUUUUAUUGACCAUAAUUAUAUUCCGGGUACAAUAAAUUAUCUUUGGUGCUUGGAAAAUAUGACUUCUUACUUCAAGUUUGAUAUGUCUCUCUCCAUAAACUUACUGGAAAUAUAUCCUCAUCUAUUAUCAUUUAUCUAAUAUCAAUUGGAAGAUCGCACUUUUUCAAACUAUCACUUCCAAGUCUCAUUGUCACUUGGCCAUUCUUGGACCAUUCAGAACCAAUCAAGUGUUGAAAUAAGUCGAGAGGGGGGGCAAAAUUAGAGUCACAAUUUUUGGUCCCCCAAAUUCUAAUUAUAUAACUUCUAUAUAUUUCAUUGCCAGGUCACGAACUUGUUGGCACAUUUUCCAAAUUCCUCUUCCAUCAACUCUCACACGUUAACUUAAGUGGAAAGUUUCCAAGUUGAUUGCUAGAAAGCAACGCAAAAUCAGACACGCUUGACCUGUCCCCUAAUUCUCUUUUCUACGUUGAAAAAGAAAAAAAAAAUAUAUAUAUAUAUCUAUGUAAAAAUAAAUAAUAAACUGAAUAAAAGUACAUUUGUUUAAUUAACAUCUGAUCGUGGCAUUUUUGGUGUAAUUUCGUGCUGUGUAAGCCACAACUAAAAUCAAACAGCCCCUUAGCAUACUUCUUCCAUUUUAUCUGGUACUUUUGUGGAUCUUAUAGGGUGGGCAUGUGGACAGAAUUUAAAAGUUUUAAUAGUCUCAAAGAAUAAGAUAUGUUAAAGCUAAAGUUGUUGCACCUUCUAAUUAAAUAAAGUUGUACAAUUUCACCAACUUGGAAGAAUUGACAUUAAUGGACUGGUCCCUUCUCCAUAUAUGAAGCCUUCUUAAAAGUUAAUUUUUAUUUCAGAAAAAAAAAGUUAAAGUUACAUAUAUUAUAGUAAGAUUUUUUGAGACCAAUUCCCUUCUUGAAAUAAUAAUGGAAAAGUAUUAAUUUAAUAAUAAAAUGAAUAUGUAUUGAUUAUAUCUUGAUUUUCAUCGAUUAUAGUGAGAGUUUCUCCAAAUCAAUUCCCUUAUUCAAAUAAUAUCGAAAAAAUAGUAAUUUAAUAGUAAAAUAAACAGGUGUUGAUUAUAUAUUCUAAGUUUCAUCGAUUAUGUGAUCAAAGUGGCAUUGUUGAUUUAUUUCUUGUUCAAUGUUAAUUUUUAGGUUAUCUAAAUUUCAAGGAUUUAAAAUCUUUGAUCAUGGAUUACACGCUUGUUAAUUUUUCUGCCAUUGACUAUCAUAUUCUAGACUUAAUGAUACCUUUCUUGAUCAAGGGUAAUUACUCUCUCUUCUCCUCUUAUAAAUUCCUCUUCCAUUAACAUCACUAGGAGUAUGUUGAUCUCUUACAAAACAACAAAAGAACUAGACACACUUGAUCUGUCUAAUAAUUCUCUUUCGGUAAAAUUAAUUAAUUUUAGGGGAAUAUUCGACCAACCUCUGUAAUUUUAGAGUGAUCAUUAAUUAAUUAAACGAUACAAAUAUCUAAAGUGAUUAGAUGUUUGCUGACAAUGCAAGUUCAUGACUUGAAAUUUGAUCUCUAUCGAUUGGUUUACAAAUGGACAUACUUGUGCCUUUGUGGCGAUAAUCGAACAAGUUCCAAUGAUUAUUAUUUUUUCCAAAAACUUUUUUACAACAAAUUCAUCUCGCCAAAAAUUCUAUGUUGCUAGCUAACAAUAAUUGAGCACUUGGCCGCAUUGACUCCACGUCUCCACCUCUUUCUAAAUUCUAAGUAAAAACAUGGAAAUGUAAUUUCCACAAAAUGCCAAACGUGUGGAAUUUAAUUUUUUGCCUUGUGGAUCAAAAUACAAAUGAAAGAAACAGGAAAAAAAAAAAAGGCCCAAAGACUUCUAAAAGAUGAAGAAGUCUUUGGGCCUUUUUAUAAUGGUGGAUUUUUUAAAAGAAAAAAAUAACAACACUUUUAUGGUUGGUUUUGAUAAUCAUAUGUGCGUAUAUACUCUCUAAUUUUCAAAAUGGACACAUAAAUCUUUUUUUUUCACAAAAUAUAUAUUAUUCAUAUUUUUUAUUUUUUAUUAUCAUAUUUUUAUUUAUUAUAAAUGUUUAGAGUAAAUUUUUAGGUUGAAAUAUAAUAAAAGGGUAUAAUCGUUCUCUUAUUAAACACACAUACUUUUAUUAGUUUCUAUGCAUUUGUCAUCUCAAUCUCUCUCAAUUAUUCUUUAUUGCUAGCUCAAAACACGUUGCUGUUGCAAAUUAUAGCAAAAUGACAAAUAUGGAAAAAAAGGGAAGAAAAUUAAUGCAUGAAAGACUUGGAGAAAACAACAAAAUAAGCCAACUAUGAGCUAGUUGGGUGUAUAAAUUGUUAGAUGUGUUAUAUACAAAUAGCAUAGAGCCCUCUAGUUGGUUCUAGAGACAGAAAGAGCGUGUGUGUUUUUUCACAGUUAGAGAUAUAGUUAGAAUGGGUGGCUCAAAAUCAAAAAUGAUGAUAAUGUUUAUUAUGUUAUUAAUAAUAUUUAAAAGUGGGUGGAGUGAGGGAUGUUUGGAUCACGAGAGAUUUGCUCUUUUGCGACUCAAACAUUUCUUCACUGGUCCUUGUAAUUAUCUUUACGACUGGGUAGAUGGUGAGGGAGCUACUGAUUGUUGUCAGUGGGAAAGGGUUGAGUGCAGCAACACCACAGGCCGAGUGAUAACGCUAGACCUUUUUGACACGUAUGGGGGAGAGCACAACUGGUAUCUGAAUGCUUCUUUGUUUACUCCCUUCCAACAACUUGAGUCACUUGAUUUAACUUACAACAAAAUAACCGGUUGUGUUGAGAAUGAAGGUGCUUCGUUUAAUUUAAUUAAUUUACUUUCUCCCCCCUAAUUUAAGUUGAAUAUCAAGACCGAGCAAUUAUAUGCAUAUUCAUUCAGUUGACAAUUUUGACUUUUUUUUUAAAGAUUAAUUUUGAAAUUACACUAGUAUCUAUGAUCCUUUUUUUUUUUAUUUUACUUGCAGGUAUAGAGAGGCUAUCAAGAUUGAACAACUUGAAGAUGCUUAAUUUAAGUGAUAACUCGUUCAACAAUAGCAUUUUAUCAUCACUAACUCAUCUUUCAUCAUUAAGAUCAUUAAAUUUAUAUGGGAAUAGAUUAGAAGGAAGUAUUGACGUUAAAGGUACAUAAUUAAAACUUCAUCCCUUCUCCAAGCUCUUUCAUUAACUUGCUAAAAUAAGAUUCAAGGCUUUGAAUUCAAUUUUUUUUAUGAUUAGUAUUAAAAAAAAACAGUUUUAAGCAAUUUAUAAAUACAAGUUUUAAUCUUUCUCAUAAUUUCAUCUUGUACUUUCAUGUGUCUUGAAUUUAAGAUUAAAAAGAAAUCUAAUAGCAAACCAAACACCUCCACAACUUAUUAUUAUUAUUAUUAUUAUUUGCGGUGAGGUUUGAAACAUUCAACUCAAUUUGUACUUAUUACAGAAUUUGAUUCUUUGAGAGAUUUAGAGGAGCUAGACAUUGGCGAGAACAAGAUUGACAAAUUUGUGGUCUCAAAAGGUACUACAAAUACCAUAAAAAAAAAUGCUAACUUAUACAAAUUAGUUGGAUUCUUGGCCAUUUGGUUUAUUAUUUUACAGGUUUGAGUAAGUUGAAGUCUCUCUGUUUAAGUGGUAUCAAACUCAAUCGUAGCAUCUUCGCUUCUCUUUCUUCGUUAAGAGAAUUAGAUAUAAGUUAUACGGGAUUCAAAGGAACAUUUGAUGUUCGAGGUAAGUCUAAGCCUUGCUUUCUCAUUUUAUAUAUGCGAACUAGAUUUGUGUAUCAUCGACAUAAUUUAAUAUUUAAUUUAAUAAGUCUGAAGGUAUUACAUGCUAAUUUAAACAUACUUUUAUUUACUUUGUCAAUUAAUUAAUUAAUUAAUUAAUUACUAUUUGGCUUGGUUUGGACGAAAUUCUCAUGAUGUUUUAAUUUCUUUAAAUUAAUUAAUUAAUUAACUCUGUUUUUAAGUCUUAAGUCUGGGCAUGUUUGCAGAAUUUGAUUCCUUCAAUAACUUAGAAGUGUUGGACAUGGGAUACAAUGAAAUCGACAAUCUUGUGGUUCCUCAAGGUAAACAAUUAAAAUAUUAUUCAAUUACAUUAUUUUAAUUCAUUUGAUUAGAGAAGGCCAAAAAGGUCCCAAAAAAAUUAAUAAUAAAGAAACAGAUAAUUUGUAUUAUUUAAAAAAAACAGAAUGUAAUAAAGAUUUGAUUCCAGUUCUUUAAUCUUUAAAGCGAUUGAAAAACAAUGUUGCUCUUUUCCCAAAGUAUAAAAUACGAAUUGAAUGCCAAUUAACUUAAUCAUUCAUUUCGUUUAGCUCUAAAUUUAGACAAUGAAUUUUUAUAUUAUUUCAAAAACAGGACGUAAUAGAAUUUUUUUAAAAACAGAUUGUAAUGAAGAUUUGAUUCCAAUUUUUUAAUCUUUGCAGCGAUUGAAAAACCAUACCGCUCUUUUCCCAAAGCAUAAAAUACGAAUUGACUCCCAAUUAAAUUAAUCAUUUAUUUUGUUCAUCUCUGAAUUUAAAUAAUGAAUUUUGAUCUUCAAUCAUAUUCUAACUACUAUUAAAAAACAAGUUACAAAGGUUUGAGGAAGCUGAAAAGCCUUGAUCUAUCGGAAGUUGAAAUUAGAGAUGGAAGCAAGUUGUUACAGUCGAUGGGAUCAUUCCCAUCCCUCAACACUCUUUACCUGAAGGAUAAUAAUUUUACCGAUAUAGCGACAACUACUACUCAAGGUAAGUAAAAGGUACAGAUGUGGCCAAAUUUAUAAAUAAAUUGUUAAUUAAUUAAUUUUUCCGUAUUAUUAAUUAAGCUAAAUUCGUUGCUCCUUCCUUCUAAAUCUAAACAGAGUUGCACAAUUUCACCAACUUGGAAUAUUUGACAUUGACCGGUUCCUCUCUCCAUAUAAGCCUUCUGCAAAGCAUUGCAUCAAUAUUCCCUUUGUUAAAAAUUUUGCCGAUGAUUGGUUGUGAAGUCAAUGGCAUCCUACGUGGUCAAGGUAAAAGAAAAGCGUUGAAUGUGCACUCACUGAGUGUUGUCCUACGUGUUCAAUAUUUUCAUUUAUUCAUUUUAUUGUUUAAUGUUUCUGCUAGGUUUUACUCAUUUCAAGAGUUUGGAACAUUUGGACAUGGAUUACGCGCUCAUUGCACUCAACACCAGCUUUCUUCAAAUCAUCAGUGAAUCGAUGCCUUCUCUUAAGUACUUAUCACUAUCAAAUUCUACUCUUGGCACUAACAGCAGCAGGAUUCUUGAUCAAGGUUAAUCAGAUGCUCCCACCCCCCUUCUUAAUCUAUAAUAUUAAUUUUCAAUUAAAUAUUUAAUUACACAAACGAAUCACUUAUUAUAAAAGAAUAAUACGCAUUCAUUAAUUUUUAUAUUGUAUUAAUUGAUGAAUUUAAUAAAUUUUCAGGCCUCUGUUCGUUGAUGCAUCUGCAAGAGUUGUACAUUGAUAAUAAUGAUUUAAGAGGUAGCUUGCCUUGGUGCAUGGCAAAUAUGACAUCCCUCCGAUUAUUAGAUGUUUCUUCCAAUCAACUUACGGGAAGCAUCUCCUCAUCUCCCCUCGUUCAUUUGACAUCCAUUGAAGAGUUGAUGCUUUCAAACAAUCACUUCCAGAUCCCAAUUUCACUUGAACCACUUUUCAAUCACUCAAGACUCAAGAUUUUCAAUGCUUAUAACAAUGAAAUAAAAGCUAAAAUAACUGAGUCACAUUCUUUGAUCGCCCCAAAAUUCCAAUUAAAUACACUCUUGUUGUCUUCCAGUUACGGAGACAGUUUCAUAUUCCCCAAAUUCAUUUACCAUCAACAUGACCUGGCGUAUGUUGAUCUCUCACACAUAAAGAUGAAUGGAGAAUUUCCAACUUGGUUGUUGGAAAACAACACAAAAUUGAGCCAACUUUCUGUCGUCAAUGAUUCUCUUGCAGGACCUUUUCGGUUGCCAAUUCAUUCACACAAGCAGUUAAGACUGUUGGAUAUAUCCACCAACAACAUCCGAGGCCACAUUCCAGUAGAAAUUGGAGAUGUUUUGCCACGUUUAUACGUUUUCAACAAUUCCAUGAAUGCUCUAGACGGUAGCAUUCCCUCUUCAUUUGGUAAUAUGAAAUUCCUCCAAAUUCUGGACUUAUCCAACAAUCACUUGACUGGUGAAAUCCCCGAGCACUUGGCCGUGGGUUGCGUCAACUUGCAGGCUCUUGCAUUAUCAAAUAACAACCUACAAGGUUACAUGUUCUCUAGAAAUUUUAACUUGACAAACUUGAGAUGGUUACAAUUGGAGGGCAAUCGAUUCGUAGGUGAGAUCCCACAAAGUUUGUCUAAAUGCUCCUCACUAGAAGGAUUGUAUAUUAACAAUAAUAGUCUUUCGGGUAAGAUUCCACGAUGGUUGGGUAAUCUCACAUGGUUACAAUAUAUUAUAAUGCCCAAUAAUCAUCUUGAAGGCCUUAUUCCAGUGGAGUUUUGUCAGCUUGAUUCGCUUCAGAUUUUGGACAUUUCAGACAACAACAUAUCUGGAAGUUUACCAUCUUGUUUCCAUCCUCUCUCUAUCAAACAAGUUCAUCUUUCAAAAAAUAUGUUACAUGGACAACUAAAAAGAGGUACAUUCUUUAAUUGCUCUUCCCUUGUGACAUUAGAUCUUAGCUAUAACCGCUUGAAUGGCAACAUUCUGGAUUGGGUUGAUGGGCUUUCUCGGUUAAGCCACCUGAUCUUAGGUCACAAUAAUCUUGAAGGUGAAGUGCCAGUUCAAUUGUGCGAAUUGAACCAACUACAAUUGUUAGAUCUUUCUAAUAAUAAUCUUCACGGUCCUAUUCCUCCUUGCUUUGAUAACACCACACUUCAUGAAAGUUACAGCAAUAGUUCUAGUCCUGAUGAGCAAUUUGAAAUAUUUUUUUCCAUCGAAAGCCCUGUGGGAGAUGUAAAAGAGCAAAUCCAUGAAAUUUUUGAGUUAACAACAAAGAACAUUGCGUACAUUUACCAAGGAAAAGUGUUUAGCCUCCUAUCAGGACUUGAUCUUUCUUGCAACAAGCUAAUCGGUCAUAUUCCUCCUCAAAUUGGAAAUUUGACAAGGAUUCAAACAUUGAAUCUAUCGCACCAUAACUUGACAGGAUCGAUCCCAUCAACAUUUUCAAACUUGAAGCAUGUCGAAAGUUUGGAUCUUUCCAACAACAAAUUGAAUGGAAAAAUCCCUUAUCAACUAGUGGAGUUAAAGACAUUGGAGGUUUUCAGUGUGGCAUACAAUAACUUAUCAGGCGAAAUUCCAGAAUGGAAAGCACAAUUUGCAACCUUCAACGAGAGUAGCUAUGAGGGAAAUACUUUUCUUUGUGGACUGCCAUUGCCCAUUUGCAGAUCACCAGCAACUACGCCGGAGGGUUCAAUCGGCAAUGAACGAGAUGAUAAUUUAAUUGACAUGGACAGUUUCUUUAUCACAUUUACAACAUCGUACGUAAUUGUGAUAUUCGGAAUUGUUAUUGUUUUAUAUGUAAAUUCUUAUUGGCGACGUAAAUGGUUUUACUUUGUUGAAAUGUGGAUAACUUCAUGUUAUUAUUUUAUUGUAGACAAUCUUAUUACAACAAGAUAUUGUCAUUGAAAUUAAUUAGCAGUUUAAUUACGAUUCUUUAAGUUCUAAUCAAGUUUGCACUUGAUCGCCUAUUUUACUUUAAAAAAUAAUGAUUAUGGUGCUAUCAUCAUCUUCUUCACUAGCAACAUUAACACCAAAUCCAGCGAUGGACCCAGACAUUUUAUCAAGAUAUCCACCAUAACUUAUACUUCCCUAUACUGUGCAGCCUACUUAAAUAAGAGAACCAUCUCCAAUGUUAAAACCAGCCACUCUAUAACAUUCAUUUAGAAACUAUAUUUAGAACUCUCCAAUCCACCCACCAGAAUUUCAUAUCUCCUCAACAAUUUUAAGAACUAAAGAUAAUUAGGAUAUAACAUUAGUUUUUUAUAUAUUAGUUUCAUAAUUUACAAAUCAAUGAAGAUGAAGAUUAUGUUAAUGAAUUCAAAUUAUACCAUACAUUCUCGAGAUGCUACCAAAAAUUUCUAAGUCAAUCCCACAUAUUUCAUAAUUUUAAGACUAGAAAAUUUCAUUAGGUAGAAGUUUCAUUACCUUCAAGUGGAAGAUGAAGAACAUUAUACAAUUGAUUCAGAUUAUAUCAUACAUACUCCAAAUGCAACUAGAAAUUAACAAGUUCAUGCGCACAGAUUUCAUAACAUUAUGAAUGGAAAGUUUCACAAAGAGAAAUUAUAAAUUCAAUCUCUUGCAUCAAGGUAGUUUGAUUGAUUUGAGUUACUUUCUGAUCAAGCUAUUAAUAUAACAUUCAAGUCAGGGAGAAAGUAAAUUAAAACUGGGAAGAAAUAACAGUAAAAAUUUGUUGCUAAACAUGAUGUGUAUUUUUUUUUUAAGGCAAUUUGGAAACACAGUUGUUACUACAGAUAUUCUCCUCAACUUAGAGAUAAUACAAAUAUUAAAAUGCAUAUGAUCGCACAUAUUACUUUGGAAGCUUAGUAAGAUUUCAUUAAGAGAAGCAAAUCAAACCACUUAUUUCAUUGUUGCAUCGUUCUAUAAGCUAAAAUAGCAAUAUAAUACAAGAAAAAGAACAUAUAGAUACUUGGCAAGAGUUCAUUAAGAAGUCGCAUCACAUUCGGGUGAGUUUGCUUCUGAUAUCUUGCUAGCUGGGGCUUUUUCUUGUCUUUCUAUGUAUGCCGAGGGAAACCAACCAGCUUGGCCCUUGCAUUCACCUUCCGACCAUCCAGUAGGAGCCACCUUGAGAAGUUAUAACUAAAACAGUGAAUUAAACAACAGUUGACCAUUCAAAGACCUAAGGGGAAAACUAAUUCUUUUACGUAGGAAGAGUGAAUUAAUUCUGAUCACUGAAAUAACAGCAUAACUAUGGAAGCCUAAAAAGAUAUAAAUUCACACGUCUAUAAGGGUAAACUGGGUGGUUUAGAACUGAGCUAGCAACCCUACCAUAUUCUGAUUUGCACUUCAAUGUAAAAGGGAAUAUAUGGUAUGAAGAAAGAAAACCAACCAUCAUUUGUUAACCCAUUGCUUUUCAAUCAAAAUUUUAAGAACAAAAUGCCAUGUGCUUUGAACAUCAAAUAAGUAUAAGCAUUAGUUCUAAAUUCCACAUAUCAUAAGUUAGAAGGAUAAGUUAAUAGCAUAGUAGAAAAAUCUGUGUUGUUAUUUAGAGGGGAAAGUACCUGGCGAACCACAACAUAAUCAUCAAUUGAAAGACUUAACUCUCCAUUUGCUUGAGCAUCAAAUGGAUGUAUAACCUGCAAGAUAAUGGGAUAAAUAGAACUUAAUCUCAAAAAAAGCAUAACAAAAGCAGCAACAGUAUCAGCAGCGUUCAUUGUAACCACUAUGAUCAUGGCCAACAAAGAUAUAUUAGAAACAAAAUUCCAUUUUUACUACGGCAUUAAUAUGCACUAUAUGAUAUCAUGACGAUUGGGUUACCAAGAGCUAUCAAAGUCCAAUAAAUUCUGUAUAACUUUAUGUAGUUAUUCAAAUUAUGGAUCAGAUUUUAAAUCUGAAAUUUUGACUGCUCUCCACAAAACAUGGCCUAUGCACAAGAAGGUCAUAGAUAAUGAGGAUUACAAGUGUUUGACAUCUUUAGAGUGAUGGAUUUAAGAUGACAGCUUAUGGUCAGUCAAUUUCCUCCGCCUAGCAAUAUAAGCUUUCUCGGCCGGAUUUAUCAUCAAAUAUAUAGAUUGCCCCCAAGUCACAUCCAUAUAAACAUAGUUUUUCUAGGUAAACCAAGUAAGGAGAAUCAUAAUUCAGACAUAAUCAUAAAAAGGCCCAUCUAACUUAAGAGAAAAUCUCAAAAAGAGGAAUGUUGAGCUAUCAUUCUUGUAUCUAUAAGCAAUAUCAAGACUUUACAUCACCUGCUACAUCGUGAGUGGCUACACAACUUUCAGUGGUUUGUCUUUCUUUGGCAUGCCUAACUCAGCUUUGAUGUUGCUGAGAUAUUGAUGGUAGAGACACAUGAUACUUCUAGCUCAUGCAUUCUAUCUAGCUCAUUCGACAGCUAUCUCUUUUUUAAUUCAUUAGUGUUUGCUAAACCUCAUGCUUAAAAAUCAUGCUGUUCUAAACAAAGUUUCCUAAGAAUGACUUCCUCAGCACCACACUUAGACACUUUUAGAGCAAUUUUAUUUGGGGGAAAAGAAUUUUCAAGGUGUUAACUAAUAAAUUUUAAAAAAUAAUUACAAUUUGUCCUACGAUUAUAUGACAAUUUAUCUAGGAUGAAAGGAUACAGACAGACAUCUUCCACUUUCAAGACUAAUCACUACUUCCGUAGAUGUUUUGCAAUAACACAAAUACUUGACCAGAUGGUAGUGAUGGUAGAAAAUAUUUUAUUGCUCCAAAAUUAAAAUAAGAAUGCAAUAUGUUAAGCAAAAGACUGUGCAACAUCAAAUUAAUUGAUAAGUUUGUAAUUCAGUAAAUUAACAACUUUCAUGGUAAAAUACAACAAAUUUCUUUUCAAAAAAUUUUUUUAAAAGACAGCAUUCAAUUUUGUGCGCAUCUUAUUUCUUAAGAUUUUCCAGGAGGGCAAUAGAGGGACUUUCACCUAUGCAAGAGAGCAGAAGCCUUACUUUCGCUAUAAAGUAGACGUCAUUCUGAUUAAUAUGCGUUUGCAAAUCAACUCCAUUUGAAUCAGUAUUCUGAUAGACACAUGAGGCAUUUACAUCCAUUUCCAAAGUCACAUGUUGCGAGGAGGACUCAUUUGAUUGCUCCUCUAGGAUCAUCUAAUUCAAGUAGCAAGGGUUGGAAGAGAAUAAAAAGUCACAAUUAUUCUUUUGCAUAAGUGAGACGAAAAUGAUAAAUGCACUAUUAUCAGCAGUAAACAAGAAGAGAACACUCCAAGGAAUAGAUAGAUGCGGACAAGCAAGUUAAAAUGCACAGUUCCAAACCUCCGCAUACAACUUCUCUGAAAUAGCAAUAACGUGUUGAUGAUAUGUUUUCUCAGCAUCUACCUUUAAAGGCCCGAGACCAGGAAAACAACAAUAAAACCACUAGCUAAAGGAGAAAGUAAAGAAAGAAAUACACUUGACAUAAAUCUUGACAAGAAGCACAAUUUAAGACAUAACAAACCCCAAUCAUAUUGUUUAGGACUACCAUUCGUUAUUUCGUUAUUGUAGCAUUUAGAACAAGUGUUGACUUAAUUCAACAUUGUUGGAAAGAUAGGCUUUUAGAAGCGGAAGAAAGCCACUCAAACCAAAGUGAUUGCCCUUGAAUUGAUCAAGGGAUGUAAACAUAUUACAUUUCCAGGAUGAGUUUUAAUCACUCCCCUGAUUUAUUUGGGUUGCAGUAAAACUAAGCGAGCAACUGUUUGACUUUCAAGCAACAUCUAAAUCAGCUAUUAAAAUUCAAAUAAAAUCAUAAUAGAAUAAUAACAGGCCAUCUUGCAUCAAAAAUUAAGUUUAAUUUGUGAAUUGUUUUCUAUAGACAUGUUAGUUCCUGCUAUUGAAAUGUUAAAAGCAUUGAAAAAUGAUUCAAUAAAUUAUGCAAACAUUAAAAUAGAGGACAUAUUAAAAAGUUUCUAAUUACAAUGUUAAGAUUUCCUAUAUUUUAGCAUUUGCAUAUUUUAAUUUAUGUAAAAGCUACGUCGAUCAACUUUGGGCGUGAAGAUUUUAGCUUCUACGAGACUUGAUUGGAAUAUGCAUAAGGAAGAGUGUUAAAAUAUGAUGCAUCCAACGAAAGACAAACCACGUGUAGUCUUUUAAUUAAGCCAAAGUAGCAGCUCAAACAAAUGACACUUGGACCAACAUGCAAUCAUGAAGGGGCCGGAAAAAGGACAAAUGCAACUUUGGCUUAAAUAAAAAAUAACAUGUGACUUGACUUUUGCUGGACAUGCAUCAUGUUAUUACAAGACAACAGAAAUCAGUAUGAUAGUACUAAAAGUUGACAAUAACAUGAAGAUAAGAGGCAGAAUAUCAACACAUGCAUAGGCACACACAAGGAAGUAUUAACUUAUAUACCAUAGCAAAAAGUCUUUGAAAUAUCAAUAAAAAAAAAACAAUUAAUUAAAGGUCGAAGAUGGGUCCUUUACAUAUGUUUUUGUUUUCGUAUUAGGUAGGAGGUUAUUAUAUUAUAUCAUGUAAUUAAUUUAUAUUAUAUCAUAUUAUAUCAUAUAUAUAUGAAAAAAAAAAAGAAUUUCAAAGAGAUAGCAACAUACAAUAGACUGAAGCCAUUUGAUCUACUCAUUGAUUUCAGCCUUAAACUUGUAAAUACUUACUGUACGCUAGUGCUCUAAGAAGUGAAAAUGAUGCAAACCCUGAUCCCCUUUUGACUUCCAUUUACUGUCAAAUAUUCUAUUCAUACGAAAAAAAUGUUUAGAUAUCUUACUAUAAAUAUAGCCGUUUGACUGUCUUAAUAAAGUCACACACAACCAUUCUUAUUAAAUUAGCAAGAUCAAACACUGCCCUGGAUCUUGAACAGAUCCACGCAAGUUGCACAACUUACGAUUGAAUCCGGCCAGAAAAAAUCAACUCUUUAGCAAGAAAAAUUAAUCAGAGUCAAGAAACAAGUUUAAUGAAUAUAAACCUAUAAUUGAAACAAACAUAGCCAAGAAACAAAUAGAGAUUUUACAUGUUUCAGUUGUACCAAGGAUGGCACAACCUACACCACGGGAGAAGCUUUCUGGUGACCCCAAUCUGCUUAGUUAAUAAUAGAGAUUUCAGAGAAUAAGCUAUAACCCUCUCUCCCUCUUCAGUCUCUCUCUAUUUUGUUCCCAUUGAUGACCCCAAUCUGCUUAGUUAUCCAGCUUUAUAGCUGCAUCAGUAACAAACCAGCAAACCCAGAUUGAGCAGAUUGACGACACGUGGAUAACGGCUUUAACGAACCUGGUUAAGAACUGCUCACAUGUUCGUCACGCGUGCUGCUUAAAUGAUGGCCAAAACGACUUCAAACAAAUGUCGUUUUGAGGCUUAUGAAUUACAAGUGAUAACACGAGCUUGUCUCAUGACUUUUAAAUGCAACAACGUGCCCACAACGCCGUCGUUUUACUCUGUUGAGUUUGAUUCAUUACUAAGCUUUACGACUGGCAAUGGAGAAGAUGAUAAUUUAAUUGAUACGGACAGUUUUUAUAUCACUUUUACAACAUCCUAUGCAAUUGUAAUAUUGAGAAUUAUUGAUGUUUUAUAUCCUCAUUGGCAAAAACUAGUGGUUUUAUCUUUGUUGAAAUAUAGAUGACCUCUCGUUACUGUUUUAUUAUAAACAUAUAGUUUCAUAAGUGAAACUAUAUGUUUAUAAUAAAAUUAACAUAUAGUUUCGUUACAUUUCUGCCUCAUUAAGAUUCUCAAAUACCAGUCAGGUUUGCUUAAGAAAUAAAAAUUUUCCAUUAAAAUUGCAGUAGUAUUUCCAAGCAUAUCGCAUUUUCUAUGAUUUUUCAUAAAUUAAUUAAUCUGCGGUGCCAAUAUCAGAUUUAGUUUUUCAAACUAAAUAAUCAAGAAAGCAAACAUACAAAUAUACAUACAAAUAUACUAAGCCAGCUACCUCACUAAAUUCCGAUUCGUACAGUGAACUGCAAGAAAUUGAGAAAACAAUGUAUUUAUAAUUUAAUAGAAUCAUAAGAAAACAAUGUAGUCAUUGCUUAAUAUAAGAUGAUUUCGGAGAGCCACAUUGUUUUCAAGUUAAUUUGAACCGUUUAUAAGAGAUGAAGUGGAAUCAAGUUGAAAGUUUAAAUAACAAAUCCCUGUUCUUGAGUUUUACGACGUCGUUACUCCUUCAAGUGGCAGAUUAUGCAAGUGAAUGCAGAAACAUGUGCAGAGCAUGUCAACAUGGCACAUUUAACCAUCAUUCAAGUGAUGAUGGGUUUUAUAAGACUGCUUAUGGGUUUUAUCAAGUUCCUCUGCCUCUAAGCAAAAAAUUAAAUUCGUAAUUUGUAAACGAAUUUUCCUGACAUGUAUAGUAAAUGAAGUUGUUGAUCCUUUCUUUGGAUUAUUGCAGCUCUGGUUGUGGGUCACCGAUGAGCCAAAGUCUUAUGGGUUUUAUCAAGUUCCUCUGCCUCUAAGCAGAAUUACUAUUGAAGGGCCAAAAAGAAAAUGAAAACGUGUGAACUCCAACAACCACCCCACAAAUUCAAUGACGAUGCUCAGAGACGGUUACGUUGGGCCUCUGAGAAAAAAAAUUUAUUUAGUUAAAAAAUUACCCAUAUUGAAACAUGUAUAAAAAUUUUAUAUUAAUUAGUUAUGUUUCCUCUUCAACUAUGAUCAAAUUCUUAUUCGAGCUCAUUAUUUAAUGAAUAAACGCGUAUUUUAAUUAUCUCAAUUAAUAUUUAGAACAAAUAUUUUAAGAAAUAAAGCUCAUUACAUCUCCCAUCAUUAGGUAUCUCUUUAAUUUCUUAUUUACAAAAUUAUAUUGUACAUUAAAAAUGUAUUGAAUUAGAAGAAAAUAAAUUCAACUCACUCCAAAAAUAAAUAAAAAAUGCUGGUAGCUUCGUAAUAAUUACUGUAUUGACUGCACCAGAUAAAGUUUUGUAAAAUAAUAAGUUCCCAUUAGAGGUUUUUAAAUUUUUUUUUCCGGCACACCUGAUCAAGAAUUCUAUUUUGUUAACUAAUCAAUUGCAAAGCAUAAGUGUUGAACGGUACAAAAAAUUUGAAAAAAACACUUAAAACGUGGGGUGGGUAACGGUUCACUCAAUUCGUUAGGUAGAAUUUUGGAAAACUAAAGCGAAAUGAGAAAUAUAGAAAGAAAGGAAGAAAGUUAAGAUAUGAAAGAUCAGCAGUGAAAUUGAUAGUCAUGUUUGAUUCAUCCUUCUAUGAAUUUCUAGCUGUAUUGACCCCAACUGCUAAAGUUUUGUAAAAUAAAAAAAAAAAAAAACUGGAAUUUCAACAAAAUUCAAAACGUGUGAAAUUUAAUUUUUGGCCAUGUGGAACAAAAUGUAAAUUAAGGAAAAAAAGUAUAAAUCUGAAUUGCUUAGUAUGGUUAGGAUUUUGUGAGCAUCACUAAAAAGUGAAAACUAUGAAUGAUAGAGGUGAUGUUUGCAACAUGAAUAAAUGAUGAACUGAAUCAAUUGAUGAUCGUAAUUAUAUAAAAUUUUACAAAAUCAACAAAAGUUAAUAAAAUUUUAUUUAAAUAAUAAAAAAUCAAUAAAAACUUAUUAUUUUACGACGCUCUAACCAUGGAGUACCAUAAUCAUAUUCUUCUUUUAAGAAAAUUAUUCUAGAUAUUUAAAAGAAAACAUUAUCCACCUGGAAUGACUUGAAGUCUAAAGAAAAAGAGAGAAUGGCUCCCCGCAAUUUUCUUGUCUUCAGUAUAUUUUCUUUUUUUUUUCUUUUUUAAAAUCUUUUGCCGCAUACUUAAUCUACCCUUGUUUAUUAUCUCUACUUUGCUCUGUUCAAGUCCUUUUUUUUUUCAAAUCUUAUUUUAAAUAAGAAAAUUGAAUAAAAGUACAUUUGUGUAAUUAAUUAGUAUCUGGGGGGGGGGGGGGGGGAUAUUUGGUGUAAUGUUUUGCUAUGUAAGACUCAGCUAUUAUUAAACAGUUCCUUAACCUGUUUCGCAGUUUAUUUGCUAUCUUUGUGGAUCUCAUAGGCGUUGCAGAAUUUAAUAAUUUUAUUCGUCAGAAGAAUAGGAUAUUGGCUUCAAUAAAUUUAAUUUAAACCAACUUUUAUUUACUCCAUCAAUUAAUUAAUAUUAUGCAUUUAUUAAUUGUUAUAAUCUAAAAAAAAUUAAUUAGUUCAGGUCAAUCUGAGUUGAUGCAUCUGCAGGAGAUUUUUUUUAAAUUUUUUUUUCCCCUUAUUGACCAUAAUGAUCUAAGGGGUAUAAUUCGACCUUGGUUCUUGGGAAAAAUGACAUCUCCUUCAACAUGACUAUUGACUAGGAGCAUGUAAAAACAUGGAAACAGAAUUUCCACAAAAUGCCAAACGUGUGGAACUUAAGUUUUGGCCAUGUGGACCAAAUGCAAAUGAAGGAAAAAUGAUUUCCCCUGCUUAUGUACAAAUAAAGGAACAACCUCGAAGAAAAAGGGGUUACCAAUUGGAGAAGACUUUACAGAGUUUCUCUCACACUCUCUCUGUCAAUUUCAUCUAGAAGUCCCUCUGAAAGCAUCUCCCAAAACAGUUAGUCAUCUUUUAUGCUCUGUUUUCUAGAAACAGAGUCCUAACUAAAUUGAUUGACUGUACAGUGCAUUUCAACAUAGCAUAUUUAACCGUUUUAACUGUUAUUUGAACCGUCUUCAGAGUUAACAUCAACAAACUCAUUCACAUUGGUCCAAUCUUACGGACGAUAUCAUAUGCUUAAUAAUGAACGAAUUGGAUCAGUGUUUUGCGGCAAGAGCAACUCGACACAAUCUGGAUUCAACCUCCUCCUAUCUAACAAGGGAUUUCGAUUUGAGUUACUUUGUGCUCAAGCAAAUUCACAUCAUAGUUUUGAUUCUUUAGAUAUGAAUUCAUCACUUUACAUAUAUCAGAUUAAUGUGUAACAAAAUUUUUAAUUUACUGCGAAAAGAAUAUGCACUAAAAAAUGAUUUCAAGACUAUUUGACUACCAAAAGCAGCUGUCAGAGUGCACUAAAAAUUUCUGUAGGAUAUUUUGUAGCUGUUUAAUAUGUUAUGAUGGGCAUAUAAUUCUCAAAUUUUGAUGCCUCUCAGCGAAAAUCUAUCAAAGUUACAGAUGAUAUCACGUAAAACAUGCAUGGCUCAGGCUCAGGCUCAGGUAAGAAGCCACGGAAAAGGAAAAUCUCACUGUCACGACUCACGUCACGCAUCAUUCAAGUGAUGGAUUUAACAAGACUGCUUAUGUUCUAUCAAAUUCCUCUGCCUCUCAGAAGAUAACUUUUCUGGGCCAAAUUUCUCAUCUAAAGCAUAUUAUGCCCCAAAGUCACAGAUAACAAAAUGGGGCACUACCGAUUAUGAAAGAGAACUAGUAGUUGUCAGAAGCCUAAGUCAAAUUCCGGUAGUAAGAAGAGGCCUUUCUUGAGUUUAGAUUAUGUGUUCGAGUUUUAAUAAAUGCCUGAGUUAAUAAUAAUAACAACAGUAAUAAUAAACUAAAAAGCAUAAUUACUAUUGAAUGGUAAAAAAAAAAAAAUUGUGUGAACUCCAAUAACACCCCAGUGGCGAAUUUUGGAGAGGGCUAGGCCGGGCUUCUUAGAAAAAAAAAAUAUUUAAUUACAAAAUUACCUUUAUUGAAACCUAUAUAAAAAAUUUAUAUUAAUUAGUUAUGAUGCCUCUUCAAUUAUCAUUAAAUUCUUGUCUGUUCAUCAUUUGAUGGAUAAAUGUGUAUUUAAAUAAUCUUAAAUAAUGUCUAGAACAAAUAUUUUGAAUGGUAAAACUCAUUAUGUCUUGCAUUACUAGAUGUAUCUAUAAUUUAUUAUUUACAAAUUAUAUUGUAUGAUAAAAAUGUAUUGAAUUUUUUUUUUAAAGUUCGGCUCACUCAGAAAAAAAAAUGUUAUUAGACUCGCCACUGCACAAACCUAGAAUAAUAAUUAUUCCUUAUUAUAUUGACUGCACCAGGCAAUAAACUAAUAAGUUCUCAUCAGUGGUUUUUAAUCUUUUUAAUUCUUUUUACCGCACACCUGAUCAAGAAUUCUAUUUUGUUAACUAAUCAAUUGCAAAGCAUAUAUUAGUGUUGAACGGUGCACAAAAUUGAAAAAACAAAAUCUUAAAAAACGUGCGGACUCGGAUAGCCAGACCAGAAAUCUAUGACAAUAAUUAGAUUUGAUGCUGGGAAUCUAUUAAUUUCUGGCCGUAUUGACUCCACCAGUGAAGUUUUUAAAAUAACAAGUUCCCAUUCUCGGCUUAUAAUAAUUUUAGAAUAAUGACUUAUUUGUAGAAGAAUUUAUGAUUUCCCAUUAAUAUCAAUAUUGAAGUGGCAUGGGUCAAAUCUCAAUUGCUUGAAGAAUCUAUUUAUUAUUAUUAUUAAUAUUGAAAUGGGGUGGGUAACGGUUCACUCAAUUAAUAUGUGGGGAAUUAAAUAUUACCACCCAAGGUAGAAUUGUGGAAAAUUAAAGCAAAAUGAGAAAUAUGGAAAGGAAGGCUGAAAGUAAGGCAUGAUGAAAGGCUUUGAGAAGGCUGAAGACCACCAAAUAAGUCAACUGAAAGCUAGUUGGGGCCUGGUAUAUAUGUUAGAUGUGUUUGUUAUAAAUAACAUAGAGCCCUUUUGUUAGCUAUAGCUAUGGAGACAGAGAGAGUUUGUGUUUUUUAGUAGUUAAAGAUAUAGCUAGAAUGGGUGGUUCAAAAUCCAAAAUGGUGACAACGUUAGUUUUGUUAUUAAUAAUAUUAGAAGGGGGUGAAGUGAGGAAUGUUUGGAGCUUGAGAGAUUUGCUCUUUUGCGGCUUAAGCAUUUCUUCAAUUCUCCUUAUAGACUUUAAAACUAGGUAGACGAGCAAAGAGAUUGUUGUCAGUGGGAAACCGUUGAGUGCAGGAAAGUGAUACGACUACAUCUUAGUCUUACCAGGAAUAUCGAUCUGGGAGAGUGGUCUCUGAAUGCUUCUCUAUUUACUCUCUUUCAACAACUUGGCAACAAAAUAGCCGGUUGGGUUAAGAACGAAGGUCCUUCAUUUAAUUUAAUUUACUUAAUUUCUCCCUCUUAAUUAAUGUCUAUAACCAUUAGGAGAAAUAAGGGAUUUUAUUAACUCAAAUAUGUCUAAUGGAGCUCAUUCUUUGGUUUUACUUGCAGGUCUAGAAGCAGGUGUGUCAUCUAACAGCUGCUUUGAUAAUUUCCCACACCUUCAUCUUUGAUGGAAAUAUGAAAUAAAAACAAAUUGGUGAAAAUGGUAUUGGUACCUGAGGCCAUGUAAUCUAUUUCAAAAACUACACCAUCAAAACGAUUACAUAAGUCUCAGAAGAAUCAAACAUCAGUUUUGCAAAAUACCAAUUGCUGGAGGCUAGAUUCUAACUUCCCCUCUUGAUUUUUAUGGGCAUGUUGUGUCGUACAUGCAGACAAAAAUCAUAUUUUACUUUACUUAUUUCUUACUUUCACUUGCAACCCAAAGUGGCAAGAAAUAAAUAACAUGCUCCGAUUAGCUGGACAAAAGGAUGAUGACAAUCGAGUCGAUAUUAUAUGCAGAGUUUUCGAGAUAAAAUUAUUCCAACUAAUGCAAGAUCUGAAAAAAGAUCAACCAUUUGGAAAAAUAAUUGCAUGUAAGUUCACUUCAAAUUCGUAUACAUAACAAAUUCAACUCAUUUGUUAUUGAAAAGUGCAGGGAAGAACAAUAAUUUCACAAUUGAAAUCAAUGUUUCUAACUUUUAAAUUUUACUCCAUUUUGUGGCAGGUCUAUAGACAAUUGAGUUUCAAAAAAGAGGCUUGCUGUUGUGCAAAUUUUAAUGUACUCGCAAGCGCACGAAUCUAUUGUAGUAUAGAUCAAUGGUGACGAGUGUCGAUCCCACGAGGAGGUGGAUUUUAAUUGUGUAGAAUUAAUUUUGUGAAUGGGUGAUUGGAUUUUGUGGUGAAGGUGACUUAGAUUAUCCUAAAAUUGGAAUUGAAAUGGCGAGAAUAACUUGAAGAGAAUUCUAUUGAAAUGACGUACUUGGGUAUCUGGAUCCGUAUCAACAUGCAUCAUGGGCUAAAUAAUCUGUAUUAAUGCCAAUUAAAUCAUGAGGGGGGAAUCCACACUUCAUGAACCACGCUCUAAUCAAUAUGGUGCUAAGGGCUUAUCGUGCCAAAUAAUAAUAACCUUGUACUAGAGGGCCGGUGAAACCAAGGCGGUACUAGACAAGAUUAGUAUUAUUUAUCGACGAGAAGUCAAAACAUCCACAAAAACUAGAGGGGAAGAGAAAAUAAAUUUACCAAAUUAAGCCCAUGACACAUGUUGAGACUUCACCUUCAACCCAAGCUUGAAAGAAAAUUAGCCACUCAUAAUUGAACUAGGGGUAAAAUGGGAAUUUAUUACAAUACGAAGAAAAUACAAGAUGGAGAGGGAAUUACAGAAAACAGAGUCCAAAAAUGGAUUCAGAGGUAUCAAAUUAGGGGGGGGGAGGCCCCCUUUUUAUAGAUACAUGGAGUAAAUCAUGGCCAUCGGAUUAAAAACAGUUUGGACGCUCAGGAUUGCGCCACGUCAUCAGUCAACAGUCCACGGUUUGACCACGCGGAUGAACAGUAAUACGGUUUGACUCGGAUGAACAGUAACGUGGUUUGACUCGGAUGAACAGUAACGCAGUUUGGUUGAAAAUAAUCCUGUGUGAUGCAUGUACCGUACGCGAGAUUUUUCAUCCACUGAUAUGCUGCCACGUCACCAUCAACAGUACAUAAGAAUUUUAGCCCAACAGGAUCGUGACACCUCAUCAGUCAAUGCCACAUCAUCGGUCAAUGCCAUGUCAUCGAUCCGUCUAUGUGAACAGUGUUGUGAACAGUAACGUAGAUAGUACCGUACACGUGAAUAGUACCGUACAUAUGAAUAGUGCCAUUUUUCCUUUUAUGCUUCUCCUAAGGUUUUCGACCGUCCUGAGUUCAAAAGUGAUGUUCGUUUUGCCGUCUGAUCUCUCCUUUAUUGUGAAAUGACUAUAAUGCCCCUAAAAUACAUAAAAUACUUAAUUAAAAUAAAACACAUGUAAUUAAAUCACAAGAAGGUUAAAUACAUAAAAGUAAGGGUUGUUAGUAAGACUUGAAAUGUAAAAUGACGGUUUUCUCCUUUAUAAAUAUGCAUUUUCUAACACUCAACACACCCCCCAACCAGCUUAUUGCUAGUCCCUAGCAAAUAAAGCGAAAACAAAAUUUAAUUCAAAAUAUUUUUUUUUUUUAAUAAAAACACUCGUAUUUAUUCCAUCAGAUUAAUGAUAGCAAUCAAAUAAAAGUAUAAGCAUUAUCUCCAGUCUAAAGCAACAUCACACCCACAUCAACCAUCCACAUGAAUCAGCCCAGUAGACUUUUUUAUAGCUACUUUCAAGAAUGACAUGUCAAACCCCAAAAUCUCACUGGAAGUAGUGACACUCUCACAAAGAAAUUAAAACCAAUAAAAAUAGUCACUCCAAUGAAUGGUAAUUGAGAGAGAAAAUAAUAAAGAAGUGAUAUCACAUGCUCUCACCAAGAUGAAAUAAAUAUGCCCUUAGCUUAUAAAUAAUACGAUCUCAAGUCAAACAAAAAUGGUAGUCAACCCAAUUUAUUUAUCUUUUAUUUAUUUAUUUUUAUUAUGCACCACUACAUCUUUUUAGCCCAUAUAACUAGCUUCUACUUCAAACUAUAGUUCCCUAAAAUCAAGAAGGACUUUUAUUAGGACGUAACGUAGGCUAGGGAUAUGGCUAACAAAGAAAGGAAAUAAGGAAAACAAAGUGUAUGUUUGAGAAAAAUGCAGAGAAUUUUUUUUUUUUUUUGGAAGUUGCAAGGUGGAUUUCACCUAUUUUUAUUCUUUUGAAACAACAACUUUUGUUUUUGUUUUUUUUUUUGCUUUUAUUUGGCAUAACUUCACUGAACAAAAUAAUUAUUUACAUUUUCUCAAACAUAAAUAGGUGAUGGAACUUAUAAGAUAUCGGGUAACACUCCAAAUCGGAGUGGGUCAAGAUGAUAAGUUGACAAAGAAAAUGAUUUUUUUUUUAAAGGCUCAAAAUGGUUAACUAUGGAUAUUUAAUAAAAGGGAUGGCUAGAAAGGCUCAAACGGAUCAAAGAUGGCCUUUCCAUCGUCUUUUAGGGCUCUAAAUAAUCAUCCAUAUCUACUAGUUAGAUGGGCCUCCCAAUGUAGCAACACACAUUUUUUUUUCUUUUUUUUUAUUUUACCAUUUUUUUUUAAGGGUUAACGCAAAAGAAAUCUAGAGAUCGUGUAUAAAAUAAUAAACUGUUAAGCUGUAUAAAGAAUGGGCAAAAGGGUUACUCUCCAAGAAAAAUGAUAGGCUCAAAAACUCACUUAGUACUUAUUAUGACAUGUUCAUUCCUUCAAGCAACUCAUAUAUGUCUCCGACAUCAACAUGUAGAGUAGCAAACAUAAUGUAACAUCACUUAAGACCAAAGAUAAUACAAAUACUAAAAUUUGAAAUUAAUCAUGUCAUCCAAUGUUAAAACAAAUCACACAAUUUUUAUUUUUUUAAACAACAUUCUACCCCCCAACCUAUUCUAAACAUGAAAGGAAAAAUAUGCAUGCAGGAAUGUGAAAAUGAUGCAUAAAAACUAAUUAAAAAAAGUUACACUUAAAAUGAUAGAAAACGAAAAUGGGUUUUUUUUUUUUAACUUAGAAGAUGCGUUUCUAGAGGCACUACUCUCCAUAUUCAGCCAUCUUCGACUCAAAAUUUUGAAAAUAUAUAUUUAUAAGGAGAAAUUAAAAAGAAGAAGAAAAAUAAACAUCAAAACAUAAUAAAGAAAAAAAAAAUGUCUGAAUUUUUUUUUUUAGUUUUUUUUUUAAUUUUUUUUUUAAAACGAUGAAGAUGCGUUUCUAGAGUCACUACACUCCAUAUUCAGCCAUCUUCAACACAAAAAGUUAGCAACAGUUAGUUUCUACAACAAAAAAUUAGUAAAAACCUAACCAAAAUUCCACAAUUGUCGACUAUUCCCUCCCCCCAACCAGAAUGAAACAUUGUCCUCAAUGUUUGAAAGGAAAGAAGUAGAGUUUAGAAGACAUCACCUGGGUGGUGCAACACAGAAGAAAAUAUUUACAGGCGGAGAGUUAAAUCUAAUUUGUACUUCUUACUGCUGCUACUGUUACCAUCAUUAUUUGGACGCUCCAACACAAAGGUCCAGGGGUCUGGCUCCGGUCUAUAAGCUUGUAACAGAUCAAGUAGCUCAUUAGCAGUGUGAGCACAAAUAAAGAGUUUUUUCACAUUAGCGGGAAUGAAAUAGUUUUUUAUUGCAUGGUUAAGAAAUGCGAUAAAGCCAUCAUAAAAGUUAUUGACAUUUAACAAACCGAUGGGUUUCUGGUGGAUGUGGAGAUGGGCCCAAGAUGCUAGUGUGAUAAGUGCCUCUAGUGUUGCAAGAUCUCCUGGAAGGAAAAUAAAAGCAUCAGCAUGAUUAAGCAUUUCAGUUAUUCUUUCUUGCAUACCUGAGACAACUAACUCUUCUCCAGUUGAUGAGUCAGACGAACUGCCCAACGGUUUUAGGACUCUUGGGAUGAUGCCUAACACUUGGCUGCCUCUGAUUAAAGCUGCUUCUGAGACCAUUUUUGAUAACCCUCGAUUACCUCCUCCAUACACCAAGUGUAAUUUUCUCUCUGCUAUACUUCGACCAAGAUCUAUGGCUGCCUCAACGAACUCUUUAUGUUUGCCAUAGGUAAAUCCGGAAAGCACACAAAUGUUCUUGAAUUGUCUAUUGGGAGUAGCUACCAUUGCGAUACUUCUCAAAAACAAUUUGUGAGUGCUUGACAAAAGAUAUCACAUUUAAGAGUCUUGGUGAUAGUGGGUCAUGGUUGUGUAUGAGGUAAUAUGUCAGUGUCAAAUAACGCUUAAAGCACGUGGCUCGCAAGUAAAAAAGGAAACAGUAAAAAUGAAAAAGUAAACAGUAAUAAGAAAAAAGCAAACAGUAAUAAAAUUAUUAAGGACAAUAAUACACACAAUAAACAAUAGUGAAAUAAAAUAACAGUAAAGUGAAAGGAUAUUUACAGGUAGUUGCGACUGUGGCUCACAUCUUCCUCUGGUUUUAUGUCCAGAAAUGGCUUGAACGCCCUCUAUGGGUCGAGGAUAGGCUUCCUAUCCAGUUUUCUUAUAAACUGGCAAACAAGGUCGUUUAUAGUCAGAUUCCCAAGACUAUAUCGUGCAUGCUCUUUCUGGAAUAAUGGCCAUAACUGGAGAAUCGCUCCUUGCACAUAUCCACUGGGAUGCGUUUCAAGAGACAAAAGGAUAUCAUCCAAUGACUCCUUAUUCAAGCCAUCCCUAAUGAAUUGAAUCUUAUCUUCCCUGUUAUCAGACAUCAUUCCUAAAGAACAUGGGUUUUUAUUGCAACUCAUUCUGGCACACUUAUGACAAGCAACAGAAAUUCUUCGAGCUCGUCGUUUUCUUGCAUAAUUUCCUUUACCACAACCAGGCAUGUAUGUAAUAAAUUUUGGAGGUAACUCACCUGCCGAUCGUACUUUAGCCUCAAUUAACCAACGGAUGUCAGCAGGUAUGUUAUUCCUCAUAAGUAAUCGCAUGCGUUCGGACCGAGCUUUAUAGACCGUAAGGAGGGCAUUCUGAGGAAGUGAAGGGAAUCGCUUGUGAAGCUUCGCUAGAGUCUCGUUUCUGUCCAUACUUUCGCCUCAGAAUAUCAGUUAUUAUGGGAAACUGAAGUAACCGACUUGAUUGUCACGGAGUACCGUUAUCCGCCACUUCACCGGGGUAACAAACUAAAGCACACAAAUAGAAAAAAAAAAUUAAAACACACAAAGAAAAUUAAAAUCGUCCUCUUAUUGAAUAUACCUCAAGCUCCAACUGGAUGUCGUAAACACUUCUCUCAAUGUCUCUGAGUUGGAGUUCUAAACCCUCAACAUAGGCUACUAACUCUGGUGGUUGUAGAGCCCAAAUGCGUUGUGUUUUACAAAAUUGAAUCUGCCUUUUGAGAUGAGUUUUGACACGUUGAAGUGGUUUAAGAAUGUUCAGGAGGAACGGUCUAAGUAAUGUACUCAUGAUUAAAAAUGAUAAAAGAAAACAUACUAGUUAAACAAAUACACUUAUACAAAAAUAAUUUCAAUUAGCAAAAGAAUAAUAUAAAGAAAGAAAGAAAAAUCAAAUCAACGAAAAGAAAAAUCAAUUCAAAUCUGGUGGGUCACUCAAAUUUAUUUCGGUGUCUUCUCCAUGUGAUUGGUAUUCUAGAUAUGGCUUUAAUCUUUGACCAUUAACUUUAAACGUGACACCGUUCUUUGGGUCCUUAAUUUCAAUUGCCCCAUGUGGAAAAACAGUAUGAACAAUAAAUGGGCCAGACCAACGAGAGCGUAACUUACCUGGGAAUAGGUGCAAGCGAGAAUUGAAUAAAAGCACUUUCUGACCUGGAGUGAAAGAUUUUCUCAUAAUUUGCUUGUCAUGGAAGACUUUCAUUCGUUGCUUGUAAAUCUUGGCAUUUUCGUAUGCAUCAUUGCGAAUUUCUUCAAGUUCUGCCAACUGUAAUCUUCUUUCUGAGCUGGCUUGCUGCAUGUCAAAAUUGAAUUUCUUGAUGGCCCAAUAUGCACGAUGCUCGAGUUCCACAGGUAGGUGGCAAGCUUUUCCAUACACUAGCCUGUAGGGUGACAUCCCAAUCGGGGUCUUGAAAGCCGUUCUAUAUGCCCAUAAGGCAUCAUCAAGUCUUAAUGACCAAUCUUUUCUGUCUGGCCUCACCGUCUUUUCUAAUAUGUGCUUUAUUUCUCGAUUGGAGAUCUCAACUUGGCCACUGGUUUGCGGAUGAUACGGAGUCGCCACUUUGUGUGUGAUUGAAUACUUUGUCAAAAGAGAUUUGAAUGCUUUGUUACAAAAGUGGGCACCACCAUCACUAAUUAUUGCUCGAGGGAAUCCAAAGCGCGAGACAAUGUUGCUUUUCAAAAAUCCUAUCACCACCUUGUGAUCAUUAGUACUGCAUGGAAUUGCUUCUACCCAUUUGGAUACAUAGUCAACAGCAACCAAUAUGUAUUGAUGGCCAAAAGAAGGGGGAAAGGGUCCCAUGAAGUCGAUACCCCAUACGUCAAAAAUUUCAACCACUAAAAUUGGAUUUAAUGGCAUCAUGUUCCUUCGUGUAAUGCUCCCCAUUCGUUGACACCUAUCACAUGAAGAACAAAAAGUGUAAGCAUCUCGAAAUAUAGUUGGCCAAUAGAAACCACAUUGCAAAACUUUAGUAGCUGUUUUCUUAGCACUGAAAUGGCCUCCACAAGCUUGUUCAUGGCAGAAUGAAAGGAUAUUCUGAAUUUCAUUUUCUGGGACACAUCGUCUAACAAUUUGAUCAACACAAUACUUGAACAAAUACGGGUCAUCCCAAAAGAAAUUCUUUAUCUCUGCAAAGAAUUUAGCCUUAUCUUGCUUGGUCCAAUGCUUUGGAAGUUGACCUGUAACAAGAUAAUUCACGAUGUCAGCAUACCACGGUAAUACUUCCACAUUCAUCAAUUGUUCAUCAGGGAAUGACUCAUUUAAUGGUAAUGGCUCUGUAGUUGUGUCAAAAUGGAGACGAGAGAGGUGGUCCGCCACAACAUUUUCUGUCCCUUUCUUAUCUUUGAAUUCCAAGUCAAAUUCCUGCAAAAGUAACACCCAACGAAUUAGUCUAGCUUUUGCAUCUUUCUUUGUGAGAAGAUAUUUAAGAGCAGCAUGAUCCGUGAAUAUAAUUAUUUUACAACCAAUGAGAUAAGAUCGAAAUUUUUCUAAUGCAAACACUACUGCUAGCAUUUCUUUUUCAGUAGUUGAAUAGUUCAACUGUGCAUCAUUCAAUGUCAUACUAGCAUAGUAAAUAACGUGGGGAAUUCGAUCAACUCUUUGUCCUAAUACUGCUCCUACUGCAUAAUCAGAUGCAUCACACAUGAGCUCAAAUGGUAAGUUCCAGUUCGGGGGCUGAAUGAUGGGUGAUGAUGUCAACAAAUGCUUUAAUUUUUCAAACGCAACAAGACAUGAAUCAUAAAAAACAAAAGGUACAUCUUUAGCAAGUAGAUUGCAUAAGGGUCUAGAAACUUUGCUAAAAUCUUUAAUGAAACGUCUAUAAAAACCAGCAUGCCCAAUGAAAGAUCUUACUUCUCUGACUGUUUUGGGUGAAGGAAGAUUAGAAAUGAGAUCCACCUUAGCUUUGUCAACCUCAAUACCUUUGCUCGAAAUGAUGUGACCGAGAACAAUACCUUGUUUUACCAUAAAAUGACACUUCUCCCAAUUUAAGACCAAGUUCUUCUCGAUACAUCUCUGCAGAACUAGUGUUAGAUGAUGUAAACAUUGAUCAAACGAAUCACCAAAGACAGAAAAGUCAUCCAUAAAGACUUCAAGGAAUCGUUCAACCAUAUCAGAAAAAAUGCUCAACAUGCAUCGUUGAAAUGUAGCAGGUGCAUUACAUAAUCCAAAUGGCAUCCUCCUAUAUGCAAAAGUGCUAAAGGGCAAGUGAAAGUAGUUUUCUCUUGAUCUUUUGGUGCUAUGGGAAUCUGAUUAUAUCCUGAGUAGCCAUCUAGAAAGCAAUAAAAUUCAUGGCCUGCCAAUCUAUCAAGCAUUUGAUCGAUAAAUGGUAAAGGAAAAUGGUCUUUACGUGUGACAGAAUUCAACUUUCUAUAAUCAAUGCAUACACGCCAUCCUGUAGUCACUCUAGUGGGUAUCAAUUCAUUAUCAGCAUUGGUAACUACUGUGACUCCUGACUUUUUGGGGAUGACUUGUACAGGACUGACCCAUGAACUAUCAGAAAUUGGGUAAAUGAUACCUGCAUCUAAUAGCUUAAGGACUUCUGUUCUAACAACUUCUUUCAUAUUAGGAUUUAACCGACGUUGCAUUUCCCUAGUAGAUUUAGCAUUUUCAUCGAGGUGAAUGUAAUGCAUGCAGUCUACUGGAUUUAUACCUUUUAUAUCUGCUAUGGUCCAUCCUUAUGCUCCUUUGUGCUCUUUUAAAACAUCCAACAACUUACCUUUUUGUUCGUCAUUUAGGGAUGAUGAGAUGAUUACCGGCAGAGUACUUUCUUCUCCCAAAAACGCAUAUUCCAAAGUGUUGGGCAAUGGUUUGAGCUCGAGUUUCGGUGGUGAUUCUGAUGAUGGGAUGAGUUUCUUCUCUGAUGGUGCUACUCUUGACUUCCAUUUAUUAGUGUCCAUGGAUGGUGCUGAGUCAAGUAGGGCGUUGACCUCAUCGACCGAUCUGUCAAUAUCAAUAUCAAAAUCCAAACCAAAGUGAGUUAAACAUGUUUGUAAAGGAUCACCACUAAGGUUUGAAAGAAAAGUGUCAUCAACUAAUGAUUCAAUUAAAUCCACAUCAACAAUUCCAUCAUCUACACUGUGAGGUUGUUUGGCAAUGUUGAAAAUGUUUAGCUCCAUAGUCAUGUUGCCGAAGGACAACUGCAUAUUUCCAGUCCUGCAUUGAAUGUGAGCAUCCGCAGUUGCCAAGAAAGGUCGGCCUAGGAUAAUGGGGAUGUGCUUCCUUGAAUCCUGUAUUGGUUGAGUGUCAAUUACAAUGAAAUCAACAGGAAAAUAAAACUUGUCUACCUGGAUAAGCACGUCCUCCACAAUACCACGAGGUAUUUUCGUGGACCGAUCUGCGAGUUGUAACACCACUAGAGUUGGGUGCAAUUCUCCAAGUCCAAGUUUCACAAACACAGAGUAAGGCAAUAAAUUUACACUAGCUCCUAAAUCCAACAAAACAUUCUCAAUUGUGUGGUUCCCUAUACUACAUGAGAUAGUGGGGGAGCCUGGGUCUUUGCAUUUUAAAGGAAUUUUAUGUUGGAGUAUAGAACUAACGUUUUCUGUUAAAAAUGCCUUCUUUUGAACAUGCAUAUUUCUCUUUUUAGUACAAAGGUCUUUAAGAAACUUGGCAUAAGAUGGAACUUGCUUAAUAGCAUCAAGCAAAGGGAUGUUAACACUUACCUGUUUGAAGAUUUCAAGAAUCUCACUUGUGGAUUUUCCCUUUUUUCCUUUAGCUAACCUCUGAGGAAAUGGAGCUUUGGGAACAUAUUCCCGUGGGUUGGUUUCUUCUUUCUCCUCCGGUGAUGAGUCUUCAACAUUCACAGGUACAAUUUGAUUUUCUUUUGUCACCGGCAUCUCCACUUUGUUGUCGACUUCUUUUCCUUUUCAUAAGGUCAUGACUGCUUUGACCUCUCCAUGCUGCUGUGAUGAACUGGUACUUGCUUCAUGUACUCCUUUAGGAUUAGGCACUGGUUGACUUGGAAAUUUGCCUUUCUCAACAGUCAUUGCCAAUGUCUGAACUGAAGAAGCAAGUUGUCCCACCAUCUUCUCGAGGCUUGAAACUGAUUGAGCUUGUGAGUUGAAGCCUUCUCUCAACUCAUUUCGUAGUCCAUCAAUGGUGCGGUUCUGUUGCUCAAUCGUGGAGUGAGUAACAUUCCUGAAAUUCUGGAAUUCAUCCUCCCAUGGUCUAGGUUGAGAGUGGUUCUGGUUCUGAUUGUAUGGUCUAAAUGGUGGCUGAGAGGCUUGAGGAACUUGAGGAAUUUGUUGCAUUGGUGGAGCUGGAGCUGCUGGUCCAUUCUGUUGGAAUCCUUGAGACCAUGAAAAAUUGGGGUGGUCUCUCCAUCCAGGAUUAUAUGUGUUGGAGUAUGGGUUGUAAUUUGAUGGUUUUUUCAUUAUACCUAUGGCAUUGGCUUGAUCUGAGUAUGAGUCAAGGUCAUGUGGUUCAGUUGAUUUAGCAGUCGAUAACGAUGCUAUUUGUCGAGCAAGACCUUCAACCAUCUCCUUGACUUCUUUGAUUCCUGAAGUUGAUUCGCCAAUUUAAACCUCAUUCACUCCUUUAAUUCUUCUAGUAGUCCUGAGUGAUCGACUCCGUUGUUGGGAAUUAUCUGCUUGUCGUUGGAAGAAUUCCCAAAUUUCUGAUGCACUUUUUGACAUUAGCUCUCCUCCACUUGUUGCCAUUAGCCAUUCUUGCACAUUUGGUAGUAAUCCCUCCAAAAAGUAUUGGCAUUGGUGCCAUUUCUCGUACCCAUGAUGUGGACACUUCAAGAGUAGCCCAUUAAAUCGCUCCCAUGUUUCGAAAAAUUGUUCGUCCUCUCUCUGGGUAAACUCCGAGAUUUCCCUGCGAAUAGCAUUGGUUUUAUGCACUGGGAAAUAUUUAUUCAAAAAUUUAGUUACCAUUUGUUCCCAUGAUGAAAUGCUAUUAGCAGGUAAAGUAUUUAACCAUGAACGAGCUCUAUCUUUUAAAGAAAAUGGGAAUAGUCUAAGUUUAACAUUAUCGUCUGAAAAAUUUUCAUAUUUAAAAGUUUGACAAAUGGCAUGAAAAUCAUUCAGAUGAUUAUAUGGAUCCUCAUUUUCUAGGCCAUAAAAUGUUGGGAGACAAUUUAGCACACUGGGUUUUAAUUCAAAACUCCUAGCAGCUACAUUUGGGUAUCUUAUGCAUGAUGUGCUCAAAUUAGCUAAGGGACUGAAGUAGUCCUUAAAUGGCCUCUCCUGUGGUUGCAAAUCCAUUUUAUUUUUAAUUUGUUUGUGUGUGCGAAGUGUUCUUUCUAGUUCAAGGUCCAUAGGUUCAAGAUUAGGUAAUAAUGACCUACGACCAUGCAUGCAAAACAAAUAAAAAAAAUAAAGAUGGGAACAAAAAAAUAAAAUAAAAAUAAAGAAGAGGGAGAAAUUACGAUACUAACCUUAUUGCGCUAUUACAAUCUUUCUAUAAAAAUACACAAAAAUAAAUACGUGAAAUAAAUUAACUAAAAAUAAAUUAAUAAGAUAAACAAAAAAAAAUUACAAAGAAAAAUAAGUUGAAAAUGAAAUAAUAGAAUUUUAAAGAAGAGAAAAAGAAAAAAAAAUACUAACCUUUAAAUGUAGGUUCACUUUUUUUUCUUUUUUUUUUAAGAAAAAAAUAUAUAAGAAAACAAAUAAAAGAUAUUAUUCACACAAAUUAAUUCUAUGAAUUAAAAUUACUUACCUCCCCGGCAACGGCGCCAAAAACUUGUUGUGCAAAUUUUAAUGUACUCGCAAGCGCACGAAUCUAUUGUAGUAUAGAUCAAUGGUGACGAGUGUCGAUCCCACGAGGAGGUGGAUUUUAAUUGUGUAGAAUUAAUUUUGUGAAUGGGUGAUUGGAUUUUGUGGUGAAGGUGACUUAGAUUAUCCUAAAAUUGGAAUUGAAAUGGCGAGAAUAAAUUGAAGAGAAUUCUAUUAAAAUGACGUACUUGGGUAUCUGGAUCCGUAUCAACAUGCAUCAUGGGCUAAAUAAUCCGUAUUAAUGCCAAUUAAAUCAUGAGGGGGGAAUCCACACUUCAUGAACCACACUCUAAUCAAUAUGGUGCUAAGGGCUUAUCGUGCCAAAUAAUAAUAACCUUGUACUAGAGGGCCGGUGAAACCAAGGCGGUACUAGACAAGAUUAGUAUUAUUUGUCGAUGAGAAGUCAAAACAUCCACAAAAACUAGAGGGGAAGAGAAAAUAAAUUUACCAAAUUAAGCCCAUGACACAUGUUGAGACUUCACCUUCAACCCAAGCUUGAAAGAAAAUUAGCCACUCAUAAUUGAACUAGGGGCAAAAUGGGAAUUUAUUACAAUACGAAGAAAAUACAAGAUGGAGAGGGAAUUACAGAAAACAGAGUCCAAAAAUGGAUUCAGAGGUAUCAAAUUAGGGGGGGAGGCCCCCUUUUUAUAGAUACAUGGAGUAAAUCAUGGCCAUCGGAUUAAAAACAGUUUGGACGCUCAGGAUUGCGCCACGUCAUCAGCCAACAGUCCACGGUUUGACCACGCGGAUGAACAGUAACACGAUUUGACUCGGAUGAACAGUAACGUGGUUUGACUCGGAUGAACAGUAACGCAGUUUGACUCGGAUGAACAGUAACGCGGUUUGGUUGAAAAUAAUCUUGUGUGAUGCAUGUACCGUACGCGAGAUUUUUCAUCCACUGAUAUGCUGCCACGUCACCAUCAACAGUACAUAAGAAUUUUAGCCCAACAGGAUCGUGACACCUCAUCAGUCAAUGCCACAUCAUCGGUCAAUGCCACGUCAUCGAUCCGUCUAUGUGAACAGUGUUGUGAACAGUAACGUAGAUAGUACCGCACACGUGAAUAGUAAUGUACAUAUGAAUAGUGCCAUUUUUCCUUUUAUGCUCCUCCUAAGGUUUUCGACCGUCCUGAGUUCAAAAGUGAUGUCCGUUUUGCCGUCUGAUCUCUCCUUUAUUGUGAAAUGACUAUAAUGCCCCUAAAAUACAUAAAAUACUUAAUUAAAAUAAAACACAUGUAAUUAAAUCACAAGAAGGUUAAAUACAUAAAAGUAAGGGUUGUUAGUAAGACUUGAAAUGUAAAAUGACGGUUUUCUCCUUUAUAAAUAUGCAUUUUCUAACACUCAACACUUGCCCCAUGCACACAUACUGCUUUUUUUGCAUCCAACAAUGAAAAAUCCUUCUGCAAACCAUAUUGAUAAAAUAAUAAUUGCAGAAAUCCCUAACUUAAAUGUUGAUCCUGAUGGUUAUAAUGCAGUUAACAAAUUUAUGAUUCAUGGACCGUGUGGAAAACACAAUUCUCACUCUCCAUGCAUGAUGCAAGACAAGUGCACAAAACAUUUUCCAAAAAAAUUCAAUGAUCAAACAAUAGUGGAUACAUAUGGCUUUCCAGUCUUUAAAAGGAGAAAUACAGGUAUUCAUGUCGAAAAGAAAGGUGUCUUCUUGGAUAAUCGAUAUGUGGUCCCUUAUCACAGGAAUUUAAUUGUCAAAUUUGAUGCACAUAUUAAUGUUGAGAUUUGUAAUUACUCGAGACCAGUUAAAUAUUUUUUCAAGUAUGUCCAUAAAGGGUCUGAGAGAACAACUGCAACAAUAGAAUCUAUUGACACUACCCAAGAAAUGGACGAGUGAUGGGUGUUGAAGCCAACAAAAAUAAAUUCCUACUCUAAAUAAAUUGUGUAUAGUGAUUGAGCAGGGUCGUGUCCACAGAGAUCGGUAAUUAUUUAAAUCCUUUUGAAACGUAAAACGUAAAAUGGGGGAAUUGUUGACAAUAAUAAAAAUCAAAUUAAAAAUAACAAGAAUGCAAAUUAAAGUUGUAAUUCAAAUUGGAGAAAGCUCUGGUUGAAGGAAUUAACUCAGCUUGAUUCGACUACUGAUCAUUGAUUCAAAUAUAGAUGAUUAUUACUCAUGAAUAGACUGGUUAUAGCUACUGAGACCCUCUAAUAGCCAAUCUCUCCUUAACUAGUCGAUAACCAAGGUACGACCAUUGGUUAUUUCCCUAAUCAAUAGACAACCCUAGAUACGAUCAUAGAAUUUAAUCAAUUGACAGCCUGAAAAACCAGAGAGACCCAAAUCCUAAUCAACACAUAUGAUGAUUCAUUUAAAUUAGAUUGUUUAUUCUCACAACACAACUCUCUGCUAUGUUAUUUGUCACAAGCAUUAAAUUCUUCAUACGAUGAAUCCUUUAAUUGACAAUAGAUUAAGUUGAUAAUUAAAUAGUGGCCAAUUACCUAAUUAACAAACAUAAUCAUGAAAAUAAUUUAGAGAAUAAACAAAUACCCAAAAAGCAAUAAAACAAUUAAAGCACAAGAAAGAUCUCACAGUAGUGAUGAAUCAAAGCUUCGUUAUCCUUCAACUAGAAAAAUAGGUUUAGUUCUUCAUAGAGAGAAGAGAAAAAUUAAAUCUAGGGUUUCUUUCUUUUUCUCCAAUCCAAAAAAUCCCCCCUUUUUCACAAUUGAUUCCUCCCUUAAAUACUCUCUCUCUCUUCUCUUUUAGAGUUCUAUUUAAAAUAAAAUACUAAUAUCUAAAAUAUUAAAUUCGUAAUUACAAAAAUAGCCAAAAAUAUAAAACACGUUAAACUAAAAACUGCAGGUCCGCAAUUGACAGCACGCGCCCACGCCUUAUCAACAAAGUUCUUCUGCCGCUCAUAAUUUCUCCAAGGGAACAAUCAUCCCUAAACAUCAUCUUGUAGCUCAAUUUUAUCACCAAUCAAUAGAAUUGCACCUACAAAAGUAAAUCACAGGUAAAUCACUAUUAUUAAAUGCAAAACAUCGAUAUUAAGGGAAGUAAACAAUGCAAAACUAGUGCAUAAAUUGCACUCUAACAAAUUCCCCCACACCAAGAUGAUGCUUGUCCUCAAGCAUAUAACUCAAGAUUAAUCUCAAAUUUCCACUCAAUUCUCAUCUCAACUCAUCCAAAAACAAUUUUAAGCAAGCAUACCUCAAGAAAUUAAGUCGUUCAACGUUCGAGAGACAAGGAUUUUAAAGCAUAGAAUUUCGUAAGAUAGAAUAAGAACAUUCAACCACCAAGAAGAUCCAUUCAAAACUCAAGUGCAGCAAGAUUUAAUAGCCCUCUCAAUAACUUCACUCCAUGCACUCAAAGUGUUUAGGGUGUCAUUUAUCCACUCAAAUCAAAUCAAAGAAUGCUAUUACCAUAAGCUUGCUCAUAUAUCACAUCUCAAUCCACAAAACAUGAAUAAAAUGCAAAAAUCUAAGGGUCUUAAAAGGGUUGUAAUGGGGUUAAAUUGGAGAAAUGAAAAAGAAAGGUUUAUGAAAGAAAAAGAGAUCAAAAUGAGAAGAAUGAACUCAUUGAAUGAACUUAUGAUAUCAAAAUGCUUAUUUCUACUCAAGUCACCAAGAAUGUAAAAUUUUUUUUUUCGAUUUUUCUUUUUCUUUUUUUUUCUUUUUUUUCUUUUUUUUUCUUCUUUUUUUUUCUUUUUUUUUUGUUUUUGAUUUUUUUUUUGAAUCAAACAAAAGAAACGAACCUUGCACAAUUUAAUUCAAGCAUAAUGCUUGUUGAUCUAAUUGAGAAACUUUAAUACAAGGUAGAAAAAGCAACAAAAUAUAUCCACACAAUGAGUCCAAAAAUCUCCUUAAAUUGAGGCUCAAAAAGAAGAAAAAUGGUUAAGUCGACGGAGAGAAUUAGAUGGGUAAUGGUUAAGGCUCAAACAAAGGUAGCAAAUAAAGGUCUUCGGGUAGAGAAGGAAAAAAAAAUGCGAGAAUAGAAAAAUGGAAUAUGGUUUGCCCUUAUCAUUUUAAUGCAUAAAAUCCCGUAAUGUGGCUUCAACAUGCAUAAUAAAGCAAGUUCUAGAAUAAACAAAGUAGGAUUGAUAUUCACAUAACAAAAAUAAUUAGAGCAAAGUGGUUGCUCAUAGGCUCAAAUCCUCACAAAGUUGGUAAAUUUGCCAUCAAAUCAUGUACACUCUUCAAAUGAAUCAACCAUCAAUAGUGGUGUAGAAUGAGAAGAAGGUAUGAGUGAGAUGUAAAAGGAAAGGUAAAAAUGAUAAGAAGUGAGAAAGAUGUAUGUAGUAAUAUGAAAAGUGAAAGAUAAAAUGUGAGUGAUGAAAGAGUAUGAUAGAAUAAAAAUAGAUGUAAAUAAUUUGAGAUAGAUGGGAAAAGAGUAGUGAGAGAGAGAGGAAAAGAAAAUUAAUAAUAUAUGAAGCAUACUGCAAAAAUCAUUUAAGGAUGAGUAGAGUGAAAACAAUAAUUUCAGACAUCAAUAAUGCAAAAAUCCCUCCCCCACACUAAGAACUGACAUUGUCCCCAAUGUAAGAUAAUCAAAGCUCACAUAAAAAUUAAAGCGUAAGGAUAAAAGAUUAAGGGCAAAAACUUCCUUGAAUUGUGAGCUUUGAUCCUCAUAACGUCUAUGGGCUUGGCGGGAAUGGUGGGAUAAAUCCCACACUCUUGAAGUAUGCGGCCAAAUUCUGCUCCAUCUUGUCACGGAUUUCGAUUCACGGACCUGGAAUGCAGGUCGUAGGCUGGUUGCGUUGCGAUUGCUGCUCGGCUGGAGCUUGCUUGAUGGACGCGGGAUGGCACUGAUUGUGUUGCGCGCGCGCGCUGGGGCUGCUGGAUCUGCGCGUUGCGUGGGCUGUGUUGUGCGCGAGAGCUGGGCUGACGCUGGUGCUGCGUUGCGUUGCGCGCGCGGGACUGAUGCGCUGCGUGAUGGUGAUGGCUGGAGCUUGCUGCGUUGCGCGUGGCUGGUUUCGCUGGUGGGACUUCGUUGCGCGCUGCUGGGCUGCGAGACACGGGAUGCUGGUGCUUGCGCUCACGGGAUGGUGCGUUUUCCGGCGGGUUGGUUUGCUGCUGGUGUGCUGCAAGCGGCUGGAGAAGAAAACAAGUUCUGGAAAAUUAGGGAUUUUGUGAACAGUGAAUAGUGAACAGUGAUUUUCGAUUUUUGGUUUUUUUUUUAAUAAAUAAAUAAAUAAAAAGAAAGAAAGGAACGAAAAAAGAAAAAGAAAAAAAAAUAAUAAAUAAUUUUUUUUUUUUUAUAGUGAUGAAUCACUUUGAGACACUAAAAAUUUCAGAAGUACUUUUCUAAUAAGUACAUGGGCACGCCUUAUAAAAAAUUUUCUUCUGACCAAAAUAAGCAAACACAUUAAAUUUCAGAAGUACUUUUCUAUUAAGUACGUGGGCACGCCUUAAAACUAUGUUACUUUAAAAAUUACAGAAGUACUUAUUAGCUAAGACGUGGGCACGCCUUAUCAAAAAUUUUCUUCUGACCAAAAUAAGCAAAAUUUUUCUUUUUUUUUUUUGAAUUAAAAUUAAAAGAAGAUAUAACAAAAACCAAAACAAACAAAUCAUUUGGGUUGCCUCCCAAAAAAGCGCCUUUGUUUUAUGUCUUUGGCUAGACACAUUUAUGCAUCAAUCUCCAUAAUUGGGACUCUCGAGAGCCACAUCCUCCACAAUAUUCACCGAAAAACCUUCAUAAAAAGGUUUUAAGCGAUGACCAUUAACCUUAAAAACUUUGUCAGAGGUCGGGCUCCGAAUCUCAACUGCACCAUAAGGAAAAACAUUAGUAACAAUAAAAGGUCCAACCCAACAAGAACGUAAUUUACCCGGAAAAAGUUUAAGCUUAGGAUGAAAAAGAAGAACUUUUUGACCAACAGAGAACUCCUUUCUCAAAAUCAUUCUAUCAUGAAAUGUCUUCGUCUUUUCCUUGUAAAAAAUUUCCUGCGCUAUAGGGUUAAUAACAUCCACAGAAAAUACCGAAUGUUCCUCACUAGGAUAUUUCAUGGCAUCAUUCAUAUUGAAUUCUAUAACCUCUCCAUCAAACUCCAUAGUGAGAGUCCCUUUAUGUAUAUCCAUUUUAGUCCUAGCAGUCUUAAGAAAAGGUCUUCCUAGCAAAAUUGGGAUAGAAUUAGAGGAGUUAUCAUCUUCCAUAUCAAGUACAUAAAAAUCAGCAGGAAAAACCAACUCAUUAACUUGUACUAAGACAUCUUCUAAUACCCCAUCAGGAUAUGCAUUAGACCUAUCAGCUAGUUGAAUUAUCACACAAGUUUCUUUUAAUGGACCAAUAUUCAAAGAUGAAUAAAUGGAACGAGGCAUGACAUUAAUAGAAGCUCCUAGAUCUAACAAAGCCUUUUCAACUCUAACACUACCAAUUUUACAAGGGAUAGUAAACAUACCUGGAUCCUUGCACUUAGGAGGUAGUUUCUUUUGAAGAACUGCUGAAACAUUCUCCCCCAUGUGAACUUUUUCAUCUCCUCUUAAUUUUCUCUUGGAGGUGCACAGUUCCUUAAGGACUUUAGCAUAUCGAGGUAUUUGUUUUAUAGCAUCUAAUAAAGGAAUAUUUACCUCAACCUUGCGAAAUGUCUCAAGGAUGUCUUUCUCUUGUUCCUCCUUCUUGGAUUUUACAAAUCGGCUUGGAAAAGGAGGAGGUAUCACAAUAGGUAGGGGUUUCGCUUUGGUGGGUUGCGCAUCUUGAGAUUUAGGUAUCAAUUCAUUCUUCUCAAGCUCAUCUUCUACAUGCUUUGUCACUUUCUUACUAGGCUCUUGCAACUCCUUCCCACUUCUAAGGAUGACAGCACUAACGUUUUGCUUUGGAUUCACCUCAGAUUGUGAAGGCAAUCUUCCUAAUACUUGAGACUCCAGACGGCUUACUGUAGUCGCCAAUUGACUCAUUUGGUUCUCCAAGUUCUGAAUGCUUGUUGUAGUUGCCUGCUGAAAUUGUUGAGUGUUAGUCGCAAGUGAUUUAACAAUUUCUUCAAGAGAUAUACCUGACUUGGAGUUUGACUGUGGAGGUGUUGGUUGUCUUGGUGGAUACUGUUGUGGGAAUCCUGACGGCCUAAUGCCAUAGCUGAAGUUUGGAUGAUCCUUCCAUCCCGGAUUGUAUGUUUGUGCAUAAGGAUCAUACCUCCUCUGAGGCAUGCCUGGAAAUCCUCCAACUGCAUUGGCUUGUUCAACGGGUUCUUCUUGAAGUGUAGGACACAUAUCAGUUGAAUGACCCAUAUUGUAACAAAUACCACAAGUCUUCACCUGUUGCACAUUACCUACAACAAACUUUUCCACAAGAGAAGUGAGUUUAUCUAAACGUUGUUCAACAGAAGAAAUAUUUACCUCAUUCACAUUCCUUAAGGUGGCAUCUUGUCUGCUGCCAAAUUGUUGUGCAUUGGCAGCCAUAUUUGAUAUCAACUCCCUUGCUUGAGUAGGAGUCUUGUUCACCAACACACCUCCACUAGCAGCAUCUAUCAUACUCCUAUCCAUCAAUGAUAGUCCUUCGUAAAAAUAUUGAAUAAGAAGUUGAUCAGAAAUCUGAUGCUGAGGACAACUGGCACACAAUUGUUUGAAUCGCUCCCAAUACUCAUACAAAGUCUCCCCAGGAAGUUGUCUGAUCCCACAAAUAUCUUUUCUGAUGUUGGCAGCUCUUGAAGCAGGAAAGUACUUCUCGAGGAACUGCUUCUUCAAACCAUUCCACGUUGUAAUCGAUUCAGGAGGCAAGUAGUACAACCAAUCUUUAGCUAGCCCAUCUACAGAGAACGGAAAAGCACGCAGCUUAAUCUGCUCUUCAGUCACGCCUUGUGGCCUCAUACUUGAGCACACAACAUGAAACUCCUUGAGAUGUUUAUGAGGAUCUUCACCUGCAAAACCAUGAAACUUGGGUAAUAAGUGAAUAAGACCAGACUUUAAUUCAAAAUUUACCUCCAAGUCUACAUAUUGAAUGCAGAGUGGUUGUUGAUUCAAGUCUGGGUCAGCUAACUCUCUAAGAGUUCUUUCUACAGGUGCAGGUCUAUCCAUCACUUGUUCUUCUGAAUCGCUAGAUGAUUCAACUAAAUCAGGCACCGUAUCUGUUUCAGAAAGCAAAGGCGACGAGGAUCGUUGCUUAGCUCGUUUUGUCUGCUGUCUCAGCUGGCGAGCUGUCUUCUCAAUUUCAGGAUCAAACGAAAGUGUACCUGUACGAGAAGAACGAACCAUACACCAAGUAAAACGUAAAAAGGAUUAAAUAAAUGACACCAAUCCCCGGCAACGGCGCCAAAAUUUGAUGGGUGUCGAAGCCAACAAAAAUAAAUUCCUACUCUAAAUAAAUUGUGUAUAGUGAUUGAGCAGGGUCGUGUCCACAGAGAUCGGUAAUUAUUUAAAUCCUUUUGAAACGUAAAACGUAAAAUGGGGGAAUUGUUGACAAUAAUAAAAAUCAAAUUAAAAAUAACAAGAAUGCAAAUUAAAGUUGUAAUUCAAAUUGGAGAAAGCUCUGGUUGAAGGAAUUAACUCAGCUUGAUUCGACUACUGAUCAUUGAUUCAAAUAUAGAUGAUUAUUACUCAUGAAUAGACUGGUUAUAGCUACUGAGACCCUCUAAUAGCCAAUCUCUCCUUAACUAGUCGAUAACCAAGGUACGACCAUUGGUUAUUUCCCUAAUCAAUAGACAACCCUAGAUACGAUCAUAGAAUUUAAUCAAUUGACAGCCUGAAAAACCAGAGAGACCCAAAUCCUAAUCAACACAUAUGAUGAUUCAUUUAAAUUAGAUUGUUUAUUCUCACAACACAACUCUCUGCUAUGUUAUUUGUCACAAGCAUUAAAUUCUUCAUACGAUGAAUCCUUUAAUUGACAAUAGAUUAAGUUGAUAAUUAAAUAGUGGCCAAUUACCUAAUUAACAAACAUAAUCAUGAAAAUAAUUUAGAGAAUAAACAAAUACCCAAAAAGCAAUAAAACAAUUAAAGCACAAGAAAGAUCUCACAGUAGUGAUGAAUCAAAGCUUCAUUAUCCUUCAACUAGAAAAAUAGGUUUAGUUCUUCAUAGAGAGAAGAGAAAAAUUAAAUCUAGGGUUUCUUUCUUUUUCUCCAAUCCAAAAAAUCCCCCCUUUUUCACAAUUGAUUCCUCCCUUAAAUACUCUCUCUCUCUUCUCUUUUAGAGUUCUAUUUAAAAUAAAAUACUAAUAUCUAAAAUAUUAAAUUCGUAAUUACAAAAAUAGCCAAAAAUAUAAAACACGUUAAACUAAAAACUGCAGGUCCGCAAUUGACAGCACGCGCCCACGCCUUAUCAACAAAGUUCUUCUGCCGCUCAUAAUUUCUCCAAGGGAACAAUCAUCCCUAAACAUCAUCUUGUAGCUCAAUUUUAUCACCAAUCAAUAGAAUUGCACCUACAAAAGUAAAUCACAGGUAAAUCACUAUUAUUAAAUGCAAAACAUCGAUAUUAAGGGAAGUAAACAAUGCAAAACUAGUGCAUAAAUUGCACUCUAACAACGAGAUCAAAACAUAUUUGGAGUGCAGAUAUAUAUCAGCAACCGAAGCUUGCUAACGAAUCUUCUAAUUUGACAUACAUUAAAGAAAGCCGGCAGUUGAAAGAUUGCCGUUCCAUUUACCGGGAGAGCAUACAGUAAUAUUCGAAGAAUCCAAGUGCUUAGAAAAUGUGCUUACCAUACCUGGAAUAGAAAAAACAAAGUUCACAGAAUGGUUGCAGGCAAACAAGAAUUAUGAUGAUGCACGAGAGCUAACUUAUUCUAAUUUCCCUACAUGUUGGGUAUGGAAUUCAAAAGACAAAACUUGGACUAGGAGAAAAAAUGGCUUAGCAAUUAGAAGAAUUUACUUUGCACAUCCUUCAAGUGGAGAACGAUUUUAUAUGAGAAUGUUGCUCAAUUUUGUAAAAGGAAGCACUUCAUUUGAAAGUACUAGAACAGUAAAUGGAGUGACAUAUCCAACUUUUAAAGCUGCGUGCUAUGCUUUGGGAUUAUUAGACGAUGAUAAAGAAUGGAUCGACUGCUUGACUGAAGCUGCAAUAUGGGCGACUGGAAAUGAAUUAAGACAUCUUUUUGUCACGAUACUCAUUCAUUGUCAGGUUUCUGAUGCAUCCCAACUUUGGAAAUCUAAUUAUACUAGUUUAUCAUAAGGCAUAACUUCAUUGCAAAGGAAAAGAUUCAGAUUGAAAGAUCUUCAGUUAACCGAGCAACAAGUUGAAGCAUACACAUUGUUGGAGAUUGAAACUAUCAUGUUGAAAAUGGGAAAAAGUUUAAGAGACAUAGAUGGAAUGCCACUUCCUAAUUCUUCUUUGAUAAGAGAUUCAGGUAACCGAUUGGUCAAUGAAGAGCUUGAUUAUGAUCGUGAUCAAUUAAAGAAGUUGCAUGAGAAAUCAUUUACUGCUCUAAAUGCUUGCAAAAAAUCAGCCUAUGAAGCAAUAAUGCAUUCUGUUGAGAAUGAAGAAGGGUGUUUAUUUUUUAUCAAUGGACAUGGUGGUACUGGUAAAAUAUUUUUGUGGAAUACAAUUAUUGCAAAGCUCAUAUCACAUUCUAAAAUAGUCUUGCCUGUUGCAACUUCAGGUAUAGCAGCUUUGUUAUUGCCUAAUGGUAGGACAGCUCAUUCGCGAUUUCAUAUUCCUUUGGAUGUGAUAGCAGAGUGCACUUGUGAAAUCCGACAAGGCACCUUAUUAGCUGGACUUCUUAUGAAAACUUCUUUGAUCAUUUGGGAUGAAGCGCCUAUGGCACAUAAGUUCUGCUUUGAAGCUUUGGAUAAGACCUUGAGAGAUAUUCUAAGAACAAGGUAUGAAAAUACUUCUAUCAAACCUUUUUGAGGACUUACAAUAGUAUGUGGUGGUGAUUUCCGUCAAAUAUUGCCAGUUGUGCCAAAGGGGACAAGAGCAGACAUUGUUGACGCUUCACUUAACUCAUCCUACUUAUGGCCAUUUUUCAAAAUUUAUGAGCUCAAACAAAAUAUGAGGCUCUAUAAUGGAAGCAUGAGUGGCUCUGAGGCUGCUAAAAUAGCUUCUUUUGACAAAUGGUUGUUACAGAUUGGAGAUGGUUCAUUAUAUGAUGACAUUGAUAGAGAGUUAGUUAAACUACCUUCUGAUAUCUGUAAGAAACCAUAAAAAAAUCUAAUGAAAUCAAUAGUCGACACUAUCUACCCAUCAAUUCUACAUAAUUACAGUGAUCCAACAUAUUUGAAAGAAAGAGCAAUAUUAACGCCAAAAAAUGAAAUGGUGCAUGAAUUGAACGAGAUGAUUAUGAAUAUAAUACCUGGUCAAGGGAGAACCUAUUUUAGCUCAGACAGUAUAUGCAAAGCAAGCGCAAACACAAAUGAUGAAGAUGUUCUGUAUCCAACUGAAUUUUUGAAUAGUUUGAAAUUCAAUGGCAUCCCUAAUCAUGACAUACGACUUAAGGAAGGUGCUCCCGUAAUGCUUCUCAGAAAUCUAAAUCAAAUAGAAGGCCUAUGUAACGGCACAAGAUUGAUUGUAACUCGUCUUAGUAAAUGGUCCAUUAGAGGUGACAUCAUUUCUGGAACAAAUAUUGGACAAAAUGUCACAAUUCCAAGAAUUGUUAUGUCUCCUAAUGAAUCAAGAUGGCCAUUCAAGCUUAACAGACGGCAACUUCCUUUGGCACCAUGUUUUGCCAUGACGAUCAACAAAAGCCAAGGACAAUCUCUUAAACAUGUUGGCUUGUAUCUCCCUAAGCAAGUAUUCACACAUGGUCAAUUAUAUGUCGCCGUAUCUCGAGUUACCACAAGAGAAUGAUUGACCAUACUAAAUGCUGAUCAAGAGGUAGAAGACCGAACCUUCAUAAAAAAACAUUGUCUACAAAGAAGUAUUUCAAAAUAUUCACACAUUAGCUCACAAAAUCAAGGUAUCACAUUUUUAGAUUAUAUUUUAAAAUUUAAUUUAUACAUUGCAAGCUCUUACUUCACCCUAUAAUAAUGAUUUUUAUUAUGUGUUUUAAUUAUUCAGUAGACAAAUGAAUAAAUCAAAGGAACUAUCGAGACAGCAAAAUGGUAGUUUGGUUGAGUUUUCCAAGCUAUUAUGGAGAAUUUAAUCGCCAAAGAACAUAGUACGUGAAGAAGCAUUCCUUUUUACAUCAACUAUUUCUCCUUUCAUUCUCUCUAAUCCAUGGAGACAUGGUUUAUAUACAGAUAAAGAACAUUUUGGCACUAGGUGUUGCUGAUCCCCAUUGGAACUUGCCAUAGCUGCAAGCUUGAUAUAAACAACUGCUCACCUACGCAGCUACAAACGAUGCAAAAUAACUUACAGAAGUCUUUACAUGUAUUUUACUUAUUUCUUUUAUAAUUCAACGCAUUGCUAAGGAUCCUCAAUUACAAAAUUUAAUUUGGAACUUAUCAACUACAAAAGGUAUAAGGUCUGUACACCUAGACUAUACACGUUAAUAUAUAUAUUUAAAGUUAACAAAAAAAUAGUUAACUUUCAUAAAUAACAUUAGUUUUAUAAGGCUACCUCAUUUUAAAAAAAAUCAAUUUAUAUUUUUUAUCAGUUUUAUUGAGUAUAAAGAAAGAAAAAUUGAUAAUACUAAAUUCAUUUUCUAAAGCCGCGCGAAGCGCGGUUUUAUUUCCUAGUAUAUAUAUAAAGCUGGGACUAUAAGAGGUGAUGUGACAUCACCAUUUCUCAUCUUUGUAUAUUUUCUAUUAUCUAAUAAAUAGAGAAUUUUUCUUUCAAAUUUGGCUUUUCAUCUUCUCAUAAUUAAUUUGAUUGUUAUUACAAUUAUGUAAAUGUUUUAAUGAGGCAUAUUCUUUAUAAUGAACAUCCAAUGGGGAGUGUUAUAAAUUUAUUAAAAUAAAUGUGGAUGUUCAUAACAUAUAUCUCUUAGUCUCUCCACUAUCUCUCAUUAGCAACCUUUAGCUUCUCUGUAACUCCCACAAUCUCACAAGGAAUUAUGAUCCAUAAUUUUUCAUUAAUUUCAUGGAGUGAUUAUGUAACUACAAAAGGAGAGCUCAUCUUUUUGUUUUGUAUACACAAUUGGAAUGAAUAAAAUCACUCUAAAAUAUAUUCUCUCAUUUUAUUCUUUAUCUUGCGUUGCUUCUUUAUUUGUGUUGUUGGCUAAUAGUUUUUUUUUUAUUUAAACCACCCGGUUUCCGACGACCGCAUUGGAUACUUCUACUGCAUUCAACAUUUCUAAUUUUUAUUGGUUGAUAUACGUGUGAAUGACAACACAAUCCUCUGAGGUAUUUUUUUAAUUAUUAAUGUUUGUUAAUCUUUAAGUGUAUAUUAGAAAUUAUUGAUCCUUAUGUUUUAACAUAUUUAUGUUAUUUUCCCAUAAUAUUACAGAUGUUGUCGGAAGUUUAUGUGGUGUGGGUGAUAUUGAGAUUGUUGGAGCUGGUUGGAAAAAAAGACAUAUAAAAGUUCUAAAAGAUUAGCAAGUUGAAUAUAAUUUGGAACUUAUCAACAACUACAAAAGGUAUAAGGUUUGUACACUUACUAUACACAUUAAUAUAUAUAUAUUUAAAGUUAACAAACAAAUAAUUAACUUUAAUAAAUAACAUUAAUUUUAUAAGGUUGCCUCAUCUUUAAAAAAAAUCAAUUCAUAUUUUUUAUCAGUUUCAUCAAGUGUAAAGUAAGAAAAAAUGAUAAUACUAAAUUAUUUUUUUAAAGCCGCGUGAAAUGCGGUUCUAUUUUCUAGUAAUUUAUAAACCGAGGCCGGGCCCCAAGUCUUUUAAUUUUCUUCCUUUCUUUCCAUAUUUGUCGUUGGGUUAUAAACUUCCCCAAUUCUACCUUUUAUGUGCACGUGAAUCAUGACAUACCCCUUGAGUCAUGCUUUCAAGUUAUAAUUCCUUUCAAUCUUUGCCACGGCUUCAAGUCUCAAAAUCACACAGCAAUACAUCAUAACCCGAAAAUUUAUAAAUAAUCAAUAAUAUAUAAAUGUAAUCAUCUAUUGAAUCAGUUCAUUAUUUAUUCGUAUUGCAAGCAUCACCCCUAUCAUUCAUAGUUUUCACUUUUUAGUGAUGUUCACAAAAUCCUAACCAUACUAUGCAAUUGAGAUAUGAUCAAUAACACUUUGAUAACAUAUUUUAAAAAACAUAAAUUCUUCUAUAAAAAGUCAUUAUUCUGGGGGUUAAUUUCCAUAGGUUUCUAUUAGUUAAUUUUUUCCAACUAUUUUUGAUGAAAUUAGAUAGAUUUGCCUUCAUAUUUGGGGCAAAUAGUUUCAGCGAAUCAUGAAUAAGCUUCCACACAUUUUAGAAAUCUUAUCUUUUUUAAUUUUAUACUUUUUCUUUAAUUUGCAUUUUGGUUCACAUGACCAAAAAUUAAGUUCCAUGCGUUUUUCAAUUUGUGGAAAUUCAGUUUUUUUUUUUUGUGGAAAUUUCGGUGGAGUCAAUAUGGCUAGAAAUUCGUAGAAGGAUGAAUCAAAAUACUCAAUUAUUGUUGUAGACUUGUAAGGCAGCUAACGGAGUCCACACGUUUCAAUGUUUGUUUACAGUUCAGCUUUCCCUUUGAUUAGUUAUCAAAAUAGAAACAUGAUUAUCAAUUUCAACUGUAUGUCUUUCAUGCCUUAACUUUCUUCCUUUCUUUCCAAAUUUCUCAUUUUGCUUUAAUUUUCCACAAUUUACCUCCACGAAUUGAUUGACCUGUUACCCACCACACUUCAAUACUAAUAAUAAUAAAUAAAUUCUUCAAGCAAUUGACAUUUGACCCACCCCACUUCAAUAAUAAUGCUAAUGGGACAUCAUAAAUUCUUCUAUUCAAAUAUAAUACUCAUGACUUUGACGGCCGAAACAUGUUUCAUGGCACAAAUAAUGACGGUUUUGUUUGAGGUACGGUGGAGGUGUCUAUUCAAAUAUUUGAAGCCAGCCCCUCGUUUUAUCUAAACCACAAGCAGGCUCAGCCGAAAUUGUUUAAUAUUUUUAUUUUUUCAAGAAACUCUCACUAUAAGGCUUAUGUGAAAAUUUGGUUGACAGUUUAUGUAUUUAAUUAUUUAUUUUACCACACAUGUCAUGUGUAGGUUUUAUUUACCUUGAGCAGUGGUCAAUGCAUUAGACCCAAGAUAAAGUGUGUUGAGGUAGGGGAAUUAAUGAUCGCAUUAGCUGUAGCACCUAUCUUCAAUCUCUAAUUUUAACUUUCUAUAGAUGAAGUGUUUUCAAAUUCCUCAAAUGUCUGUAAUCUGUUUAAUAAUUGAAGAAAGUUAAAAUUCAUUUUCUAAAUUUAAGGUUAAACUCCCAAUAAAAAAUUUUAUUUUCAUUCAAUAUUGUCAUUAGAUGGUAAUCACUUUGUACGAGAGAUUCCAAAAAAUUUGUCUCAUUGCUCCUCACUAGAAAGAUUGUAUCUUAGUGAUAAUAAUCUCUUGGUAGGAUUUCACAAUGGUUGGAUAAUCUUUCAACAUUACAACAUUUUAUAAUGCUCAAGAAACACAUUCUUGAAGGUCUUAUUUCAAUGGAGUUUUAUCAGCUUGAUUCUCUUCAAAUUUUGGACAUUUCAAACAAUAAUGUAUUUAAGAGUUUAUUAUCUUGUUUACAUAAAAAUAUAUGCCUAUAGGCAGGUAAAAGAAGGUACAUUUUUUAAUUACUCUUCCUUAGGGACAUCAUAUCUUAGCUAUAGCCACUUGAAUGAGAUCAUUUCAAGUUGGGUUGAUAGGCUUUCUCAAGCAAGCCACUUCAUACUGACCCACAAUAAUCUUAAAGAUGAAGUAUCUGCUCAGUUGUGCCGAUUGAACCAAUUGCUAUUGAUAAAUCAUGCUGAUAACAGUCUUUCCAGCCAUAUUCUUCAUUGCUUAAACAAGUGAACUUGUUUCAUUGAGAGAGUAGUGAAACAAGGAAAAAAAAAAGUUUUGACUUUUAUCAGUUAGUUGACUGUUAAGUAAAAAGUAUGCAAAUAUCAUUUUAUACUUUAGAUUGUUAAAAACUAAUGGAAAAAUAACGUCAUUUGAGGAUAAAUUGAAAUUUUCAUACUUUUAAAAAGUAAAGUGAAAAUUAUCAUUCUAAGUGUGGAUAAAUUAAAGUUACACUCAUAAAAAACACAUCUAAUAAUUUAUACACCAAGGCAGGCCCAAGUCUUUCAAUUUUCUUCCUUUCUUACCAUACUUAUCGUCCUGUAAUAAAUUUCCACAGUUCUACCUUUUUUGUACACAUGAUUCAUGACAUACUCCAUGAGUCAUGCUUUCAAGUUAUAAUUCCUUUCAAUAUUUGCCACGUUUGCAAGUUUCAAAAUCACAUAGUAAUAUGUCAUAACAAGUCCGAAAAUUCAUAAAUAAUCAAUAAUAUAUAAAAGGAAAUUAUCCACCGUCUAUCCGUUUUUUCAACUUUUUCAAAAAUACACAAUUUUUUUUUUUUUUGCUGGAAUCCACCUGAAGUUACAUUUCUUUUCACUUUUCCACUUCCGUUUGGAAUCCGUUAAGGAAAUUAAGGGAAUAUUGUUAAAUGACUUUUUUACCCUCAAAUGUAAAAGAUAAUUUAUCCAUCGACCACUUGUUUUUUCGUAUUUUUUCAGAAAUACACAAUUCUUAAUUUUUUUUUUGCUGACCUCCACUCGAAGUUGUAUUGUUUUACACCUAUCCACCACUGUGUCGUUGUAAAAUGAUGAUUUACCCUUAUAAUGUUAGCAAAGUUAUAACGGUCUCCAAACGGAAGUGGAAAAGUGAAAAGAAAUGUAAUUUCAGGUGGAUUCCAGCAAAAAAAAAAAAGAAUUGUGUAUUUUUGAAAAGCAGUGAAAAACGGGUGGAUGGUGGAUAAUUUCCCAUAUAUAAAUAUGAUCAUCAAUUGAAUUUGAAUCAGUUCGUUAUUUGUUCAUAUUGCAAACAUCACCUCUAUCAUUCAUAGUUUUCACUUUUUAGUGAUGUUCACAAAAUCCUAACCACACUAAGCAAUUGAUAUUCAAUCAAAGACACUUUGAUAACAUAUUUUAAAAAACAUAAAUUCUUCUAUAAAAAGUCAUUAUUCUAGGGGUUAAUUUCUGUAGGUUUCUAUUAUUUAAUUUUUUUCCAAUUAUGUUUUAUGAAAUUAGAAGAUUUGUCUUCAUAUCUAGGGUACUUAGUUUUAGUAAAUUAUGCAUCACCUUCCACACAUUUUAGAAAGAUGAUCUUUUUUUUAAUUUUAUACUUUUCUUUCAUUUACUUUUUGGUUCAUAGGGCCAAAAUUUAAGUUCCAUGCAUAUGCAUUUUGUGGAAAUUCAGUUUUUAUUUUUUUAUUUUGUGGAAAUUUCGGUGGACUCAAUACGGCUAGAAAUUCUUAGAAGGAUGAAUCUAGGGCAGCUAGCAGAGUCUACGAGUUUUAAUGUUUGUUUACAGUUCAAUUUUCCAUUUGAUUAGUUAACAAAAUAGAAACAUGAUUAUCAAUUUCAACUAUAGUUCUUUCAUGCCCUUAACUUUCUUCCUUCCUUUCCAUAAAUUCUCAUUUUGCUUUAAUUUUUCACAAUUCUACCUUGGAUGGUGUUGAUUCAAAUUUUUUCUCAAUGUACAAUGAUUGAUUUGUGUUUCGGACAUUCUUCUAAAUCGAGUUCUGUGGCAUAUUUUUUUCCUUGAGGCGAGUGUCUCAAAUCAUAUGUCUCCUUGUGGUUAAUUAUUUUGUAAAAAGAAACAAUUAUCAAAGGGUGCCGACAUGCCGGCAAUAACCCUCCGACACUCAAGUUAGUUCUUUUUACUCAAGUUUUAAAGAGAGAGAAUCUAGAGCAAGAUGGGCAGAGUUUUGCUCGCAUUUUAUGCCUUUUUUCCUCUUACUUUCAAAUGCCGGUCUUGGCCUUUAUAUAGACAACUUAGAGUCAAUUGGAGAGAUUAUGUGGCACUUUUCUUGUGACAAGUGUCAGCCAAAGUCCAUGCAUGGCGACAUAUAUUCAUAUGUGUCAAUACUUGCUCAUGACAAAUAAUCUUUGGACAUUUGUCAUGUUUUUGGGCUAUUAACCUUUAAUGGACUUUAGCUUAAAUUCGGCACUUAUAUUGGUUUCUUACAAAGAGGAUUGAUUUUGCAACAUUUUGCCCAUAAGCACAUUCCGCAAAAUGUUUGUUAGCCAGUAGGUGUUGAGUGUUAGAAAAUGUAUAUUUAUAAAGGAGAAAAUCAUCAUUUUACAUUUCAAGUUUUACUAACAAUCCUUACUUUUAUGUAUUUAAGCUUCUUGCAAUUUAAUUAUGUGUGUUUGAUUUUAAUUAAGUAUUUUAUGUAUUUUAGGGGCAUCAUGGUUAUUUCACAAUAAACGAGAGAUCAGACGGCAAAACGAAUAUCACUUUUGAACUUAGGACGGUCGAAAACCUUAGGAGGAGCAUAAAAGAAAAAAUGGCACUAUUCACAUGUACGGUAUUAUUCACGUGUACGGUACUGUUUACGUUACUGUUCAUAAUACUGUUCACAUAGACGGAUUGAUGACGUGGCAUUGACUGAUGAGGUGUCACGAUCCUGUUGGGCUAAAAUUCUUAUGUACUGUUGAUGGUGACGUGGCAGCAUAUCAGUAGACGAAAAAAUCUCGCGUACGGUACAUGCAUCACACAGGAUUAUUUUCAACCAAACCGCGUCACUGUUCAACCCAGGUCAAACCGUGUUACUGUUCAUCCACGUGGUCAAACCGCGUACUGUUGACUGAUGACGUGGCGCAAUCCUGAGCGUCCAAACUGUUUUUAAUCCGAUAGCCAUGAUUUACUUCAUGUAUCUAUAAAAAGGGGGCCUCUCCCCCCUAAUUGGAUAGCUCUGAAUCCAUUUUUGGGAUCCAUUUUUUGUAAUUCCUUCUCCAUUUUGUAUUUUCUACAUAUUUUAAUAAUUCCCAUUUUGCCCCUAGUUCAAUUAUGAGUGGCUAAUUUUCUUUCAAGCUUGGGUUGAAGGUGAAGUCUCAACAUGUGUCAUGGGCUUAAUUUGGUAGAUUUACUUUCUCUUCCCAUCUAAUUUUUGUGGAUGUUUUGACUUCUCGUCGACAAAUAAUACUAAUCUUGUCUAGUACCGCCUUGGUUUCACCGGCUCCGUAGUACAAGGUUAUUAUUAUUUGGCACGAUAAGCCCUUAGCACCAUAUUGAUUAGAGUGUGGUUUAUGAGGUGUGGAUUUCCCCCUUAUGAUUUAAUUGAUAUUAAUAAGGAAUAUUUAGCCCAUGGUACAUGUUGAUACGGAUUCAGAUACCCAAGUACGUCAUUUCAAUAGAAUUCUCUUCAAUUUAUUCUCGCCAUUUCAAUUCCAAUUUUAGAAUUUAUUCUCGCCAUUUUAAUUUAAAUUUUAGCAUAUUCCAAAUCAUUUCCACCACAAAUCCAAUCACCCAUUUACAAAAUUAAUUCUACACACAAUUAAAAUCCACCUCCUCGUGGGAUCGACACUCGUCACCAUUAGUCUAUACUACAAUAGAUUCGUGCGUUUGCGAGUACAUUAAAAUUUGCACAGCAGUAGGCUCGCUCCGUGGAAUGUUUGUUGGCCCGUUGGCACAUUCCAUAAAAUGCAUAUAUUUGCCCGUAUGCACAUAUUGUAGAAUGUAUAUUUCUUCGUAGGCGCAAUCUGCCCGUAGCCGCCAUCCGUAGAAUGUGUAUUUGUCCAUAGGCCUAUUGCAUAGAAUGUGUGUUUGCCUGUAGACCCAUUCCGUAGAAUGUGCAUUUGCCCGUACGCCCAUUUCGUAGAAUGUGUAUUUGCCCGUAGGCUCAUUCUAUAGAAUGUAUAUUUGCCCGUAGGUGCACUCCGAGUAGCUCAUGUGCUCUUAGAAAUAUUUUUGAAGUGUCUAGAUCAUGAACGGACCUAGGUCAUUUUUUGUGAGGAAUGGACCUAGGUCGUUCUUUGUAAAAAAUAGACCUAGGUCCUUCUUUGUUGAAUCAUGCCUUUGGCACUUUGUGAAGACUCGUAAGGAAUGGACUUAGGUCAUUCUUUGUAAGCAAUGAACGUAGAUCAUUCUUUAAGACUUAGGUUUUUCUAUGAUAAAUCACGCUUUUGGCUUUUUGUCGUGUCUUGCAUUUAGACACUUUAGUUAGAAUUGUAAAUACCUUGGCCAUUCUUAUAGAGAACACACAUGGGUUAUUUUAUAUAAAAUAAUUUUAUUGGGCCUAUAUUUUUUGUGGGUUUUGGACCUUUCAUAAUUUGGGCUAACAGAGGCCCCCGAAGUCUUACUUUUCAAUUUUGAGAAGUGAGACUUUUUUUGUACUUUUUUUUAGGCUUUUCUUUGGCUUUUCUUAUUACAAAUUAAAUUUUAAGGCUUGAAAUUUCUCUAAGGCACCUAUCCUAUUAAAAUUAGUCUACAACCAAUCUCACAUACUUCAUUUAAUGAUUUGUAGCUCUCUACAAUCUAUCUUAAUUUAACAAUUAUUGAAAAGUAUAAAAAUAAGGAGUUAGUAAAAGUAUCAUUUAAAAAGAGAUACUUGACUUUUUCUAAAUAGUAUGUGAGAAUUUUCUGACAAUUCUUUGGCGAGCUACUGUUGAAGCUCUUCGAGUGCUCAUCGAUCUAAGAAGCAAUGCCAAAUCUUUUCCUGAAAGGUCAUCUUUGAAACUGAAUUGCUUCAAUGGUAAACAUUUUUGUAGAUAGCGAUCCCAGUCAAUUCUCAUAUAUACUUACCCUUAGGCAUUUUGGUUGAGAUCAACCAAAGCUGUAGUCAACAUCCGCCCUUGGAAGAUUUAGUCAAUAGUUGCCCCUAAGCUUUUUGACAUUGGCUUUAAGGUGUUUCUCGUCAACACUAACUCUCGGACGUUUUUAUCUAAAACAUGUCAUUAGGUGUUUCAGACAAUCAUUUGCCUUUUAAUGUUUCACUUAGAAUAUUUUCCCUCAGGUCUAUUAUUAUAAUUCGCUUGUGGACGGUUUCCUUCAAAAAUUAAUUUGAAGUAAUUGGACCUAGGUCAUCCUUUAAAAGAAAGGACCUAGGCCCUUUUAUCAUAAUUUACUCGUGGGCAGUUUCGUAGAACUUAGCCCGUAAGCAUUCUCUUUAGAAUGAUUUUUCUAAGAAUUGGACCUAGGUCAUUUUUUACAAGAAUGGACCUAGGUCUUUUUAUUAUAAUUCGCAUGUGGGCACUUUUUAUAGAAUACUAAUUCUAAGUGAUUGGACCUAGAUCAUUCUUUGAAAGAAAGGACCUAUAUCUUUUUAUCAUAAUUCAGCCAUAUAUGGUUUCCUUAGAAGAUUAAUUCUAAGUAAUUUGACGUAGGUCUCUUUAUUAUAAUCCGCCCGUAGGCACUUUCCUUAGAAAAUUGAUUUUAAGUAAUUGGGCUUAAGUCUCUUUUUAAAGGAAAUGACGUAGGUCUCUUUUUAAAUUGAUUCUAACUUUGUCACUACUUUGAUUGCAUCAAGUGAUGAAUAAUGUCGUAAUCAGAAUUUUCAAGGGGGUAUUUGGGAAUAUUGCCCCCUUCAGAGUUUUAAAAGCCAGAGAAAGAAGACUUUUUGUAUUGUAUGGUACCAUGGUAUGCCCCGUAUGCCUUUCUUAAUGAUAAAGUAGCAGAUUCUCCUUCAAUUUAAUUUCUUUUUGUUCCAAGCCAAAAUAAAAAAAUUUCUGCUCACUAGCCGUACUCUGUUCUUGAUGAACAUUAGGAGGCAGUUCAAGACAUGGAUUCUCAAAGUCAAUUGUAUCGAUGAUACUUGGGUGUGUAUGACAUUUUUAUUAAUAAUUUUAAUCAUUCAUUGAUAAAUUCUUCUAUUAACAAAAAUAAUUUCUCCAAAAUUAAUUUUUCUACUCGCAGACCAUACUUUGUUCUUGAUGAACAUUAGUUGGUACUUCAAAACGUGGAUCCUCAAGUCAAAACGGUAAAUUUUUUUCAUCAGUGAAUCAUUAACUAAACAAGUGAUCUUAGAUUUCAUUCUUGUGUCUAUGAUAUGUGGGUGUGACUGACAUUUGAGGAACAAUUACAAGAGUGAAAAAGGAGAAUACAUAAUAUAUUCAACCACUAAAAAUAAAAGUCAUUUUUAUUUUAUUCCAUCUUACUCGAAUUUGAUACAACUAGUGGGUGUGUUGUAACUAAUCUUAUUUGUCCCUUUGAAAUAACCGAUAAUAAUCUUAUCACCGAAUGUUUAACAGACUCGUAACGUCAUAACGUAACUACCACGUCAAGCAAACACGUGGACUCAGCCGUGAACUACAACCGCAUAACCGUUACAUAUAUAGACUAGUAUGAAGCGGUGGAGUUAAAGCAAGCGUUUAAGAAGUGAUUUAAGCUGAUGCAAGCGUAAAGUAUGAGACGAAUAAAACAACAUACAAUUCAACAAAAGUCUAACAUGCCCUGUUCAAACUUAUAAUUUUCUACUAUUACCUUACCCGACAAUACAAUCCAAGUAGCUGGCAGCCACACCGCAAACUUCCACUAUCAUCUUCUCCUUUCAAACUUAUAAUUUUCUUUUUUCUUUUUUAUUUUCUGGAAAGAGCUGGCUUUCCUUGAUUUUUGCUUUUUGUCAACAAUUAUUCAUGCCUUUUUAUUUUUCUCCAUCACACUUUUUUUCUUUCCCAACUUCCACGAGCUGAGCCGUCGUCGCUUUUUGAAAGAAACAGUAUGGAAGCUAUCAAGAAACAGGCAAUCAAGCUCCGAGAACAAGUCGCCAAGCAGCAGCAAGUCCGUUUCUUUUCUUUUUUUGUUUUUAAAUUAUUUAGACUUUUAAUUAGUGAAAUUUCUCGAUUUUAUUUAUUUUUCAUUAGUUUUUUAUGGUUUGUACAGGCAGUAUUGAAGCAUCUGCUCCAUCUUGGCAUUGAAAAUGUUGCGGUUGAUAAAGCUGACAUUGAGUGUCACCAACAACUUCAAAAUCUAUACAAUUCCACCAGGGCAGCUAAGGCACCAUCCUCCUUUAGCUAAUAAUAAGACUCUGUUUGAUAUUGAUUUAUUGUGGCUUUUGGUAAUUAGAUAUGAUUUUUAAAUAAUAAUUUUGUCAAAUAUGGUACAAACAACUGUAUUUUCUAGACUGAAGUUGCAAGUAUUUACCAACGGAGCUUAAUGUAUGUUGAACAAUUAUGAUGGUUUGUAUGGUUUUAUCUGAACAAUAAUUUGGAAUAUAUGCUCUGUAGCGCAGCAUUUUCAGAGGAAUAUUGUCCGUGGCGUUGAAGGGUUUGUUGCAGUAAGCUUGAAACAAAUGGAAAUAUGUUGUUUGUUUGCUCUUGCUCUUGUUAUAAUAUUUGAUUUUUUUUUAUUUAUUUUCUUGACUAGUUCUUGUGUACAAUAUUUUUGUAUUCAAAUAUUGUAGCGAGAAAGUUGGCCGAAGAUUGUUGCAAGUAUGGAGCGGAGAAUCAAAGUGACAAUUCUUGCGUUGCAAGAGCUGCUCUUCAAUUUGGCACUUCACAUGAUUUGAUGGAAAAUGAGAGGGAAACUUUGCUUGGGAUUCUUCAUGAUCAGGUUAGUUCAUCCCUAACUAGAAAAUAAUUCAAAUAUAGAAAAUUAUAUGUAAAUUACUACGGAAACUAUUAUCUUCUCAUAAGGAAAUUUAGUUCUAAGAUAUUGAAUAAAAGAAUCCAUUUUAAAGUUACAACUCUGAAAUAUUUAAUGUUUUAUAUUAAAAUCAUUGCUAGUGACAUCCAUGACUUGAUAGUUUUAUUGGUUCAAAUGUUGAAGAGACCUUGUACUUCUUACAUCACUAGCGAAGACUGGCGUGGGACAAGUUAUUGGCCGUGAGUUCUCUCAAUUGACUCCAAGCAUUUUGGAUAAAGACAUUUGCAUCUGUAGUAAAAUCAAAUCCAUGAGACUGAAGGAUGCAUGGGGAAGUCUUACAACCUUUAUUUGCAUAGGUAGAUGCUGAGAAAACAUAUCAUCAACACGUUAUUGAUAUUUUAGAGAAGUUGUAUGCGGAGGUUUGGGACUAUGCAUUUUAACUUGCUUGUCCCCAUCUAUCUAUUCCUUGGAGCGUUCUCUUCUUGCUAUUUUCGUCUCACUUAUGCAAAAGAAUAAUUGUGACUUUUUAGUCCCUUCCAACCCUUGCUACUUGAAUUAGAUGAUCCUAUAGGAGCAAUCAAAUGAGUCCUCCUCGCAACAUGUGACUUUCGAAAUGGAUGUACAUGCCUCAUGUGUCUAUCAGAGUACUGAUUCAAAUGGAGCUGAUUUGCAAACGCAUAUUAAUCAGAAUGACGUCUACUUUAUAGCAAAAGUAAGGCUCCUGCUCUCUUGCAUAGGUGAAAGUCCCUCUAUUGCCCUCCUCCUGGAAAAUCUUAAGAAAUAAGAUGCGCACAAAAUUGAAUGCUGUCUUUUAAGAUUUUUUUUUUUAAAAAAAAAGAAUUUUGUUGUAUUUUACCAUGAAAGUUGUUAAUUUACUGAAUUACAAACUUAUCAAUUAAUUUGAUGUUGCACAGUCUUUUUCUUAACAUAUUGCAUUCAUAUUUUAAUUUUGGAGCAAUAAAAUUUUUUUUCUACUAUCACUACCAUCUGGGCAGGUAUUUGUAUUAUUGCACAACAUCUACGGAAGUAGUGAUUAGUCUUAAAAGUUGAAGAUGUCUGUCUGUAUCCUUUCAUCCUAGAUAAAUUGUCAUAUGAUCGUAGGACAAAUUGUAAUUAUUUUUUAAAAUUUAUUAGUUAACACCUUGAAAAUUCUUUUCCCCCAAAUAAAAUUACUCUAAAAGUGUCCAAAUGUGGUGCUGAGGAAGCCAUUCUUAGGAAACUUUAUUUAGGAGAACAGGACUUUUAAGCAUGAGGUUUAGCAAACACCAAUGAAUUAAAAAAGCGAUAGAUGUCGGAUGAGCUAGAUAGAAUGCAUGGGCUAGAAAUAUCAUGUGUCUCUACUAUCAAUAUCUUAGCAACAUCAAAGCUGAGUUAGGCAUGCCAAAGAAAGGCAAACCACUGAAAGUUGUGUAGCCACUCACGACGUAGCAGGUGAUGUAAAGUCUUGAUAUUGCUUAUAGAUACAAGACUGAUAGCUCAACAUCCCUCUUUUUGAGAUUUUCUCUUAAGUUAGAUGGGCCUUUUUAUGAUUAUGUCUGAAUUAUGAUUCUCCUUACUUGGUUUACCUAGAAAAACUAUGUUUAUAUGGAUGUGACUUGGGGGCAAUCUAUGUAUUUGAUGAUAAAUCUGGCCGAGAAAACUUAAAUUAUUAGGCAGAGGAAAUUGACUGACCAUAAGCUGUCAUGUUAAAUCCAUCACUUAAAAGAUGUCGGUCACUUGGAAUCCCCAUUAUCUAUGACUUUCUUGUGCAUAGGCCAUGUUUUGUGGAGAGCAGUCAAAAUUUCAGAUUUAAAAUCUUAUCCAUAAUUUAAAAAUGGAAUUUUGUUUCUAAUAUAUCUUUGUUGGCCAUAAUCAUUGUAGUUACAAUGAACGCUGCUGCUACUGCUGCUGCUUUUGUUAUGCUUUUUUAAAGAUUAAGUUCUAUUUAUCCUAGUAUCUUAUAGGUUAUACAUCCAUUUGACGCUCAAGCAAAUGGGGAGCUAAGUCUUUCAAUUGAUGAUUAUGUUGUGGUUCGCCAGGUACUUUCCCCUCUAAAUAACAACACAGAGAUUUUUCUACUAUGCUAUUAACUUAUCCUUCUAACAACUUAUGAUAUGUGGAAUUUAGAACUAAUGCUUAUACUAAUUUGAUGUUCAAAGCACAUGGCAUUUUGUUCUUAAAAUUUUGAUUGAAAAGCAAUGAGUUAACAUAUGAUGGUUGGUUUUCUUUCUUCCUACCAUAUAUUCCCUUUUAUAUUGAAGUGCAAAUCAGAAUAUAGUAGGGUUGCUAGCUCAGUUCUAAACCACCCAGUUUACCCUUAUAGAUAUGUGAAUUUAUAUCUUGUUAUGCUUCCAUGGUUAAUGUUGUUAUUUCAGUGAUCACAACUAAUUCACUCCUCCUACGUAAAAGAAUUAGUUUUCCCCUUAGGUCUUUGAACGGUCAACUUUUGUUUAAUUCACUGUUUUAGUUAUAACUUCUCAAGGUGGCUCUUAUGGAUGGUCGGAAGGUGAAUGCAAGGGCCAAGUUGGUUGGUUUCCCUCGGCAUACAUAGAAAGACAAGAAAAAGCCCCAGCUAGAAGGAUAUCAGAAACAAACUCCUCACCCAAAUGUGAUGCGACUUCUUAAUAAACUCUUGCCAAGUAUCUAUAUGUUCUUUUUCCUGUAUUAUAUUGCCAUUUUAGUUUAUAGAACGACUGCGACAAUUGAUAAGUGGUUUGAUUGCUUCUCUUAAUGAAAUCUUACUAAGCUCCAAGUAAUAUGUGCGAUCAUAUGCAUUUUAAUAUUUGUAUUUAUCUCCUAGUUGAGGAGAAUAUUUGUAGUAACAACUGUGUUUCCAAAUUGCCAAAAAAAAAAAAAUACACAUCAUGUUUAGCAACAAAUUUUUACUAUUAUUUCUUCCCAGUUUUAAUUUACUUUCUCCGUGAAUUGAAUGUUAUAUUAGUAGCUUGAUCAGAAAGUAACUCAUAUCAAUCAAACUACCUUGAUGCAAGAGAUUGAAUUUAGAAUUUCUCUAUCUUUGUGAAACUUUCCAAUCAUAAUGUUAUGAAAUAUGUGGGCAUGAACUUUUUAAUUUCUAGUUGCAUUUGGAGUAUGUAUGAUAUAAUCUGAAUCACUUGCAUAAUGUUCUUCAUCUUCCANNNNNNNNNNNNNNNNNNNNNNNNNNNNNNNNNNNNNNNNNNNNNNNNNNNNNNNNNNNNNNNNNNNNNNNNNNNNNNNNNNNNNNNNNNNNNNNNNNNNUUCUAACUAAUGAAAUUUUCUAGUCUAAAUUAUGAAAUAUGUGGGAUUGACUUAGAAAUUUUGGUAACAUGUCGAGAAUGUAUGGUAUAAUUUGAAUUCAUUAGCAUAAUCUUCAUCUUCAUUGAUUUGUAAAUUAUGAAACUAAUAUAUAAAAAACUAAUGUUAGAUCCUAAUUAUCUUUAGUUCUUAAAAUUGUUGAGGAGAUAUGAAAUUCUGGUGGGUGGAUUUGAGAGUUUUAGCUUUGAGAAUAUUGCUUCAUCUCUACUUUGAUGUUGUUGUGCCCCUUGUUGUGGCGAGGCAUUAAUCUUCCUAAAUUUUUUGUCAAGCUUCAACUUUAUUAUAUAUAUACCUUUCUUGAUAAAAUGUCUGGGUCCAUCGCUGGAUUUGGUGUUAAUGACACUAGUGAAGAAGAUGAUGAUAGCACCAUAAUCAUUAUUUUUUAAAGUAAAAUAGGCGAUCAAGUGCAUCUAGGUGUUUCAUUUCUUGUGUAUGAUUAUAAAACUAUUCUGAAUAUAGUUUCUAAAUGAAUGUUAUAGAGUGGCUGCUUUUAACAUUGGAGAUGGUUCUCUUAUUUAAGUAUGCUGCACAGUAUAGGGAAGUAUAAGUUAUGGUGGAUAGAUAUGAGUUUGGAAGUGUGGAGACAAAUGUGAAGUGCUUGGAAGUUGGAAGCUAUAUAACGCUAAAUACUUCUACAAUUUUAAUAAAAAAUAAAAAUAAAUUUAUUUCCUAAGCAAACUUGAUUAGUACUUAAAGAAUCAUAAUUAAGCUACUAAUUAAUUUCAAUGACAAAAUCUUGUUGGAAUAAGAUUGUCUACAACAAAAUAAUAACAUGAAGUUAUCCACAUUUCAACAAAGUAAAACAAUUUACGUCGCCAAUAAGAAUUUACAUAUAAAACAAUAACAAUUCCAAAUAUCACUAUUACGUACGAUGUUGUAAAUGUGAUAAAGAAACUGUCCGUGUCAAUUAAAAUGUCUGGGUCCAUCGCUGGAUUUGGUGUUAAUGUUUCUAGUGAAGAAGAUGAUGAUAGCACCAUAAUCAUUCUUUUUAAAAGUAAAAUAGGCGAUCAAGUGCAUCUAGGUGUUUCAUUUCCUGUGUAUGAUUAUAAAACUAUUCUGAAUAUAGUUGGCGAUCAAGUGCAUCUAGGUGUUUCAUUUCUUGUGUAUGAUUAUAAAACUAUUCUGAAUAUAGUUUCUAAAUGAAUGUUAUAGAGUGGCUGCUUUUAACAUUGGAGAUGGUUCUCUUAAAUAAAGUUUGCUGCACAGUAUAGCGAAGUAUAAGUUAUGGUGGAUAGAUAUGGGUUUGGAAGUGUAGAGACAAAUGUGAAGUGCUUGGAAGUUGGAAGCUAUAUAACACUAAAUACUACUACAAUUUUAAUAAAAAAUAAAAAUAAAUUUAUUUCCUAAGCAAACUUGAUUAGAACUUAAAGAAUCGUAAUUAAACUGCUAAUUAAUUUCAAUGACAAUAUCUUGUUGCAAUAAGAUUGUUUACAACAAAAUAGGAACAUGAAGUUAUCCACAUUUCAACAAAGUAAAACCAUCUACGUCGCCAAUAAGAAUUUACAUAUAAAACAAUAACAAUUCCGAAUAUCACAAUUAUGUACGAUGUUGUAAAUGUGAUAAAGAAACUGUCCAUGUCAAUUAAAUUAUCAUUUUUUGUUGGGGGGGGGAAAAAAGGGGCCCCCAAAAAAAAAAAAAAAAAAACUUUUUUUUUUUAAAAAAAAAAAAAUUUUUAAAAAUUUUUGGAAGGCGUUAAAUGUUGCAAAUUGUNNNNNNNNNNNNNNNNNNNNNNNNNNNNNNNNNNNNNNNNNNNNNNNNNNNNNNNNNNNNNNNNNNNNNNNNNNNNNNNNNNNNNNNNNNNNNNNNNNNNNNNNNNNNNNNNNNNNNNNNNNNNNNNNNNNNNNNNNNNNNNNNNNNNNNNNNNNNNNNNNNNNNNNNNNNNNNNNNNNNNNNNNNNNNNNNNNNNNNNNNNNNNNNNNNNNNNNNNNNNNNNNNNNNNNNNNNNNNNNNAUCAGCUUGUUGCAAGAAAGAUCAAGUCCUGAUAGGAGGCUAAGCACUUUUCCUUGGUAAAUGUACGCAAUGUUCUUUGUUGUGAACUCAAAAUUUUCACGGAUUUGCUUUUCUACAUCUCCGUCAGGGCCGUCGAUGGAAAAAGAUAUUUCAAAUUGCUCAUCAAGACUAGAACUAUUGCUGUAACUGUCAUGAAGUGUGGUGUUAUCAAAGCAAGGAGGAAUAGGACCGUGAAGAUUAUUAUUAGAAAGAUCUAACAAUUGUAGUUGGUUCAAUUCGCACAAUUGAACUGGCACUUUACCUUCAAGAUUAUUGUGACCUAAGAUAAGGUGACUUAACUGAGAAAGCCCAUCAACCCAAUCCGGAAUGCUGCCAUUCAAGCGGUUAUAGCUAAGAUCUAAUGUCACAAGGGAAGAGCAAUUAAAGAAUGUACCUCUUUUUAGUUGUCCAUGUAACAUAUUUUUUGAAAGAUGAACUUGUUUGAUAUUGAGAGGAUGGAAACAAGAUGGUAGACUUCCAGAUAUGUUGUUGUCUGAAAUGUCCAAAAUCUGAAGCAAAUCCAGUUGACAAAACUCCAUUGGAAUAGAACCUUUAAGAUGAUUCUUGUGCAUUGUAAUAUGUUGUAAACUUGUGAGACUGCCUAACCAUCGUGGAACCUUACCCGAAAGACUGUUAUUAUUAAGGUACAAUCCUUCUAGUGAGGAGCAUUUAUAUAAACUUUGUGGGAUCUCUCUUAUGAAGUGAUUGUCCUCCAAUUGUAACCAUAUUAAAUUUGCCAGGUUAAAAUUUCUACAGAACAUGUGACCUUUUAGGUUGUUGUUUGAUAACGCUAGAAACUCCAAGUUAACGCAACCGACGGCCAAGCGCUCAGGGAUUUCACCAGUCAAUUGAUUGCUGGAUAAGUCCAAAAUUCUGAGGAAGUUCAUUUUACCAAAUGAAGAGGGAAUGCUACCAUGCAAGGCAUUCGUGGAAAUGUUAAAAGAAAAUAAACUUGGUAAAAUAUCUCUAAUUUCUACUGGAAUAUGGCCUUGGAAGUUGUUGUUGGAGACACCCAAGAAUCUUAACCGCCUGUGUGGAUGAAUUGGCAAUUAAAAAGGUCCUCCAAUAGAAUCAUUGAUGAGAAAAAGAGUUUCUAAUUUUGUGUUGUUUUCCAACAACCAAUUUGGAAAUUCUCCAUUCAUCUUUAUAUGUGAGAGAUGAACAUCCUCCAGGUCAUGUUGAUGGUAAAGGAAUUUGGGGAAUGUGACACCAUCUCCACAACCGGAAGACAACAAGAGAGAUUGUAAUUGGAAGUUUGGGGCGGUCAAAGAAUGUGACUCAGUUAUUUCAGCUUUUAUUUCAUUGUUGUAAGCCCAUAAGCUCUUGAGUCUUGAGUGAUUGAAAAGUGGUUUAAGUGAAAUUGGGAUGCAGAAGUGAUUCUUUGAAAGUAUUAGCUCUUCAAUGGAUGUCAAAUGAACGAGGGGAGUGAUAACUCUAGGAAAUGAGAGUUAUUACAUCAAUUCUAAACUUGAAUCAGGAUCUUUUAGAGAACAAAUAAGGUGUUUUUAUUACAUUUUGCUUAAACAUUCAUUUUAGUUGAGUAUUAAUAAGUUUUGCUUGAAUUAUAGUAAUUUGUGCUAAAAACAUAUGCAUAAUUGUAGGUUCUUGGAAAGUCUUAAUUCAUGAGGGGAUGUUGAGGCAUUAGAUGAGCAAGAGGAGGAAAUAAGCCAGUCAUAAAAGAACAAAAGCACAAUCGGGAGUAAUGCAGUGCUGUUACGGAUGUUAGAGCAACCCGUUCUGUAGCAAUCUGGAAGUAAAUGCGAGAGAAAACUUGGGCGCGGGUCAGCACAUGUUUCUUAAUUUAACGCAUGCACACUCAUAGGCUUGUGUUUACCCUAAUUUGCAAUAUAAAAGGGAGGCAAUACCACAAAGAAAGGCGGCAAGGAAAUUAUCACUAGAAUAAUCACAAAGGAACGAAGAAGAAGAAGAUCAGAAUUAAAGAGUUUUGUUUUGGAAACAUUGGAGAAUCGUGCAGAAUUACUUGGCUUUGAUUUUCGCCGUGCUCAACUUAUAUUUAUCUUCUUCCUUUAAUUAUUUUGAUGUAUUCCGGGAUCAAUAUAUUUAUGAUUAUUUUUGUCAUCCAGAUUAUGAACUAAAUUUACUUGUAGUUGAGUGACAAAUAAUCCAAUGGGUUCUUGAUUGUUCUUAUAUGUUGUUAUGGUAAUGCUGUAGCAUUUUACUCUAGUAGUUUUUAUGAGUAUAACUGUUAUUUCGGUUGACCACCCAUUUAAUAGUUUCAGUUAAGAGCAGCAAAGGGGCAUGUCUUAGCGGACAUUAUUAGAGUAUUACUUGUUCUUAAAUUGAGUUUCCUGGAUUAGGUUAUCUUGAAUCCCAUAAGGGCAAUACUUGAAGUUAAGAUUUGUGACACUCUGGACAUAGGUGUUCACCUUGUAGGGUAGAGAGAUUAAAGGAUAUAAUGACGUACCAUAAAUAUAUGAGCAACUGGUCAUUGUUAGUAGAUUUAAAGGUAUGAGAUUUCUAACAUGCGAUAGCUGAGGAUGCAGAUUUAUUCUGCCCAGUGCUGCAGCACUUAUUGUAACAACUGGUGCUAAUUUGGUAAACACCAAUCACCCCAUUAGGAGAGUUUGAUUAUUCAACUACUAUAUUCUCAAUUGAAUCUUAGACACAGUUAACUUAGUUUAUUUCAUUACAGUAUUGUUUUAUUUCCAUCUCUCGCAAUUAUUAAUUACGAUAGAAUUAUUUAACAAUUGUUUGUUUCGGUUUUAGUUAAUUUGCACUAUUGUGAUUGCUUUAGCAUUUUGAGUAACAUCAAUCCCUGUGGAGACGAUCUUGAAUACUCAUCACUUUAUUACUUGUUGUGUAUAUGAUGAAGAGUAGGAAUCCAUAUUAUACUAGGAUUAGUUUCCUUAUUAACUAAAGUUUAAGACUUUUAAAUUCCUUUCUAAUUUAGAAUUUUGUUUCCCUUUCAAUUUAGGAUUUUGUUUUUACUUCAUGAAUUAGGAUAAUUACUACUACUAUAAAUAGCUUCCUCUUGUAACCUUUGAAUGCAUAAUUUUGAGUUCAAUAAUAUUUCAAUUUUCAAAUCUCUUUGUGAGUAUUUGAACAGUUAACUCUCGGUAUUCUGCGGAAUCAACGAGUCUUAAUCCCUAAAUUCACGGUAUUCUUUUGAAUCAACGUGAAUUUAAUUAUUAUUUUGUUCCGGUAUUCUCUAGAAUCAACGGAAUAUUUUGAACAUUAAACUUCCGCUGCAUCAGUAUAUUUGCACAUCGGCAUUGGUAGUAAUUGAUUAUAAAAAUAAAUCAAUAAGUGUUUGGGGUCGUUGCCGGGGAUUGAUUGUUUAUUUUUAAAGUGUAAAGUAAAUCUUGAUAGCGCCAAAUUUGAUUUGAUUUAUUCUAUUUAUUAGGAGAUCGGUACAUGCAUGCGCAAAGACAGGUCUGUGGUAUUCUAAUUCGAUCCUGAGAUUGAAAGGACUGUCAGGAGAUUGCGAAGAGAACAAAGGAAUUCAGAAAUUGAUUCAAGCAUGAAUAAUUUGCAGGAUGCGGGAAAUUUGAAUCCUCACGGGCCCUUACAACCAGUAAACAUUCAAGGAGAGCAGAAUGAACAUGUUAACGGGAGACAGCCAGGCAAUAACAAUAUUAUUUACAUGGCUGAUGACAGAGACAGAGCUAUAAGAGAUUAUGCUGUGCUAACUCCUCAAGUUGUACAUCCUGACAUCAUCAGACCUGAAGUAGACGUUGCAAAUUUUGAGUUAAAGCCAGUGAUGUUUCAAAUGUUGCAAACAGUUGGUCAAUUCAAUGGAUUGCCAGAUGAAGAUCCUCAUCUCCAUCUUAAAUUGUUCUUGGAAGUAAGUGAUACUUUCAAGAUUGCUGGAGCAAUACAAGAUGCUUUAAGGCUGAGACUCUUUCCUUAUUCCUUAAGAGAUCAAGCAAGAGUAUGGUUAAAUUCGUUACCAUCUGAUUCCAUCACUACAUGGAAUGAAUUGGCUGAUAAAUUCCUAAUGAAAUAUUUCCCACCAACAAAAAAUGCAAAGUUGCGGAAUGAGAUUACUUUCUUCCAUCAACUUGAAGAUGAAAUGCAAAAAAUGCAAAAAAUGCAAUGUUAGUUAAUGAGUGACCUCAUUAACUAACAUAGUAAAGGCCUUGACAUCUGCUCCAGCAACAGUAAAGCAAGUUACUGAACUUUCUUGUGUAUACUGUGGUGAAGAGCAUAACUUUGAUAAUUGUCCUGGAAACCCAGCUUCAGUAAACUAUGUGGGUAAUUUCAGUUGAUAACCUCAGAACAACCCAUAUUCAAAUACUUACAACCCUGGCUAGAAGCAACACCCAAAUUUUGCAUGGAGCAGUCAGAAUCGAAAUGCUCCAGCAUUAAAUAGACAAAAUAAAAACACACAACCACUUGGUUUUCAUCAGCAGAGUCAAGGGCAAAAGCAUAACAGUCAGGAUCCAAUCACUUCACUGGAAGCACUGAUUAAAGAGUACAUUGUAAAGAAUGAAGCAAUUGUGCAGAGUCAAGCUGUAUCCUUGAGAAACCUGGAAAACCAAAUGGGACAACUAGCCACAGUAAUAAGCAGCAGAACUCAAGGAAGCCUACCUACCAACACAAAAGACCCUAGGAGGGAGGGCAAAGAACACUGCAAAGUAAUUAAUUUGAGGUCUGGAAAGAAUGUUGAUAUCCCAGCUGAUGUAACAAAAAAUGGGAUGGAAUUCAAUUCAGCACAAAAAUUACCUCAAAAGGGAAGCAUGUUACAACAACCUCCUCUUCAAGACACUGGUUACAUGGGCCAAGUUACAGCAACUACAGAGGAAAUUCAACCAAAACAUGUUGAAAAAGAAAUUGCAACACCAGUAGUCACAACCUGCACCAAACCAAACAAACAGAGUUUGAUAUCUCCUGAAGCUACCUAGCAGUUUAGACAUCCACCACCUUUCCCACAAAGGAUCCAGAAGCAAUAACAAGACAAGCAGUUUAGCAAAUUCCUGGAAGGGCUGAAACAACUGCACAUAAAUAUACCUUUUGUGGAAGUUUUGGAGCAAAUGCCAAAUUAUGUGAAAUUUUUAAAAGAUAUCUUAGCAUGAAAAAGAAAGCUGAGAGAGUUUGAAACUGUUGCUUUAACACAGAAGAGCAGCCAUAUGCUCAAGAGUAAAAUUCUCACAAAAGUAAAAGAUCCAGGGAGUUUUACAAUACCCUGCGCUAUAGGAACUAGGUAUGCUGGCAAAGCACUUUGUGACUUGGGAGCUAAUAUUAAUUUGAUGCCAUUAUCUGUAUUUAAGCAGCUGGGAGUAGGGGAGUGCAGACCAACAACAGUCACUCUGCAAUUAGCUGAUAGAUCUCAUGCAUACCCUGAAGGAAAAAUAGAGGAUGUAUUGGUGAAGGUUGACAAAUUCAUUUUUCCAGUGGAUUUCAUUGUACUGGACUUUGAAGUUAAUAAAGAGGUACCCAUUGUAUUGGGAAGACCUUUUCUAGCAACUGGAAAGACUUUGAUAGAUGUGCAGAAAAGAGAGCUCACCAUGAGAGUGAAUGAUCAGCAAGUCACAUUUAAUGUCCUAGAGGCUAUGAGAAACCCCGAUGAAGUAGAAGAUUGCAAUUUCCUAAGUGCAGUGGAUUUUGUUGUAGCAAACAAAAUGGACAGAUGCUACAAUAAUGCACUUGACAAAGUCACCACCUUUGAAGAUGUUGCAGCAAUCCAAACAUAUUAGAUGGACAAACAGCAAUCUAAUAGGCACAACAUGUUUAUUGAACACCUGAAUGUUUCAGACAGGGAAGUAAAAACAACUUUACCAUCUAUUGAAUCACCUCCUAGUUUUGAAUUAAAACUGUUACCUUCACAUUUGAAGUAUGCAUAUCUUGGUCAAAACAACACACUCCCUGUAAUCAUUUCUUCUACUGUGGAUGCAGGUCAAGAACAGAGUCUAGUAGAUUUACUGGGAAAAUACAGAAGAGCAAUUGGAUGGACCAUGGCAGAUAUAAAGGGGAUAAGUCCAUCAAUAUGCAUGCAUAAAAUCCUGUUAGAAGAUUGUUCCAACAAUUCGGUGGAGCACUAGAGAAGGAUGAAUCCUAUUAUGAAAGAAGUGGUGAAGAAGGAAAUCAUCAAAUGGUUGGAUGCUGGAAUCAUAUACCCAAUAUCGGACAGUUCAUGGGUAAGCCCAGUUCAAUGUGUUCCAAAGAAAGGAGGGAUAACAGUAAUGGCUAAUGAAAAGAAUGAACUUAUUCCUACAAGGAUAGUGACUAGAUGGAGAGUGUGUAUGGAUUACAGGAAACUCAACAAAGCCACAAGGAAAGACCAUUUCCCACUUUCAUUCAUAAAUCAGAUGUUGGACAGACUUGCUGGAAAACAAUACUAUUGUUUCUUAGAUGGGUACUCAAGUUACAACCAUAUUGCUAUAGCUCUAGAAGAUCAAGAGAAUACUACAUUUACUUGUCCCUAUGGAACAUUUGCCUUCAGAAGAAUGUCAUUUGGGCUAUGCAAUGCUCUAGCAACUUUUCAGAGAUGCAUGAUGUCUAUAUUUUCUGAUAUGGUAGAGCAGACUUUGGAAGUUUUCAUGGAUGACUUCUCAGUUUUUGGAGAAACAUACAAUGAUUGUUUACACAACUUGGAAGAAGUUCUUAAAAGAUGUGAGAUGACCAACUUAGUACUCAAUUCGGAAAAGUGUCAUUUCAUGGUGCAAGAAGGAAUAGUGUUGGGUCACAAGAUAUCCAAGGAUGGUAUUGAGGUAGACAAAGCUAAGAUAGAGGUAAUAGAUAAACUGCCACCUCCAACUUCAGUAAAGGGAAUUAGGAGUUUUUUGGGCCGUGCUGGAUUCUACAGAAGAUUCAUUAAGCAUUUUUCCAAAGUAGCUAAACCACUGUGUUCAUUGCUGGAGCAUGACAAACCGUUUCACUUUGACAAAGAUUGCCUUCAAGCAUUUGGAGAAUUAAAGAAAGCUUUGAUCACUGCUCCAGUAGUUAUAUCUCCAGACUGGACUUUACCAUUUGAAUUGAUGUGUGAUACUAGUGAUCACUCUGUGGGGGCAGUAUUAGGGCAAAGAAAGGAUAAAGUUUUUCACUUCAUCUACUAUGCAAGAAAACUCUCACUCAAACUCAAAUCAAUUACACCACUACAGAGAAAGAGUUGCUAGUAGUAGUAUUUGCUUUUGACAAAUUCAGAGCCUACUUAGUAGGCACUAGAGUGACUGUAUAUACAGACCAUGCAGCAAUCAAAUACUUAAUUUCAAAGAAGGAUGCCAAGCCAAGAUUAAUUAGAUGGAUUUUAUUGCUUUAAGAAUUUGAUCUGGAAAUUAAAGAUAGAAAGGGGACUGAGAAUCAAGUAGCAGACCACCUGUCACGGCUGGAUGCAGACACAAGCACAUUGACCAGAAACGACAUCACUGAAACUUUUCCUGAUGAACAGCUGUUGGUAGUACAAUAAGCACAGAUGCUGCAGCAGUCAGAAUCUCCAUAGUAUGCAGAUUUUGCUAACUAUUUAGUAAGUGGGUUGCUACCACCUGAGCUAAAGUUUUAAGAGAAAAAGAAAUUUCUUCAUGAUGUUAGAAGUUAUCAGUGGGAUGACCCACAUUUAUAUAAGCUAUGCUCAGAUCAAGUAAUAAGAAGAUGUGUUGCAGCAGAAGAGAUACCCCAUAUACUGGAGUCAUGUCAUGCUGCAGCAUAUGGAGGACAUUUUGGUGGUCACAGAACAGCUGUCAAAGUUCUGCAAUUAGGUUAUUAUUGGCCCACUAUUUUUAAAGAUACUUAUGAAUUUGUUAAAUGUUGUGACAGGUGUCGAAGGACAGGGAACAUAAGUAGAAGACAUGAAAUGCCACUGACCAACAUCCUGGAAGUGGAAGUUUUUUAUGUCUGGAGAAUAGAUUUUAUGGGACCCUUCCCGCCAUCUUUUGGGAACUUAUAUAUCCUUGUUGCUGUGGAUUAUGUCUCCAAGUGGGUAGAAGCUGCAGCAUUACCUACCAAUGAUGCUAAAACAGUUGUGGCUUUUCUUCAGAAAAAUGUUUUCUCUAGGUUUGGCACUCCUAGAGCAAUUAUUAGUGAUGAGGGCACACAUUUUACAACAAAAUCUUUGCUGCAGCAAUGAUGAAAUAUGGAGUCAGGCUGAAGUGUCCAACAGAGAAAUUAAAAAGAUCUUAGAAAAAGUGGUGAAUCCAAUAAGGAAGGAUUGGUCUUUACACUUGCAUGACUCUCUAUGGGCCUACAGAACAGCAUACAAAACUCCACUCGGAAUGUCUCACUACCGAAUUGUUUAUGGCAAAGCUUGUCAUUUGCCACUAGAGCUAGAGCAUAAAGCACAUUGGGCACUGAAGAAAUUAAAUUGGGAUAUGCAUGCUGCAACAGAGCAAAGGAAACUUCAACUUUGUGAGCUUGAUUAAUUACAACUAUUUUCAUAUGAAAAUGCAAGAAUCUAUAAAGAGAGGACAAAACACUGGCACGACAAGCAUAUUCAGCACAGGAAAUUCAACCCUAGUCAAUUAGUGUUGCUCCACAAUACAAGACUAAGAUUAUUUUUGGGAAAGCUCAAGUUACGAUGGUCUAGCCCGUUUAAGUUGUUAAAAUCUUAUUCUCAUGGAGUUGUUGAUCUUCUAGAUGAACAAACAGGCCACGAAUUCAAAGUUAAUGGACACAGGGUUAAGCAUUACAUACAUCCAGCAGUAGAAUGUUCAAAGGAGAUGUUACUCCUUAAAGAACCCAGCUAUUGAACAAUGAAGGAAGGUCAGGCUGAAGGACCUUAAAUCAAGCGCUCCAUGGGAAGCAGCCCAUUUGGGAGACAACCACUUCAAACCAAUUUUGAUCUCCUUUGGUUUAGUUGACAGCUCUCCCUCCUUACCAUUUUAUUUAAUUUUGUUCUUUCAUUCUAGCUAUUUAAUUUUAUCUUUUCAAAUUAUUGCAUUCUUUAAUUUUGCUAUCAUUUAAUCUAUUUAUUUUUAAAUGUUAGAAUUAAUUUGAAUUUGUGGGAAGUAUGUGUAACAAUUGAAUUCCAUACUGACAAGUGAGGUUGUAUGGUGGCAGAGUAUAGAGGUGAGCCACGUGUCAGAGGCUUUAGUGUGGAGUAUGUACCGUUGCUAGAGUAAGCGAAUGGGUGCUGCAGCAACCAAUUUUACCGUUGCAAUAAAUUGAAAGAUGAAGCCUCUCACUUACCGUUGGAGAUAAAUCAUGACAGAUGGAGGCUUGGAUGUGGAUAGAAAUUGCAAAUAAAUCUCUGAAAUUAAUGCCUUAAAUUACCUAGCCGAUGUUUUUGGGAUACGCGCUUUAAAUUAAAAAAUAUUUUCUUCCCUCAUUUAUCUUUAGUUACCGUAUUUAUCUCCAAUUAAAAGUCCACUAUAAAAAAGUCAUUGUACUUAGUGCUCUACACCACUAUUCCCCAUCUCCUUCGCAAAUCCAACUCUCCUAAUUCUUAGCCUCUUCUUCUCUUUUUACUCUCAGGAACAGUAGACUAAAUUUGUUACUGCUACAGUAAUGCCGAGAUAUAAGAAAACAGCAAGCCGCCUCAAAGAUCCGUCACGAUUCUAAAGUUACCACGCCGAAAAAAAAUAUGAAGAAUUCAUAGAGCCGCGUAGGAUUCUGGAAGAAAAAAGGUUUCAAUUUCCAGACCAACUCACGGGAAUUGUGCAAACAAUUCAUAAUGCUGCAGCAAAGCGAGGAUGGCUAGAGUUUUACAAACACCCUCGGGAUCCUGUGCUGCCUGUAGUAAAAGAAUUUUACGCCAAUUUGGUAAGCCCUGAUCAGCACAACAUUUGGAUAAGAAAUACACUUGUCCCAUUAGACUCUCGUGUUAUCAAUGCUUUUUAUAACUUACCUGCUGAAAUUACUUGUGAGUAUGCUAAGUUGCGUGAUAAGUUAACCCCGAAAAAGUGGAACACCAUUUUUACAACUCUUACAAUCGAAAGAGCAUCAUGGGCUAACAAGGAAGGGCGUGUAGUUAAUAGGAUAGAUUUGAAACCUAUUGCUAAGAUGUGGGUGAAAUUUCUGAAAUCUAGGCUUAUGCCCACCACUCACACUACUACAGUUUUGCAAGAAAGGUUGGUCUUGUUAUAUGUCAUAGUUCGCGGGCUUCCCAUAGAUGUGGGUAGCAUCAUCGCAAAAGAAAUCCGAGAUUGUGCAGUCAAGACUCACCGAACUGCUGCUUUGCUAUUUCCAUCACUCGUUACUAGCAUUUGUGUAGUUUCAGGUGUUCAUCUUGACGCCAGAGAUGACCAUGUCAAUAAUGAUGGUGCCUUUACGGCAUGAACCAUUGAGAGAGUUGCUGGUGAGAGUGCUGGAACAACCACUGAACCAGCUGCUGAGACAGGAGCAAGAUGAGCUAUUGGCUUAGAAAAGACCAUCCAGGCACUCAGCACAAGUAUAACUCAAUGUACGGAACCACAGCAGUGGGAAAACGAUCGAUUUUGGAGCUAUCUCCAGCACCUGGACAACCAACUACACCAAUUUUCUCUGUACAUGAAACGCACUCACCGGAACUUCCUUGAUGCACUGCUCCAGCAGUACAAUUUUGACACCAACACCACAAAUGCAUCAACAGAGGCUAGUGCAGAAGCCACUGCCACAGAGGAACCAGCAGAAGAUGCUACAGCCGAACCUCAAGCAGAGGAAGAAUCAGAAGAUGCUGAACCAUCUGAUUAGCCUGAGGAAGAAGGUGACAAGUCUGAGAUUGAUAGCUCACCUACAGAGGAAGAAGACAACUCGGAGAAAGACCGUGAGGAACCAACCAUCCUAACCCAGCCCAAAACCAGAAAAAAAAAAAGCACGUUAUUCAAGAAAAUGAGGAGGAAGACCUUGAAGAGGAGCCGUAUAUUCCAGUCCUUGCAGGCAAGAGAAAGGACAAGGGUAAAGCAAAAAUGGCAACAACUCCAGCCUCUGAAGAUGAGAUGGAGCAAGUCGAUGCUAAGCUGGCUGCUGCAGCAGCCAGAGCUAUGCCUACACCUAAGCAAGCUAAGCAACUACUUGCGGUUAUUGCUGCCAUCACAACUGAGGGCCAGGCAGCUGAUGCAUUAACUCAACAACCUCCACAGCAAACUCCUAGCCAGCCUAUUCGCACAAGUCCAAGACAAUCCAGCAAACAAAAAGGCAGUACGUCUACAAGUACUUCUACAGCAACCCCAGCCACAACUCCUCUCACCAGCCGCGCAGUGAAAAAGACAAAGACAUUGCCAGCUACUUCCCCAAAAGCUUCACCAAAGGAUGAGCUGCGCAGUGCAUCCAAGAAGUGCUGAUAGCAUCCCGUCAUGCACUCCAGUCCCCACCACAGGGGAGUACUCUAUCCUUACUAGUUCAUAUUUAAAAAAAAAAAAUUAUGUUUGUCAAUUUGUAUGCCUUUGUUAUGUAUGCUUGUGAGGACACAGCAUCUCUCAAGUUUGGGGGGAUUGUGUCCGAAUGCAUGUGUUUAUGUAUGUGUUUAUGUUUGUGUUGUGUGAAGCUCUGUUAUCUGUUAUUUGUGUAUGGAUUUGAAAACCUAAUAAAGAUAAAUUGAGUGUUAUUCAGUAUUUAUGAGAAUGCCAAGUAGAGAUAGUUAUAGAUAGAAGUGAAAUUAUGUCCCAACACUUAGACUUUGGUUGAAUUGUAUGAGACUGUUAGAGCAAAGCCAAAAGAAUAGAAAAUAUCUUAAGUUUGAAGGGAGAAGCAAGUUGAUUGACUGUGAUAUUUAUGAGAUAAAACUCUACUCCAAUGGCUCAAGUUGCUGAGUAACCAAAUCUGAGUAUGUACCCCAUAUGCAGAAUUGUGUAAAAGGUAGCAAGAGUUAUGAGCAAUGCUGUAGCAAAUAAAAAAAAAAGUCCUAUGUCUAAGGCAUUGAGUAGUCAGGUCUGUUCAUGAACCCCAUGUUCAGCCUUGAGUAAAAGAUACCUUUAGAUGAGAUUAUACCGCAAAUAUUGCUGCAGCAACUCUGAUCUGGGCAUGGUUUAAGUAAUUGGGUGUCAUCAUUACAAGUGAUUGACAUUCACAUGAAAGAUAAAUGUUACAGUAAGGAGGUUGAUUACUCCCCAGUUUAUCAAUGUAAAACAAUCACAGUUUGAAUAUGUGAAAUUUAUGCUACCCCAUUUAUGAAUGAAGUAUAUCACUGCUGAAAUUUAUGCAGUCCUUUGGUGAUGUUACAGCAUAUCUGGAAUUCAAUCAAAGGAAGCACACACACACAAUGGACAGAAAGAAGCUUAAGUCUAGAACUGAUUUACUAUGGCAUUUUGUAUGAUUGGGAUUGUGAUCUGAAGGUGGAAGAAUCCUUGCAAAUUUGAUAAAAGAGCUAAAGUUGUGUGCAUGUUUGUUUGCGGAAAAUGUUAGUAUGUGUCAUUACUUGAAGGCAAGUAAUGGUUUAAGUUUGGGGGUGUGAUAACUCUAAGAAAUGAGAGUUAUUACAUCAAUUCUAGACUUGAAUCAGGAUCAUUUAGAGAACAAAUAAGGUGUUUUUAUUACAUUUUGCUUAAACAUUCAUUUUAGUUGAGUAUUAAUAAGUUUUGCUUGAAUUAUAGUAAUUUGUACUAAAAACAUAUGCAUAAUUGUAGGUUCUUGGAAAGUCUUAAUUCAUGAGGGGAUGUCGAGGCAUUAGAUGAGCAAGAGGAGGAAAGAAGACGGUCAUAAAAGAAGAAAAGCACAAUCGGGAGUAAUGCAGUGCUGUUGUGGAUGUUAGAGCAACCCGUGCUAUAGCAAUCUAGAAGUAAAUGUCGGAGAAAACUUAGGCUCAGGUCAGCACAUGUUUCCUAAUUUAACGCACGCACGCUCAUGGGCUUGUGUUUACCCUAAUUUGCAAUAUAAAAUGGAGGCAAUACCACAAAGAAAUGCGGCAAGGAAAUUAUCAUUAGAAUAAUCACAAAGGAACGAAGAAGGAGAAGAUCAGAAUUGAAGAGUGUUGUUUUGGUAACAUUGGAGAAUCGUGCAGAAUUACUUGGCUUUGAUUUUCACCGUGCUCAACUUAUAUUUAUCUUCUUCUUUUAAUUGUUUUGAUGUAUUCCGAGAUCAAUAUAUUUAUGAUUAUUUUUGUCAUCCAGAUUAUGAACUAAAUUUACUUGUAGUUGAGUGACAAAUAAUCCAAUGGGUUCUUGACUGUUCUUAUAUGUUGUUAUGUUAAUGCUGUAGCAUUUUACUCUAGUAGUUUUUAUGAGUAUAACUGUUAUUUAGGUUGACCACCCAUUUAAUAGUUUCAGUUAAGAUAGAGCAGCAAAAGGGCAUGUCUUAGCGGACAUUAUUAGAGUAUUACUUGUUCUUAAGUCGAGUUUCCUGGAUUAGGUUAUCUUGAAUCCCAUAAGGGCAGUACUUGAAGUUAAGAUUUGUGACACUCUAGACAUAGGUGUUCACCUUGUAGGGUAGAGAGAUUAAAGGAUAUAAUGACGUACCAUAAAUAUAUGAGCAACUGGUCAUUGUUAGUAGAUUUAAAGGUAUGAGAUUUCUAACAUGCGAUAGCUGAGGAUGCAGAUUUAUUCUGCCCAGUGCUGCAGCACUUAUUGUAACAACUGGUGCUAAUUUGGUAAACAACAAUCACCCCAUUAGGAGAGUUUGAUCAUUCAACUACUAUAUUCUCAAUUGAAUCUUAGACACAGUUAACUUAGUUUAUUUCAUUACAGUAUUGUUUUAUUUCUAUCUCUCGCAAUUAUUAACUACGAUAGAAUUAUUUGACAAUUGUUUGUUUCGGUUUUAGUUAAUUUGCACUAUUGUGAUUGCUUUAGCAUUUUGAGUAACAUCAAUCCCUGUGAAGACGAUCUUGAAUAUUCAUCACUUUAUUACUUAUUGUGUAUACUUGCACAUUGGCAUUGGUAGUAAUUGAUUAUAAAAAUAAAUCAACAGGGAGAUAAGGAGAUGCUUCCAGUAAGUUGAUUGUAAGAAACAUCUAAUAUUCGGAGGGAUGUCAUAUUUGCCAAGCACCAAGGCAAGCUACCUCUUAAAUCAUUGCUUGCAAUGUACAACUCUUGUAGAUGCACCAACGAACAGAGGCCUGAAAAUUUAUUAAUUCAACCAUUGGUACAAUAAAACAAUUAACAAAUGCAUAACAUUCUUUUAUAAGUGAUUGGUUUGUGUAAUUAUAUUUUUAAUUGAAAAUUAAAAUUAUAGAUCAAGAGGGGAGGGUGGGAGCAUCUGAUUAACCUUGAUCAAGAAUCAUGCUGCUGUUAAUGCCAAUAGUAGAACCUGACAGUGAUAAGUACUUGAGAGAAGACAUCGAUUCACCGAUGCUUUGAAGAAAGCUGGUGUUGAGUGCACUGCGCAUGAAUUCCAUGUCCAAAUGUUCCAAACUCUUGAAAUGAGGAAAGCCUAGCAAAAACAAUAAAAUAAAUAAAUAAAAAUGUUGAACACUUAAGACGACAUUGAGUUCACAAUCAACACUUUUCUUUUACCUUGACCACGUACGACACCAUUGACUUCACAACCAAUCACCGACAGAUUUUUUAACGAAGGGAAUAUUGAUGCAAUGCUUUACAGAAGGCUUAUAUGGAGAGGGGAAUCGUUCAAUUUCAAAUAUUCCAAGUUGGUGAAAUUGUGCAACUCUGUUUCGAAGCAAUAAUUUUAGCUUUAUUAACAAUACGGAAAAAUAAUUAAUUAUUUAACAGUUUAUUUAUAAAUUUGGCCACAUAUGUACCGUUUAUUAAUAAUAUGGAUAAUUAAUUAAUUAAUUAGCUGCUUAUUUAUAAAUUUGGCCACAUUUGUACCUUUUACUUACCUUGAGUAGUAAUUGUCACUGUUUCCGUAAAAUUAUUAGACGAAAGGUAAAGAUUGUUGAGGGAUGGGAAUGAUCCCAUUGACUGUAACAACUUGCUUCCAUCUCUAACUCCAACUCUCGAUAGAUCAAGGCUUUUCAACUUCCUCAAACCGCUGUAACCUAUUUAAUAACAAUAAUUAGGAUAGGAUUUAAGAAAAUCAAAAUUCAUUGUCUAAAUUUAGAGCUAAACGAAAUAACUGAUUAAUUUAAUUAGGAGUCAAUUUGUAUUUUAUGCUUUGGGCAAAGAUCAGUAUCAUUUUUCAAUCGCUGCAAAGAUUAAAAAAUUAAAAUGAAAUCUUUAUUACAUUUUGUUUUUGAAAUAAUAAUAUUACGUCCUAUUUUUGAAAUAAUAUAAAUUCUAUGUUUCUUUAUUUUUAUUUUUAUUUUUUUGUACCUUUUGGGCCUUCCCUAAUCAAAUGAAUAAAAUUUAUGUAAUUGAAUAAUAUUUUAAAUGUUUACCUUGAGGAACCACAAGAUUGUUGAUUUCAUUGAAGCUCAUGUCCAACAAUUCUAAGUUGUUGAAGGAAUUGAAUUCUGCAAACAUAAACAGACUUAAGACUUAAAACAGAGUAAAUUAAUUAAUAAAUUUAAAGAAAUUAAAACGUCAUUAGAAUUUCGUCUAAACCAAACCAAAUAGUAUUUAAUUAAUUGAUUGAAAAAGUAUGCUUACUUUGUAUGUAAUUCCUUCAGGCUAAUCAAAUUAAAUAUUAAAUUAUGUCGAUAAUACAGAAGUCUAGCUGGCAUAUAUAAAAUGAGAAAGCAGGGCUUAGACUUACCUCGAACAUUGAAUGUUCCUUUGAAUCUCGUACCACUUAAACUAAGAGACUUCAAUUUACUCAAACCUGUAAAAUAAUAAACCAAAUGGCAAAGAAUCCAGCUAAUUUGUAUAAGUUAGCAUUUUUUAUGGUAUUUGUAGUACCUUUUGAGACCACAAAUUUGUCAAUCUUGUUCCCGCCAAUGUCUAGCUCCUCUAAAUCUCUCAAAGAAUCUAAUUCUGUAAUAAGUACAAAUUGAGUUGAAUGUUUCAAACCUCACCAAAUAAUAAUAAUAAUAAUAAUAAUAAGUUGUGGAGGUGUUUGGUUCACUAUUGGAGUUUUUUUUUAAUCUUAAAUUCAAGACAUAUGAAAGUACAAGAUGAAAUUACGAGAAACAUAAAAACUUGUAUUUAUAAAUUGCUUAAAACUGUUUUUUUUAAUAUUAAUCAUAAAAAAAUUGAAUUCAAAGCCUUGAAUCUUAUUUUAGCAAGUUAAUGAAAGAACUUGAAGUUUUAAUUAUGUACCUUUAACGUCAAUACUUCCUUCCAAUCUAUUCCAAAAUAAAUUUAAUGAUCUUAAUGGUGAAAGAUGAGUUAGAGAUGAUAAAAUGCUAUUAUUGAAUGAGUUUCCACUUAAAUUAAGCAUCUUCAAGUUGUUCAAUCUUGAUAGCCUCUCUAUACCUGCAAGUAAAAUAAAAAAAAGAUCAUAGAUACUGGUGUAAUUUCAAAAUUAAUCAUUUAAAAAAAAAGUCAAAAUUGUCGACUAAAUGAAUAUGCAUAUAAUUGCUCGGUCUUGAUAUUCAACUUAAAUUAGGGGGGAGAAAGUAAAUUAAUUAAAUUAAACGAAGCACCUUCAUUCUCAACACAACUGGCUAUUUUGUUGUCAGUUAAAUCAAGUGACUCAAGUUGUUGGAAGGGAGUAAACAAAGAAGCAUUCAGAUACCAGUACUCUCCCCCAUACGUGUCAGAAAGGUCUAGCGCUAUCACUCGGCUCAUGGUGUUGCUGCACUCAACCCUUUCCCACUGACAACAAUCAGUAGCUCCCUCACCAUCUCCCCAGUCGUAAAGAAAAUUAUAAGGAUCAUUGAGGAAAUGUUUGAGUCGCAAAAGAGCAAAUCUCUCAUGAUCCAAACAUCCCUCACUUCACCCACCUUCAAAUAUUAUUAAUAACAAAACAAACAUUAUCACCAUUUUUUUAUUUUGAACCACCCAUUCUAACUAUAUCUUUAAGUUUUAAAAAACACACACACUCUUUCUAUCUUUGUAACCAACCAGAGGACUAUACGCCAUUUGCUUAUAACGCAUGUAACUAUUUAUACACCCAACUAGCUUAUAGUUGACUUUUUUAGUUGUUUCUCCAAGUCCUUCAUGCAUUAAUUUUCUUCCCUUUUUUUUUCAUCUUUGUCAUUUUGCUAUAAUUUGCAACAGCAACGCGUUUUGAGCUAGCAAUAAAUAAUAAUUGAGAGAGAUUGAGAUGACAAAUGGAUAGAAACUAAAAGUAUGGGUGUUUAAUACGAGAACGAUUAUACCCGUUUAUUAUAUUUCAACCUAAAAAUUUACUCUAAGCAUUUAUAAUAAAUAAAAAUAUGAUAAUAAAAAUAAUAAAAAAAUAUGAAUAAUAUAUAUUUGUAAAAAAAAAAGAUUUAUGUGUCCAUUUUGAAAAUUAGCGAGUAUAUGUAAAUAUAAUUAUCAAAACAAACCAUAGAAGUGUUGUUAUUUUUUCCUUUCAAAAAAUCCACCAUUAUAAAAAAAGCCCAAAGACUUUGACAUCUUUUAGGAGUCUUUGGGCCUUGUUUUUUUCCCUCUUUUUCUUUCAUUUGCAUUUUGAUCCACAAGGCCAAAAAUUAAAUUCCACACCUUUGGCAUUUUGUGGAGAUUACAUUUCCAUGUUUUUACUUAGAAAGUAGGUGGAGACGUGGAGUCAAUGCGGCCAAGUGCUCAAUUAUUGUUAGUUAGCAAAAUAGAAUUUUUGGCGAGAUGAAUUUGUUGUAAAAAAGUUUUUGGAAAAAAUAAUAAUCAUCGGAACUUGUCUUGUGUCUUUAUAACAAUUUACUACUGCGAAAUCUUUACAACUUCACAUCUUUGAUUCAAUUAUCGCCACAAAGGCACAAGUACGUCCAUUUGUAAACCAAUCGAUAGAGAUCAAAUUUCAAGCCAUGAACUUGUAUUGUCAGCAAACACCUAAUCACUUUAGAUAUUUGUAUCGUUUAAUUAAUUAAUGAUCACUCUGAAAUUACAGAGGUUGGCCGAAUAUUCCCCUAAAAUUAAUUAAUUUUACCGAAAGGGAAUUAUUAGACAGAUCAAGUGUGUCUAGUUUUUUUGUUGUUUUGUAACAAUCAAUUUGGAAACUCUUCACUCAAGUUAGCAUCUUAGAGAUCAAGAUAAACAAACUCCUAGUGAUGCUAAUGGAAGAGGAAUUUAUAAGAGGAGAAGAGAGAGUAAUUAUGCUUGAUCAAGAAAGGUACCAUUAAAUCUAGAAUAUGACAAUUAAUGGUAGAAAAAUUAACAAGCAUGUAAUCCACGAUCAAAGAUUUUAAAUCCUUGAAAUUUAGAUAACCUAAAAAUUAACAUUGAACAAGAAAUAAAUCAACACUGCCACUUUGAUCACAUAAUCGAUGAAACUUAGGAUAUAUAAUCAACACCUGUUUAUUUUACUAUUGAAUUACUAUUUUUUCUGUAUUAUUUGAAUAAGGGAAUUGAUUUGGAGAAACUCUCACUAUAAUUGAUGAAAAUCAAGAUAUAAUCAAUACAUAUUCAUUUUAUUUUUAAAUUAAUACUUUUCCAUUAUUAUUUGAAGAAGGGAAUUGGUCUCAAAAAAUCUUAUUGUAAUAUAUGUAACUUAAACUUUUUUUUUCUGAAAUAAAAAUUAACUUUUAAGAAGGCUUCAAAUAUGGAGAGGGGACCAGUCCAUUAAUGUCAAUUCUUCCAAGUUAGUGACAUUGUGCAGCUUUAUUUGAUUAGAAGGUGCAACAUCUUUAGCUUUAACAUAUCUUAUUCUUUAAGACUAUUAAAACUUUUAAAUUAUGUCCACAUGCCCACCCUAUAAGAUCCACAAAAGUAGCAGAUAAAAUGGAAGAAGUACGCUAAGGGGCUGUUUGAUUUUAGUUGUGGCUUACACAGCACGAAAUUACACCAAAAAUGCCCCGACCAGAUUUAAUAAAACAAAUGUACUCUUACUCAGUUUAUUAUUUAUUUUUACAUAGAUAUAUUUUCUUUUUUUUCUUUUUUUUUCUUUUUCAACUUAGAAAAGAGAAUUAGGGGACAGAUCAAGUGUGUCUGAUUUUGCGUUGCUUUCUAGCAAUCAACUUGGAAACUUUCCACUCAAGUUAACAUGUGAGAGCUGAUGGAAGAGGAAUUUGAAAAAUCGUGACUCUAAUUUUGCAUAUAUUUGAUUAUUUCAACACUUGAUUGGUUUUGAAUGGUCCAAGAAUGGGCAAGUGACAAUGAGACUUGGAAGUGAUAGUUUGAAAAAGUGAGAUCUUCAAUUGAUAUUAGAUAAAUGAGAGUAGACUAGGAUAUAUUUCCAGUAAGCUUAUGGAGAGAGACAUAUCAAACUUGAAGUAAGAAGUCAUAUUUUCCAAGCACCAAAGACAAUUUAUUGUACCCGGAAUAUAAUUAUGGUCAAUAAAACAAAAAACUCUUGCAGAUUCAUCAACUGAUUGGGUUGAAAACAUAAUUCAUCCUUUAGCUAAUAACAAUUAAUGAACGCAUAAAAUCUUAUAUCUUUUAACAUAAAUGUUAAAUAUUAAUUUUAUUAAUAGUCGCAACCUUAUGCAGGCAUAAUUUGGUCAUGAAAACAAUAAAUCUAUCCGUUCUUAAAGGCUAUUAACUAUAACAAAAAAUCAAUUAAUAUAAUUUUUAUAAGAGGAGAAGAGAGACUAAGUAUCCUUCAUCAAGAAAUGUACCAUUAAGUCUAGAAUAUGAUAGUCAAUGGCGGAAAAAUUAACAUGCGCAUAAUUUAUGAUCAAAUAUUAUAAAUCCUUGAAAUUUAACAAGUCAUUUCAUUAAAAUAUGGAUCACCUUCCACACAUUUUAGAAAUCUUAUCAUUUUUUUUCUUUUUUCAUUAAAUUAUGUUUUGGUCCACACAACCGAAAAUUAAAUUCCACGCAUUUUGCAUUUAGUGGAAUUCUAUGUAUUUUUUAAUUUUACAAAACUUUAGUCGGUGGAGUCAAUGGGGCUAGAAAUUCAUUGAAGGGUCCCGAGAAUCAAAGGUGCUUACUCAAUUAUUAUUUGUAAAGUUGUAGACUUGUAGGGCAGCUACCGGAGUCCACACGUUGUAAUGUUUUGUUCACUAUCAAUCUCAUUGUUGGUCGUUUCCAACACGCUCAAGAAUCCAAUUCUGCAUAAACACAUAAAAUUAAAGACUUAAAACAGAGUUUAAGUAAUUAAUAAUUUAACUGGAAACAAAUUAAAAAGGAGAAUUUAAUUAUUGAAUUCCACAUUGUGCUAUUGAAAAUUAAAAAAAAAAAUUGUUGUCACCUCAGUCAAUUAGAUAAUCACUACAAAUAGUUCUUUAUGUAGAUGAUAUUCUUCUAAUUGGAAAUGAUAUAGGAAUAUUGACUACAAUAAAGAGUUGGUUAGCAAAACAAUUUGAUAUGAAAGAAAGACAUGAGAGAAGCAAGUUAUAUUCUUGGUAUCAAAUUACUACGAGACCGGAAGAAUAAAACUUUAGCCUUGGCUCAAGUGGUCUAUAUCGACAAGAUAUUGGUUAGAUUUAGCAUAGAAAAUUCCAAGACUGGUUUAUUACCAUUUAGACAUGGAAUUGUAUUCUCUAAGGACCAAUCACCUAAAACAUCUAAAGAGAUGGAGAAAAUGAGACGAGUUCCCUAUGCAGAAGUUGUGGGAAGUCCCAUGUAUGUCAUGCUUUGCACUAGGCUAGACAUCUGUUUUGUGGUAGGAAUGGUUAGCAGAUAUCAAAUCCUGGACCUGAACACUAGACUGUAAUCAAGCAUAUAAUGAAGUAUCUUAAAAAAACUAAAACUUAUAUGCUUGUGUAUUCUAGUGAUGAACUCAUUCCAGUGGAUUCUAGAAAAUCAACUUUCGGCUAUAUGUUUACAUUAGGAAGUGGAGCUAUUAAUUGGAGGAGUGUGAAACAAUUUGUAUCACAGACUCCACAACUGAAGCUGAAUAUGUGGAUGCAUCUGAAGCUGCAAAAGAAGUUGUAUGGCUUUGCAAGUUCCUACAAAAUCUUAAGGUGGUACCUGUUGUAACUGCACCCCUUAAACUAUUUUGUGAUUAUGGUGGUGCAGUAGCUCAAUCUAAGGAACCACAAGAAACAAAAACAUAUUGAGAGGAAACAUCAUCUUAUAAGGGAAUAGUAUAGAAAGACUAUAUGACAGUACCCCAAAUGACAUUAGAUGCUUUAUGGUAGAUUUUAUUACAAUGGCCAUUAGUGGGAAACCUUUAUAACCUGCACUUAGAGCCCCUAGAGCAUGUGCAAUAUGCCAGAUAUGCUUUAAAGAGCUAGUGGGAGAUUGUUGGGAUUAUGUGCUCUUUUAAAAGUAUUAUUAAUUUAUUUUCUGAUUAAUAAAAUAUUUGAGAUAUUUCAAUUGCAUAAAUAUAUUGAAUAAGGUCCGUUUAAUCAUAUUAUAUUUUCUCUUGCUAGUUGCUUUUAGUAGUGAUAAAAGCACCCACACGUCAAGUGCAGAUCAAACUUGAGUCAUAACCCAGAAGAUUAUUUGGUGACAGAUCGUGAUCUAACAAGCGUGGUGGUGACAGAUCGUGAUCUAACAGGCGUGAUGGUGACGGAUCAUGAUCUGGGAAGCCUGGAUUAAUUUCAAUUGUUCAUCUUCUCAGUUGCACUCAAUGUGUAUUAGAAUCCACGAAGGUCCGAUCCNNNNNNNNNNNNNNNNNNNNNNNNNNNNNNNNNNNNNNNNNNNNNNNNNNNNNNNNNNNNNNNNNNNNNNNNNNNNNNNNNNNNNNNNNNNNNNNNNNNNAACGUAGAACCCUGUAGUUGGUUGCAGAGAUAGAAAGAGUGAGUGUGUUUUCCAUAGUUAAAGAUAUAGUUAGAAUGGAUAGUUCAAAAUCAAAAAUGGUGAUAAUGUUUGUUCUGUUAUUAAUUAAAUUUGAAGGUGGGUGGAGUGAGGGAUGUUUGGAUCAUGAGAUAUUUGCUCUUUUUCGACUCAAAUAUUUCUUCAAUGAUCUUCAUGAUUGGGUAGAUGAUGAGGGAGCUACUGAUUGUUGUCAAUGGGUAAGGGUUGAAUGCAACAACACCACAGAUCGAGUGAUAGCACUAGACCUUUCUGAUACUAGGAAUUGGGAUUUGGGAGAGUGGUAUCUGAAUGCUUCUUUGUUUACUCCCUUUCAACAACUUGAGUCACUUGAUUUAAGUUGGAACAAAAUAGCCGGUUGUGUUGAGAAUGAAGGUGAAUUUACUUCUCCCUCCUAAUUUAAGUGGAAUAUCAAGACUGAGCAACUAUAUGCAUAUCGAUUCAGUUGACAAUUCUGACAUUUUUUUUAAGUGAAUAAUUAAUUUUGAAAUCACACAAGUAUCUAUAAUCCUUUUUUAUUUUACUUGCAGGUCUAGAGAGGCUAUCAAAAUUGAACAAUUUGAAGAUGCUUGAUUUAAGUGAAAACUUGUUCGACAAUAGCAUCUUAUCAUUUGUAGGUCGUCUUUCAUCAUUACGAUCAUUAAAAUUAUCUUACAAUAGAUUGGAAGGAAGUAUUGAUGUUAAAGGUACAUAAUUAAAACUUUAUCUCUUCUCCAAGCUCUUUCAUUAACUUGCUAAAAUAAGAUUCAAGGUUUUGAAUUCAAUUUUUUAAUGAUUAAUAUUUUAAAAAAAUAGUUUUUAGCAAUUCAUAAAUACAAGUUCUAGUGUUUCUCAUAAUUUCAUCUUGUACUUUCAUAUGUAUUGUAUUUAAGAUGAAAAAAAAAUUCUAAUUGCGAACCGCACACCCCCACAACUUAUUUUUUUGUGAGGUUUGAAACAUUCAACUCAAUUUGUACUCUUUACAGAAUUAGAUUCUUUGAGAGAUUUAGAGGAGCUAGAUAUUGGCUGGAACAAGAUUGACAAAUUUGUGGUCUCAAAAGGUACUACAAAUACCAUAAAAAAUAUAAACUUUUACAAAUUAGCUGGAUUCUUUGCCAUUUGUUUUAUUAUUUCGUAGGUUUGAGGAAGUUGAAGUAUCUCGGUUUAAGUGGCAACAAACUCAAUCAUAGCAUCUUAUCUUCUCUGACUAUCUUUUCUUUGUUAAGAGAAUUAUAUCUACGUGAUACGGGAUUCAAAGGAACAUUUGAUGUUCGAGGUAAGCCUAAGCCUUGCUUUCUCAUUUUAUAUAUGUCAGCUAGACUUGUGUAUCAUCGACAUAAUUUAAUAUUUAAUUUGAUUAGUCUGAAGGAAUUACAUGCUAAUUUAAACAAACUUUUAUUUACCCUGUCAAUCAUUAAUUAAACACUAUUUGGUUUGGUUUAAACCUACUUUUUUAUUUUAUAUGCUAGCUAGACUUAGAUACUAACUAUUUUGAUGAGUCUGAAGGAAUUAGAUACUAACUAAACAUACUUUUAUGUACUCCCUCAAUUAAUUAAUUAAUUAUUUCACUUGGUUUGGACGAAAUUCUCAUGAUGCUUUAAUUUCUUUAAAGUUAUUAAUUAAUUAAUUCUGUUUUUAAGUCUUAAGUCUGGGUAUGUUUGUAGAAUUCAAUUCCUUCAAUAACUUAGAAGCGUUGGACAUGAGCAACAACGAAAUCGACAAUCUUGUGGUUCCUCAAGGUAAACAAUUAAAAUAUUAUUCAAUUACAUAAAUUUAAUUCAUUUGAUCAGGGAAGACGCAAAAGGUACAAAAAUAAUAAUAAUAAAAUAAAGAAACAGAGAAUUUAUAUUAUUUCAAAAACAGGACGUACUAGUUAUUUCAAAAACAGAAUGUAAUAAAGAUUUGAUUCCAGUACUUUAAUCUUUACAGUGAUUGAAAAACGAUACUAAUCCUUUCCCAAAGUAUAAAAUACGAAUUGACUCCCAAUUAAAUUAAUCAUUUAUUUAGUUCAUCUCUAAAUUUAAACAAUGAAUUUUGAUCUUCAAUCCUAUUCUAAUUACAAUUAAAAAACAGGUUAUAGAGGUUUAAGGAAUUUGAAAAGCCUUGAUCUAUCAGAAGUCGGAAUUAGAGAUGGAAGUAAUUUGUUACGGUCAAUGGGAUCAUUCCCAUCCCUCAACACUCUUUACUUGACUUCUAAUAAUUUUAUCGAUACAACGUCAGGUACAGAUGUGUCCAAAUUUAUAAAUAGGCUGUUAAUUAAUUAAUUAAUUUUCUGUAUUGUUGAAAAAGCUAAAUUUGUUGCUUCGAAACAGAGUUGCACAAUUUCACCAACUUGGAAUAUUUGGCAUUGGACUCUUCCUCUCUCCAUAUAAGCCUUUUACAAAGCAUUGCAUCAUUCACUUCGUUAAAAAUAUUGACGAUGACUAAUUGCGAAGUCAAUGGCGUCCUAAGUGGUCAAGGUAAAAGAAAAGUGUUGAUUAUAAAUAAACUAUUAAUUAAUUAAUUAAUUUUCCGUAUUAUUGAUAAAGCUAAAUUUGUUGAUCCUUCCUUUUAAUUCUAAACAGAGUUGCACAAUUUCGCCAACUUGGAAUAUCUGGCAUUGGACUUUUCCUCCCUCCAUACAAGCCUUCUGCAAAGCAUUGCAUCAUUCACUUCGUUAAAAAAAUUGUCGAUGACUAAUUGUGAAGUCAAUGGUGUUCUAAGUGGUCAAGGUAAAAGAAAAGUGUUGAUUAUGAAUAAGCUGUUAAUUAAUUAAUGUUGUUGCUCCUUGCUUCUAAAAUGAGUUGCGCAAUUUCACCAACUUGGAAUAUUUGAAUUGGACUCUUCCUCGCUCCAUAUAAGCCUUCUGCAUCUGCAAUUGCUUGAAGAAUUUAUUUAUUUAUUUAUUAUUGUUGUUGUUGUUGUUGAAAUGGGGUGGGCAAGCGUUCACUCAGUUAAUAUGUGGUGAAUUAAAUAUUACAAUCCAAGUUAGAAUUGUGGAAAAUUAAAGCAAAAUGAGAAAUAUGGACAGAAAGGAAGAAAGUUAAGGGCAUGAAAGACUAGGAGAAGACUGAAGACCACCAAAUAAGUCAAUUGAAAACUAGCUGGGGCUUGGGUGUACAAAUUGUUAGAAGUGUUUGUUAUAAAUCACAUAGAGCCCUCUUGUUGGUUGCAGAGCCAAAGAGACAAAGAGUGUGCAUUUUAUUAAUUAAAAAAAUAUAUAGAAUGGGUGGUUUAAAAUCCAAAUGGUGAUAAUGUUAGUUUUGUUAGUAUUAAUAAUAUUAGAAGGGGGUAGCGUGAGGGAUGUUUGGUGCAUGAGAGAUUUGCUCUUUCGAGACUUAAAAAAUUUCUUCAAUUCUCCUUAUAAUUUUUGUCACGACUGACCAUUGUCAAUGGGAUGGGGCUGGGUGCAGCAACACCACAGGGCGAGUGGUAUCUGAAUGUUUCUUAGUUUACUCUUUUUCAACAAAUUGAGUGGGUUAAUUUAAGUUGGAACAAUAUAGUUGGUAGUGUUGAGAAUGAAGGUGUUUCGUUUAAUUUAAUACUUUCUCCCUCCUAAUUUAAGUCGAAUAUCAGGAUUGAGCAACUAUAUGUAUCUUUAUUCAGUUGACAAUUUUGACAUAUUUUUUUAAAUGAUUAAUUUUGAAAUUACAUCAAACUGAUGUGAUCUCUGUUUUGAUUUUACUUGCAGCACUAGAGACGCUCUCAAGAUUAACCAACUUGAAGAUGCUUGAUUUAAGAGGAAACUUGUUCAAUAAUAGCAUUUUAUCAUCUCUAGCUCAUCUUUCAUCAUUAACAUCAUUAGAUUUAUCUGAGAAUAAAUUGGAAGGAAGUAUUAAUGUUAAAGGUACGUAAUUAAAAUGUCAUCGCUUCUCCCAACUCUUUCAUUAACAUGCUAAAAUAAGAUUCAAGGCUUUGAAUUCAAUUUUUUUUAAUGAGUAAUAUUAGAAAAAUAGUUUUAAGCAAUUCAUAAAUACAAGUUUCAAUGUUUCUCAUAAUUUCAUCUUGUACUUUUGUAUGUCUUGACUUUAAGAUUAAAAAAAAAAAUUAUUCUAACUGUGAAGCAAAUACCCCACGACUAAUUUAUUAUUUUGUCUAGUUAAAAAUGAUAAAAUUUAUUAUUUGCUUAUAUUGAUUAAUUAACUCUAUUUUUAAGUCUUAAGUCUUGGCGUCUUGGCAUGUUUGCAGAAUUUGAUUCCUUGAGCAACUUAGAGGAGUUGGACAUGAGCGGCAAUGAAAUAGACAAUUUUCAGGUUCCUCAAGGUAAACUAUUAAAAUAUUAUUCAAUUACAUUAAUUUAAUUCGUUUGAUUAGGGAAGGCCAAAAGGUACAAAAACAUAAUAAAAAACUAAAGAAACAAAGAAUUUAUAUUAUUUCAAAAAAUAAAAUGUAAUACUAUUAUUUCAAAAAUAGAAUGUAAUAAAGAUUUGAUUCCGGUUCUUUAAUCUUUACAGCAAUUGAAAAACAAUGUUGCUCUUUUUCUAAAGCAUAAAAUAUGAAAUGAGUCAUAAUUGAAUUAGUCAUUUAUUUUGUUUAGCUCUAAAUUUAGAUAAUAAAUUUUGAUUUUUUUCAAUCCCAUCCUUAUUAUUAUUAUUAUUAUUAUUAUUAUUAUUAUUAUUAUUAUUAUUAAACAGGUUACGGAGGUUUGAGGAAGCUGAAAAGCCUGCAUCUAUCGAGAGUUGGAAUUAGAGAUGGAAGCAAGUUGUUACGGUCAAUGGGAUCAUUCCCAUCCCUCAACACUCUUUACCUUUGGGGUAAUAAUUUUACGGAAACAAUGACAACUACAACUCAAGGUAAGUAAAAGGUAUAGGUUUGGCCAAAUUUAUAAAUAAAUUGUUAAUUAAUUAAUUUUCCACAUUAUUAAUGAAGCUAAAUUCCUUGCUCCUUCUUUGUAAUUCUAAACAGAGUUGCACAAUUUCACCAACUUGGAAUAUUUGACAUUGGACCAUUCCUCUCUCCAUAUAAGCCUUCUGCAAAGCAUUGCAUCAAUAUCCCCUUCAUUAAAAAAUUUGUCGAUGUGUGGUUGUGAAAUCAAUGGUGUCGUACGUGGUCAAGGUGAAAGAAAAGGGUUGAAUAUGAACUCACUCAAUGGUGUCCUAUGUGUUCAACUUAUUUAUUUUUUUAUUAAUUUUAUUUUUUAAUGUUUCUACUAGGUUUUCCUCAUUUCAAGAGUUUGGAACAUUUGGAGAUGGAUGACGCGCGCAUUGCACUCAACACCAGCUUUCUUCAAAUCAUCGGUGAAUUGAUGCCCUCUCUUAAGUACUUAUCACUAUCAUAUUCUACUCCUGGCACUAACAGCAUCGAGAUUCUUGAUCAAGGUUAAUGAGAUGCUCCACUCUCCCCGCUUAAUCUAUAAUAUUAAUUUUUGAUUAAAUGUUUAAUUACACAAACGAAUCACUUAUUUUAAAAGAAUAAUACGUAUUCAUUAAUUUUUAUAUUGUAUUAAUUGAUGAAUUUAAUAAAUUUUCAGGCCUCUGUUCGUUGAUGCAUAUGCAAGAGUUACACAUUGCUCAUAACGAUUUAAGAGGUAGCUUGCCUUGGUGCUUGGCAAAUAUGACAUCCCUCAGGAUAUUAGAUGUUUCUUCCAAUCAACUUACUGGAAGCAUCUCUUCAUCUCCCCUCAUUCAUUUGACAUCCAUUGAAGAGCUGAGGCUUUCAGACAAUCAUUUUCGGAUUCCAAUUUCACUUGAACCACUUUUUAAUCACUCAAGACUCCAGAUUUUCGAUGCUUACAACAACGAAAUAAAUGCAGAAAUAACUCAAUCACCUUCUUUGACCCCAAACUUCCAAUUAUCACAUCUCUCAUUGUCUUUCGGUUAUGGAGAUGGUGUCACAUUCCCCAAAUUCCUUUACCAUCAACAUGACCUUGUGAAUGUUGAUCUCUCACACAUAAAGAUGAAUGGAGGAUUUCCAAAUUGGUUGUUGGAAAACAACACAAGAUUAGAAACUCUUUCUUUGGUCAAUGAUUCUCUUGCAGGACCUUUCCGAUUGCCAAUUCAUUCACACAAGCAGUUAAGACUGUUGGAUGUCUCCAACAACAACUUCCAAGGCCACAUUCCAGUAGAAAUUGGAGAUAUUUUACCAAGUUUAAUAUCCUUUAACAUUUCAAUGAAUGCUUUAAACGGUAGCAUUCCCUCUUCAUUUGGUAAUAUAAACUCCCUUCAAAUUCUGGACUUAUCCAACAAUCAAUUGAUUGGUGAAAUACCCGAGCACUUGGCUGUGGGUUGCGUCAACUUGGAGUAUCUUACAUUAUCAAACAACAACCUAGAAGGUCAUAUGUUCACUAGAAAUUUUAACCUGACAAACUUGAGAUGGUUACAAUUGGAAAGCAAUCACUUCGUAGGAGAGAUCCCACAAAGCUUGUCUAAAUGCUCUUCACUAGAAGGAUUGUAUCUUAAUAAUAACAGUCUCUCGGGUAAGAUUCCACGAUGGUUAGGUAAUCUCAAAGGGUUAAAACAUAUUAUAAUGCCCGAGAAUCAUCUUGAAGGUCCUAUUCCAAUGGAGUUUUGUCAACUUUAUUCGCUUCAGCUUUUGGACAUUUCAGACAACAACAUAUCUGGAAGUUUACCAUCUUGUUUCCAUCUUCUCUCUAUCGAACAAGUUCAUCUUUCAAAAAAUAUGUUACGUGGACAGCUAAAAAGAGGUACAUUCUUUAAUUGCUCUUCCCUUGUGACAUUAGAUCUUAGCUAUAAUCGUUUGAAUGGCAGCAUUCCGAAUUGGGUUGAUGGGCUUUCUCAACUAAGGCACCUUAUCUUAGGUCACAAUAAUCUUGAAGGUGAAGUGCCAGUUCAAUUGUGCGGAUUAAACCAACUGCAAUUGUUAGAUCUUUCUAAUAAUAAUCUUCAUGGCCAUAUUCCUCCUUGCUUUGAUAACACCACACUUCAUGAAAGUUAUAGCAAUAGUUCUAGUCUUAAGCCAUUUGAAAUAUCUCUUGUCAUGGAAAGCGGGAUGAUCUAUGCAGAAAAGCAAAUCCAUGAAAUUUUUGAGUUCACAACAAAGAACAUUGCGCACAUUUACCAAGGAAAAGUGCUUAGCCUCCUAUCAGGACUUGAUCUUUCUUGCAACAAGCUAAUCGGUCAUAUUCCUCCUCAAAUUGGAAAUUUGACAAGGAUUCAAACAUUGAAUCUAUCACACAACAACUUGAUAGGAUCGAUCCCAUCAACAUUUUCAAACUUGAAGCAAAUCGAAAGUUUGGAUCUUUCUUACAACAAAUUGAAUGGGAAAAUCCCUCAUCAACUUAUGGAGUUAAACGCAUUGGCUGUUUUCAGUGUGGCAUACAAUAACUUAUCAGGCGAAAUUCCAGAAUGUAAAGCACAAUUUGCAACCUUCAACGAGAGGAGCUAUGAGGGAAAUACUUUUCUUUGUGGACUGCCAUUGCCCAUUUGCAGAUCACCAGCAACUAUGCCAGAGGCUUCAAUUGGCAAUGAACGAGAUGAUAAUUUAAUUGACAUUGACAGUUUCUUUAUCACAUUUACAACAUCAUACAUAAUUGUGAUAUUUGGAAUUGUUAUUGUUUUAUAUGUAAAUUCUUAUUGGCGACAUAGAUGGUUUUACUUUGUUGAAAUGUGGAUAACUUCAUGUUACUAUUUUGUUGUAGACAAUCUUAUUCCAACAAGAUUUUGUCAUUGAAAUUAAUUAGUAGUUUAAUUACGAUUCUUUAAGUACUAAUCAGGUUUUCUUGGGAAAUAAAUUUUUUUAUUUUUUAUUAAAAUUGUAGUAGUAUUUAGCAUUAUAUAGCUUCCAACUUCCAAGCACUUCACAUUUGUCUCUACACUUAAAAAGCGAGUGAUCAUGUUUUGUAGAUCUGGAUUUGGAGCAGGAUGGAUCCAAACCCAUAUCUAUCCAUCAUAGCUUAUAGCUUCCCUAUACUGUGCAGCAUACUUAAAUAAGAGAACCAUCUCCAAUGUUAAAAGUAGCCACUCUAUAACAAUCAUUUAGAAACUAUAUUCAGAAUAGUUUUAUAAUCAUACACAAGAAAUGAAACACCUAGAUGCACUUGAUCGCCUAUUUUACUUUGAAAAAGAACAGUUAUGGUGCUUUCAUCAUCUUCUUCACUAGCAACAUUAACACUAAAUCCACCGAUGGACCCAGACAUUUCAUCAAGAAAGGUAUAUAUCUAAUAAAGUUAAAGCUUGACAAAAAAUUCAGGAAGAUUAAUGCCUCGCCACAACAAGGGCCACAACAACAUCAAAGUAGAGAUGAAGCAGUAUUCUCAAAGCUAAAACUCUCAAAUCCACCUAGGGGUGUUUAGAAUCCAAUUUGAUCCGCUCAAUCCGUCUAAUCCAUAGAAAUCCAAUUUGUAAAAAUCUGAUCCGUGGAUUGGUGGAUUAGAUUAGAUUGAAAAUUUGAUAAUCCGCAAUCGGUGGAUUAGAUACGGAUCUACUUCUGUAAAUCUAUAAAAAUCUGUGAAUCCGCAAAAAAAUAAAAAGUAUUUAUUUAAUUAAAAAAUAAAACUUGUAAAUAUGGUAUUAGUACUUACUAGUACAUAAAUAAGUUAAAAUAUAGUUAUAUUAACAGUAUGUUAUAUCUUAUCCGAUAAUAAUAAAAAAUAAAAAAAUAAUUAAAUAAACAAAUAUAGCUUUCUAAAUAGUUAAUUUCUAUGUACUGAUCUAAACGAAUGAGAUUUUUUUCGUUUUGAUGUGUUAUAUUUCGAAACUUUAAAUGAAUUUUUUAAGCUUUAUUUAAACAAUUAAUUUAUUUAAAUCUUAUUUAAUUUUAAAUUUGAAGUCCGUAAACCAAUCCGCAAAAUAUUAGAUUUGGUCAAAUCUGCAUCCGAUCCGUAGAUGUAUGGAUUGGAUUUGGAUUGAAUUUUACCAAUCCGUGGAUUGAAUUGAAUUGAAGAUUUAUAAUCCGCAAAAUCGUAGAUCGGAUAUGGAUUGAGGUCUAAUCCAUAAAAUCCGAUCCACGAACACCCUUAGUUGGAUUCUUGAGUGAGAACAAUUCCUAGGCCAAAUCCAAAUUGUCUACAAGAAAUCCAACGUCCUCAAGAGAUCAUAUAUAGUUUUCAAAUUGCGGGAAAGCUCUAAAACUUGUGAAUUGAGAAAUUGUACAUGCAUGUCAAGCUUUAACCAAUGAAUUUGCUUUAAUUUAUCAACAAUAAGAAUAUAAGAUGAGAUUUGACCUAGUUGUUACUCUUGUGAAUAAAAAAAUUGUGUGCCUGAACAUGAUUUAACUAAUGAAAUGAAUUUUCUUUAAUUUUUUUUAAUAAUAGGAUGAGACUUUCCUGAAACGAAAAGUACGGAUAUAUAAUUUGUUGGCUUUAGUUACCUUACAUAAUAAUGUAUGGUACAUAACCGUUUGAUGAAAAUCCAACAGUCGUGGAAAUAAUAAAAUUUUAUUAUCUUAUAUUUUCACAACUGUUGGAUUUUCAUCAAACGGUUGUGGAAAAUCAAAUGGUUGUGGAAGAGUCAUUUACCUUACAUUAUUAUGUAAGGUAACAAGCUCCUAAUUUAUUUAGUAUGAUUGAAAAUUAUGAAUGAAAAUAGUUUUGCCAAAAUUGACAAAAUCAAAAUCUUUAAAUUAGUGAAAAGUCUUCAAGUCCUAUGUGAUAUAAACACGUAUUUGGCCUACUUCUUAGAACUCUUAUGGCUAUAGUCAAGCUAGAUGAAAAAGAGAUUUACUAAUUCUGAGUUAGAGAUCAUGAUGGUAACAUCUACACCUUACUCAAUAAAAUUCUUUGCUUAUUUUUUUAUUACUUAUGGUUGAAUUAGAAAUUCAAUUAUUCUUUUAUAACGUGGUUUAAAAUAUUUAAUAAAAGGAAAUUCUUAAAUACUUUGGAGAUUUCAGAGCUUUUUUUUUAAUUUUUAAAAAAGAUAGAGAUGUGACAAAACUAAAAAAAAAAAAUUAAACUCAGAUGACCAACUAAAAGUUAUCUGAUCACUUUAUUUGAACGAAAACUUUAAUGCUGUUAUGAAAAUGUGUAGAUCAAGCAAUGAAAAAUUCCAAAAUAUUGGUAAUAACUUCAAAUUACAACGACGGAGGUAGGUUGACGGCGACCUUAUGUAGCGGAGGCAGCCAUAAAUUUUAAAUUUUGUUUGCGUUGAAGUCAAAAUUCAACUGUCGCCGACCCAUUUGGUUUGAACUCUAUGUCAAUCGGGUCUGCCCAAAACCAAACACAACCCAAACCAUAGCCAGCAUAGGUGCUAAGAAGAUUCUUUUACUUUGUCACUUGUCGCCUACAAUGAAAUUGACAUUAAACAAACAUUAAAACGUGUGGACUCCGAUAGCUGCCCCACAACUGUACAAUAAUAAUUGAGUAUGCACUUUUGAUUCUCGGGACCUUUCAAUGAGUUUCUGCCCCGCUGAUUCUAUCAACUAAAGUUUUGUAAAAUGAAAAAAAAAAAGUACAUAGAAUUCCACAAAAUGCAAAACGUGUGGAAUUUAAUUUUUGGCCGUGUGGACCAAAAUAUAAUUUAACGAAAAAGGGCAAAAAUGGUAAGAUAUUUAAAAUGUAUGGAAGAUGAUCCAUAUUUUACUGAAACGACUUAUCUCGAACAUUAAGAUGAUUGAUUUUUUCUUUUUGAAUAAUAUCAACUUCCAUAUCUUUCUACCGGAGAACAUGCUCACAUUAAAGUCUAUCUUACUAAUUUGAAAAAGAAAAUCAAAUCAACACCAAAGCAAUGAAAAGUAAAGCUUUUGAAUUUUAACUCCGGCUGGCAAACGUAUUCAGGAAUUCUUCCCAUUGCAUAUCUUAUUCCUCCAUCAAUGCAAUAUUAAGUAAUUUUUCUUUAUCAUAUUCUUUUCUUUGCAUUUCUUCUUCCUCUAUCAAUGCAAUAUUUGAACAAUUAAGAAAGAGUUUAAGAACAUAAAAGAUCUCCUAGAUUUAUACGGUAUAACAAAUUUAAAUUCUCAAUUAUAAUGGAUAAUAAUUAAACUAAUAAUUAUUUAUUUACUUAUUUUAAUAGUUUCACCUAAGAAUAAUAUUGUAAUUAGAAAAAAUCUAAAAAGCGGGGUGGUUUUAUACAAAAUCAAUUGCAUACACAUAUCCAGAAGCAUAUGCGGAUGCAAAUAAUAUUUUUUAUUCUUUUUUUAUAAGAAAAUUGUGUAUUGAGAUGAAUAAAAUGUUUAAUUUAAUUAAUUUCCUUACUUUCAUAUACAUUGUCUUUCUAUCUAAAGAAAGCUCAUGUUUGUUAGUAUUCAUUCUUAGAGAGGUGAAAAAAUUACAAAUCUUGAACAACAAGGAGUAGUUUAAUUGCCACUAACUUUACUUGGCCUUCUUUAGUUGGAGCUGUGUUUUCUGAUAAGCCAAAGAAUUAGUAGCUGUUAGAAAGCUGAAAUGAGAUUGUAAACUUUGUUUGGAAGCUAAGAAAAUGAAAAGAAAAUGUUCUGGAAAUUUCUUGAUUUUAUUCAAUUUUUCUCAUUACAUAACAAAUACAAUCACGAUAGUAUUUAUACUAAAUCAAGUCUCUAAAACAAAAAUAAUAGUUUGCUUAACAGCUGACGAACAGGACGUAAUGCAUGCUUAACGGAAUUGCUGAGCUGGCUUCUUUUCUUAACUAACUGCUGACGUGUCAUUGGCACACACGUGUUGAAUAUGCAGCUCCCUUUUGUACAAUGUGUGCUUCCUUAACAGCCCCCCUCAAACUCAAGGGGCAGGGAUGCACAUUGAGUUUGCUUCUAAAGUAGUUAAAGUGAAUGAAUGUGAGAGGCUUGGUCAAGAUGUCUGCAAUCUGCUCUUCACUGGGAAUGUAAUUGAUCUCCAGCUCUCUUGCCAACACUUUAUCUCUUAUGAAGUGCAUGUCUAGUUCAAUAUGUUUAGUUCUCGAGUGGUAGACAUGAUUUUUGGCUAGCUCAGUUGCACUUAUAUUAUAGCACUAUUUUGUAGGCACUGAAACACAUUCUAUCUUGAUCGUCUUGAAUAAUGACUGCAACCAUGUAAUUUCUGCACUUGCAAAAGCAAGAGCUCUGCACUCACUCUCUGCACUUGAUCUUGUGACUAUUGAUUGCUUCUUGGAUGACCAAGAUAUCAAAUUAUGCCCCAAGUAAAUGCAGUAUGCCCCUAUUGAUUUUUCUAUCAUCAACAUCAUAUGCCCAAUCUGCAUCUGCAUAUUCUAUUAGCUUUAUUUCUCCACCAGCUGUACACUUUAAUCCAUAGUCUUCUGUUUCUUUCAAAUAUCUAAGUAUCCUCUUACAAGCCAUGAUAUGUUGAAGUGUUAGUGUAGACACAUAUUGACUUAAUUUGUGCACUGCAAAAGCAAUUUCUAGCCUAGUCAGGACUAAAUACUGUAACUCUCCAAUCAAGCUUCUAUAACUAGUUGCAUCUUCAACAUACUGACCCAAAGAUCCCUUAACUUCUUUAUGAAGUUUUGUUCUUGUAACCAUUGGAGUAUCACACCCUUUGCAGUCAAGCAUAUCAACUUUUCUCAGCAAGUCUUUAAUAUAUUUUUUUUUGGGACAGAUAUAUAUCAUUCUCAGUAUAAGAGACUUCUAUACCAAGAAAAUAUGAAAGCUUUCCUAAAUCUUUUAAUGCAAACAUUUUGCUCAAACCUGAGAUAAAUUUUUCAAGUUCAUCACUAUUAGGUCAUGUUAUCAAUAUGUCAUCAACGUAAAUCAGGAUUAGUAUCAUUGAAUUCUGUUCUCCCUUGAAAAAUAGUGAAGUGUCGGCUCUGGAAUUUUGAAAACCCCAAUUUGUAACCAAACAACUCUUCAGUUUGUCAAACCAUACUCUAGGAGAUUGUUUCAACCCAUAUAAGGCCUUCUUCAACUUGCAUACAUAAUCAGGUCUUAUCUCAUCAACAAAUCCUUCAGGUUGGCACAUGUAAACAUCCUCUGUCAAGUCUCCAUUUAGGAAAGCAUUACUAACAUCUACUUGUCUGAUCAUCCACCUAUGCAUUACAGCCAAGCUCAAUAUAACUCUCACUGUAGAAGCCUUUAUAACAGGGCUAAAUCUUUCAAAAUAAUUGAUUCCUUUAGUUUGUUGGAACCCUUUUGCAACCAACCUAGCUUUAUAUUUGGCAAUACUGCCAUCACUAUUUUGUUUGACUCUAAACACCCAUUUGUUUCCAACAAUUUUGUAUUCAGCUGGAGGUGGUAUAAGAGACCAAGUCUCAUUUCUGAUCAAGGCUUCAUAUUCCUCUUUCACGGCCUUAUACCAGUGUUUAUCAUUAAGAGCUUCUCGAACUGUGUUAGGUUCUUUGUUGAUCAAGGUGGUUGUGUACAACUUAGGCUUGAAUAUUCCAGACUUCGAUCUAAUGGUCAUUUUGUGUGUGGGUUGUGAAGUCAGAAUUCUGUUUGGACUGAGUUCAGUUUGUUGUUGACUGGUUACAUGUGGUUCAAAUUGUGUUUGAGUUGGUUCAGGAAUAUGACGGAUAGUUUGUGAUGUUGAUGAUUUUGAUAUGAAUGACUAGAUGAUUCUUGUUGAUGCUGAUUAUUUGUAUGCUCAGGUAAUACAGGUGUUUGUUCAUUACUCGGUACUCUUGCUGAGUAAGUAUCUUCAAAGCUGCUGUUGAGUAAGGGUAAUGUUGAGAGAUGAUAGAUUUGUUGUUUAGAGAAAUUUGACACUGGAGUUUCUGAUUGGAUGACAUUUUCAGAAGAAGAAGUGGCAAAGAUUGUUGCAUAUGGAAAUACAGUCUCAUCAAAGACAUCAUGCCUAAGAAUAUGAACUUGACCUGAGCUUGUAAGACAUUUGCAUCCUUUAUGAGAUGAGCUAUAUCCAAUAAAGAUGCAUUUGCUAGUAUGAAAAUCAAACUCAUGUCUGUUAAAGUCUCUCAUGUAUGGAUAACAAAGACAACCAAAUCAUUUAAGGAAAUUGUAAUCAGGUUUAUGCUUGAAAAGUUUCUGAUGUGGGGAUAAGAGUCUCAAUACAGGUGUUGGCAACCUGUUUAUGUGAUAUACUGCUAUAUGAACAGUUUCCCACCAGAAUUUGAAAGGAAGAUCAGCUUGAGUUAAAAGAGUCAAGGCCAAUUCAAUUAUAUGCCUAUGUUUUCUUUCUACCAGUCCAUUCUGGUGAUGAGUGUAAGGGCAUGAGUGUUUGAAAAUGAUCCCAUUUUGGUUCAAAAAAUCAGUGAAUACUCAAUAUUCUCCCCCUAGUCAGAUUACAUCAUCUUAAUUGUUGUAUUGAACUGAUUCUAUAAUUCUGUCUUUAGAAAUGCAACUAAAUUUUUAAUCUCUUACUCUACAUAAAAUUGAAAUUCGAGUGGCUUAUCAAAUAAAAUUAAAACUAUUAAUUAACCAAAUAAAAUUAUUUAAAACCAUUGGGUAUGGUAGCAGGAGUUCUUGAAACUAUCGAUGCCAUGAAAUUUACUGGCGAAAAGGGUUUUAGAUGUCUAUUUUAUAAAUCUUUUAAUAAUUUUUUUAUUUACCAUUUUACUAUCCAUGGUAAAAGUGUCGCAUCGACAUUGAACAGUUCAACAUAUCAGUCAUUUCUCAUUCAGUCAUUAAGAAUUUACGUUUGGGGUAUUUUUGUAAUUAUGAGAAGGUAAACUAAUCGCAAAAUUCAUUUGGCUUGCACUUGCUCGCCUUUGCUGUGUGUUUGGUUAUGGCGUUAUCAUUAUCAUCUUCUCCACUCCUGCUGACACCAGACCUUAACCGUUCAGAUUCCCUUUCUCGACUGUCAUACCCUACGCCCCGUCUCCGUGUCUCCGAUAAACAGUGCUCAAUUAAGACCAUCAGAUUAUCCCGGACCCACAUUAAUCCAACGGCUCACAAUGACCGACAACCUCUCCAUCUCCAUUACAAGCUCCCUCUUCAGCUGGCUUCUUCUUCCGUCCUACUCUUUCUCGGAUUCGGAGCCCGUAUAUGCUCGGCUGGUCCCACGCAGCUCCCUCUCACUCCAGCUGUCAACCAACAAGACCAAUUGCUUGAUCAAGACACAGAACAAAAAGAGGAUGAGAAAUUGAAUCAAGAAUUUGAGAAUUGGAAAUGGAAGACGUACGCAUUGACCGUGCCUUUGAGAGUCGUUUCUCUUCAGAAUUCAGUGCCUCAAUCUUGGGUUAAGGAUUUUAUGCGAAGUCAAGGAAAGAGAUUGAAGUUUCAGAUGAAUUUGUGUGCUAGCAUUGAUGGGAUCGUUAACAAUUUAUCUACGCCCUUUAACAAAGUUAAGGCUAAGUCAGCUUCGUAUAUGGCUGCUGAUUUGGUUAGUGUUGGUGAUUCAUGGCUCAGUUUUGCGAUUAAAAAGAGAUUGAUCGAGCUAAUAGCUGAAGCUGAAGAUCAAGAUUGGUUCAAAUGCUUAAGUCACAAAUGGAAGGUAACAUCUUUAUCUUUUACCCGAUAAUUUUUAUUGUCUUACCUUGAAAUUUGGUAAUGUAAUUUGUUCUCUAUCUGUGUUACCCUUUAUAGUCAUUUUAUUUAUUUGUUUAUUGCUUUUAUUUGCACUAACGAAAUCUCAGGUAUAUCUACGCAGCAAUGAUGCAGGAGAAAUUGAUCCUCGAGGUCAAAUAUGGGCGGCACCAUACAGGUGGGGCACAAUGGCGAUAGGCUACAAGAAAAGUAAAUUUCAAAACCAUAAUUUGGCUCCGAUUGAGGUAAUAAUUGUACUUAAACUCAUUUAGUUUAAUAUCAAGCAAAAUCAAGACUGCCUUUCUCUUCAAUAUUUUCAAUGAUAAUAUCUUUAGAAGCAUCUCAUUGACGGGUAACAAUGGUAUCCCUGAAAGAGUCUAUAAACUCAAUGAUAUUAUCUUCUACAAUGGCUCAUUAAACUUUGUCGUUGCAGUCAAAUGUACACUCAGAGCAAUGAAAAGCUAUGCCACUGUAGCAUGUAGUGAUGGCACUUAAUAAGUGAAUUGCUAGGAUGUGAACUAGAAAAAUUAAAUAUUGUCUCCUUGGGUAUGCUAGCUCGUAAGUCAGGGUUACUAUUAGAGCUUAAGAUACUAUAACCAUGAGAAGCUAUUGACUGCCAAUUAAAAUAUCCAUUAAAAUGUCUAGGGAGUUAUGAAGGUGGAGGUAGCUUCCAAUAACUAACUUGAGUUUGGUAAAACAAACAGACAGUGUGUCUCAUGUCUCACAAUUCAAAUUAUCAUCUGUAAUGAUGGAGAAUUUUUCUAAUGUAUGAAGUAUGCUUUCAUACGUGGAUUAGCUUGGAGAAGAUAUCUCAAAAUAAAGAAUAUGGGGAGCGAAUGGGAAAAAAACAGUUCAGUAGUUUAUUAUUCUGUAGUCAAGUUUUGUCUUGAAAAUGGUCAAAAUUUAAAUGAAUAAGGACAGGGGAUCUUCAUUCUUUUUUCCCUUUUUUAUACCAAGAUAUCUUUCAACCUUUAUAUAAUCCCCACUGGAUAUCUGCUUCUAAUAAUUAAAAUAAAAAUUUCACCCACACAAAUAAAUACUGACCAAGCUCUAACAAUAAAAACUAACAUCUUUAGUCAAGUAACAUCUUUAGUCACGUAAUUUACAGUUCCUCAUCAUCUUAGUGUGAGCUAUCAGUACGAUCUAAAAACAUAAUAAAACUGGUUUGAUCCUGUUUAUUGAUGUUUAAAUGUUGUUUAUUGUGACAAGUAAAUUAGUAAGAUCUUGUUUGAAGUUGUUUUCCGAAAUGAACUGCCAAAUGGUAGUUUUUUUGGGGCAUCUGAUGGCUCUUUUUUCCUCAUUUUAAACAUGUGCCUGCUUGGAAUGGGAAGGAUUAGGCUGCAGAGUUGUUAUAUAUUUUGACAUGCUCUGGUAAUUACACAAUUUGUUCACACUGGAAAUUAGAAUGAGAAAUUUGUUGAUGCUGUUUUGAUAGAUCUGCAUUCUAUGCACAAUAACAUGAUUAAUGAAAAUGGAUUGUAGGACUGGAAAGAUCCGUGGUGGCCUGAGCUCGCAGGAAGAAUUUCAAUGGUUAAUUCUCCCCGAGAGGUUAUUGGUUCAGUUUUGAAGUAUAUGGGAGCAUCAUAAAAUUCAAACAAUAUUGAUUUGCAAGUUGCUGGUGGGAAGAUUGCUGUUCAGCAGAAUCUGGCAUUACUGGCAAACCAGGUACUCUUAAAGAAAUGAUAUCUGAUCAUUGCAUGUUAUUGCCUGACAACUGAUUUUGUUUGUAGAAGUCUGCUUCUUCAUACAUAUGAAUGCAUAUGCUAGUGUUUUCUUCUCCUUUUCAUACAUAUGAAUGCGUAUGUUGGUGUUGUCUUUUCCUUUUCAUACGUAUUAAUAAUACAUAUGUUGGUGUUCUCUCCUGAGAUGGAUGCAAUAAAGGCUUUUGCUCCUAAAUUUAGCUGAAGAAAUGGCAAGGGAUGUGAGAUUCUGUCUCAUUAAAUUAACAAAAACCCAAAACAAUGAAAAACCAUAAUAAUGUGGUGUGGGUAAACUGGCUCCAUUUGGUUCGUUUCCUUAAUGUGAAUACGCAAACAAUGGAGACUAACAAAAUGAAGUGACAACAACAAGUCAGUGUCCUUUGAUGGAUGCAUUUUUAAGCAGAAAUAGGUUUGUAAUUGACCAAAUUUGUCUGGCAUGCCAAUUUCGAAAAAAUUAAAUUAUGUGAUUAUUACCUGUAAUGAAGGGGGAUAGUAGGUGCAAUCAGGUGGAUCCCGGAAAGUUCAACAAAGUUCUGGUAUGGUGUAUUGAAAUUGGUUUGUGCAACUCAAGAGUCUUUCAGGUGAACGAUGAUGGGUUUUGAUUUAUGAAUGUUAUAAAUCUACUGUGCAUAGUAUUCUAGUAGAAUCAUUUAUAAGUUCUAGUUAUUGAAAUUGUCUACUUUGUCCGGUUUGAGUUAAGGGCACAUGUAAUAUGAAAAAUAGUUGUCGCAUCUUUUAGGUUACCUAACAUUUGAUCAAUCCUAUUAUGAGGGCUUCAAGAUGUCUAACAAUAUGUAGAAUGCCCAUGCUCCUCCCCAUUGUUUAUCUUAUACAAUAAUUUGUUUUAGAUGCUAAUAUCUUUGUCGAUACUGGUAACAUUAUUACAAUCUCUGCUUUUAUUGGGUUCUACAUAGGUUCGACUGUUUGACAGUACACACUAUCUGAAGGCAUUUGGAAUUGGAGAUGUAUGGGUUGCUGUUGGGUGGAGUAGUGAUGUUCUUCCUGCUGUCAAACGUAUGUCUAAUGUUGCUGUUGUUGUUCCCAAGUCUGGUGCAAGCUUAUGGGCCGAUCUUUGGGUAUUCCCAUGCCUGCCAUUCUACUUCGAUAUUCACUUUGUUAUCACCUUCAUAUUAGUGAUCAGUAAACACGAUAAUGUGACUAAUAAGUUUGUAUUCUCUUUAUAGGCGAUCCCUGCUGCCUCAAGACUUGAAACAAAACAAAUUGGAGGGCAAGUCAGAGGUCCGUCUCCAUUAAUCCAUCAAUGGAUAGAGUUCUGCUUGCAAACAGCAAGAGCAUUGCCUUUCAAGCAAGAGGUUAUCCCAGGCGCAUCUCCCUCUGCCCUUGAAAGUACUCUGGUUAAGUUGCCUGAAGAACUUCUGAAGGGUAAACCAAGUGUGGAUACUAACUUAAUUGCUGGAGUACCCCCCCGCUGAAAUUCUGGCCAGAUGUGAGUUUUUGGAGCCAUUAUCUGAAGCUACAUUGUCAGAUUAUGAGUGGCUGGUUGCUAAUCUGCAAAACCUGCUCCUGUCUUGAUGAAAAGGGUGCAGCAUUACUUGUCAUCAUUAAUCCAAAGCUUUCUAGCAAAGCUACAUUGAAAAGUUAAUGGCACUGCAUACAAUCAUGAGUUUUAAUGGAGCAAGAACUAAAUACAAUUAUCGCUAACAAAUACUGAAAACACAACCCACACAGGAAAUCACCCUUCGCGUGGGGAUGGAGAUGUUUACUGGAGCGAUAUUGAAUAUGUGCAAGGUGUUGUCCACUGCUCUUUGGGUUAUGGUGUGACUUGCGAUUUCAAGAUUGCCCAGAAACAAUGGAAAAGAUUAACAUAUCCUCCCAUGAGUGAAAACGGCUUGACUAAUUCUAAUUACCGAAUUGACUCAGGAUCAGGUAGCAAUAAUAACAGUUAACUAACAUUGCACAGUCCCGAGUACUUUUCCAGGAUCAGAUACAACGUGGUCUAAUGUUGAUAAUAAUACCUUAUUAAAGGACAAAUCAUUGUUCUUGGGUGUUGAUAGUAAUAGCUUAUUAAAGUAGAAGAUGAAGGUUGUGCAGGUGAUUUCAGAAAUAAAAUACAUUCUGAGAGAUGAUGGUCUACUAUUGCAAGCCCCCAGAUUUCAGAAUCUUUUGAUUGCGGCAUUUGGCAACGAUUCCACAAAUUCUAGAUUCCAACUGAGUUAUCAAUUGAAAAUGAAGUUGAAUUGAAAAAGAACAACAAAUACACAGUGAAGUUGAAUUGAAAAUGAAGUUGCAAGUUGCGCCCAUAGCUGCUGACUAAUAAUAAAACGAGACAAAUUAAUUAAACUCAGAUCUCUAUGUACAUGUCAACCUAACUUUACUUUUCCUUGUUUGUUAUAUUCACUUAACACUUGAUGCCUAAACCAUUAAAACCAAAUGACCAUAGAGGUAUUUGUAAUAUGUAAAAACAAACAAAAACACGUAAAAAAUUUUAAAAACAAUUAAUAAUCACACUCUAAAUUUACCACUCAACUCUAAAUAAUAACCAUACUCAAACAAUUUACAACUUUUGACGGGAGUAGCUAUGAGGAAAAUCCUUUCUCAAUGGAUUGCCAUUGCCCAAGAGUUGCAAUGAAAACGUACCACCUGCAGCUGUGCCGGAAGAUUCAACUAGGUCUGAAAAAGAUGAUAAUUUAAUUGAUAUGGACAGUAAUUGUGAUAUCGGAAAGCAUUAGUAUUCUAUAUGUGAACCAUUAUUGGCGACAUCGAUAGUUUUAUAUUAUUAAAAUGUGGAUGACUUCCAUUUACUAUUUUGUUAUAGACAAUCUUAUUCAAUUAACAUAUAGUUUUAAACUAUUAUGUAAAUCAAUCUAUUAAUUUUCAUGAUAUUUAACUGAGUUAAAACUAAGUGCAAUCAAUAAAUCUCUUUUCCUUUAAAAAACCGCUACGUUUUAAUUUUAGUGCUUAAUAUUUAUUGAACUCUGAUACAGGAAAUUUGAAAUCAAACUCGUAACUACAAAUUAUUUAAUUGCGAGUUGCUGUCCAUAGCUGCUGAUCUGUAGUAAUUAUCUAAUUGACUGAGGUGACAACAAUUUUUUUUUUUUUCGGAAAAAUGUCAAUAGCACAAAUUCAAUAAUUAAAUUCUCAUGUUUAAUUUGUUUCAAGUUAAAUUAUUAAUUACUAAAACUCUGUUUUAAGUCUUUAAUUUUAUAUCUUGGCGUAUAUGCAGAGUUGGAUUCUUGAGUGAGUUGGGCAUUAAAAUGUGUGGACUCCGGUAGCUGUCCCACAAGUGUACAACUCUACAAUAAUAAUUGAGUACACACUUUUAAUUCUGGGGACCCUUCAAUGAAUUUCUAGCCCCGUUGACUCCACUGACUAGAGUUUUGUAAAAUAAUAAAAAAAAAGUACAUAGAAUUCCACCAAAUGCAAAAGCAAAAUGUGUGGAAUUUAAUUUUUGGCCGUGUGGACCAAAAUACAAUUUAACGAAAAAAGAAAAAAAAAAUUGUAAGAUUUCUAAAAUAUGUGGAAAGUGAUUCAUGUUUUACUGAAAUGACUUGUCUCAUGAUUGAUUUUUUUUUUUUUUUGAAAAAUAUCAACGUCCAUAUCUUUCUACCCUAGAACAUGCUCACAUUCAAGUCUAUCUUUGCUAAUUUGAGAAAGAAAAUCAAAUCAAAUCAAUACCAAAGCAAUGAAAAGUUAAGCUUUUGAAUUUUAACUUCAGCUAGCAAACGUAUUCAGCGUUUUCAAAUUCUUCCCAUUGCAUAUCUUCUUCCUCCAUCAAUGCAAUAUUAAGUACUUUUUCUUCAUUAUAUUCUUUUCUUUGCAUUUCUUCUUCCUCCAUCAAUGCAAUAUUUGAACAAUUAAGAAAGAGUUUAAGAACAUAAAAAAUCUUCUAGGUUUAUACGGUACAACAAAUUUAAAUUCUCAAUUAUAAUAGAUAAUAAUUAAACUAAUAAUUAUUUAUUUACUUAUUUUGGUAAUUUCACCUAAGAAUAAUAUUGCAUUAGAAAAAAUCUAAUAAGUGGGGUGGUUUUAUACAAAAUCAACUACAUACAGUAAUAAGUGAGUACGCACCUUUGAUUCUCGGGACCCUUCAAUGAAUUUCUAGCCCCGUUGACUCCACGGGCUACGGCUAAAGAUCUGUAAAACAAGUAAAUAGAAUUUCCACAAAAUGCAAAACUUGUCGAAUUUAAUUUUUGACCAUGUGGAUCAAAAUGUAAAUUAAAGAAAAAGACAAAACAAAAAGAGGUAAAAUUUCCAAAACGUGUGAAAGAUGACUCAUGAUUUAUUAAAACGACCUGCCUCGAAUAUCAAGACGAUUAAUCUUUUUAAAUUUUUUUUUUUGAAAUAAUAUCAACUCUCAUAUUUUUCCACUCGCAGAACAAGUUCACAUUCAAGUCUAACUUGCUAAUUUGGAAAACGAAAUCAAAUCAAAUCAAUAUCAAAGCAAUGAAAAGUAAAACUUUUGGAUUCUAACUCCAGCUAGCAAACGUUGGAAUGCAAUAAUUAAAUUCUUCUGUUUAAUUUGUUUUAAGUUAAAUUACUAAUUACUUAAACUCUGUUUUAAGUAUUUAAUUUUAUGUGUUGGUGGGUAUGCAGAAUUGGAUUCUUGAGUGACUUGGACAUGACCACAAUGAAAUUGAUGGCAAACAAACAUUAAAAUGUGUGGACUCCGGUACCUGCCGCACAAUUCUACAAUAAUAAGUGAGUACGCACCUUUGAUUCUCGGGACCCCUUCAAAAAAUUUCCAGCCUUGUUGACUCCACUGGCUAAGGCUAAAAUUUUGUAAUAGAAAAAAGGUCAAUUCUUGUGGAAUUUAAUUUUUGGCCUUGUAGACCAAAAUGUAAAUUAAAGAAAAAGACAAAAAAGAAAAGGGGCAAGAUUUAUAAAACGUGUAGAAGGUGGUCCAUGAUUUAUUCGAAUAACCUGCCUCGACUCGAAUAUUGUAAUGAUUGAUUUUUUUUAUUUUUUUAAAAUAAUAUCAAUUCUCAUAUCUUCCCACUCCUUGAAAAUGCUCACAUUCAAGUCAAAUUAAAUGGACACCAAAACAAUGAAAAUUGAAAAGUAAAACUUUUGAAUUCUAACUCUAGCUGGCAAACGUAUUCAGUAUUUUUAAAUUCUUCGAAUCGCUUAUCUUCUUCCUCCAUCAAUGCAAUAUCAAGUAUUUUUUUCUUUUUCGUAAUCUUUUCUUUGCAUUUCUUUUUGCUCCAUUAAUGUAAUUUAACUUCUUUUUUUAUUUGAACGGCUCGGAAAGAGUUGAAGAACAUAAAAAAGCUCUUGGUUUUAUACGGUAAAACAAAUUUAACUUAUAAUUAUUCAACUAACAAUUAUUUAUUUACCUAUUUUAGUAAUUUCACCGAAGAAUAAUAAUCUAAUUACAAAAAAUCUAGUCAGUUGGGUGGUUUUAUACAAAGAGUAAUGAUAUAGCCACAAACUCUUGUACAAACUUAUUUUGUACAAACUGAUGUGGCGUUAAUUCAUUGGUUGAAUUAAAUAUCUCUUGGCCCACAUGAUUUGUUUAUAUUAUUUUAUAUUUCUAUUCAACCAAUGAAUUAAUGCCACAUCAGUUUGUAUAAUAUAAAUUUAUACAAGAGUUUGUGGCUGUAUCAUUACUCUUAUACAAAAUCAACUACAUACCCAUAUACAGAUGCAAAUGCAAAUAAUAUUUUUAAAUAAGAAAAUUGUAUAUUGAGAUGAAUAAGAUGUUUCUAUGAUUCUAUCUUAGGAAAGCUCGGUGGUGGUAACGACAUGAAGUUGCGAGUUGCCGCACACAGUUGCUAGUAAUAUAAUAAAACAAGACAAAUUAAUUAAACUCAGGCCUUUACGUAUAUGUUAUCUUAACUUUACUUGCCCUUGUUUGAUGAUAUUCAUUCUUGGAGCUAAGGGCGCAUGUAAUAUUUGUAAUUGUAUUAAGUAUAUAUUAAUGUGAUUUUCAAAAUCAGGUUUUAAAAUCUGUAGGAUAGGCUGAUUUUGGUAGUUUUGGGUCGGCCGUUGCAGUCAUUGGGACUGACUUAUUAUUAUUAUUAUUAUUAUUAUUAUUAUUAUUAUUAUUAUUAUUAUUAUUAUCAUCAUUAUUAUUAUUAUUAUAAUUAUAAUAUCAACUUCCAUAUCUUUCUAAACCCGGAAUAUGCUCACGUCACGUUCAAGUCUAUCUUGCUAACCUGAAAAAGAAAAUCAAAUCCAAUCAACACCAAAACAAUGAAAAUUAAAGCUUUUGAAUUUCAACUCCAGCUAGCAAACAUAUUCAGCGUUCCCAAUUUCUUCCCAUUGCAUAUCUUCUUCCUCCAUCAAUGCAAUAUUAAGUACUUUUUCUUGAUCAUAUUCUUUUCUUUGCAUUUCUUCUUCCUCCAUCAAUGCAAUAUUUGAUCGAUUAGGAAAGAGUUUAAGAACAUAAAAAAUCUCCUAGGUUUAUACGGUAUAGCAAAUUUAAAUUCUCAAUUAUAAUAGAUAAUAAUUAAACUAAUAAUUAUUUAUUUACUUAUUUUAGUAAUUUCACCUAAGGAUAAUAUUGUAAUUAGAAAAAACUAAUUAGAACAAUUUAAUUUUUGGCCGUGUAGACCAAAAUAUAAUUUAACGAAAAAGGAAAAAAAAAAGGGUAAAGAUUUUUAAAAUGUGUGGAAAGUGAUCCAUAUUUUGUUCGACUUGUCCCGAACAUCACGACGAUUGAUUUUUUUAUUUUUUUUUUAAUAACAUCAACUUCCAUAUCUUUCUACCCUCAGAACAUGCUCACAUCCAUAUUUUUUAUGUACUUAUUUUAGUAAUUUCACCUAAGAAUAAUAUUGUAAUUAGAAAAAAAUCAAAUAAGUAGGGUGGUCUUAUACAAAAUCAACUGCAUACAUAUAUGCAGAUGCAGAUAAUAAUUUUUAAUUCCUUUUUUUAAUAAGAAAAUUGUGUAUUGAGAUGAAUAAGAUGUUUAAUUUAAUUAAUUUCCUUACUUUCAUAUACAUUGUCUUUCUAUCUAGAGAAAGCUUGGUGCUCAGAACGACAUGAAGUUGCGAGUUGUCGCCCAUGGCUGCUGAUUAAUAAUAAAACGACACAAAUUAAUUGAACUCUGGCCUCCAAGUAUAUGUUAUCCUAACUUUACUUGCUCUUGUUUGUUAAUAUUCAUUCUUAGAGAGGUGAAAAAAAUUACAAGUCUUGAAUAACGAGGAGUUUAAUUGCCUCUAACUUUACUUGGCCUUCUAUAAUCUCAUUAAUAAUACAGAGAAUUAAUUAUCUUUUUAUUAUUAAACCAAAGAAUUAGUAGCAGUUAAUAUUAAUAUUGCCCACCCAAGAAAUAUGAGUGAAUUAAAGUAUUGGCAAGAGUUCGCUCAGAGGAGCAUUUAAACCACUUCCUUAUCAAUUGCGGCAGCCGUCUAUUAACUAAAACGCCAAUCUAAUACACGAAGAAAGAACAUUUACAGACUUGGCAAUUGAGUUCAUUAAGAAGUAGCAUCGCAUUCGGGUGAUGAGUUUCCUUUUGUUAAUAAUUUUAGUCUAAUUUCCAUUGUACUGAGAUCGCUUCUCGAGGUAAGUGAAAGUUACAGAUGUGGCAAAAUAAAUAAUUAAAUUAACAAAAUGCUAACUAAUUUUCCUAAAUACCUAGGGUUGUACAAUUUCAUCAACCUGGAAGAAUUGACAUUAAUGGACUGGUCUCCUCCCCAUAUAAUUAUAAUCCUUCUAGAAAGCUAAUUUUUAUUAAAUAUUUUCUUUUAAGUUAAUUUCAAUUAAAAUUUUUUUUAAGUUAUAUAUACUCUAAUGAGAUUCUGAAUUCCUUUCUUCCAAUAAUAAUGAAAACGUAUUAAAUUAGAAAUGAAAAAAUUGGUGUUGAUGAUUCAACCUGUUUGGAUAGAUUACGCGAAUAAAAUUGAAAUUUUGAUUUAAUUUUUGUUUAUUGUUAAUUCUCAGGCUAUCUUAAUUUCAAGAAUUUAGAAUGUUAAUUUGGUCAUGGAUUUCAACCCAUGAGUGUCAUAUUCUAGACUUAAUGGUACCAUUCUUUGAUUGAGGGCAAUGACUCUCACUCCUCUUGUAAAAAACUAUUUUCAACUAUUUUGAUGACUUAAAAAUUGAUAGAUUUAUUGUUGUCAUGACCAAAUUAUUCAUUUUAAUUAAACAUAAUUAAUGCAUCAAAGUUACCAGGUUUAUGUUCUAUCUUAAUGCGCUUUUUUUUUUUUUUCAGUUAUCAGCUAUGCCCCUGAGGCAUUUUGUAGAGUAUAGCUUCUGCUUACCUCUGUUUCAUUUUUUUUAAUAAAAAAAACAAGGGAAGGUUUUUCCGAGUCGUCCAUUAUUUGAUUACCGUCAAUCAAGAAAACGACCAAAUUAAUUUCUCUCCAAAAUUUCCAAAAGCUAGAAAAUUUUGUUAUUUGAAAAUAACAUCAUUAAUUAUAGAGUGGAUCAAACCGCGUUAUUGUCUUUUAUAAAAUUGAUGUCUUUUUAAGAGUCAAUGCAUUUUAUUUACACAAACCAGUCGACAUCAACUUGAACUUCCAUAUUUUUAUUAUUAUGUUAUUUAUUUUAAUCCCCGAUUAUUUGAUUAGCCACUAUAUAUAUCAAGAAAGCGACAAAAUUUAUUUCUCAUGACUUCCAAAAACUAGAAAACAACAUCAUUUAUUAUUUUUUUGCAACCCUAAUUGACAUCAACUUUAACUUUAUUAUGUUAUUAUUUCAAUCCCCCAUUAUGACCUUUCUAAUCCUCCAUUAUGCAUCUUUUAUAGUGCAAAUUUAAUUGCACAUCUAAAUAAAUUGAUUAUUGUCACUCCACCACCAAUAUUUCAAAUAGUCACUAGACCAUUUCUGCCUUUAAUUUUCCCUUAACUAUUGACUGUUUUUAGCAUCUUAAAAUAUACAUUUAUUCCUUGAUUAUGUGAUAAAAUUAUGAAAAUAUCCAUUUUAGCUUAAAUUAAUUGAAAUAACCAUAAGCGUAACUUAAAUUAAUAGAACAAAAUUAUCAAGUGUAUGUUCUAUGUUACAUUUUGAAGAAUUUAACAUAUACAAUGCUAUACUAUUAAUUCAUUUAUCAUUUAAUAUAUAUGUUCAAAUAUUUUAUAUAUUUAUUAAUUGUUAUAUAGUCAAAGGAUGAAUGAUUUUUCAGGUCUACAUGAGUUGGUGCAUCUGCAAGACUCAAUUUUGACAACAAUGAUCUAAGGGGUAAUUUACCUUGGCGUUUGACAAAUUUAACCUCUCUUCAAGAUUUACUUCCAAUCUACUUACUGUAAAUAUCUCCUCAUCUCCUCUCAUUUAUAUGAUAACCCUUGAAGAUCUCACAUUUUCAAACAAUCAUAUUAGGGUUUUUAUUAUUAGCAUCAUCGUGUCAAUAAUAUAUGUUGCAGUAAGAUUUUUUCAGACCAAUUCCCUUCUUCAAAUAAUAAUGGAAAAGUAUUAAUUUAAAAAUAAAAUGAAUAUUGUAAAAUAAAGAACAGAGUUUAUGAAUAAAACUCUUGUAUUCCUUGCAUUAACGUUGCUACAUAUAUAUAUAGAUGUACAACCCUAAAGAAUAGAAUCCCAGGUAGAAAAGCAUUACAGAUUCAUAAUAUAUAUACAAAUCUAAUUGCUUUAAAUAUGAAACCGAAUUCUAUACGACUUCUAUAUACAAAACCGAAUGCUAUACGAAUUCUAUACGUUAAUAAAUAUGCAUUGAUUAUAUCCUAAUUUUCAUCAAUUAUAGCGAGAGUUUCUCCAAAUCAACUCCCUUAUUCAAAUAAUACAGAAAAAAUAGUAAUUUAAUAGUAAAAUUAACAAGUGUUGAUUAUAUAUCCUAAGUUUCAUCGAUUAUGUGAUCAAAGUGGCAUUGUUGAUUUAUUUCUUGUUCAAUGUAAAUUUUUAGGUUAUCUAAAUUUCAAGGAUUUAAAAUCUUUGUUCAUGGAUUACACGCUUAUUAAUUUUUCUGCCAUUGACUGUCAUAUUCUAGACUUAAUGGUACCUUCCUUGAUCGAGGAUAAUUACUCUAUGUUCUCCUCUUAUAAAUUCUUCUUCCAUUAACAUCACUAGGAGUAUGUUGAUCUCUCAGACGUUAACUUCAGUGGAGAGUUUCCAAAUUGAUUGUCACAAAACAACACAAAAACUAGACACACUUGAUCUGUCUAAUAAUUCUCUUUCGGUAAAAUUAAUUAAUUUUAGGGGAAUAUUCGACCAACCUAUAUAAUUUUAGAUUGAUCAUUAAUUAAUUGGACGAAAAAAGUACUUGUGCUUUUGUGGCGACAAUUGAACCAGAGAAGUGAAGCUGUAAAGAUUUGGCAGUAGUAAAUUGUUAGAAAGACAUAAAGACAAGUUCCCAUUAUUAUAAUUUUUUCAAAAAACUUUUUUACAACACAUGCACCUGGCCAAAAAUUUUAUUUUGCUAACUAACAAUAAUUGAUUAGCUGACCGAAUUGACUCCACCUACUUGCUAAAGUAAAAAAAUAGAAAUAGAAUUUCCACAAAAUGGCAAACAUGUAAAAUCUAAUAUUUGGCCGUGUGGAACAAAAUACAAAUGAAAAAAAAAAUAGAAAAAAGGCCUAAAGACUUUUAAAAUGUGUGGAAGUCUUUCUGCCCUUUUAUAAUGGUGUGUUUUUCAAAGGAACAAAUAAUAAUAAUGACACUUCAACGGUUUGUUUUGAUAAUCACACCUAUACUCUUUAAUUUGAUAAAUGGUUACACAAAUUUUGUUUACAAAAAUAUAUUAUUCAUGUUCUGUAUUAUUUUUUAACAUCAUAUUUUUAUUUAUUAUAAUUGUUUAAAGUUAAUUGUUGGGUUGAUAUAUAAUAAAAAUGUAUAAUCGUUCUCUUACUAAACACACAUACUCAUAGUUUCUGUUCAUUUGUCAUCUCAAUCUAUCUCAUUUAUCCUUUGUUGAUAGCUCAAAACGCGUCACUGUAGAAAAUUAUAGCAAAACGACAAAUAUGGAAAAAAUGGGAAGAAAAUUAAUGCAUGAAAGAGUUGCAGAAGACAACCAAAUAAGUCAACUAUACGCUAGUUGGGUGUAUAAAUUGUUAGAUGUGUUAUAAACAAAUAGCAUAGAGCCUUGGUUGGUUACAGAGAUAGAAAAAGUGUGUGUUUUUUAGAACUUAAAGAUAUAGUUAGAAUGGGUGGUUCAAAAUCAAAAAUGGUGAUAAUGUUUGUUCUGUUAUUAAUAAUAUUAGAAGGUGGGUGGAGUGAAGGAUGUUUGGAUCACGAGAGAUUUGCUCUUUUGCGACUGCAACAUUUCUUCAAUGAUCCUUAUAAUUAUCUUCCCAACCGGGUAGAUGAUGAGGGAGCUACUGAUUGUUGUCAGUGGGAAAGGGUUGAGUGCAGCAACACCACAGGCCGACUGAUAGCGCUAGACCUUUUUGGCACGUAUUGGCGAGAGUACAGCUGGUAUCUGAAUGCUUCUUUGUUUACUCCCUUCCAACAACUUGAGUCACUUGAUUUACAUGGCAACAACAUAGCCGGUUUUGUUGAGAAUGAAGGUGCUUCGUCUAAUUCAAUUAAAUUACAUUUCGCUCUCCUAAUUUAAGUCGAAUAUCAAGACUGAGCAGCUAUAUGCAUAUUCAUUCAAUUGACAAUUUUUACAUAUUUUUUAAAAUGUUUAAUUUUGAAAUUACACCAAACAUCAUAUGUGAUCUUUGUUUUGAUUUUACUUGCAGGUCUAGAAAGAUUGAGCAACUUGAAGAGGCUUGAUUUAAGUUAUAACUUGUUCAACAAUAGCAUCUUAUCAUCUGUGGCUCGUCUUUCAUCAUUAGCAUUAUUAUAUUUAAGUGGUAAUAGGUUGGAGGGAAGUAUUGAUGUUAAAGGUACAUAAUAAAAACGUCAUCUCUUCUCCCAACUCUUUCAUUAACAUGCUAAAAUAAGAUUCAAGGCUUUGAAUUCAAUUUUUUUUAUGAGUAAAUAUUAGAAAAAUAGUUUUAAGCAAUUCAUAAAUACAAUUUUCAAUGUUUCUCAUAAUUUCAUCUUGUACUUUUGUAUGUCUUGACUUUAAGAUUAAAAAAAAAAUUACUCUAACUGUGAAGCAAAUACCCCAUGACUAAUUUACAAUUUUGUCCAGUUAAAAAUGAUAAAAUUUAUCAUUUGUUCAUAUUGAUUUAUUAACUCUAUUUUAAGUCUUAAGUCUUGGCGUCUUGGCAUGUUUGCAGAAUUUGAUUCCUUGAGCAACUUAGAGGAGUUGGACAUGAGCUACAAUGAAAUAGACAAUUUCGAGGUUCCUCAAGGUACACAAUUAAAAUAUUAUUUAAUUACAUUAAUUUAUUUCGUUUGAUUAGGGAAGGCCCAAAAUGUACAAAAACAUAAUUAAAAAAAAUAAAGAAACAGAGAAUUCAUAUUAUUUCAAAAAACAAAACGUAAUACUAUUAUUUCAAAAAAAGAAUGUAAUAAAGAUUUGAUUUCGGUUCUUUAAUCUUUACAGCAAUUGAAAAACGAUGUUGCUCUUUUCCUAAAGCAUAAAAUAUGAAAUGAGUCAUAAUUGAAUUAGUCAUUUAUUUUGUUUAGAUCUAAAUUUAGACAAUAAAUUUUGAUUUUUUUUUCAAUCAUUUCCUAAUUAUUAUUAUUAAACAGGUUACAGAGGUUUGAGGAAGCUGAAAAGCCUGCAUCUAUCGGGAGUUGGAAUUAGAGAUGGAAGCAAGUUGUUACAGUCAAUGGGAUCAUUCCCAUCCCUCAACACUCUUCACCUUUCGUUUACUAGUUUUACGAAAACAGUGACAACUACUCGAGGUAAGUAAAAGGUACGGAUGUAGCCAAAUUUAUAAAUUAAUUGUUAAUUAAUUAAUUUUUCCGUAUUAUUAAUUAAGCUAAAUUUGUUGCUCCUUCCUUCUAAAUCUAAACAGAGUUGCACAGUUUCACCAACUUGGAAUAUUUGAGAUUGGACGACUCCUCUCUCCAUAUAAGCCUUCUGCAAAGCAUUGCAUCAAUAUUCCCUUCAUUAAAAAAUCUGUCGAUGUUGGGUGGUAAAGUCAACGGUCUCCUACGCGGUCAAGGUAAAAGAAAAGCUUUGAUUGUGAACUCACUCAAUGGUGUCCUACGUGUUCAACAUUUUUAUUUAUUUAUUUUAUUGUUUAAUGUUUCUGCUAGGUUUUCCUCAUUUCAAGAGUUUGGAAUAUUUGAAUAUGGAUUUCACGCGCAUUGCACUCAACACCAACUUUCUUCAAAUCAUCAGUGAAUCGAUGCCUUCUCUUAAGUACUUAUCACUGUCAGAUUCAUAACAGUAAAAAUUUGUUGCUCAACAUGAUGUGUAUUUUUUUUCAAGGCACUUUGGAAACACAAUUGUUACUACAGAUAUUCUUCUCAACUUGGAGAUAAAUACAAAUAUUAAAAUGCAUAUGAUCACACAUAUUACUUCGAGUUUAGUAAGAUUUCAUUAAAAGAAGCAAUCAAACCACUUAUCAAUUGUCGCAGUCGUUCUAUAAACUAAAAUAGCAAUAUAAUACAAGAAAAAGAACAUAUAGAUACUUGGCAAGAGUUCAUUAAGAAGUCGCAUCACAUUCGGGUGAGGAGUUUGCUUCUGAUAUCUUGCUAGCUGGGGCUUUUUCUUGUCUUUCUACGUAUGCCGAGGGAAACCAACCAGCUUGGCCCUUGCAUUCACCUUCCGACCAUCCAAUAGGAGCAACCUUGAGAAGUUAUAACUAAAACGGUGAAUUAAACAAAAGUUGACCGUUCAAAGACCUAAGGGGAAAACUAAUUCUUUUACGUAGAAUGAGUGAACUAGUUGUGAUCACUGAAAUAACAACAUAACUAUGGAAGCAUAACUAGAUAUAAAUUCACAUGGCUAUAAGGGUAAACUGAGUGGUUUAGAACUGAGCUAGCAACCCUACUAUAUUCUGAUUUGCACUUCAAUGUAAAAGGGAAUAUAUGGUAGGAAGAAAGAAAACCAACCAUCAUUUGUUAACUCAUUGCUUUUCAAUCAAAAUUUUAAGAACAAAAUGCCAUGUGCUUUGAACAUCAAAUAAGUAUAAGCAUUAGUUCUAAAUUCCACAUAUCAUAAGUUGUUAGAAGGAUAAGUUAAUAGCAGAGUAGAAAAAUCUAUGUGUUGGUAUUUAGAGGGGAAAGUACCUGGCGAACCACAAUAUAAUCAUCAAUUGAAAGACUUAGCUUUCCAUUUGCUUGAGCAUCAAAUGGAUGUAUAACCUGCAAGAUAAUGGGAUAAAUAGAACUUUAAAAAAGCAUAACAAAAGCAGCAACAGUAGCAGCAACGUUCAUUGUAACCACUAUGAUCAUGGCCAACAAAGAUAUAUUAGAAACAAAAUUCCAUUUUUACUACGACAUUAAUAUGUACUAUACGAUAUCAUGACGAUUGGGUUACUAAGAGCUAUCAAAGUCUAAUAAGUUCUGUAUAACUUUAUGUAGUUAUUUAAAUUAUGGAUCAGAUUUUAAAUUUGAAAUUUUGACUGCUCUCCACAAAACAUGGCCUAUGCACAAGAAAGUCAUAGAUAAUGAGGAUUACAAGUGUCCGACAUCUUUUGAGUGAUGGAUUUAACAUGAGAGCUUAUGGUCAGUCAAUUUCCUCUGCCUAGCAAUAUAAGCUUUCUCGGCCAGAUUUAUCAUCAAAUACAUAGAUUGCCCCCAAGUCACAUCCAUAUAAACAUAGUUUUUCUAGGUAAACCAAGUAAGGAGUAUCAUAAUUCAGACAUAAUCAUAAAAAGGCCCAUCUAACUUAAGAGAAAAUCUCAAAAAUGGCUACAUCGUCUUGUAUCUAUAAGCAAUAUCAAGACUUUACAUCACCUGCUACAUCGUGAGUGGCUACACAACUUUCAAUGGUUUGUCUUUCUUUGGCAUGCCUAACUCAGCUUUGAUGUUGCUGAGAUAUUGAUAGUAGAGACACAUGAUACUUCUAGCUCAUGCAUUCUAUCUAACUCAUCCAACAACUAUCUCUUUUUUAAUUCAUUAGUGUUUGCUAAACCUCAUGCUUAAAAGUCCUGUUCUCCUAAACAAAGUUUCCUAAGAAUGACUUCCUUAGCACCACAUUUGGACACUUUUAGAGCAAUUUUAUUUUGGGGAAAAGAAUUUUCAAGGUGUUAACUAAUAAAUUUUAAAAAAUAAUUACAAUUUUUCCUACGAUCAUAUGACAAUUUAUCUGGGAUGAAAGGAUACAGAUAGACAUCUUCCACUUUCAAGACUAAUCACUACUUCCGUAGAUGUUGUGCAAUAAUACAAAUACUUGAUCAGAUGGUAGUGAUGGUAGAAAAAAAUUUUAUUGCUCCAAAAUUAAAAUAAGAAUGCAAUAUGUUAAGCAAAAGGCUGUGCAACAUCAAAUUAAUUGAUAAGUUUGUAAUUCAGUAAAUUAACAACUUUCAUGGUAAAAUACAACAAAUUUCUUUUGAAAAAAAUAAAUCUUAAAAGACAGCAUUCAAUUUUGUGCGCAUCUUAUUUCUUAAGAUUUUUCAGGAGGAGGGCAAUAGAGGGACUUUCACCUAUGCAAGAGAGCAGAAGCCUUACUUUCCCUAUAAAGUAGACGUCAUUCUGAUUAAUAUGCGUUUGCAAAUCAGCUCCGUUUGAAUCAGUAUUCUGAUAGACACACGAGGCAUUGACAUCCAUUUCCAAAGUCACAUGUUGCGAGGAGGACUCAUUUGAUUGCUCCUAUACGAUCAUCUAAUUCAAGUAGCAAGGGUUGGAAGAGAAUAAAAAGUCACAAUUAUUCUUUUGCAUAAGUGAGACGAAAAUGAUAAAUGCAAUAUUAUCAACAGUAAACAAGAAGAAGAUGAUAGUGGAAGUAUGCGGUGUGGCUGCCAGGUACUUGGAUUGUAUUGUCGGGUAAGGUAAUAGUAGAGAAUUAUAAGUUUGAACAGAGCAUGUUGGACUUUUGUUGACCAAAUUCAAAAGCCCAAUGGCACGGCCCGGAAGCUUUUGAAUAGAAAAACUUGCUAGAAAGCAUCAGUUUAAAUCACUACUUAAACGCUUGCUUUAACUGCACCACUUUGUACUGUUUUAUGUGUGUAGCGGUUGUGCGGUUGUAAUUCACGGCUGACGCUACGUGUUUGUUAGGUCAAAACUAUGAUACAAUAGUGGUACGGUACCAUUGUUACUUUCAAUCAUUGGAUCUAUAGUUGUACAGUUGCAUUAAUAAGAUCUAAUGGCUGAAAACAACAGUGGUACCAUACCACUGUUGCAACAUAACAGGACCCUAUUAGUUAUUUCAAAGGGAUAAAUAAGAUUGCUUACAACAAACCUACUAAUUUUAUAAAAUUCAAGUAAUAUAGAAUAAAAUAAAAAAAUAAAUACAAAAUUGACUUUUAUUUUUUAUGGUUGACUAUAUUUUGUGUUCUCUUCGGGCACUACUACAAUUCUUCCCUAUAUAUCAAUUACACCACAUACUAUCGACACAAGAAAUGAAAUCUAAUAUCACCCGUUUAGUUAAAAAAUCACUCAUGAAAAAAUUUUACCAUUUUGAUUUGAGGAUCCAUAUUUUAAACUGCAAGCUAAUGUUCAUCAAGAAUUACUGAUGGCCGUUGAGUAGAAAAAUUAUUUUUGGACAAAUUAUUUUUGUUGAUAGAAGAAUUUCUUUAGGGACUACUAAAUUAUUAAUAAAAAUGUCGAACACACCCACAUAUCAUCGACACAAUUGAUUUUGAGGAUCCAUGCUUUGAACUGCAGCCUAAUGUUCAUCAAGAAUAGAGUAUGGCUUGUGAGUAGAAAAUUUUCUUAUUUUGGCCCGAAAUAAAAAGAAAUUAAAUUGGAUGAGAAUCUGCCACUUUCUCAUGAAGAAAGGCAUACGGAGCAUACCAUGGUACCAUACAAAAUAAGGAGCCUCUAUUCUUUGGUUUUUCAAACUCUAAAGGGGCCAAUAUUGCCAAAUUCCCCCUUGAAAAUUCUGAUUACGACAUUAUUCAUCGCUUGAUGCAAUCAAAGUAGUGACAAAGUUAGGAAAAAUAUGAGUCCUAAGUAAUUGCUAGGCAGGGUUCCUGAGAGCAAAAUUGUCCUAAGCAUUAUAUGCAUACAUGGUGCGGUACAUAGAGCACGUUGAAUUCCCCACUAUAACACAAACCCAGAAAGACAAGUAAUAACUCAACUGAUAUAAAGACAAAAAGAAGAUAAAAUGAUAUAGAAAAAAGAAUUCAAAGAGACAGCAACAUACGAUAGACUGAAGCCACUUGAUCUGCUCAUUGAUUGCAGCCUUAAACUUGCAAAUAGUUACUGUACGCUAGUGCUCUAAGAAGUGAAAAUGAUGCCAGCCCUGAUUCCCUUUUGACUUCCAUUUACUGUCAAACAUUCUAGUAAUACAAAAAAUUGUUUAGAUAUCUUGCUAUAAAUAUAGCCGUUUGACUGUCAUAAUAAAGUCACAAAUAACCAUUCAUAUUGAUCUACUGUCACACAGCAUGCUUUAUGCAUACAACAGCUGUAUGUAUACCAACUCCUAACCUUAUCAAUACAUUUGGCAAAAACUUAAGAAGAAAGCUAUUUCUCCAUCUCUUUUUUGAAAUUUCACAAUAACCAGCACAAUGUGAAAGCUAUGUUCUAACCUUAUGAUAAAUGCUCCAGACUCCAAAAGGAUUUUAUAUAUGAGAGUUUGUUGCAGCAGAUAUAUUGACUUAUCAAGUAUGAAUCAUUGUCUGGAUGAACUAUCUUUAGAUAAAAGAAUAUUAGAACCACUGUAGAAUAUCUUUACGCUGCUGGUUCUAACAGGAAUCUGCAUGUGGCAACAAUUGCUAGAUCCACAAUUCCCCAACUUGAAAUACAUAGUUGCACACCAUGAGAUAGUGCUACAAUCUACUGAGAUCUAACUUAUAUGGUACUUUAAGCUACUAAUGUUUGCAUAUUUCUACAUGUUAAAUUAACACUAUCAUCUAUAAUCACUCCAAAACAACAAAUGAUAAGCAGCUUUUGGCCACUUAUUACUAGCAUCCACAAUUAUAAAUAAGAGAUCAUGGGUUUACUUGUUGCACCUACUUAAUUAUCUGCAGUUGACAUCCUGAAGCAAGGUUUAAAUAGUGACUGCUUAGAACCCUUGUAGUUGGAUCUUGACCUCUCCCAUUGUAGCCAAGAUUGGUUACUCUGGUAAUGAAUCAACACUCUCCUGCUCAGGGCCAUGAAGAUCUGAAAGCUCAGCACUAGUGGAGAACUUCAUCAAUCUCUUCUUCUCAGCACACUUGAGACAAGGCUGCAUUACGAGACCAAUCACCACAGCACCAACGCUUAAAACUGCAACUUUUAAAGAAGAAAGAGCCAACACAACACAACACAACACAACACAAAUCAAUAUGGUUGGAGGAAUACACAUGAUAAUGGCUCCAACAGUGCCAGUGGGUAUCUUGUAGGGACGAGAUGCAGCAGGAUAUUGUAUCCUUAACCAUACAAAUGCUAUGAACUCCAUAACCAUUCCAAAACAGUACAGGAAGUUCUCUGCAGCUACAAUAUCUCGAAAGCUCAGCCAUGAUAGCAAAACCACACCAGAUGCUGAGAAUAUGAUUCCAAUCAAAGGAGUCCCAUAACAAGACCUCUUAGCAAAAAACUCAGGUAGCAUUCCACACUCAGCCAUCCCCAAAAGUUGGAAAGAGUUGCUGCUCAUCUCAGCCACAAACAUGCCCAUAUUGGACAUUGCUGCAGCCCCCUGGAUGCAUUAUCUCAACCAAACUCCUCCAAGCACUUUAGCGAUAUCUGAAAAGUAACCAUCGGUCCACAAGUCGCGAUCUAAUGGAAUAGCUCCAGUUCCAACUAGAAGGGGAAAGAAAUACCCAAAAAUGACCAAGAUCAAAGCAUAAAACAAAGCCUUUGGAAGAGUCUUCUUGGGGUUAUCCACCUCUCCAGCUAGUGUACUUAUUGAGUCCCAGUAGUUGAGAUUCCAAAACAGGGUGUUCAAAUACAAAUUCCAAUCCACUUCACCUAAAUUUACUACAAGCCAUCUUGAAGGCUCUAACUUGGGAAGGGACACAAGUCCCAUAACCACAAAAGGAAGGAGUGAGAAAAUCCCUAAAAGAACAGCAGCCCAUCCCACAAUGGUUAGACCCCUAUAGUUCAUGAAAGUGAGAACAAAAGUCAAAGCUAACGCCGCAAAGGCUCUAGGUAACCCAUUGCCCAACGCAGGGAUACCAGACUUCAAGUAGUCAAGAAACAGAACUGGGUAUAAAGCAUUAUCAAUAACCCCACUUAGCCAUUUCAUCCAACCUUGCUGAAAACCCCAAUAUGGGCCUAAGGCAGAUGAAACCCAAACCACAUAACCACAAUUUUCAGAAAACACGGUACCCAUCUCGGCAGUAAUUAAAGCUUCAGGGACACUCCAUAUAAUCGGAAACACCAAGAAACCAAGAAGUGCUAAAAGAGGACCAGCUGCCUUUACACUAUCCUCAACACCAAACGGCCCCCCAGAAACCUCAUAGAAUAUAAGGAAAAUAAGUGGCAAGAUUGAUACUUUUUUAGUGCCAUGGACUCUAGGAGAAGAUGGUUGGUCAUUGAUAUUAACAUAUUCAACAGCAUCAGACUGCCCCAUUUCUACUGAAACUUGCCUAUUUACAGUGUUCCUCAAUUUCUGCAUCAAGUUUUAGCAUAACUAUCAAAAGGGUAUCCGCAUGUAAAUUAUGAAACAAAAUGAGCAUUUACUUUUUAAAAAAAAAUCAAAAAACAGAAAUGGAUUUCGCAGAGCACAUGAAUUUAAGUUCAACAUUAAACAGGCGCUUAAGAAAACAAAAGGGUCUGUUCGUAAAGCCAUCAGAUUGCAAGAUUGAACAACAUUAACGGAAUCAAUAGAAUAGAUGUAAAGAGAUCUGAAAAGAAAAUAAAAUAAAAGAUGAAGAGAGAUAAAACGAACCAUCAAAUAAGUGCAUGCAGAGCAGAGAGGCAGAUACUAGAGAAGCUCCGUCAUGUUAGAGAGAGCCUAAAUCAAUCAGAGCUCACUGAGUUUCUUUUCAACCGACCGGCAAAUUUGGAGUGGCACAAAAUAAUAUUUUUGCUUUUAAUUUUUGGAACACUUUUGAAUGGAAUUUUUUGUUUUUAAAAAAGGUAAGGGAGAUUAGGGCAUCAUAAAAAGAUUUUUUAAAUAAAAUUUUAUUAAUUAUUUAAAAAAUUAUUUUAAUAUUUAAUAUUUUAAAAAAUAUUUUAAUUAAAAUUUUUUAAAUAAAAAAUAAUUUUUUUUAAAUUUAGAGAAUUAAUUUUUUUUAUAAUUUUUUUUAUUAUUUUUUAUUGAAAAAAAAGAGAUAAAUACUUUAAUUGUUAUUAUUUUUUUUAAAUAAUUAUUUGAUUAAAAUAAUAUUAAAUUAUUUUUAUUUGAAGAGUUUUUUAAAAAAUAUCAUAUUUUUUUAUCCUUCUAUUUGCCACAUGAGUAAACAAAUAGAUAUUUAAAGAAUAAAAUUUAUAUAAUCUUUUGGAAAUGCUCUUAAUAUUUAUUUAGUCUUAUAUUUUUUAAAAUAUUUUUAAAAUAUUUUUGUCGUUAAAAUAUUGAUAUUAUUAUUAUUUUUUUAUAUUUUUUAAUUUAUUUUUAUAAUAUUAUUUUUAUAAUAAUUUUUUAUUUAGAUAUUAAUAAAAAAAUAAUUUAAUUAAUAAUUUAAUCCUAAAAUAAAUAAACACGUGUUUGGUUUUGGGCCUUUUCUUUUGUUCGUUUAAUAUCAUCUGGCUCGCUGAUUUGUGACUAAUUAUCAACGGAAUCCCGUUGGUUUCUAAAUUGAAAUAAUAGAAGGUCAUGAGACUAUUUACUCCAUUUAGCACUGCAGACUUAGAGUAUAUUGAAAAAGCUUUGUCAAAUAGUAGUAAUAGGGGCAUAAGAAAUAAAUUAUAGCUAUCACAAAUUCGUUAGGAGAAUUUCAAUUUUUUCCGUCAAUAAUGGCUAUGAAGCAAAAUUACCUUAGGUUAUAUUGCAACACUAAUACUUCAAAUCCUGAUAAGGGGUGAUAAAAUUAAGGUUGUUCAAAUCCCUUAAAAUGCUCCUUUGUUUAGUUUAAAAGUUGUUCUUAAAAUGGAAACGAUGACUUAUUUAGAAGAAAUGGUAAAUUUAUAAUUUGUAAUAUUAUUUGCACAAACAAUAAUAAUGAAGUGUUAAUUACCACUUAACAUUUUUAAUUAAUUUCUAAAUUUAAAACAAAUAUGAAAGUUGAUUGCUUCGAAGGUUGGAUCGACAAAUUGACAUUUGAAAAGAGAAGUAGGGAAUGUAUAUUCUGAUGAAAGGGACAAGAUUAAGUAAGGGGACAAUAUUCUCUAUUGGACCUACAAAUGGGGGGAAAGAUAUAUAUAUAUAUAUAUAUAUUCUUAUUUGUGGAUUGGGCAUCACGUGUAACUAAUAUAAAAGGAGAAAAUUUAGCAUGGUUUUAACAUAUAUAAGAAGAGAAAAUUAAUUGUUCAAACAAAUUAGAAGCAAAUUCUUUCAUAUCUUUCUUUAUUUUUCCGCUUACUUUCUUAGCAUCCAAACAAGUUAAAGUUAAAACGCUGUUGAGCCAACAAUAUGCAGGCAUCAAUAAGCAUAGUAGUUUUGUAUAUGUAUUCUAUACGAUAUUCUGGGGAUGUCAAUUGUAGAACAUUUUGUGGUAACUUUUUUACAUUAAUUAAUGUUUGAAGAACUUGUUAAAAAGAAAAUGGUAAUUUUAUUAUUUUGAAAGACAAAAAAAAAUAAAAAUAAAAGAGUGAAAGUGGCGUUACCUCAUGGUCAUUAGAGACUUGUUGCAAUGAUAGCUCAAAAUUAAAAAUUUGUGAAGAAUUAGUAGACAACGACGAUACUAUAUUUAUAUAGUCACCAACAUGUUGAUUUUUGUUUAAUGUUUGAUCGAUAGAAACUUUUGUCGUCGUCGUCGCCGUUGUUGAAUUCAUGCUUAGAAUACCACAAGAGAAGAAGAAGGGAUGAAAGGGAAGAGAAGAAGAGAGAAGUAGUGGAUAGCAAAUAUGAUAUGCUAGCUACACACAGGCCUUAGAGAGUUUUUUUUUUAAUAUUUAUUGUAUUUUUGUUUUUGUUAUUGGUUUGUCAUAUGCUUCCAAGGCAGCAAUGUGUUACAUCAUAAAUUGCACCUUUUAGGGGAGGUGGUAAAAAACAUGAGAGGAAUGCAUUCUAGCGCAUACAUGCAGAAAGAGUUUCCAAAUUUUCAAAAGUUUGUUAUUUCUUCCACCUUUUUUUUGCUUAAAAUAAAUUUUAAUUGUAUUUUGCAUUAACUUAGAGAAAAAAAAAAUCAAGUUCUAUGCAUAAACGCAUACAUUGAUUAGAAAAUGAGUUUUAUGGACACAAAGGGACAAUAUAAGAGAUUCUUUUUGUUUAUUAGAAGUAACAUAACUAGUUAGUGUAACAUGUAAUUAUAAGCUACCAAGAAUUUGCACUGAUGAUAAUUAACGGUAUAGAUUUUGAGCUAUGAAUGUCUUGUGGCUAGUUUAAUUGGAUUUUCGAGUUUUCAGCAGAUCUAUUUUAAUGAUUAUUAAAUUAUUUUCACUUCUUAUGCUUUAAUAAAAAAAAUUCAAUAUUUUUUGCUGUAUUCUAUAUUUUAAAACUUAAUUUUUAAUUCUUUAUAUUGCAAACCAAACUGAGUCAAAUAGAGUAUGCUCGAAUUUUUCCAAUGCCUUCAAGAAGAAUUCAUUUUAUUUUUAUAUAUUAAUUUAACACAUGUAAACCGGGCCGUUGGAUUGCACAUAAAGCAAAUGAUCAAACCGUUACAAGACCGGCCCAGGCCCACCGACUCUAUUUUCUUUCAUUUGACCAUUAAAAAGCUUUUGGCCACCCCCACCAAAUAAAUAAGCUCUUGUUCUCUUUUGUUUCCCUCUCAAAGGAAAAUAUCUGAUCACCGGAUAAUGAUUCCGGUGACACAAAAGAUCGAAACACCCCCCUAAAUUCCCUAAAUUUACAAUAAUACCCCACCAUGGAUGAUUCCGUUGAAAUGCCGCCUUACGAUGAAAGGCCUAAAAAGGGUUUUAACUUCACCUCCAUGCGCUUGAUCUUAACCCUCGUUUUCCCAAUUUUAACUUGCUUUUUGUUGGCAUUUUUUAUUGGAAUCGUAGCUGUUUUAUUCGGCGAAUCAUCAGUUUCCAGUUCCAUUUUUGUCCCUUCCUAGUGCAAAAUAGUGUCCAGCAGUAAGCUUUUUUUAACAUUUUCAAUUUUUUUUCCAUUUAUGAAGUCCAAAAAUUUUAUUAAUUUUGAUUUUUUUGAAUGAUUUUGCAGGUGUUGAUAUAAGGUCAUCAAAAGUUCGUGAACUUGGGGUGUUGAAUUAUAAGGCGAAGCGUGCGUUUUAUCCAUUUGAAGCAAUUAAAUUUCGCUGUCGGUAUGAUUACUAUUGGGCUUCUAUCUUCAAGGUAUUCAUACAUUUUCCCCUGUACUAUAAGCUUCUUAGUGGCGGUCUUGUGAGCGGAAGUGAGCGGUGUGGCUGACAGCUUCUUGAAAAUUAUGAACAGAGCAUGUUAGACUUUUGUUGACCAAAUUCAAAAGCCAAAUGGCACAACUCAGAAGCUUUUGAAUUGAAUAACUUACUAGAAAGCUCCAAUUUUUUGUUGGCUACAGUAAAAGGAUGUUGUUUUAUUCUUCUUAUACUUUACGCUUGCAUCAGCUUAAAUCACUUCUUAAACGCUUUGCUUUAACUCUACCGCUUCAUACUGUUCUAUAUAUGUAUCGGGUAUGCGGUUGUAGUUCAUUGCUGAGACUACGUGUUUGUUUGACGUGGUAGUUACGUUCCGAGUCUGUUAAACAUUCGGUGAUUAAAGUAUUAUCAGUUAUUUCAAAGGGGCAAAUAAGAUUAGCUACAACACACCCACUAGUUUUAUAAAAUUCGAAUAAGAUGGAAUAAAAUAAAAAAAUAAAUAAGUAAAUUGACUUUUAAUUUUUGUGGUUGAAUAUAUUUUGUAUUCUCUCAGGGCACUGCUGUAAUUGUUCCUUAAAUGUCAGUCACACCCACAUGUUACAGACACAAGAAAUGAAAUCUAAGAUCACCUGUUUAAUUAAAGAAUCACUCAUAAAAAAAUUUUGCCAUUUUGAUUUGAGGAUCCACAUUUUGAACAACCAACUUAUCUUCAUCAAGAACAGAUCAUGGCCUUUGAGUAGAAAAAUUAUUUUUGGACAAACUAUUUUUAUUAAUAGAAGAAUUUCUCAAGGGACUAUUAAAAUUACUAAUGAAAAUGUCAGACACACCCACGUACCAUCGACACAAUUGACUAUGAGGAUCCAUGUUUUGAACUGCCACUUAAUGUUAAUCAAGAACAGAGUAUGGCUUGUGAGAAGAAAAAUUUCUGAUUUUGGCCUGGAACAAAAAGAAAUUAAAUUGAAGGAGAAUCUGGUACUUUCUCAUUAAGAAAGGCAGACGGGGCAUACUAUGGUACCAUACAAUACGAAAAGUCUCCGUUCUCUGGCUUUUAAACUCUAAAGGGGGCAAUAUUCCCCAAUUACCCCGUGAAAAUUCUGAUUACGACAUUAUUUAUUGCUUGAUACAUAAGUAAAAGUAGUGACAAAAUUAGGAAAAAUAUGACUCAUAAGUAAUUACUAGGCAGGGCUCUUGAGAGCAACAUUGUACUAGGCUUUAUAUGCAUACAUGGUGUGGUACAUAGAGCACGUUGAAUUCCACACUAUAACAUAAACCCAGAAAGACAAGUAAUAUCUCAACAUAUAUAAAGACAAAAAGAAGAUAAAAUGAUACAGAACAAAGAAUUUCUAAGAGACAGCAACAUACAAUAGACUGAAGCCAGUUGAUCUGCUCAUUGAUUGCAGCCUUAAACUUGCAAAUGUUUACUGUAGCCUGGUGCUCAAAGAAGUGAAAAUGAUGCAAACCUUGAUUCCCUAUUUACUUCCAUUUACCAUCAAACAUUCUAUUCAUAAGAAAAAAAAUGUUUAGAUAUCUUGCCGUAAAUAUAGCCAUUUGAUUGUUUUAAUAAAGCCACACACAACCAUUCAUAUUGAUCCACAUUGCCACAUAGCCUGAUUUAAGCAUACAACAGCUGAAUGUAUACCUGACUCCUAACCUUAUCAAUACAUUGGCGACAACUUAAGAAGAAAACUAUUUCUCCAUCUCUUUUUUGAAAUUUCACAAUAAAACAGCACAAUGUAAGAGCUGCAAUGAAAAUGGACCGUCUGGAACUAUGGCGGAAGCUUCAACUAGUGUAGUGAUUUGACCUUCUUAUUAACCUGGCAAGAUCAAACACUGCCCUUGAUCUUGAACAGAUCAAUACGAUACGCACAACUUAUGAUUGAAUCCAGAAACCAUCAAAUCUUUAGCAAGAAUAAUUAAUCAGAAUCAAGAAACAAGUUUAAUGAAUAUAAACCUAUAAUUGGAACAAACACAGCCAAAGAACCCAAGAAUGACACAACGUACACCAAGGGAGAAGCUUUCCAGUGAGAUUAUAUUGAUGAUCAAAGAAGAAUCUUUUUACAAAGGUAACAAAAGUGAUUUCAGAGAAUAAGCUAUGACCCUCUCUCUUUUCAAUCUCUGUCUAGUUUGUUAACAGUGAUGACCCCAAUCUGCUUCGUUAGCCAGGUUCAUAACUGCGUCAGUGACAAACUAGCAAACCUAGAUUGAGCAGACUAACGACACGUGCAUAACGGCUUUAACGAACUUGGUUAAAGAACUGCUCACAUGUUCGUCACGCGUGUUGCUUAAAUGAUAGCCAAAACGACUUCAACCAGAUGCCGUUUUGAAGCUUAUGAAUUAUAAGUGAAAACACGUGCUUGUCUCGUGACAUUUAAAUGCAACAACAAGCCCAAAACACUGUCGUUUCACUAUGUUGAGUUUGCCAUCUCCAAGCUUCACAACUAGCAGCGAACAAGAUGAUAAUUUAAUUGACAUGGAGAGCUUUUAUAUCACUUUUACAACAUUCUAUAUAAUUGUGAUAUUGGGAAUCGUCGGUGCUGUAUAUGUGAACCCUCAUUGGCGACACUGGUGGUUUUAUCUUUGUUAAAAUAUGGAUGACUUUUCGUUACUAUUUUGUUGUACAUAACCUUAUUCCUACGAGAUUUAAUCAUUGAAAUUAUGUUAGUUUCAUUAGAAGGCUGAGUGGUUAGUGCUGCUACCCUCCAAUUUGGAGGGCAGUAGUUUGAACCCCCACAAGCGCAAUGUGGGGGUAUUUCCUUCUUUAAUUACAUUGUAUAAUUGAGUAAAGGUAAUUUUCUCUCUUACCCAAGUGUGAGUGGAGUAGACAUCCCUCGAUGGUUAAAACCUGGGCAGAGCUUCAUAAGUAUUGAUGUAAGUUGGUCCCAGUAAUAGUCUGAUUUGUAAAUAUCAGUUAUAGUCUCAUGUUUCCUUCCUUAAUUAUAUUGUAUAAUUAAGUAAAGGUACUCUUUUCCCCUACCCAAGUGUGAGUGGAGUAAAUAUCCAUCGAAUAUUAGUGAGGGUUAAAAUCUGGGCAAAGCUCCAUAAGUAUUGAUGUAAGUUGAUCCCAGUAAUAGUAUGAUUUGUAAAUAUCAGUUAUAGUCUCAUGUAAUAUGAGUUGUAAUUUGAGCAAUAGUUUCAUGUAAUUAAAAAAAAUGUUACUUUCAUUACAUUUUUCUUCGUUAAAAUUCUCAAGUAUCAAUUAUGUUUGCUUAAGAAAUAAAAUUUUGUCAUUAAAGUUGUAGUAGUAUUUCUAAGCAUCUCACAUUUUCAAUGAUUUUUCAUAAAUCAAUUAAUAUGUCGUACCAAUAUCAUGUUUAGUUUUUCAGACUAAAUAAUCAAGAAAGCAAACAAAUUCACAGUUUAGAGGGGUAAACUAGCUUUUAGAUUUUAGAACUAGGCUAGCUACCUCACCAAAUUCCAGUUUGUACAGUGAACUACAAGAUUGAGAAAAUAAUGUAUUUAUAGUUUAAUUGAAUCAUGACAAACAAUGUAGUCAUAGCUCAAUCGGACAUGAUCACGGAGAGGCAUAUUCUUUUCAAGUUAAUUUGAUCCAUUUAUAAGAAAUGAAGUGGAUCGAAGUUAAAAGUUCAAAUAAAAAAUCCUUGUUCUUGAGUUUUACGACGUCGUUACUCCUUCAAGAGGCUGAUUAUGCAAGUGAAUGGAGAAACAUAAUGCAUUUAUAAUUUUUUUAAUAAUUAUAAAAAUAAUUAACCAUAACAAAUCCCUUGCGUAAAUAAUAAUCAUUAUUUAAAAGGUCCAAAGAUGGUUAGUGCACAAUCAAAUUUUAAGCCCCUACCUCCUCGGCCCAAGAUUCAAACUUAGAUGAUAAGCCAAAUAAAAUUAUUUGAAAAUCAUUCAAUCAAGUUCCGGGGCAAAAAUACAAGAUCCUUAUUUACAUGAUAUAUAUGAAUUAAUGUAAUUUAUUUGAAUUGUCCAAAUUCAUUAGAGAUAAAACUAUAAAAUAUACCAAAAAAGUUAGAAGGAAGGCUGUGUUGGGAUAUUUUACAAACUAUAGGGAUCUGGUGAGAUUUUGAGCCAAACUGUAGGGAGUUGAAGGCAUUUGCCCAAUAUGUUUAGACGUACACUAACCGUUAUUUGAUCUUGUUGUUGGUCCCGGAUGAGCUGUAGUCUUAUUUUAAUUUUAUUUAAACUCACCAUAAGAUUCGCGGAGCUCCUAACUAACUUAAAUGACUCUGCAGAGCAUGUCAACACAUACCAUGUUUAACCGUUUUAUUUGUAGAAGAAUUUAUGAUUUCCCAUUAGCAUUAUUAUUGAAGUGGGGCAGGUCAAAUCUCAAUUGCUUGAAAAUUUUAUUUAUUAUUAUUAGUCUUGAAGUGGGGUGGGUAACGGUUCGCUCAAUUCGAGGGGAAUCAAAUAUAUCAUCCAAGGUAGAAUUGUGGAAAAUUAAAGCAAAAUAAGAAAUAUGGAAAGACAAGAAGAAAGUUAAGGCAUGAAAGACAUAUACAGUUGAAAUUGAUAAUCAUGUUUCUAUUUUGUUAACUAAUCAAAUGGAAAGCUGAACUGUAAACAAACAUUAAAACGUGUGGACCAAGCUCGCUGUCCUACAAGUCUACAAUAAUAAUUGAGUACUUUGAUUCAUCCUUCUAUGAAUUUCUACCCAUAUUGACUCCACCGAAAUUUCCACAAAAUAAAAUUAAAAAAAAAAACUGAAUUUCCACAAAAUACAAAACCCGUUGAACUUAAUUUUUGGUCAUGUGAACUAAGAUGUAAAUUAUAAAAAAAAGUAUAAAAUUAAAAAAGAUGAGAUUUCUAAAAUGUGUGGAAAGUGAUUCAUGAUUCACUGAAAUUACUUACCCCAGAUAUAAAGGUAAACCUAUCUAAUUUCAUUAAAAAUAGUUGAAAAACAUUAACUAAUAGAAAGCUACGGAAAUUAACCCCCCACAAAAAUGACUUUUUAUAGAAGAAUUUAUGUUUUUUAAAAUAUGUUAUCAAAGUGUAUUUGAUCAAAUCUGAAUUGCUUAGUAUGGUUAGGAUUUUGUGAACAUCACUAAAAAGUGAAAACUAUGAAUGAUAGGGGUGAUGCUUGCAAUAUGAAUAAAUAAUGGACUGAUUCAAUUUCUGAUUACAUUUAUAUAUUAUUGAUUAUUUAUGAAUUUUCAGACUUGUUAUGAUGUAUAACUAUGUGAUUUUGAAACUUGAAACCGUGGCAAACAUUGAAAGGAAUUAUAACUUGAAAGCAUGACUCACGGGGUAUGUCAUGAUUCACGUGCACAAAAAAGGUAGAAUUGUGGAAAUUUACAACCCAACGACAAGUACGGAAAGAAAGGAAGAAAAUUAAAAGACUUUGGGCCUAGCUGCGUGUAUAAAUUAUUAGAUUACUUUUUUUUUUAUAAGGGUAAUCAUCAAUUUACUCCAUAAAAAUCUUUAAUUCAAUUAAAAUUUAUGGUAUUUUAUAUAUUAAAAAUUCUAAAAUAAUUAUGUAUUCACUUGAAUAUAGUUUUAGUUAUAAAUGUUAAAAUAUUGUGGUAUUUAAUAUAUUAUUUAUUUGACAUUCAAAUUUAAUAAGGAUACAAAUGUAAAAGUAUAUAUUUUUCAGCUUUUUAAGUUGAAAAAAACAAACAACUUAAUACUUAUUUUUUGAGAUUCAGACAAAAAAAUAAACAUAUUAUUCAGAUUCAGACAUUCAGAUCUAUUCAGAAUUCUCACUAAUUCAGAUCUAUUCAGAUUUCAGAUAAAAAAAAAAAAAACAAAACGCCACCUAAGUAUAGUUAGGAUUGUGUGAACAUCACUGAAAACUAUGAUUGAUAGAAGUGAUCUUGGCAAUAUGAAUAAAUAAUUAACUGAAUCAAUUGAUUUAUAUAUUAAUGAUUGUUUAUGAAUUUGCGGACUUGUUGCGAUAUAAUAAUAGCAUAUGAUUUUGAAACUUGAAACAGUGGUAAAUAUUGAAAGGAAUUAAUUUGAAAGCAUGAUCCGUGGGGAAUGUGAUGAAUCGUGUUUACAAAAAAGGUAGAAUUGUGGAAAUUUAUAAUAGAACGAUAAAUAUGGUAAAAAGGAAGAAAAUUGAAAGACUUGGGGCUUGGCCUGGGUGUAUUUUCUAACAGUCCAAUGGACAAAAUUAUAUUUGUAUACUUUCUUUUCAGGAAAAAGUUAUUCUCAUCCCUAGGUUUCAUGCAAUAGCUCAUUCCAUCCUUAUUUUUUAAAUAAUAGACCAAAACAUUCUUCCGUUAACUCACUGUUAGUUGAAUGUCGUUUGUUAGUUAUUCAUUAAGAGUAAAAAAUGAUUUUCUAUCAAAGAGAAAAUUAGAAAAAUAAAUAAAAGUUGACAUAUAACUAAAAAUGAUUUUAUCUAAUCCCACUAAAUAAGAAAUACCAAAAAAGAUGAAAAUUUUAUAUUUCAAGCAGUUCUUUUUUCACUUAUUUCUAUUUUGGCGGUAUGAAAGCCCUAUAAACCCUAGAUCUAAGUACCAAAAAUAUUGCAAUUUUCUUAUUCAUAUAAGUAUACUCUCUAAUUGCACUAUAAAAUGACUUGAAUUGAAUUGAAGAUAAAGAAUAUAUUCAGCACAUACAAAGCACAUAAAAAUUGGUGGCAUUUUUGAGUUUUUCUUCCAAUGAUUUAAAUAUAUUAUUUUAAUUACAGUUUGUUCCUUAUGACAAUUAUUAAAUGGCUAUAUCAAACUAUAUCAUCGUUGAUUUCAUUUAAAAAAAAAAGUUAAUGAAUUUUGCAUACUUUGUAGUGUUAUUUAAUUGUGUAAAAAAAUUAUUUUAAUAUAGUUUGUAUCACUUUAAUGAAAAAUUCUAUUUUGCCCUCAAUGAAUUACUAGUUAACAGUUUUACACUAACGGUGAAUUAACAUAAGGAUAUUUUAGGCUAUUGUUUGAAAAGGAGGGAUAAAAUGGGCUAUUACAUUAAACUCUAAGGAUGAAAAAUGCUUUUUCCCCUUUCUUAUCAAUCAACUAACUGAUAAAAGUCAAAACUCAUAUUUUUUUUUCCUUGUUUCAAUCCCCUCUCAAUCAAAAAAGUUUCAUUGUCUAAGCAAUGAGGAAUAUGGCUAGAAAGAUUGUUAUUAGAAAGAUUUAUCAAUAGUAAUUGGUUCACAAUUGAACCGUUUUAGAUUAUUGUGAGUCAAUAUAGGUCCUGUUUGGAAUUGAAGUGUUGCAGCUCUUAAGUUAUAGAUGCUUUGGAAAAAAAACUAAAAUUAUGAAAUAAGAGUUAAUAAUAUAUAAUAAAUAUAAAUUUUAAAUAAUAAUUGUGACAAAAUUAUUAAAAAUAUAAUAGAUUUUUGAUAAUACAAGUAAAAAAAUCAUAACAACAUAGCUUGCAAGCUACAACAGUUAGUGUUUAACAAAUACUUUAAUACUGUGGCUUUUAAGUUACAGCUGUUCAAUACCUCAAUUCCAAACGCACCUAUAAAAUGGCUUGCUUCAAAAGUCUAUCAACCCAACUUGGAAUGCUCUCAUUCAAGUGGCUAUAACUAAGAUAAAACUUCGCUAAGGAAGAGUAAUUAAAAAAUGUAACUUUAACAUGUCCAUAUAGCAUUUUUGUUUACAAGUGAAUUUGUGUGAUAGAGAGAGGAUGUAAGCAAGAUAGUAAAGUCCUAAAUAUAUUAUUGUGUAUAAUGUCUAAAAUUUAAAGAGAAUCAAGCUGAUAAAACUCCAUUGAAAUUAGACCUUCAAGAAUACGGUUCUUGGGCAUUAUAAAAUGUUGUAAUGUUGAGAGAUUACCCAACCAUUAUGGAAUCCUACCAAGAUGAUUGUUACCACUAAGAUACAAUCCUUCUAGUGAACAACAAUCAGAUAAAUUUUUUGGGGAUCUCUCUUACAAAGUGAUUACCAUCCAAUCGCAAUUUUGAAUGAAAAUAAAUUUUUUUUAUUGGGAGUUUAACCUUAACAUUAAAUUUAGACAAUGAAUUUUAACUUUCUACAGUUAUUAAGCAGAUUACGGACAUUUGAGGAAUUUGAAAACAUUUCAUCCAUCGAAAGUUAAAAUUAGAGAUGGAAGAUAGGUGCUACAGCUAAUGGGAACAUUACUUCCUGUCCCUCAUCACACUUUAUUUUGGGUCUAAUAAUUUUACGGUAGCAUUGACCACUGCUCAAGGUAAGUAAAACUUACAAAUGUGUGGCAAAAUAAAUAAUUAAGUACAUAAACUGUUAACCAAUUUUCUUGAUAUAUACAGCUAAAGUAGUUGUAUAUUAGUGUCCUGAAACAUGUUUAUUAUGAUAGACACCUCCACCGUACCUCAAACAAAUCUGUCAUUAUUAGUGUCCUGAAACAUGUUUCGGCCGUCAAAGUCAUGAGAGGGUUGAUGACGCUACUACGUAUGAUGACACACCAGCCGACAGUGUAGUAACAGCUCAAAAACAAAAUCUACCAAAAUCAACGGAAGUUAAUAAAAAAAUAUUUUAUUAAUAAAAAAACUUAUUAUUUGUGGAGAUAUGUGUAUUUGAGUCUGUGGACUGAAAUGGAAAAUAUGAAGAAGUUCAGAGUCGUUGUGCAGAUUGACUUCAGUUGAGCGGGUCUAAUAGAUAUUUUAUGCUGACGUGGCACGAAUUAGUUAUAAUCUGUUAUAACGAUUCCAGAAAUAUCGGUAUAAAUAGAAGUUGAUGAGCAGUGCCUGUUGUACGAUCCUUUUCUUCUUCAGCAGUUCGUCAAUUUGCAUAGAAUCUGUUUCACUUAUGUUUGAUUAGUUGUUGAUCGAUAACGAGAGUAAAUUUUUCCUUCAAAUCUUGCUGGUUCGUGCCCCUGUUUCAGUUUUGGGUUUUUUUUUUUUUUUAGUUCUGGUUUCUUAAUUCAAUUGAAUUUCUUGGUGCUUAAUUCAUCAAGAUUCAGUGGAAUUGACUUGAAAAGGACUCAAUAGACUCAACAUUAUUUAACGACACUCGGACCGUGGGGUACCGUAAUCAUAAUAUUAAAAGAUUUAAAAUUUUAUGCAUUUAUUAAUUGUUAUAAUCUAAAAAAAAAUUAAUUAAUUCAGGUCAAUCUGAGUUGGUGCAUCUGCAGAGCCUUUUUUUUUUUUCCCCUUAUUGACCAUAACUUUCGACUUAUUAAUAGUUAUAUCAAAGGGUGUGGGUGUUUUACCUCAUCAUGUCUUCAAGCGGAAGAUGAAGACUAUGCAAGUGAAUACAGUGCAUUUCAACAUAGCAUAUUUAACCGUUUUAACAGUUAUUUGGACCGUCUUCAGAGCUAACAUCAACAUACUCAUUCAUAUGCUUAAUAAUGAACGAAUAGUCAUGGAUCGAUGUUUUGCAGCAAGAGCAACUCGACACAAUCUGGAUUCAACCUCCUCCUUUCUAACAGGGUGAUACGCCGCGGAGGUCGUCAAGGAUUCCAAAGCCUAGCAACAAGUAUGCUGGGUACAUUUGAAUUAUGCAUGGAUGCUUGGAAGUCGAACGGUCACAUGGCUCAAGACUUAUGCAUACGUUACAUGCAACAUGCAGCACGUUGGAAGAAUGGUCAUUGGAGCAGUCUACAUGGAUCAUGGGGGGGAUUCGGUCAACAUGGGAUCACUUGCUGAUUUAAUGGAGAUUUAUCAUUUGGUUUAAUUCAUUUUCGGUUGUUUAGUUAAGCUAAAAGAAUAAGUUAAGUUGUUAGCUUAGGACCUGCCUACAAUCUCGAGUGAUAGUUAGAUUGUUUGGCUAAGUUGUUUUAAGUAUAAAUAAGCUCCAACGGACUUGAAUAAAGGGCAUUGACUAUUAUCCAAAAAUCAAAUAUCUUGUGGUCUUAUUUCUCACCCUAAGUAGAAAUAUAUUCAACCACUUACGCUUUGACUGGGACCCCUAUCAGUGGUAUCAGAGCGAGGUUACUAUGUCAACCAACAAGGAACGCAUAGAGCGUGUGGAAGCCGAGAUCGGAAGCUUGCAAGAUGGAAUGAAGCGUAUGGAACUAGGGCUUACUGACAGAUUGCACCGCCUAGAAGAAACAAUGAGCAAACUGGUAGAUUCACUUCCAACUUCAAAAGGGAUGCCAAGUCACAACAAUUCUGAUCACGUUGGAUCCUCACAGCCUAGCCGUGGAGAUAGUGAAGGGAGCCGCCAUCAGCUAGCAUCAAGACUUACCAAACUGGAGUGUCCACGAUAUUCCGGCGACGACCCAACGGAGUGGUAUAAUAGGAUCAUGCAAUUUUUCGAGUACCAGAAAGCAACCAAUGAACAGAAAGUCUCCUUAGCUUCUUUUCACCUCGAAGGAGAGGCCAACCAAUGGUGGCAGUAGAUGCGACGAACUUAUCAAGAAGACGAAAAAAUAGUAACGUGGGAAAUUUUUGUGGAGGAGCUUUGGGCACGGUUUGGCCCUACUGAGUGCGAAGAUUAUGAUGAGGCGUUGUCCAGGGUUAAGCAGACAGGGUCACUACGUGAUUAUCAGAGGGAAUUCGAAAGGCUUGGGAACUGGGUACGAGGCUGGACGCAAAAGGCCUUGGUCGGGACCUUUAUGGGAGGAUUGAAGCCGGCAAUCUCAGAGGAAAUUCGGAUGUUUCGGCCCAAAACUUUAAAAGAAGCUAUAAGCCUCGCACGUAUGAAGGAUGAUCAAUUAACGCGACAAAGGAAGUUGCUACGACCACAGUACCUCAACCGUACACCACCAACACCAACAAACAAUACCCGUGCCCAACCAACGAGACCCAUCAAACGGCUGACUUGGGACGAAAUGCAGCGGCAUCGAGUAAUGGGACUUUGCUUCAAUUGCAACGAUCGGUUUACAGCAGGUCAUAAGUGCACCCAACCUCAGCUAUUGCUCCUUGAAAGUGAGACAAUGAAUGAUGAAACUACAUAUGAGGGAAUUCCUGAAGUCUUAUGAACAAAACCUGACACUAAAGAGCCUACCGAUCCAAAAAUCACUUUCUAUGCCCUCACUGGAUGGGCAGCCCCAAGAACCAUGCGGGUCACGGCAACGGUAGGACCAUAUGAGAUUAUGGUUCUGAUCGAUAGCGGUUCAACUCACAAUUUCAUCAGCUCCCGAAUGGCCAACAUGUUACGGCUGCCAAUCAUUCCCACAGCAGGAUUUUUGGUGCGAGUGGCAAACGGAGAAACGCUAUCGUGCAAGGGAAAAUUCGAACGGGUUCAGGUAUUAUUACAAGAAGUUCCAUUCACUUUGACUCUUUAUUCACUUCCAAUUACAGGGUUGGAUAUGGUGCUUGGAGUCUAGUGGCUUGAGAUGCUAGGCUCAGUGGUUUGCAAUUGGAAACAACUUACCAUGGAUUUCACUUGGGAGAACAAAAGUUGCCGGUUACAAGUCAUCGGGCCUCAAUCAAUCCAAACAGCAUCCUUGACCGAAAUUACCAAAGAGCUGAGACAAGGGCAGUCCGGUUUUGCUAUUUGUUUCCAUGUGAAUGUAGAAGACUCUCUCAACACAACAACUCCAGAUAUGCAAGACUUGUUAAAGGAAUACAACACUUUAUUUCAAAAGCCAACAAAACUGCCACCUAGACGAGAAAUCGACCAUAACAUCACAUUGAAAGAGGGAACUGAGCCAGUCAACGUACGGCCAUACCGUUAUGCCUAUUUCCAGAAAGCCGAAAUUAAAAAACAAGUCCAGGAGAUGCUGAAUUCGGGACUCAUUCGGCCUAGUACCAGCCCUUUUUCAUCACCAGUACUACUUGUCAAAAAAAAAGAUGGAAGUUGGCGAUUUUGCACCGACUAUCGGUCUCUCAAUAACGCCACUGUUAAAGACCGAUUUCCAAUCCCUACAGUCGAUGACAUGCUGGACGAGUUACAUGGAGCAGCAUACUUCACUAAAUUGGACCUAAGGGCCGGAUACCAUCAGGUACGUGUAAACCCAGCCGAUAUCCACAAAACGGCUUUUCGUACAUACAAUGGACAUUACGAAUACUUAGUAAUGCCGUUUGGCUUAUGCAAUGCACCAUCGACAUUCCAGGCCAUCAUGAACUCUAUCUUCCGUCCCUAUCUCAGGAAAUUUAUCCUUGUUUUCUUUGACGAUAUAUUGAUAUACAGUCCCUCUUGGUGUAGCCACCUUACUCAUGUUAAGCAGGCAAUGGAGGUUCUUAAACAACAUCAAUUUUUUCUUAAAGCAAGCAAGUGCACUUUUGGCCAACAAGAACUCGAGUACCUUGGCCACAUAAUUACCAGCCAAGGGGUAAAAGUAGAUGAGACAAAAAUUGCGGCCAUGGUCUCCUGGCCUCAACCGAAGAACAUCUCAGAGUUACGGGGAUUCCUUGGCCUUACAGGUUACUAUAGAAAGUUCGUCCAAGGAUAUGGAGUUUUAGCUCGGCCACUCACGAAUCUUCUAAAAAAAGGACAGUUUGAAUGGAAUGCAGAAGCGGACAAAGCUUUUAUCAAUUUAAAAAAGGCAAUGACAAGUACACCCACAUUAGCCAUGCCUAAUUUUAAUGAAACUUUUAUUAUUGUGACAGAUGCAUCCGGUGACGGCAUCGGCGCAAUACUCCAGCAACAAGGGCAUCCCAUCGCAUUUAUGAGUCGUGCCUUGGGAGUCACAAAAAAAUCUUAGUCCACAUACGCAAAAGAGAUGUUGGCGAUUAUAGAAGCUAUCCGUGUGUGGCGACCUUAUCUGGUGGGACGAAAGUUUAUCAUCCAAACCGAUCAACGCAGCCUUAAGUACCUUUUGGAACAAAAAAUAACGACACCCGAAUAGCAACAGUGGCUGGCCAAAUUGAUGGGGAUUGAAUAUGAAAUCCAAUAUAGGCCCGGCCGUGAGAAUGUUGCCGCCGACGCCCUUUCACGACGACCUGACAGUUCUGCUCUUAACAGUUUAUUUGUGGCGCAGGUAUCUAUUUGGAAUGAAAUAAAAACGGCUGCCCAAGAUGAUGAUUACAUGCAGCAAAUUACACAUCAGGCUCUGACUCAACCUACUGGCCCUUAUUUCAUGCGUAACGGGCUAAUUUUCUUCAAGGGCCGAGUUGUAGUUCCUCUUCGACUCCGUCAAUCUUUAAUUUUUUAAGCCCAUGACACUAAGAUGGGAGGUCAUUCAUGAGUUCUACGUACUUACAAACGUUUGAAACAACAAUUCUAUUGGCCUUCAAUGUUUCAAACGGUUCAUGACUAUGUAGGUAAAUGCGAGAUUUGUCAAAAAACGAAAGCAUCAACCCUUAAGCCUGCGGGUCUCCUCCAGCCCUUGCCAAUUCCUUGCCAAGUGUGGGAUGAUAUCACGCUCGACUUCAUUGAAGGGCUGCCAAACUCACACGGUAAAAAUUCUAUUCUAGUGGUGGUGGAUCGGCUCAGCAAGAGUGCACACUUUAUGGCCUUGACUCACCCAUUCACAGCAAAAACAGUGGCUGAGAAGUUUAUUGAUGGAGUGGUAAAAUUACAUGGCAUGCCGAAAUCAAUAAUCAGUGACCGAGACCCUAUUUUUAUUAGCAAGUUUUGGCAGGAGUUUUUUCAUAUGUCCGGUACACAACUCAAUAUGAGUUCUGCGUACCAUCCGCAAACCGACGGUCAAACGGAAGUUAUUAAUAGAUGUCUUGAACAAUACCUGCGAAGCUUUGUUCACCAAUGGCAGAAGCAAUGGAACUCUUACCUACCUUGGGCAGAAUACUGGUACAACACAACGUACCAUGAGUCCACAAGCAUGACUCCUUUUUUGGCUUUGUAUGGGCGACAUCCACUGGUAGUACCAAUGUAUCAUGUGGAAUCUUCUCCAGUGCACAAGGUAGAUCAAGCUUUGUUGUCUAGGGAUGAGCUGCUGCGACAAUUAAAACAGAAUUUGAAAAUGGCAACCAAUCGCAUGAAACAAUUUGCGGAUACAAAAACGCGCGACGUGGAGUUUAAGGAGGGUGACAUGGUAUUCCUAAGACUUCCACCGUAUAGGCAGACUACUGUAUUCCGUCGUGCUCAUCAGAAGUUGACCAGCAAAUACUCUGGGCCAUAUCCAAUUCUGCGAAGAGUGGGACAAGUGGCUUAUGAGCUUAAACUACCGACGGGAUCUCGAGUGCAUCCGGUAUUUCAUGUGUCCUUACUCAAAAAAUACGUUGGUGAGAUGCCUCAAUUCAGUGCAGAUCUUCCAUAUGUCAAUGACGACGGAGUACUCGUUUUAGAACCGGACAAAAUUAUUGAUGUUCGUUGGCUUAAAAGAGGUGGCAAGUUGGUGGAACAAAGUCUUGUCCGUUGGAAACGCCUUCCACAUGAGGACGCAACAUGGGAAGAUUCAGAGUUCCUGGCAAAGCAAUUCCCUCACCUGACCCUUGAGGACAAGGGUCCUCUUCGUGGAGGCGGUAUUGAUACACCGCGGAGGUCGUCAAGGAUUCCAAAGCCUAGCAACAAGUAUGCUGGGUACAUUUGAAUUAUGCAUGGAUGCUUGGAAGUCGAACGGUCACAUGGCUCAAGACUUAUACGUUACAUGCAACAUGCAGCACCUUGGAAGAAUGGUCGUUGGAGCAGUCUACAUGGAUCAUGGGGGGGAUUCGGUCAACAUGGGAUCACUUGCUGAUUUAAUGGAGAUUUAUCAUUUGGUUUAAUUCAUUUUCGGUUGUUUAGUUAAGCUAAAAGAAUAAGUCAAGUUGUUAGCUUAGGACCUGCCUACAAUCUCGAGUGAUAGUUAGAUUGUUUGGCUAAGUUGUUUUAAGUAUAAAUAAGCUCCAACGGACUUGAAUAAAGGGUAUUGACUAUUAUCCAAAAAUCAAAUAUCUUGUGGUCUUAUUUCUCACCCUAAGUAGAAAUAUAUUCAAUCACUUACGCUUUGACUGGGACCCCUAUCACAGGGGAUUUCGAUUUGAGUUACUUUGUGCUCAAGCAAAUUCACAUCAUAGUUUUGAUUCUUUAGAUAUGAAUUCAUCACAUUACAUAUAUCAGAUUAAGUGUAACAAAAUUUUUAAUUUACUGCGAAAAGAAUAUGCACUAAACAAUGAUUUCAAGACGAUUUGACUACCAAAAGCAGCUGUCAGAGUGCACUAAAAAUUUCUGUAGGAUAUUUUGUAGCUGUUUAAUAUGUUAUGAUGGGCAUAUAAUUCUCAAAUUUUGAUGCCUCUCAGCGAAAAAUAUAUCAAAGUUUAGAUUAUGUGUUCGAGCUUUAAUAAAUGGUCGGAAAAAAAGCUGCUGUCAGAGUGCACUGAGUGAAUAAUAAUAACGACAAUAAUAAUAAACUAAAAAACAGAAUUAAUUACUAUUGAAUGGUCGGAAAAAAAUUUGAAAACGUGUGAACUCCAAUAAUCACCCCACAAAUUCAGUGGCGAAUUUUGGAGAGGGCAAGGCCGGGCUUCUCAGAAAAAAAUUUAUUUAGUUACAAAAUUAUCUUUAUUGAAACCUAUAUAAAUUUUUUUUUAUAUUAAUUAGUUAUGUUACCUCUUCAAUUAUCAUCAAAUUUUUGUCUGUUCAUCAUUUGGUGAAUAAAUGUGUGUCUAAAUAAUUUCAAAUAACAUUUAGAACAAAUAUUUUGAGAGGUAAAGUUUAUUUUGUCUCCCAUUAUUAGGUGCAUCUAUAAUUUCUUAUUUACAAAAUUAUAUUGUACGAUAAAAAUUUAUUGAAUUAGGGGGAAAAAAAAAGUUCAGCUCACUCAAAAACAAAAAAUGGUAUUAACUUCGCCACCGCACAAAUCUAGAAUAAUAAUUAUUCCUUAUCAUGCUGGGGAUCCUUUACUUUCUAGCCGUAUUGACAGCACCAGGUAAAGCUUUGUAAAAUAAUAAGUUACUCAUUAGUGGUUUUUAAUCUUUUUAAUUCUUUUUACCGCACACCUGAUCAAGAAUUUUAUUUUGUUAACUAAUCAAUUGCAAAGCAUAUAUAAGUGUUGAACGGUACGCAAGAUUGGAAAAAAAAAUCUUAAAAAACGUGUGGAUUCGGGUGGCCACACCAGAAAUCUAUUACAAUAAUUAGCUUUGAUGCUGGGAAUCUUUUAAUUUCUGGCCGUAUUGAAAUUUUUAAAAUAACAAGUUCCCCUUCUCGUUUUUUUUUUUAUAAAUAUAUAAGCUUAUAACAAUUUUAGAAUAAUGACUCAUUUGUAGAAGAAUUUAUGAUUUCCCAUUAAUAUUAAUAUUGAAGUGGGGUGGGUCAAAUCUCAAUUGCUUGAAGAAUUUAUUUAUUAUUAUUAAUAUUAUUAGUAUUGAAGUGGGGUAGGGAACGGACCAGCAGUUCACUCAAUUCGUGGCGAAUUAAAUAUUACCAUCCAAGGUAGGAUUGUGGAAAAUUAAAGCAAAAUGACAAGUAUGGAAAGGAAGGCUGAAAGUAAGGCAUGACGAAAGGCUUUGAGAAGGCUGAAGACUUACCAAAGAAGUCAACUGAAAACUAGCUGGGGCCUGAGUGUAUAAAUUGUUAGAUGCGUUUGUUAUAAAUAACAUAGAGCCCUUUUGUUAUUUAUAGUUAUAGAGAAAGAGAGAAUGUGUGUCUUUUAAGAGUUAGAGAUAUAGCUAGAAUGGGCGGCUCAAAAUCCAAAAUGGUGACAAUGUUAGUUCUCGUAUUGGUAAUAUUUUGGGUGGGGGGGGGGGGGGGGGGGGGGGGGGGUUGUGAGGGAAGGAAGGUCCACAGGCCGAGUGGUACAACUACACCUUGGCCUUACUAGGAAUAUCGAUCUGGGAGAGUGGUAUCUGAAUGCUUCUCUAUUUACUUCCUUUCAACAACUUGGUAACAAAAUAGCCGGCUGCAUGCGUUGAGAAUGAAGGUCCUUCAUUUAAUUUAAUUUACUUAAUUUCUCCCUCCCAAUUAAUGUCUAAUGGAGCUCAUUCUUUGGUUUUACUUGCAGGUCUAGAAGCAGGUGUCAUCUAACAGCUGCUUUGAUAAUUUCCCACCCCUUCAUCUUUGAUGGAAAGAUGAAAUAAAAACAAAAUGGUGAAAAUGGUAUUGGUACCUGAGGCUAUGUAAUCUAAUUCAACAACUGCACCAUCAAAACGAUUACAUAAGUCCCAGAAGAAUCAAACAUUAGUUUGCAAAAUAUCAAUUGCUGGAGGUUAGAUUCUAACUUCCGCUCUUGAUUUUUAUGGGCAUGUUGUAUUGUACUUGCAUACGAAAAUCAUAUUUUAGUUUACUUACACUCAAUGCUUGGAUUAAAGUUUCAGGUGGGGAAAAUUGAAGGAGACUAAAAUGACUCAAAAAAAUAGUUGAAUGAGUGAGGGUUUUGUCUUCAUUUGAGGAGCUCUUUAUAAAUUUUAGGAUUUUUUUUCCCGAGAAAAUUUAUGCCAACUUAUUCUUUGCUUCUUUUCUGAAGGGACAAAUGCAACUGAAAGUGUAUUCUUGAAUUCUCCAGGAUAAGAGACAUAUGUUUAAUUAGAUUCUCGAGCCUUCAAAACAAUAUAAAAUUUUAUAUAUCUGAGCAUGAUGGUGUUUGACAUGACUUAAAAUUGUUUAAUUUACUCUCACGUACAAGAAUGCCUAGUUAUAUUGUCGCUCAGAGUCCGAGGUUAAUCCAUAAAGAAAUGAUUUAAUUUGUUUAUUUAAGAUUAUCCCAAAAAAUAAAAAUAAAAUUUAAAUAUAUGUAAUUUAAUUUGAAAAAAGUUAUGAAAUUAAAUUAUUUAGAGUCAUGGAUCCACUCUUAGUAAUAAAUACAAUUUAAUAAAUUCUUUUUAUUUUUAUUUUAUUGCCCAAAAGAUUAAUUAUAUAAAUUAUAAUUAUUUUUCCAUUAAUUUUAUUAUGGAUUAAGUACUUAAUGUGCCAAAACUUAACUUGUCUACAAUAUGUCAAAAUACCAUUUUACCAUACUUUAUGCUAAGAUAUUAAGAAUUCAUGUGCCAAACUCCCAUGUUUGUCUACAAUAAAUCCAAAUUUCAAAACAUAAAAUAUGGAUCAAAUUAAAUAAAAAAUAAUUUAAUUUAUAUAAUUAAAAAUAGAAUUUGAUUAAAUCAUAUUUUUCUACUUAGAGUUUUACCUCACCCUAACUAUUAGUAUUUAGCUAAACAUAUUUGAAAUAAAUGAAAUUAUUAAAAUUGAAAAAUACAUAAUUAAAAAAAUGGUAUUUGAAAAUUAGAAAUAAAACUAAUUUUAUUUAUUGAAAAUGUAUUACAAAGAGAGAUGAGAAGAAGAAUUUGAGGGAAAAGAAGAGAAGAAAAUGUGUGGAGAGGUGUGUGAAAUUAUAUUGUAAAGAUGUUACACAAACAAAUGAAUAAAAAAAAACUAAAUGAAAAUUACACAAAUUAAAAAGAAAAUGAAAAUUAAAUAAAAAAGAUAAAUGUGUAAGAAAAAAAUGCGCAAUAAAAAUAAAUAAACUGAAAAGUAAUUAACUAAAAUUAAAAUAACUAAAUAGGCGGUAAACAAAGUAAAUGCCAAAAAUAAAAUAAGUGCGAAAAUUAAAUUACAGAAAUUAAAAGAAGAAAGAAAGAAAAAAAUAAUUAUCUCAAAGUGUAAACUCUUUUUCUUUUUCUUUUCAAAUUUUAAAUAUUACCAGCCAAUUAAGUGAUUAAUUCAAAUUAUUAGGCUUUAAUAGUAAUUUUUAAAAUCAAUAUUCAGUUUAUUGAGUCCAAAUAAGGUCCAAAGAAGUUCAAGUUGUUGGUCUAAAAUUGAGAAUUUUGGGAAAUAUUGGCAACGGACCUAUUCAAAAAGCUCUAUAAUUUUGUGGUCAAACUGCAAUUAUGAGAAGAAUGAUCCAAAAAUUAGAAUUUUUGGGGUGAGUGAGAUUUAGAAAGAUUUUGUGGAUAUAACAUAAUUUAAGAAAGAAAAAGGAGGUAAAUGAAAAUUUACACAAAAAGUAUAAAAAGAAAGAAAAAAGAAAACAAAAUAAAUACCUCUCCCAGCAAUGGCGGUAAAAACUUAACACGACUUAAAAGCAUUUAAUUUACUCUAAAGUAUAAGAGUACCUAGUUAUAUUAUAUCGCGAGAAGUCCGAGAUCGAUCUACAGAAAAAUGAUUUAAUUUAUUUAUUUAAGUUUAUCUAAAAAAUAAAAAUAAAAUUAAAUACAUGCAAUUUAAUUUGAGAAAAACUAUGAAAUUGAAGUAGUUAGGAUUAUGGAUCUACUCCUAGUAAUAAAUGUAAUUUAAUAAAUUCUUUUUAUUUUUAUUUUAUUGACCAAAAGAUUACUUGUAUAAAUUACAAUUAUUUUCCCAUUAAUUUUAUUAUGGAUUAAGUACUUAAUGUGCCAAAGCUUAACUUGUCUACAAUAAGUCAAAAUACUAUUUUACCAUACUUUAUACUAAGAUAUUAACAAUUCAUUGUGCCAAACUCCCAUGUUUGUCUACAAUAAAUCAAAAUUUCAAAAUAUAAAAUAUAGAUAAAAUUAAAUAAAAAAUAAUUUAAUUUAUAUAAUUAAAAAUAGAAUUUGAUUAAAUCAUAUUUUUCUACUCAGAGUUUUACCUCACCCUAACUAUUAGUAUUUAGCUAAACCUAUUUGAAGUAAAUGAAAUUAUUAAAAUUGAAAAAUACAUAAUUAAAAAAAUAGUAUUUGAAAAUUAGAAAUAAAACUAAUUUUAUUUAUUGAAAAUAUACUACAAAAAGAGAUGAGAAGAAAAAGUUGAGGGGAAUGAAGAGAAAAUAAGGUGUGGAGAGGUGUGUUCCUCCCCCCACUUCUCUAUUUAUACUAAUACAUGAUUAAUCUAUACCACACAAAUAAAUAAAACUAAUUACAUCUUAGGCAUACAUUUGUCCCACUAACAAAAUAUAAACCUAAGUUAAUCCACUUAAGCACAUCCAACACAUUUCACUAACAAUUACCACACCUAACAUGAUAAAAACUUAUAAUUUCACAAUUACCACAUUUACUUUUACAACAAAAACCACGAAUCUUCUCGACAAUAACCUAAUUUCUCGGACUUUCGGAAUCUAAAAAUUUAAAUAAUAUUAAAUUUAUCUAAUAUAAUUAAAUGUAUUAAAUAAAAUAAUGUUUCAUUUUAUAUUUACCCUCCUUUUAUUAAAUUUACUAUAAUUAUAUUUAAUAAAAUAAAUAAUAUUAUAUAUUUAAAUAAUAUUAGUUAUAUUUAACUAAAUUAAAGCAAAAUGACAAGUAUGGAAAGGAAGGCUGAAAGGAAGGCAUGACAAAAGGCUUUGAGAAGGCUGAAGACUACCAAAGAAGUCAACUGAAAGCUAGCGGGGGCGUGAGUGUAUAAAUUGUUAGAUGUGUUUGUUAUAAAUAACAUAGAGCCCUUUUGUUAUUUAUAAUUAUAGAGAAAGAGAAUGUGUGUUUUUUAAUAGUUAGAGAUAUAGCUAGAAUGGGUGGCACAAAAUCCAAAAUGGUGACAAUGUUAGUUCUCGUAUUGAUAGGGGGGGGGGGAGAGGUCGAGUGAGGGAUGUUUGGAGCAUGAGAAAUUUGAUCUUUUGCGGCUGGAUGUUUGGAGCAUGAGAAAUUUGAUCUUUUGCGGCUUAAACAUUUCUUCAAUUCCCCUUAUACACUUCAAAACUGGGUAGGUGAACAAAGGGAAAGGGUUGAGUGCAGCAACUCCACAGGCCAAGUGGUACAACUACACCAUGGCCUUACUAGGAAUAUUGAUCUGGGAGAGUGGUAUCUGAAUGCUUCUCUAUUUACUUCCUUUCAACAAUUUGGUAACAAAAUAGCCGGCUGCAUGCGUUGAGAAUGAAGGUCCUUCAUUUAAUUUAAUUUACUUAAUUUCUCCCUCCCAAUUAAUGUCUAAUGGAGCUCAUUCUUUUGUUUUAUUUGCAGGUCUAGAAGCAGGUGUCAUCUAACAGUUGAUUUGAUAAUUUCCCACCCCUUCAUCUUUGAUGAAAAGAUGAAAUAAAAACAAAAUGGUGAAAAUGGUAUUGGUACCUGAGGCUAUGUAAUCUAAUUCAAAAACUGCACCAUCAAAACGAUUACAUAAGUCCCAGAAGAAUCAAACAUUAGUUUGCAAAAUAUCAAUUGCUGGAGGUUUGAUUCUAACUUCUGCUCUUCAUUUUUAUGGGCAUAUUGUGUUGUACUUGCAUCCGAAAAUCAUAUUUUAGUUUACUUACACUCAACGCUUGGAUUAAAGUUUUAGGGGGGGCAUUGAAGAAGACUAAAAUGACACAAAAAAAGAGUUGAGCGAGUGCGGGUUUUGUCUUCAUUUAAGGAGCUCUUUGUAAAUUUUAGGAUUUUUUUCCUAAGAAAAUUUAUGCCAACUCAUUCUUUGCUUCUUUUCUGAACGGACAGAUGCAACCGAAAGUAUAUUCUUGAAUUCUUUAGGAUGAGAGACAUACGUUUAGAUUCAUCGAGCCUUUAAAACAAUAUCAAAUUUUAGAUUGCUGAAAUUUUAUAUAUCUGAGUAUGAUGGUGUUCCAAUUAUAAGCUCCAGGGUGCAACUUCACUAAGGUUUAGAAUACCUUCCUAUAGAAUUGAGAAAUCUCCAUUGGCAUAAAUAUCCUUUGAAAAUAUUGCCAUCAGAUGUUGAAUUGGAGAACCUGAUUGAACUCAGCUUGCCUUGUAGUAAGGUUAAGCAAAUUUGGAAAAGAGAAAAGGUAUAAUGUAUUACUAUUACCAAAGUAUCUAUUUUUCUUUCUUUAAGUAUUUAUAAUGAAUAACUUUGAAAUUGAAUGAUGCUCAUUUAGUAUAGUUGUGUAUCUUUGGUUAUAGGAAGCUGUCAAGUUAAAAUCUAUAGAUCUUCACCACCCUCUGUAUCUCAAUAGGAUCCCAAAAAUACUAAAUCUUAAAAAAAUAAAUCUUUCAAAAUGUGAAAGCAUGCUUACGUUACCCGCGUAUAUCCACAAUUUCAACUAGCUCAGUAUGUUGUGUUUCAUGGGAUGCAAAAUUCAUUUUGUUUCUCAUGAAAGGAUUGACUUGUUCGGAUGUAUUAGGGUUAAUAAACCAACUAAUCCCAUAAUUUGUUGAUGUCGGGUCCUAACAAAUUACUGCAGUAUAUUGUAGAUCAAUACACUAUUUGAAAACGUAUUUGAUCCACACAGUGAAUGUUUGAGGGUGCAUUUCUCGCGAACCAGCCAUACCCUAAACGAGGAGCCGGUCUCCUUGUAAUUGAGCAGGCAGGUGAAGUCUGGUAGCAAAUAUCCAAGAGCAGGAAUUCUAUGCUCAAUCACAAGGACAUCCUCUUUUGGACUAUAAUUCGAACAAGGUUCCUGCUAGGAGCCGAGAGCCUUUCCUGCUGGAGAGCGGGGUCGGCAGGCCUAGUCUAUAACGGUUAGCGAGACGUGCACUCCUAUUCGAGAAUCUAGGCACGAAACCAACUCAGCUGCAACUACGACAUUCAGGCAUCCACUUCCGUAAGCUGAGGGAGGUGAUGGACGUGGAUCGUAGGGCGUCGGAUUUGUAAGACGGCUAUAAAACGGUAAUCAACGAAGGUAAAGGGGUUAGACACUUUUACACUAGAACUUAAGAAAUAAGACCAUUUACUAAAAAAGGAGAGAAACACUCAUAGGUGUUCCACUGCCUAAGAGAUCAUGAGAGAGCCACGAGAUCAGUGGCCGAGUUUCCCAAAAAGUAAACCUAAAUUUCUGACUUGAGCGUAGGAGGAUUUUUCCGGCGUGCUCUGACAAGUUUUUGUGUGCGCAUGAGUCUGCUAAGUCAUACAAGGCAUAGCUUUGCUCGGUUAGAAGAGUUACGUGAAGUAUCCUAGGUUGGUCGUGAGUUCGGGAGUUAAGGAGAGAUCCUGGUUGCAGACGAGCAGACACCAGAAUCUCGCAUCAACAGUGAAGAUGAUUCAAUAUUAAGCAUGUCAUAUAAUCUAGAAGUGGAUAUUGGACCAAUUUGAUGAUAAUGAAUUUCUUUCAAUCUCAAUCUUUUUCUUUUUAGCAACAUGACUAGUAAUUGUGCAAAUUUAAACUCUGAGAAUGAUUUCUCAAUCGGUUUCUAAAAUGAUGACCAUGCAUGUAUACGUGUGUGUGUGUAGAGAGAGAGAGAGAGAGAUCACACGUGUGUGAUUUCCUUUUGCCAAUAGGAUAUGCAGAGAGCUUGAUCUUACCCAAUAGCGAAACAAACUUCCUAAUAAGUGAAGGUAUAGUAUAAAUACUUAUACUUUCAUGUUAUUUUGUUCAUCGGUAGCUUGAUUAUUUUAUAUGCGUCUUCGAUUUUAAUUUUCUUUCCCUAUAAUCGCUAUUAUCUUUGAACUGGUCAUGAUUUGCCUAUUAGAUUUCUCAUGUUGUUUUGAGGUGCAAUGGAUUUUGAAUUUAGUGACGAGCAGUGGAAGCCAGAAGGCAAAUUAUGAAAAUGGAUAAAGAUCUAUAAUUAGCUGUUAUGGGAUGUCACAUAUCAUAUUGAUGGUAACAUUAUAUAUAUGUACAUAUAAUUAAUGGGGUUGGCUCACGAGCCCAUUAAUAAUCGUAUAUUAGCUUAUAUACUUCAAACAAUGUACUAUGAAGUAAUUUCACAAAUACUUGUUAGCUUAUGUGGAGCUUUAUUGAAUCAGUAGUUCACAGUUCAAUAAAAUGCAGGUUUGCUAUUUGAAGUACAUGGUCAUGGUGCGUACAUUCUUCAUAAGGCUAACUACUAAUUUAUCAUUGAAACUUGAAAAAUGUGAUAGAGAGAUGUAGAUAACAGCCGCAAAACACUGAGAUUGAAAAUCAGGGCUACUAAAUUCUAUUAAAAGCCCUUAAAAUAGACAGCGAUCAUCCUAAAAUAUUAAUUGCAAAGUUAUGCACUAAUAGAACUAUUGACUACUUAUCUUUAGCAGAAGGUAUAUUUUUAACUACAGCUUUCUGCUUUGUUCUAAGAACUAGGCAAAAGUGGUAUAUCUUCAAUCCAAUCAACAUAUAUACCACUUAUUUUCCCCUUCACUUCUGUCCAUUUUGAUUUGCACUUCAUAUCCUGCACUUGCUGCUUAGAAAUAGUCUUAGUCUGGACAUUGAAAGUAGAAAAAGUACUUGAAACAAUCAUUGGCACAGCCCGAGAUUCCAUUGAAUCGUGGACUCCAAGCUUUCAUAGUUCUAUAAAGAAAAUGACAAAACAUCAUACAACUGGCAUUCGGCUUUUAACAUUUGCACAACCUGAGCGCGUUAGCAAGCCCCUUAUUGCGUUCCCAUUGAAUAGACCUACUUCUGUUAUCCACAGAAGAUCCACCUCUCAAAAUGUUUAUCACCAGGCUAUUCUUAAACUGAGCCUAAACUGAGUAGAAACUUCCGCACAUCUCUCAGCAUUUACAUGAAGAAAGCGACAACUAUCCUCAUCUCUCAGCACAUCUCUCAGCAUUCUACAAAGUUGCAUUUCACUAAGCAAUCUAUCCUCUCCAUUCCUAGCAAAGUGACAUUGAUUCCCGUAUUUGUAAUCGCCUAACUUGGGUUUUGGGCAUAGCGUGGUCUUAAAAUUACCACCCAAUACUUUGUUCAGUGCCACUGGCAUCCACAAGCUCUAGCCUUGUUAGCUGAAUCAUAUUCAAUAGGACAGUGAGACAGCAUUUCACUGACAUAUUCAAUUUGACUACUUAUAUUGACGCAAAUAUUAGAAUUUGAAAUCACUUCUUUUAUUGGAAUAUUAUAUUAAAAUGACCCCAAAUGAAAGUUCUUGAAUGGAAAUGAUUUUUAUUUAAUUUUCCAACAGAUUCAAGAAAACCCAGAGAACAUUAAUUUACACAGUAAUAUGAUUAAGAGCUGAGAACGUACAUGUAGUAAAUGUCUAUCAAAAAACACCCAAGGGUUUCUUUAAAAUUAGAAACUAGUAAACAAAAAGAAAGAAUCAUUUUACAUUUUUAUCAACUUUGGGGUGAGUGAGGAGUGAGAAAUUGAAACCCUAAAGUAAUGACAACAGUAAGAUUCAGUAUGAAGUGAAACCCCAAUUUGAAAUGUAGGCAUGAGUUGCUGAGUCAGUAGAUGAAGCUGUAAAUAGGCAUUCGGUUUCCUUCUUUUCGGUUUGGAGGGCCAUGGAAUAGUGUAUUGGAGUGGGCUCCAAGUAAUAGCCUCUAUCACUGGAAUGACACAUCUAUAAAAUGUGAUACAUGGGGAAGGAUUGGACAUUAUAUUCUUAGAUUAGCGCCUUAUUUAGGGUGUAUAUUAAGCAGAUUAUAUAUUACAUGGAGAUGGAGUUUAUGAAAUAGAUUAAAAAGAAAAGGAAAUUUUGGUGCCUAAAGUUUGCCACUUGGAAUAUUUCGGUGUCUAAAAAUUCACUCACCACUUAUUUCAUGUUUGAUUAUAUGUUGAAAAGAUAUUAAAAUAGUAUAAUGCUAUUAAGGCUUAACGUAUAUUUUUUAUUAGUAGAGUGUAGAAUUUUUAAGAAAUAAAUUAUUAAAUUAUUAUAACUAACAUAUUAUUUUAAAGUUGUGUUAUGAAAAAAAUGAAAUAAAAAUGUACAGUAAAUAAGAAUAUUUUAAAACUUUUAUCUUUUUAAAAUUAUUUUUUAACAUAAGGUGAACUAUUUUUUUUUUAAAUCACAUAUUCUAGUUAAAAUCAAAUAUGUAUUUAUAUGAAGCUUGUAAAUUUUUUUUUUAGUACUGAUAUUUGGAUAUUACCAAUAAAAAAAAAGGUAAUGUGCAUGCUGAAUUAUUUUUGUAGCACACAAAAGGACAACACCGUUUAUGUUAUCAUACUAUCACUUCUGUUAUGAUAAUAUUUUUUUGUGGCCAAAUAUCUUCUUUUUUUUUUUAAGUAAAAGUGUGGACAAAAUGCAAAUCAGUUUUUAAUCCUCAAUCUCUCCCAAAAUAUAAAUUCGUAGGUACAUGGGUUGUUAAAACUAUAGCUGACAAAAAGUUACUAACAAAAACAGAAUGUCCAUUUUAUAACUUUCUUAAAAAACUUUCCUUAACUUUUUUAAAAAGUUACCAAUAAAAAGUUAUUUCUAAUUUUUAUUUUGUUAUAAUUUUUAUAACAAAAUUCGUAGUUCGUAGUUAACUAAACUCUUCUUAUUCCCUUUCUCAACUGCCAUACCCUAACCUUGUUCCCCACACUAAACCACGCUCAAUUAAGGCCAUCAGAUUCUCCCGGGCCCACAUUAAUCCAACUGCUCACAGAGACCGACAGCCUCUCUAUCUCCAUUUCAAGCUCCCUCUUCAACUGGCUUCUGCUACCGUCCUACUCUUUCUCGGCUUCGGAGUCCGUAUUUGCUCGGCCUGUCCCACGAAGCUCCCUCUCACUCCAAUUGUCGCCCCACAAGACCAAUUGCUUAAUCAAGACACCGAACAAGAAAAGGAUGAGAAGUUGAAACAAGAAUUUGAGAAUUGGAAAUAAAAAACGUACGCAUUGACCGUGCCUUUGAGAGUCGUUUCUCUUCAGAACUCAGUGCCUCAAUCUUGGGUUAAGGAUUUUAUGCGAAGUCAGGGAAAGAGAUUGAAGUUUCAGAUGAAUUUGUGUGCUAGCAUUGAUGGGAUCUUUAACAAUUUAUCUGUGCCCUUUAACAAAGUUAAGGCUAAGUCAGCUUCUUAUAUGGCUGCUGAUUUGGUUAGUGUUGGUGAUUCAUGGCUUAGUUUUGCCAUUAAAAAGAGAUUGAUUGAGCCAAUGGCUGGAGCUGAAGACCAAGAUUGGUUCAAAUGCUUAAGUCACAAAUGGAAGGUAACAUCUUUGUCUUUGAUCCUCGAGGUAAAAUAUGGGCGGCACCGUACAGGUGGGGCACAACGGUGAUAGCCUACAAGAAAAGUAAAUUUCGAAAGCAUAAUUUGGCUCCGAUUGAGGUAAUAAUUUUCUUUAAACUCAUUUAGUUUUAUAUCAAACAAAAUCAAGACUGCCUUUCUUUUCAAUAUUUUUUAUGAUAAUAUCUUUAGAAGCAUCUCAUUGACGGGUAACAAUGGCAUCCCUGAAAGAGUCUAUAAACUCAAUGAUAUUAUCUUCUACAAAUGGUUCAUUAAACUUUGUCGUUGUACUCAAAUGUACACUCAGAUCAAUGAGAAGCUAUGCUACGUUAGCAUGUAGUGAUGGCACUUAAUAAGUGAGUUGCUAGGAUGUGAACUAGAAAAAUUAAAUAUUGUCUCCUUGGGUAUGCUAGCUGGUAAGUCAGGGUUAAUAUCAGAGCUUAAGAUAGUAUAACCGUGAGAACCUAUUGACUGCCAAUUAAAAUAUCCAUUGAAAUGUCUAGGGAGUUAUGAAGGUGGAGGUAACUUCCAAUUUCUAAGGCCACAGAGUAGACAUCAUCCAGGAUCCUAAAAUAUCCAGUUAACCUCCUGCUCGAUGCGAUUAAUAAAUUUGGUCAAUGCCACUGAAACCUGCUAACUGACGUCACAAUGCGACAUGAGCACUUCAAAAUGGGACAGAUGGUCAGUAGCACUAAAUUUUUCUUGCCUAAGAUUGAGCAAUUGGUCUAACUACUAAUCCCUAUUGUAGGUUGAUCAUUAUUUUUUCAAUUAUGUUCAGUUUGACCCAAAAAGUUGCAGAAUCUUGAGCUGAAUAUUGUCACUGAACACUGUCAAUGUUGUUUAGCAUAGCCAACUAACUUGAUGUUAAAACAAACACACAGUGUGUCUCAUGUCUCACAAUUCAAAUUAUCAUCUGUAAUGAUGGAGAAUUUUUCCAAUGUAUGAAGUAUGCUUUGAUACGUGGGUUACCUUGGAGAAGAUAUCUCAAAAUAAAGAAUAUGGGGAGAAAACAGUUCAGUAGUUUAUUAUUCUGUAGUCAAGUUUUGUCUCGAAAAUGGUCAAAAUUUAAAUGAAUAAGGACAGGGAAUCUUCAUUCUUUUUUCCCUUUUUUAUACCAAGAUAUCUCUCAACCUUUAUAUAAUCCCCACUGGAUAUCUGCUUCUAAUAAUUAAAAUAAAAAUUUCACCGCUCUAACAAUAAAAAGUAACAUCUUUAAUCAAAUAAUUUACAGUUCCUCAUCACCUUAGUGUGAGACUAUCAGUACAUUCCAAAAACUUAAUAAAACUGGUUUGAUCCUGUUUAUUGAUGUUUAAAUGUUGUUCAUUGUGACAUGUAGAAAUGAUGAGGCGAAGUUUAUUUGGACAUCAAUUAGUAAGAUCUUGUUUGAAGUUGUUUUCUGAAAUGAACUGCCCAAUGGUAGUUUUUUGGGGGCAUUUGAUGGCUCUUUUUUUCCUCAUUUUCAACAUGUGCCUGCUUGGAACAGGAAGGAUUAGGCUGCAGAGUUGUUAUAUAUUUUUAGAUGCUCUGGUCAUUGCACAAUUUGUUCACACUGGAAAUUAGAAUGAGAAAUUUGUUGAUGCUGUUUUGAGAGAUCUGCAUUCUAUGCACAAUAACGUGAUUAAUGAAAAUGCAUUGUAGGACUGGAAAGAUCUGUGGCAGCCUGAGCUCGCAGGAAGAAUUUCAAUGGUUAAUUCUCCCCGAGAGGUUAUUGGUUCAGCUUUGAAGAAUAGGGGAGCAUCAUACAAUUCAAACGAUAUUGAUUUGCAAGUUGCUGGUGGGAAGAUUGCUGUUCAGCAGAAUCUGGCAUUACUGGCAAACCAAGUACUCUUACAGAAAUGAUAUCUGGUCAUUGCAUGUUAUUGCCUGACAACUGAUUUUGUUUGUACAAGUCUGCUUCUUCAUACAUAUGAAUGCAUAUGUUAGUGUUUUCUUCUCCUUUUCAUACAUAUAAAUGCAUAUGUUAGUGUUGUCUUUUCCUUUUCAUACAUAUUAAUACAUAUGUUGGUGUUCUCUCAUGAGAUGGAUGCAAUAGAGGCUUUUGCUCCUAAAUUUAGCUGAAGAAAUGGGAAGGGAUGUGAGAUUCUGUCUCAUUAAAUUAACAAAAACCCAAAACAAUGAAAAUCCAUAAUAAUGUGGUGUGGGUAAAUUGGCUCCAUUUGGUUCGUUUCCUUAAUGUGACUGCGCGAGCAAUAGAGACUAACAAAAUGAAGUGACAACAAGAAGUCAGUGUCCUUUGAUGGAUGCAUUUUUAGGCAGAAAUAGGUUUGUAAUUGACCAAAUUUGCCUGGCAUGCCAAUUUCAAAAAAAUUAAAUUAUGUGGUUAUUGGCUGUAAUGAAGGGGGAUAGUCGGUGCAAUCAGGUGGAUCCUGGAAAGUUCAACAAAGUUUGGUAUGGCGUAGUGAAAUUGGUUUGUGCAACUCAGGAGUCUUUCAGGUGAACGAUGAUAGGUUUUGAUUUAUGAAUAUUAUAAAUCUACUGUGCAUAUUAUUCUAGCAGAAUCAUCUAUAAGUUCUAGUUAUUGAAAUUGUAUACUUUGCCCGGUUUGAGUUAAGGGCACAUGUAAUAUGAAAGAUAGUUGUCGCAUCUUUUAGGUUACCUAACAUUUGAUCAAUCCUAUUAUGGGGGCUUCAAGAUGUCUAACAAUAUGUAGAAUGCCCAUGCUCCUCCCCAUUGUUUAUCUUAUACAAUAAUUUGUUUUAGAUGCUAAUAUCUUUGUCGAUACUGGUAACAAUAUUACAAUAUCUGCCUUUAUUGGGUUUUACAUAGGUUCGACUGUUUGACAGUACACACUAUCUGAAGGCAUUUGCAAUUGGAGAUGUAUGGGUUGCUGUUGGGUGGAGUAGUGAUGUUCUUCCUGCUGUCAAACGUAUGUCUAAGGUUUUAUGAGAAACGAAAGAUGAGUGUUUGUUUGAACAAAGUUGUUGCCAAUCUUGCAGAGUUCGAAAAGAAAGAUCACGGAGCGAAUGCCACCGAUUUCUUCAUCAUUUUAGCCUCCAUAGUUGAAGUUUCCUCAUUUGAAGCUGUUUAUGCAUACGCUUUUUCCCUGCUCUAGUACAGGAAAUUGAAGAAUUAACCAGAUGUGAUAUGCUGAAAGAGGGAAGUUUUCUUCCUUGAAUGUGGCCUUUGUGAUUUGUCUUGAAGGAAUAGGAUGAUCACUGGCAAAAACCCUAUCAAGGUAGAUUUUAUGAUGUUAACAUAUUAUUAAGCAUUUUGUUACAUCAGCAAUGAUGCUUUCAUAGCAUGAAAGUGUCUAAAUUUAACUGAAUGAUCUUGAUUAAUCAAUUAUGAGUUUUAAUCGAGUAAAAACUAAAUACAAUAAUCGUUGACAAAUACUGAAAUUGGGUAAAUAUGAUCUUGAUAUUGAGAAUCUGAAAACACAACCCACACAGGGAAUCACCCUUCGCGUGGGGAUGGAGAUGUUUACUGCAGCGAUAUUGCAUAUGUCCACUGCUCUUUGGGUUAUGGUGCGACUUGCGAUUUCAAGGUUUCCCUGAAACAAUGAAAAGAUUGACGUACCCUGCAAUGAAUGAAAGCGGCUGGACUAAUUCUGAUUACCUAAUUGACUCAGGAUCGGCUGGCAAUAAUGACAGUUUAUUAACAAUGCACAGUCCCGAGUACUUUCCAGGAUCAGAUAUUACGUGGUCUAAUGUUGAUAAUAAUAGAUUAUCAAAUGACAAAUCGUUGUUCUUGGGUGUUGAUUUCAGAAAUAAAAUACGUUCUGAGAGAUGCUGGUCUACUAUUGCAAGCCCCCAGAUUUAAGAAUCUUUUGAUGAUAAUUUACCACCUGUAACUGUGCCGGAAGAUUCACCUAGCACUGAAAAAGAUGAUAAUUUAAUUGAUAUGGACAGUUUCCAUAUCACUUUUAAAUCAUCUUAUGUAAUUGUGAUGUUAGGAAGCAUUAGUGAUCUACAUGUGAACUAUUAUUGGCGCCAUUUGUGGUUUUAUUUUAUUAAAAUAUGGAUGACUUCCCGUUACUAUUUCGUUGUAGACAAUCUUAUCAAUUAACAUAUAGUUUAAAAUCAUUAUGAUCUAUUAAUUUUCAUGAUAUUUAACUGAGUUAAAACUAAGUGCAUUCAAUAAAUCUUUCUUCCUUUAAAAAACUGUUGCGCUUUAAUUUUAGUGCUUAAUAUUUACAGAACUCUGGUACAGGGAAUUCGAAAUCAAACUAGUAACUACAGAUUAUCUAAUUGCAAGUUUUUGUCCAUAGUUGCAGAUUUGUAGUGAUUAUCUAAUUGACUGAGGUGACAACAAUUUUUUUUUUAAUUUUCAAUAGCAUAAUGUGGAAUUCAAUAAUUAAAUUCUCCUUUUUAAUUUGUUUCCAGUUAAAUUAUUAAUUACUUAAACUUUGUUUUAAGUCUUUAAUUUUAUGUCUUGGCCUAUAUGCAGGGUUGGAUUCUUGAGCGUGUUGGACACGACCAACAAUGAAAUUGACAGUAAACAAACAUUACAACACGUUGAGUGUCGACUCCAGUAGCUGCCCUACAAGUCUACAACUUUACAAACAAUAAUUGAGUACACACAUUUGAUUCUCGGGACCCUCCAAUGAAUUUCUAGCCCCGUUGACUCCGCCGACAAAAGUUUUGGAAAAUAAAAAAAAUUCAUAGAAUUCCACCAAAUACAAAACGCGUGGAAUUUAAUUUUCGGCCAUGUGGACCAAAACACAAUUUAAUGAAAAAAAAGAUAAGAUUUCUAAAAUGUGUAGAAAGUGAUCCAUAUUUUACUGAAACAACUUGUUAAAUUUUUCAAGGAUUUAGAAUAUUUGAUCAUAAAUUACGCCCAUGUUAAUUUUUCCGCUAUUGACUAUCAUUUUCUAGACUCACUGUCACCUUUCUUGAUGAACGGUACUUAGUCUCUCUUCUCCUCUUAUAAAAAUUAUAUUAAUUGAUUUCUUAUUAUAAUAAAUAGUCUUUAAGAACGUAUAGAUUUAUUGUUUUCGUGACCAAAUUAUGCCUGCUUAAGGUUGAGACUAUUAAUAAAAUUAAUAUUUAAUGUUUAUGUUAAAAGAUAUAAGAUUUUAUGCAUUCAUUAAUUGUUAUUAGCUAAAGGAUUAAUUAUUUUUUCAACCCAAUCAGUUGAUGCAUCUGCAAGAGUUUUUUCUUUUAUUUACCAUAAUUAUAUUCCGGGUACAAUAAAUUAUCUUUGGUGCUUGGAAAAUAUGACUUCUUACUUCAAGUUUGAUGUGUCUCUCUCCGUAAGCUUACUGGAAAUAUAUCCUCAUUUACUGUCAUUUAUCUAAUAUCAAAUGAAAGAUCUCACUUUUUCAAACUAUCACUUCCAAGUCUCAUUGUCACUUAGCCAUUCUUGGACCAUUCAAAACCAAUCUGUUGAAAUAAUCAAAUAUAUGCAAAAUUAGAGUCACGAUUGUUGGUCCCCCAAAUUCUAAUUAUAUAACUUCUAUAUAUCUCAUUGUCAGGUCACGAACUUGUUGGCACAUUUCCAAAUUCCUCUUCCAUCAGCUCUCACACGUUAAUUUUUAGGUUAUCUAAAUUUCAAGGAUUUAAAAUCUUUGAUCAUGGAUUACAUGUUUAAUUUUUCUGCCAUUGACUGUCAUAUUCUAGAUUUAAUGGUACCUUUCUUGAUCAAGCGUAAUUACUCUCUCGUCUCCUCUUAUAAAUUCCUCUUCCAUUAGCUGUUAGCCUAUAUGGCUAUAGAUAUUGAUUUUGAUGAUAACAAACCACAUGUGUUGAUUAAACAAAGAUUUAUGAAUUGUGCAUUUAUAAUAAGAAAAUGAUGUUAUGGAAUUAAAGUGUUUUUGGACUAAAGUGAAAGUAUUUUAAAACCUUUGAUAUUAUUUUAAAAUUUCAGAUUUGGACCUAUUUGAAAAUAUUUAAAUAUUUUGGGUCAUUCUAUAUUUUUACAUGGUUUGGGUGAAAUCAUAAUUUCAAUUUGAGUGUGUGAGACACUUGAGUGAAGAGGUUGGGAGAUAAUCUCUUUGUUGUAAGGGUUCAUUGACACAUUGAAGUCAAUUGUAAACGUUUGAAGCCUUAAAAAAACUUGGAUAGUGAAAUCCUCAAGUUUGAAUCGCUUGGAGGCGUGGACGUAAGCGGGGAUUGCCGAACUACGUAAAAAUUCGUGUGUUUGUUUCUCUUCUCUCUUGCUCAAUUGUUAUUGUGCUUUUAUUGAACUUAUUACUUUUGAAUUUAUUAAUGCAUUAAAUUGGAUUGUUAUGUGGCUUUGUUAGGAUAUUUUUUAAAAUACCAAUUCACCCCCCUCUUAGGUUGCACACUUGUAUUUCAUUAGCAUUACUAGGAAUUUGUUGAUCUCUAAGAUGCUAACUUGAGUGAAGAGUUUCCAAAUUGAUUGUUACAAAACAACAAAAAAACUAGACACACUUGAUCUGUCUAAUAAUUCUCUUUCGGUAAAAUUAAUUAAUUUUAGGGGAAUUUUCGGCCAACCUCUGUAAUUUCAAAGUGAUCAUUAAUUAAUUAAACGAUACAAAUAUCUAAAGUGAUUAGAUGUUUGCUGACAAUACAAGUUCAUGGCUUGAAAUUUGAUCUCUAUCGAUUGGUUUACAAAUGGACGCACUUGUGCCUUUGUGGCGAUAAUUAAACAGAGAUGUGAAGUUGUAAAGAUUUGACAAGUUCCCAUGAUUAGUAUUUUUUUUCAAAAACUUUUUUACAACAAAUUCAUCUCGCCCAAAAAUUAUAUUUUGCUAUCUAACAAUAAUUGAGCACUUGGCCGCAUUGACUCCACGUCUCCACCUACUUUCUAAGUAAAAACAUGGAAAUGUAAUCUCCACAAAAUGUCAAACGUGUGGAAUUUAAUUUUUGGCCUUGUGAACCAAAAUGCAAAUGAAAGAAAAAGAGAGAAAAAAACAAGGCCCAAAGACUACGAAAAGAUAUAAAAGUCUUUGGGCCUUUUUAUAACGGUGGAUUUUUUAAAAGGAAAAAAUAACAACACUUCUAUGGUUUGUUUUGAUAAUCACAUUUACAUAUACUCUCUAAUUUUUAAAAUGGACACAUAAAUCUUUUUUUUUUUUUUCUACAAACGUAUAUUAUUCGUAUUUUUUAUUAUUUUUAAUAUCAUAUUGUUAUUUUUUUUAGAAGAUAUUGUUAUUUAUUAUAAAUGUUUAAAGUAAAUUUUUAGGUUGAAAUAUAAUAAAAAGGUAUAAUCGUUCUCUUAUUAAACACCCAUACUUUUAAUUUCUAUCCAUUUGUCAUCUCAAUCUCUCUCAAUUAUUCUUUAUUGCUAGCUCAAAACGCGUUGCUGUUGCAAAUUAUAGCAAAAAGACAAAUAUGGAAAAGAAAAAAGGGAAGAAAAUUAAUGCAUGAAAGAUUUGGAGAAAACAACGAAGUAAGUCAACUAUAAUCUAGUUGGGUGUGUAAAUUGUUUGAUGCUUUAUAAGCAAAUAACAUAUAGAGACAGACAAUGUGUGUUCGUUUUUUCAUAGUUAAAGAUAUAGUUAGAAUGGGUGGUUCAAAAUCAAAAAUGGUGAUAAUGUUUGUUAUGUUAUUAAUAAUAUUUAAAAGUGGGUGGAGUGAGGGAUGUUUGGAUCACGAGAGAUUUGCUCUUUUGCGACUUAAACAUUUCUUCGAUGAUACUAGUAGUUAUCUUUACGAUUGGGGAGAUGGUGAGGGAGCUACUGAUUGUUGUCAGUGGAAAAGGGUUGAGUGCAGCAACACCACAGGUCGAGUGAUAGUGCUAGACCUUUCUAGCAUGUAUUGGGGAGAGUACAGCUGGUAUCUGAAUGCUUCUUUGUUUACUCCCUUCCAACAACUUGAGUCACUUGAUUUAACUGACAACAAAAUAGCCGGUUGUGUUGAGAAUGAAGGUGCUUCGUUUAAUUUAAUUAAUUUACUUUCUCCACCCUAAUUUAAGUUGAAUAUCAAGACCGAGCAAUUAUACACAUAUUCAUUUAGUCGACAAUUUUGACUUUUUUUUAAAUGAUUAAUUUUGAAAUUACACCAAUAUCUAUGAUCCUUUUUUUUUAUUUUACUUGCAGGUAUAGAGAGGCUAUCAAGAUUGAACAACUUGAAGAUGCUUAAUUUAAGUGAUAACUCGUUCAACAAUAGCAUUUUAUCAUCUCUAACUCAUCUUUCAUCAUUAAGAUCAUUAAAUUUAUUUUGGAAUAGAUUGGAAGGAAGUAUUGACGUUAAAGGUACAUAAUUAAAACUUCAUCCCUUCUCCAAGCUCUUUCAUUAACUUGCUAAAAUAAGAUUCAAGGCUUUGAAUUCAAAUUUUUUUAUGAUUAGUAUUAAAAAAAAACAGUUUUAAGCAAUUUAUAAAUACAAGUUUUAAUGUUUCUCAUAAUUUCAUCUUGUACUUUCAUAUGUCUUGAAUUUAAGAUUAAAAAAAAAAAACUCUAAUAGCGAACCAAACACCUCCACAACUAAUUAUUAUUAUUAUUAUCAUUUUUUUUUUAUUUGUGGUGAGGUUUGAAACAUUCAACUCAAUUUGUACUUAUUACAGAAUUUGAUUCUUUGAGAGAUUUAGAGGAGCUAGACAUUGGCGAGAACAAGAUUGACAAAUUUGUGGUCUCAAAAGGUACUAGAACGACUGCAAAAAAUGUAAACUUCUACAAAUUAGCUAGAUUCUUUGCCAUUUGGUUUAUUAUUUUGCAGGUUUGAGGAAGUUGAGGUAUCUCAGUUUAAGUGGUAUCAAACUCAAUCAUAGCAUAUUAUCUUCUCUGACUGUCUUUUCUUCGUUAAGAGAAUUAUAUCUAGAUGAUACGGGAUUCAAAGGAACAUUAGAUAUUCGAGGUAAGUCUAAGCCCUGCUUUCUCAUUUUAUAUAUGCCAGCUAGACUUGUGUAUCAUCGACAUAAUUUAAUAUUUAAUUUGAUUAGUCUGAAGGAAUUACAUGCUAAUUUAAACAUACUUUUAUUUACUCUGUCAAUCAAUUAAUUAAUUAAUUACUAUUUGGCUUGGUUUGGAUGAAUUCUCAUGAUGUUUUAAUUUCUUUAAAUUAAUUAAUUAAUUAACUCUGUUUUUAAGUCUUAAGUCUGGGCAUGUUUGCAGAAUUUGAUUCCUUCAACAACUUAGAAGUGUUGGACAUGAGUUACAACAAAAUCGACAAUCUUGUGGUUCCUCAAGGUAAACAAUUAAAAUAUUAUUCAAUUACAUUAAUAUAAUUCAUUUGGUUAGGGAAGGCCCAAAAGGUACAAAAAAAAUUAAAUAAAGAAACAGAGAAUUUGUAUUAUUUAAAAAACAGAAUGUAAUAAAGAUUUGAUUCUAGUUCUUUAAUCUUUAAAGCGAUUGAAAAAUAAUGUUGCUCUUUUCCCAAAGCAUAAAAUACGAAUUGAAUGCCAAUUAACUUAAUCAUUCAUUUCGUUUAGCUCUAAAUUUAGACAAUGAAUUUUUAUAUUAUUUCAAAAACAGGACGUAAUAGAAUUUAAAAAAAAAACAGAUUGUAAUAAAGAUUUGAUUCUAAUUUUUUAAUCUUUACUGCGAUUGAAAAAUGAUACAGCUCUUUUCCCAAAGCAUAAAAUACGAAUUGACUCCCAAUUAAAUUAAUCAUUUAUUCCAUUCAUCUCUUAAUUUAAAUAAUGAAUUUUGUUUUCUUAAAUCGUAUUCUAAUUACUAUUAAAAAACAGGUUACAGAGGUUUGAGGAAGUUGAAAAGCCUUUAUCUAUUGAGAGUUAGAAUUAGAGAUGGAAGCAAGUUGUUACAGUCAAUUGGAUCAUUCCCAUCCCUCAACACUCUUUACCUUUCGUCUAAUAAUUUGACGGAAACAGUGACAACUACUACUCAAGGUAAUUAAAAGGUACAAAUGUCGCCAAAUUUAUAAAUAAAUUGUUAAUUAAUUAAUUUUUCCGUAUUAUUAAUAAAGCUAAAUUCGUUGCUCCUUCCUUCUAAAUCUAAACAGAGUUGCACAAUUUCACCAACUUGGAAUAUUUGACAUUGGACGAUUCCUCUCUCCAUAUAAGCCUUCUGCAAAGCAUUGCAUCAAUAUUCCCUUCGUUAAAAAAUUUGUCGAUGAUUGGUUGUGAAGUCAAUGGCGUCCUACGUGGUCAAGGUAAAAGAAAAGUGUUAAUUGUGAACUCGCACAAUGGUGUCCUACGUGUUCAACAUUUUUAUUUAUUUAUUUUAUUGUUUAAUGUUUCUGCUAGGUUUUCCUCAUUUCAAGAGUUUGGAAUAUUUGAAUAUGGAUUUCACGCGCAUUGCACUCAACACCAACUUUCUUCAAAUCAUCAGUGAAUCGAUGCCUUCUCUUAAGUACUUAUCACUGUCAGAUUCUACUCUUGGCACUAACAGCAGCAGGAUUCUUGAUCGAGGUUAAUCAGAUGCUCCCACCCUCCCUUCUUAAUCUAUAAUAUUAAUUUUCAAUUCAAUAUUUAAUUACACAAACGAAUCACUUAUUAUAAAAGAAUAAUACGCAUUCAUUAAUUUUUAUGCUGUAUUAAUUGAUGAAUUUAAUAAAUUUUCAGGCCUCUGUUCGUUGGUGCAUCUGCAAGAGUUGCGCAUGGCUGAUAAUGAUUUAAGAGGUAGCUUGCCUUGGUGCUUGGCAAAUAUGACAUCCCUCCGAAUAUUAGAUGUUUCUUUCAAUCAACUUACUGGAAGCAUCUCCUCAUCUCCCCUCGUUCAUUUGACAUCCAUUGAAGAGCUGAGGCUUUCAGACAAUCAUUUUCGGAUCCCAAUUUCACUUGAACCACUUUUCAAUCACUCAAGACUCAAGAUUUUCCAUGCUAAAAAUAACCAAAUGAAUGCAGAAAUAACUGAGUCACAUUCUUUGACCGCCCCAAACUUCCAAUUACAAUCUCUCUCAUUGUCUUCCAGUUAUGGAGAUGGUGUCACAUUCCCCAAAUUCCUUUACCAUCAACAUGACCUGGAGUAUGUUCGUCUCUCACAUAUAAAGAUGAAUGGAGAAUUUCCAAAUUGGUUGUUGGAAAACAACACAAAAUUAGCAACUCUUUUUUUGGUUAAUGAUUCUCUUGCAGGACCUUUUUGGUUGCCAAUUCAUUCACACAAGCGGUUAGGAAUAUUGGAUAUAUCCAACAACAACAUCCGAGGCCACAUUCCAGUAGAAAUUGGAGAUGUUUUACCAAGUUUAUACGUUUUCAACAUUUCCAUGAAUGCUUUAGAUGGUAGCAUUCCCUCUUCAUUUGGUAAUAUGAAAUUCCUCCAAUUGCUGGACUUAUCCAACAAUCAAUUGACUGGUGAAAUCCCCGAGCACUUGGCCGUCGGUUGCGUCAACUUGCAGUUUCUCAUGUUAUCAAACAACAGCCUAAAAGGUCACAUGUUCUCUUGAAAUUUUAACCUGGCCAAUUUGAUGUGGUUACAAUUGGAGGGCAAUCACUUCGUAGGAGAGAUCCCACAAAGUUUGUCUAAAUGCUCCUCCUUAGAAGGAUUGUAUCUUACCAAUAAUAGUCUCUCGGGUAACAUUCCAGGAUGGUUGGGUAAUCUCACAUGGUUAAUACAUAUUAUAAUGCCCGAGAAUCAUCUUGAAGGUCCUAUUCCAGUGGAGUUUUGUCAACUUUAUUCGCUUCAGAUUUUGGACAUUUCAGACAACAACAUAUCUGGAAGUUUGCCAUCCUGUUUCCAUCCUCUCUCUAUCGAACAAGUUCAUCUUUCAAAAAAUAUGUUACAUAGACAGCUAAAAAGAGGUACAUUCUUUAAUUGCUCUUCCCUUGUGACAUUAGAUCUUAGUUAUAACCUCUUGAAUGGCAGCAUUCCGGAUUGGAUUGGUGAGCUUUCUCAGUUAAGCCACCUUAUCUUAGGUCACAAUAAUCUUGAAGGUGAAGUGCCAGUUCAAUUGUGCGAAUUGAACCAACUACAAUUGUUAGAUCUUUCUAAUAAUAGUCUUCACGGUUCUAUUCCUCCAUGCUUUGAUAACACAACACUUUAUGAAAGUUACAACAACAGUUCUAGUCUUGAUGAGAAAUUUGAAAUAUCUUUUUUCAUCGAAGGCCCUCAGGGAGAUGUAGAAAAGUGAAUCCGUGAAAAAUUUGAGUUCACAACAAAGAAUAUUGCGUACAUUUACCAAGGAAAAGUGCUUAGCCUCCUAUCAGGACUUUAUCUUUCUUGCAAUAAGCUAAUCGGUCAUAUUCCUCCUCAAAUUGGAAAUUUGACAAGGAUUCAAACAUUGAAUCUAUCAUAUAACAACUUGACAGGAUUGAUCCCAUCAACAUUUUCAAACUUGAAGCAUAUCGAAAGUUUGGAUCUUUCCUACAAUAAAUUAAAUGGGAAAAUCCCUCAUCAACUUGUGGAGUUAAAGACAUUGGAGGUUUUUAGUGUGGCAUACAAUAACUUAUCGGGCGAAAUUCUAGAAUGGACUGCACAAUUUGCAACAUUUAACAAGAGUAGCUAUGAGGGAAAUACUUUUCUUUGUGGAUUGCCAUUGCCCAUUUGCAGAUCACCAGCAACUAUGUCGGAGGCUUCAAUUGGCAAUGAACGAGAUGAUAAUUUAAUUGACAUGGAUAGUUUCUUUAUCACAUUUACAACAUCGUACGUAAUUGUGAUAUUCGCAAUUGUUAUUAUUUUAUAUGUAAAUUCUUAUUGGCGACGUAGAUGGUUUUACUUUGUUGAAAUGUGGAUAACUACAUGUUACUAUUUUGUUGUAGACAAUCUUAUUCCAACAAGAUUUUGUCAUUGAAAUUAUUUAGUAGUUUAAUUACGAUUCUUUAAGUACUAAUCAAGUUUGUAUAGGAAAUAAUUUUUUAUUAAAAUUGUAGUAGUAUUUAGCAUUAUAUAGCUUCCAACUUCCAAGCACUUCACAUUUGUCUCUACACUUACAAAACUGAGUGAUCAUGUUUUGCAGAUCUGGAUUUGGAGCAGGAUGGAUCCAAACCCAUAUCUGUCCACCAUAACUUAUAGCUUCCCUAUACUGUGCAGCAUACUUAAAUAAGAGAACCAUCUCCAAUGUUAAAAGCAUUCACUCUAUAACAUUCAUUUAGAAACUAUAUUCAGAAUAAUUUUAUAAUUAAACACAAGAAAUGAAACACCUAGAUACACUUGAUCGCCUAUUUUACUCUAAAAAAUAACGAUUAUGGUGCUAUCAUCAUCUUCUUCACUAGCAACAUUAACACCAAAUCGAUGGACCCAUACAUUUCAUCAAGAAAGGUAUAUAUCCAAUAAAGUUGAAGCCUAACAAAAAAAUCAGGAAGAUUAAUGCCUCACCACAACAAGGGGCAUAACAACAUCAAAGUAGAGAUUAAACAGUAUUCUCAAAGCUAAAACUCUCAAAUCCACCCACCAGAAUUUCAUAUCUCCUCAACAAUUUUAAGAACUAAAGAUAAUUAGGAUUUAACAUUAGUUUUUUAUAUAUUAGUUUCAUAAUUUACAAAUCAAUGAAGAUGAAGAUUAUGCGAAUAAAUUCAAAUUAUACCAUACAUUCUCUAGAUGUUACCAAAAAUUUCUAAGUCAAUCCCACAUAUUUCAUAAUUUUAAGACUAGAAAAUUCACUAGUUAGAAGUUUCAUUACCUUCAAGUGGAAGAUGAAGAACAUUAUGCAAGUGAUUCAGAUUAUAUCAUACAUACUCCAAAUGCAACUAGAAAUUAACAAGUUCAUGUGCACAUAUUUCAUAACAUUAUGAUUGAAAAGUUUCACAAAGAGAAAUUCUAAAUUCAAUCUCUUGCAUGAAGGCAGUUUGAUUGAUUUGAGUUACUUUAUGAUCAAGCUACUAAUAUAACAUUCAAGUCAGGGAGAAAGUAAAUUAAAAAUGGGAAGAAAUAACAGUAAAAAUUUGUUGCUAAACAUGAUGUGUAUUUUUUUCAAGGCAAUUUGGAAACACAAUUGUUACUACAGAUAUUCUCCUCAACUUAGAGAUAAAUACAAAUAUUAAAAUGCACAUGAUCGCACAUAUUACUUGGAGCUUAGUAAGAUUUCAUUAAAAGAAGCAAUCAAACCACUUAUCAAUUGUCGCAGUCAUUCUAUAAACUAAAAUAGCAAAUAUAAUAUAAGAAAAAGAACAUAUAGAUACUUGGCAAGAGUUCAUUAAGAAGUCACAUCACAUUCGGGUGAGGAGUUUGCUUCUGAUAUCUUGCUAGCUGGGGCUUUUUCUCGUCUUUCUAUGUAUGCCGAGGGAAACCAACCAGCUUGGCCCUUGCAUUCACCUUCCAACCAUCCAGUACGAGCCACCUUGAGAAGUUAUAACUAAAACGGUGAAUUAAACAAAAGUUGACCGUUCAAAGACCUAAGGGGAAAACUAAUUCUUUUAUGUAGAAUGAGUGAACUAGUUGUGAUCACUGGAAUAACAACAUAACUAUGGAAGCAUAACAAGAUAUAAAUUCACAUGUCUAUAAGGGUAAACUGGGUGGUUUAGAACUGAGCUAGCAACCCUACUAGAUUAUGAUUUGCAUUUCAAUGUAAAAGGGAAUAUAUGGUAGGAAGAAAGAAAACCAACCAUCAUUUGUUAACUCAUUGCUUUUCAAUCAAAAUUUUAAGAACAAAAUGCCAUGUGCUUUGAAUAUCAAAUAAGUAUAAGCAUUAUUUCUAAAUUCCACAUAUCAUAAGUUGUUAGAAGGAUAAGUUAAUAGCAUAGUAGAAAAAUCUAUGUGUCAGUAUUUAGAGGGGAAAGUACCUGGCGAACCACAACAUAAUCAUCAAUUAAAAGACUUAGCUCUCCAUUUGCUUGAGCAUCAAAUGGAUGUAUAACCUGCAAGAUAAUGGGAUAAAUAGAACUUAAAAAAAGCAUAACAAAAGCAGCAACAGUAGCAGCAGCGUUCAUUGUAACCACUAUGAUCAUGGCCAACAAAGAUAUAUUAGAAACAAAAUUCCAUUUUUACUACGACAUUAAUAUGUACUAUACGAUAUCAUGACGAUUGGGUUACUAAGAGCUAUCAAAGUCUAAUAAGUUAUGUAUAACUUUUGUAGUUAUUUAAAUUAUGGAUCAGAUUUUAAAUUUGAAAUUUUGACUGCUCUCCACAAAACAUGGCCUGUGCACAAAAAAGUCAUAGAUAAUGAGGAUUACAAGUGUCCGACAUCUUUUGAGUGAUGGAUUUAACAUGAGAGCUUAUGGUCAGUCAAUUUCCUCUGCCUAGCAAUAUAAGCUUUCUCGGCCAGAUUUAUCAUCAAAUACAUAGAUUGCCCCCAAGUCACAUCCAUAUAAACAUAAUUUUUCUAGGUAAACCAAGUAAGGAGAAUCAUAAUUCGGACAUAAUCAUAAAAAGGCCCAUCUAACUUAAGAGAAAAUCUUAAAAAGAGGGAUGCUGAGCUAUCAGUCUUGUAUCUAUAAGCAAUAUCAAGACUUUACAUCACCUGCUACAUCGUGAGUGGUUACACAACUUUUAGUGGUUUGUCUUUCUUUGGCAUGCCUAACUCAGCUUUGAUGUUGCUGAGAUAUUGAUAGUAGAGAGCAGAAGCCUUACUUUCGCUAUAAAUUAGACGUCAUUCUGAUUAAUAUGCGUUUGCAAAUCAGCUCUGUUUGAAUCAGUAUUCUGAUAGACACAUGAGGCAUUUACAUCCAUUUCCAAAGUCACAUGUUGCGGGGAGGACUCAUUUGAUUGCUCCUAUACGAUCAUCUAAUUCAAGUAGCAAGGGUUGGAAGAGAAUAAAAAGUCACAAUUAUUCUUUUGCAUAAGUGAGACGAAAAUGGUAAAUGCAAUAUUAUUAGCAGUAAAUAAGAAGAGAACGCUCCAAGGAAUAGAUAGAUGCAGACAAGCAAGUUAAAAUGCAUAGUCCCAAACCUCCGCAUACAACUUCUCUAAAAUAGCAAUAACGUGUUGAUGAUAUAUUUUCUCAGCAUCUACCUGCAAAGGCCCGAGACCGGGAAAACAACAAUAAAACCACUAGCUGAAGGAGAAAGCAAAGAAAAAAAUACACUUGACAUAAAUCUUGACAAGAAGCACAAUUUAAGACAUAACAAACCCCAAUCAUAUUAUUUUUGCUAGUCACACGCUAGUCUGUGCUAGUGAUGUAAGAAGUCACAAGGUCUCUUCAACAUUUGAACCAAUAAAAUUAUUAAGUCAUGGAUGUCACUAGCAAUGAUUUUAAUAUAAAACAUUAAAUAUUUCAGAGUUGUAACUUUAAAAUGGAUUCUUUUAUUCAAUACCAUAGAACUAAGUUUCCUUAUGAGAAGAUAGUAGUUUCGAUAAUAUUUUACAUAUAAUUUUUGCGAUACCUUCGUCUCGCACUACCAGUGAUACCCUCACUCUUNNNNNNNNNNNNNNNNNNNNNNNNNNNNNNNNNNNNNNNNNNNNNNNNNNNNNNNNNNNNNNNNNNNNNNNNNNNNNNNNNNNNNNNNNNNNNNNNNNNNUGUUGAAAUUUAUCUAAGUUCAAAAGUAAUGCAGAGUGGGUUUCUAAACUCCAUUCCACUAGCUACUUCCUUUAAGAAAAAUUCCACAUCAUUGGUUUGAAUUUUAACUGGUGGCAUAGGAUCAUAUGUCUUAAGCUUGAACUUCAUUGUGAUUUCGAAUUCCGAAGUAUUUAUAUCAAUAACUUGAGCUAUCUUCUCCACCAAUUCGGCAUAUGUUGUCGAUCGUGGUAUCAUUAUCCCUUUAGCCUUGGAACCUUUGAAUUUAUACUCGUCAUUUUGCUCAAUCCAUUCACCAUUGAAGAGAAUAAGCACACGUACCAAAACCAUAUAUGAUGAUACAAUAAAAACAAUAAUAUCAAAUUUCAUAUACAAGUAACUACACGACCUACACAACUACAUUACUUACAUGACCUACAUGACCUACAUGACUAUAUUACUUACAUGACCUACACGAAUUAUACGACUUACACGACUAUAUUACUUACACGACUUACAUGACUAACUAUAUGACAUACACAGUAUCAAAAGGAAUGCACGACGCGAAACAUUUUCGCCAUAAAUAAGUUAUAAACAACCUAUAUUGCAUAUAUUUCUAUAUAUAAGAAAAAAUGGUGAAAAUAAAACAUUAUAAUGUGAAGAAAAUUUCUAAAUUUUCCUAAAAAUAAAAAAACUUAAAACCCAACAACAUUAACAUACCUUAUUGGGUUGUUUAAUAAGUAAUGCACAUUAUUUCAGUUAAAAAAAAGUGGGUGUUAAAGAAAUGAAUACAUAAUCAUAUUUGUGUAAGAAGUUAUGAGAGAUUUUGAGAGAUUCUAGGAGAUUUUGAGAGAAUUUCGGCAGCAAGAAGAGAUUUGGGUGUUAAAGAAAUAUGAAGACAAGGAAGUUGAGUGAAUUUGAUUCAUUCAUUAAGGGCAUUUUAGACUUUACUCACAUUUGUUAGGGUAUCCAUGAAAACAAAAAAGGAAAGGGGUAUUUAAAUAAUUUUAAAACUAUUAAAGGGUAUUUAAUUAAAAACCCUAGGAGAAGAUGAUAGUGGAAGUAUGCAGUGUGGCUGCCAGGUACUUGGAUUGUAUUAUCGGGUAAGGUAAUAGUAGAGAAUUAUAAGUUUGAACAGAGCAUGUUGGACUUUUGUUGACCAAAUUCAAAAGCCCAAUGGCACGACCCAGAAGCUUUUGAAUAGAAAAACUUGCUAGAAAGCAUCAGUUUAAAUCACUACUUAAACGCUGCACCGCUUUGUACUGUUUUAGGUAUGUAGCGGUUGUGCAGUUGUAAUUCACGGCUGACGCUACGUGUUUGUUUGUACUGUUCUAUUCAGUGAUAGAGUAUUAUUAGUUAGGCCAAAACUAUGUUGCAACAGUGGUACAGUACCACUGUUGCUUUCAUAGCUGGACCCUAUUAGUUAUUUCAAAGGGAUAAAUAAGAUUGGUUACAACAAAUCUACUAUUUUUAUAAAAUUCAAGUAAUAUAGAAUAAAAUAAAAAAAUAAAUACAAAAUUGACUUUUAUUUUUUAUGGUUGACUAUAUUUUGUGUUCUCUUCGGGCACUGCUACAAUUGUUCCCCAUAUAUCAAUUACACCACAUACUAUCGACACAAGAAAUGAAAUCUAAUAUCACCUGUUUAGUUAAAAAAUCACUCAUGAAAAAAGUUUACCAUUUUGAUUUGAGGAUCCAUAUUUUGAACUGCAAGCUAAUGUUCAUCAAGAAUCACUGAUGGCCGUUGAGUAGAAAAAUUAUUUUUGGACAAAUUAUUUUUGUUGAUAGAAGAAUUUCUUUAGGGACUACUAAAUUAUUAAUAAAAAUGUCGAACACACCCACAUAUCAUCGACACAAUUGAUUUUGAGGAUCCAUGCUUUGAAUUGCCGCCUAAUGUUCAUCAAGAAUAGAGUAUGGCUUGUGAGUAGAAAAUUUUCUUAUUUUGGCCCAAAAUAAAAAGAAAUUAAAUUGGAUGAGAAUCUGCCACUUUCUCAUGAAGAAAGGCAUACGAAGCAUACCAUGAUACCAUACAAUAUAAGGAGCCGCCGUUCUUUGGUUUUUCAAACUUUGAAGGGGCCAAUAUUGCCAAAUUCCCCCUUGAAAAUUCUGACUACGACAUUAUUCAUCGCUUGAUGCAAUCAAAGUAGUGACAAAGUUAGGAAAAAUAUGAGCCCUAAGUAAUUGCUAGGCAGGGUUCCUGAGAGCAAAAUUGUCCUAAGCAUUAUAUGCAUACAUGGUGCGGUACAUAGAGCACGUUGAAUUCCCCACUAUAACACAAAUCCAGAAAGAGAAGUAAUAACUCAACUGAUAUAAAGACAAAAAGAAGAUAAAAUGAUAUAGAAAAAAGAAUUUCAAAGAGACAGCAACAUACGAUAGGCUGAAGCCACUUGAUCUACUCAUUGAUUGCAGCCUUAAACUUGCAAAUAGUUACUGUAUGCUAGUGCUCUAAGAAGUGAAAAUGAUGCAAGCCCUGAUUCCCUUUUGACUUCCAUUUACUGUCAAACAUUCUAGUAAUACAAAAAAUUGUUUAGAUAUCUUGCUAUAAAUAUAGUUGUUUGACUGUCAUAAUAAAGUCACAAAUAACCAUUCAUAUUGAUCUACUGUCACACAGCAUGCUUUAUGCAUACAACAGCUGUAUGUAUACCAACUCCUAACCUUAUCAAUGCAUUUGGCAAAAACUUAAGAAGAAAACUAUUUCUCCAUCUCUUUUUUGAAAUUUCACAAUAACCAGCACAAUGUGAAAGCUAUGUUCUAACCUUAUGAUAAAUGCUCCAGACUCCAAAAGGAUUUUAUAUAUGAGUUUUUGUUGCAGCAGAUAUAUUGACUUAUCAAGUAUGAAUCAUUUUCUGGAUGAACUAUCUUUAGAUAAAAGAAUAUUAGAACCACUGUAGAAUAUCUUUACGCUGCUGGUUCUAACAAGAAUCUGCUUGUGGCAACAAUUGCUAGAUCCACAAUUCCCCAACUUGAAAUACAUAGUUGCACACCAUGAGAUAGUGCUACGAUCUACUGAGAUCUAACUUAUAUGGUACUUUAAGCUACUAAUGUUUGCAUAUUUCUACAUGUUAAAUUAACACUAUCAUCUAUAAUCACUCCAAAACAACAAAUGAUAAGCAGCUUUUGGCCACUUAUUACUAGCAUCCACAAUUAUAAUAAGAGAUCAUGGGUUUACUUGUUGCACCUACUUAAUUAUCUGCAGUUGACAUCCUGACGCAAGGUUUAAAUAGUGACUGCUUAGAACCCUUGUAGUUGGAUCUUGACCUCUCCCAUUGUAGCCAAGAUUGGUUACUCUGGUAAUGAAUCAACACUCUCCUGCUCAGGGCCAUGAAGAUCUGAAAGCUCAGCACUAGUGGAGAACUUCAUCAAUCUCUUCUUCUCAGCAUACUUGAGACAAGGCUGCAUUACGAGACCAAUCACCACAGCACCAACGCUUAAAGCUACAACUUUUAAAGAAGAAAGAGCCAACACAACACAACACAAAUCAAUAUGGUUGGAGGAAUACACAUGAUAAUGGCUCUAACAGUGCCAGUGGGUAUCUUGUAGGGACGAGAUGCAGCAGGAUAUUGUAUCCUUAACCAUACAAAUGCUAUGAACUCCAUAAUCAUUCCAAAACAGUACAGGAAGUUCUCUGCAGCUACAAUAUCUCGAAAGCUCAGCCAUGAUAGCAAAACCACACCAGAUGCUGAGAAUAUGAUUCCAAUCAAAGGAGUCCCAUAACAAGACCUCUUAGCAAAAAACUCAGGUAGCAUUCCACGCUCAGCCAUCCCCAAAAGUUGGAAAGAGUCGCUGCUCAUCUCAGCCACAAACAUGCCCAUAUUGGACAUUGCUGCAACCCCCUGGAUGCACCAACUCAACCAAACUCCUCCAAGCACUUUAGCGAUACCUGAAAAGUAACCAUCGGUCCACAAGUCGCGAUCUAAUGGAAUAGCUCCAGUUCCAACUAGAAAGGGAAAGAAAUAUCCAAAAACGACCAAGAUCAAAGCAUAAAACAAAGCCUUUGGAAGAGUCUUCUUUGGGUUAUCCACCUCUCCAGCUAGUGUACUUAUUGAGUCCCAGUAGUUGAGAUUCCAAAACAGGGUGUUCAAAUACAAAUUCCAAUCCACUUCACCUAAAUUUAAUACAAGCCAUCUUGAAGGCUCUAACUUGGGAAGGGACACAAGUCCCAUAACCACAAAAGGAAGGAGUGAGAAAAUCCCUAAAAGAACAGCAGCCCAUCCCACAAUGGUUAGACCCCUAUAGUUCAUGAAAGUGAGAACAAAAGUCAAAGCUAACGCCGCAAAGGCUCUAGGUAACCCAUCGCCCAAAGCAGGGAUACCAGACUUCAAGUAAUCAAGAAACAGAACUGGGUAUAAAGCAUUAUCAGUAACCCCACUUAGCCAUUUCAUCCAAACUUGCUCAAAACCCCAAUAUGGGCCUAAGGCAGAUGAAACCCAAACCACAUAACCACAAUUUUCAGGAAACACGGUACCCAUCUCGGCAGUAAUUAAAGCUUCAGGGACACUCCAUAUAAUCGGAAACACCAAGAAACCAAGAAGUGCUAAAAGAGGACCAGCUGUCUUUACACUAUCCUCAACACCAAACGGCCCCCCAGAAACCUCAUAGAAUAUAAGGAAAAUAAGUGGCAAGAUUGAUACUUUUUUAGUGCCAUGGACUCUAGGAGAAGAUGGUUGGUCAUUGAUAUUAAAAUAUUCAACAGCAUCAGACUGCCCCAUUUCUACUGAAACUUGCCUAUUUACAGUGCUCCUCAAUUUCUGCAUCAAGUUUAAGCAUAACUAUCAAAAGGGUAUCCGCAUCUAAAUUAUGAAACAAAAUGAGCAUUUACUUAUUAAAAAAAAAAUCAAAAAACAGAAAUGGAUUUCACAGAACACAUGAACUUAAGUUCAACAUUAAACAGGCGCUUAAGAAAACAAAAGGGUCUGUUCGUAAAGCCAUCAGAUUGCAAGAUUGAACAACAUUAACGGAAUCAAUAGAAUGGAUGUAAAGAGAACUGAAAAGAAAAUAAAAUAAAAGAUGAAGAGAGAUAAAACGAACCAUCAAAUAAGUGCAUGCAGAGCAGAGAGGCAGAUACUAGUGAAGCUCCGUCAUGUUAGAGAGAGCCUAAAUCAAUCAGAGCUCACUGAGUUUCUUUUAAACCGACCGGCAAAUUUGGAGUAGCACAACAUAAUAUUUUUGCUUUUAUUUUUGGAACACUUUUGAAUGGAAUUUUUUGUUUUAAAAAAUGGCAAAGGAGAUUAGUAUUUCUAUCGUUAAAAUAAUAAUUUUCCUAACAUUAUUUUUUAUAUUUUUUAAUUUAUUUUUAUAAUAAUUUUUUAUUUAAAUAUUAAUAAAAAAUAAUUAAAUUAACAAUUUAAUCCUAAAAUAAAUAAACACGGUUUUGGGUUUUUUCUUUUGUUCGUUUAAUAUCAUCUGGUUCCCUGAUUUGUGACUAAUUAUCAACGGAAUCCCGUUAGUUUCUAAAUUGAAAUAAUAGAAGGUCAUGAGAUUAUUUACUCCAUUUAGCACUGCAGACUUAGAGUAUAUUGAAAAAGCUUUGUCAAAUAGUAGUAAUAGGGGCAUAAGAAAUAAAUUAUAGCUAUCACAAAUUCGUUAGGAGAAUUUCAAAUUUUUCCAUCAAUAAUGGCUAUGAAGCAAAAUUACUUUAGGUUAUAUUGCAACACUAAUACUUCAAAUCCUGACAAUAAAUUUGAAGAACUUGUUAAAAAGAAAAUGGUAAUGUUAUCAUUUUGAAAGACAAAAAAAAAAAGAGUGAAAGUGGCGUUACCUCAUGGUCAUUAGUGACUUGUUGCAAUGAUAGCUCAAAAUUAAAAAUUUGUGAAGAAUUAGUAGACAACGACGAUAUUAUAUUUAUACAGUCACCAACGUAUUGAUUUUUGUUUAAUGUUUGAUUGAUAGAAACUUUUGUCGUCGUCGCCGUUGUUGAAUUCGUGCUUAGAAUACCACAAGAGAAGAAAAAGGGAUGAAAGGGAAGAGAAGAAGAGAGAAGUGGUGGAUAGCAAAUAUGAUAUGCUAGCUACACACAGGCCUUAGAGAGUUUUUUUUUUUAAUAUUUAUUGUAUUUUUGUUUUUGUUAUUGGUUUGUCAUAUGCUUCCAAGGCAACAAUGCAUUACAUCAUAAAUUGCACCUUUUAGGGGAGGUGGUAAAAAACAUGAGAGCAAUGCAUUCUAGCGCAUACAUGCAGAAAGAGUUUCCAAAUUUUCAAAAGUUUCUUUAUUUCUUCCACCUUUUUUUGCUUAAAAUAAAUUUUAAUUGUAUUUUGCAUUAACUUAGAGAAAAAAAAAUCCAAUUCUAUGCAUAAACGCAUACAUUGAUUAGAAAAUGAGUUUUAUGGACACAAAGGGACAAUAUAAGAGAUUCUUUUUGUUUAUUAGAAGUAACAUAACUAGUUAGUGUAACAUGUAAUUAUAAGCUACCAAUAAUUUGCACUGAUGAUAAUUAACGGUACAGAUUUUGAGCUAUGAAUGUCUUGUGGCUAGUUUAAUUGGAUUUUUGAGUUUUCAGCAGAUCUAUUUUAAUGAUUAUUAAAUUAUUUUCACUUCUUAUGCCUUAAUAAAAAAAAUUCAAUAUUUUUUGCUGUAUUCUAUAUUUUAAAACUUAAUUUUUAGUUCUUUAUAUUGCAAACCAAACUGAGUCAAAUAGAGUAUGCUCUUCAAAUAAUUUUUCCAUUGCCUUCAAGAAGAAUUCAUUUUAUUUUUAUAUAUUAAUUCAACACUUGUAAACCGGGCCGUCAGAUUGCACAUAAAGCAAAUGAUCAAACCGUUACAAGACCGGCCCAGGCCCACUGACUCUAUUUUCUUUAAUUUGACCAUUAAAAAGCUUUUGGCCACCCCCACCAAAUAAAUAAGCUCUUGUUCUCUUUUGUAGGGGUGGGCAAAAAAACCGUAGUCUUAAAAAAACCGAACCGAACCGACGGUUUUUUCUAAUUCGGUUUGGUUUUUAUUUUUUUAAAAAACCGAAAUAUACCAUUUGUAAAAAAAAACCGAAAUGUCGGUUUGGUAUUCGGUUCACUUAGCUGAACCGAAAAACUGAACCGAAAAACCGAAUUAUUUUUUGAUUUUAUUCAAAUCAAACAUGUGUUAAUUUUUAACUGAUUGUGCAAGAUAACUAACAUAAACUUGCAUACACACAAUCAUGAGUAUAUAUAUGUAAGUGUUACAAUUUCGUAAAUCUUUAUUUCCCCCAAAAUAAACCCUAAAGCUAAAAUCAAAGAUUCAAAAUCGAAACCAAAUCCAAAUCACCCACCCCAAUCCACUGCAAUCACAGCCGACGCUGCUCACCGGCGAUAGUGUCACCGUGCAACACGCUGCUCACCGCGAAAGCUGCAGCUUCUUUUCACCGUGGGACAGCUUCAACUCACAGGCCUGAGGCCACCACGCGACAGCUUUGCUCUGCUCACCUGAUUGGAGUGGAAAUUCGAUGGUUUUGAAUGGUUUAUAUAUGCAUGUGAGGUGUUCGGCGCAUAUAAUCAACUUAAUUGUGCAAGAUGGGUUGUCACAAGUGAGUCAAUCAAUAGCUAGUAUUCGAAAUGCGGUGAAAUAUGUUAGAUCAUCUCCGGCAAGAUUACAAAAGUUCAAAACAUGUGUUGAUAGGGAGAAAAUCUCACGUGGAGGGCUUAUGGUGUUAGACGUGCCGACUCGGUGGAAUUCAACAUAUUUGAUGUUAGAAAAAGCGGUAGCAUUUGAGAGGCUAAAGGAAGAUGAUGGCCAUUAUACAAACUGGUUUGAUGAGGAUGAGAGUGAAUAAAGGAGGGUGGGGCCACCGAUUGAUAAGGAUUGGGAAAAUGCAAAGAGGUUAGUCAAGUGUCUUUCGAUUUUUUAUCAUGUGACUUUAAAAUUCAGCAGCUCUUUAACAGUCACUUCCAAUAAUUUCUUGAAUGAAAUGUGGAAAGUUUAUAUUCAUUUGAAGUCACUGGUUGAUUUUGUUAACAUAUAUGUUUUCAUAAUGUUAAUUUUGAUGAUAACAAACAAGAUUAAGAAUGAUUAAUCUUUUAAGAUCAAAUUAUUUUUUAUAUAUUUUAAAUAAAUCAUUAUUUUCACAUUAUAAAUGUUUUAUAUUUAAUGGAAAAAUGAUUUUAUGAAAAAUGAUUGUUUAAAUACAUGAAAUGUUUGUCAUCAUCAAAAAGGGGGAGAUUGUUAACAUAUAUGUUUUCAUAAUGUUGAUUUUGAUGAUAACAAACAAGAUUAAGAAUGAUUAAUCUUUUAAAAUCAAAUUAUUUUUUAUACAUCUUAAAUAAAUCAUUAUUUUCACAUUUUAAAGGUUUUAUAUUUAAUGGAAAAAUAUUUUAUGAAAUUGAUUGUUUUUAUUCUUUUUAAAUAAAUCAUUAUUUUCACAUUAUAAAUGUUUCAUACUUAAUGGAAAAAUGAUUUUAUGAAAUUGGUUGUUUUUCAAAGUUUAUGGUUUAAUUGAAAGAAUUUUGAAAACUUUGAUAUAAACAAGUAUUGCUUGAAAUUUUGGUAAAGGACUUAUUUGAAAAGUGUCAUAGCAUCUUUGGGCGAAAUCAUAAUUUCAGAAAGUUUUGGGAUUAACGAAGAAUUAUUUAGAAAUUCUGAAAUUGGACUUAUUUGCAAAGUUUAAUAACGUUUUGGGCCAUACUACAGUUUUAUAAAGUUUUGGGGUCAAACUAUAAAUUUUGGGAAAUGUUUUACUGUAGCAGUUACUGUAGCAAGCGGCUUACCGGAUACUAAUAAACGGCAAGUCGGAUACGGGGUAGUAAGCACCAGAACGAAAGCGGCUAACCGGAUGUCCAUAAACGGCAAGCCGGUUACGACAAAAAAUGUGCAUAACGGCUAGUAACGGCUAGUUUUUGAGUUCAAACUAUAUAAACUCAAAACCAAUUCAUUUUUGGUAACUCAAGCAAGCAUAAACAAGUGCACACAACUUAUAUUGAGCUUCAAAUUCGAAAAUCUUCAUAGAUUAAAUCUUCAUUGGGCUAUCAUUUGUAAAUCCACUCUUAAAGAGAGUUUUUGUUGUAAUUUUCAUUUCUCAUCAAAUUGUGAGAGUACAAGUGUGAGAAACACUUGGAGUGAAGAGAUUGGAGAUAUAAUCUCUUGUUGUAAAGGUUCAUUGACACCUUGAAGUCAAUUGUAAUCGUUUGAAGCCUUGGAAAGGCUUGGAUAGUGAAAUCCUCAAGCCCGGUGUGCUUGGAGGCGUGGACGUAGGCGGGGAUUGCCAAACCACGUAAAAAUCCUUGAGUUUGCUUUCUCUUCCCUUACUCUUUAAUUAUUGUGCUUUGAUUGAAUUUAUUGUUUUCGAAUUUAUUAAGGCAUUAGAUUGCUUGUUGUGUGGAUUUGUUAGGAUAAUUUUUAAAAUUCCAAUUCACCCCCCCCUCUUGGGUUGCACACUCAUAUUUCAGAUUUUAAUGAUUUUUUGUUAAAUCAAAUGGGUUACAAGAUGGAGGAAAAAUUUGUCAAGUAUUGGGGUCAUUUUUUUGAAAAGGUUAACAUGUUGUUGAUUGUGGCAAAUGUGCUUGAUCCUCGCUGCAAACUUGACUUUGUUAUAUGGUGUUUUAGUAGCUUGUAUGAUAUUAGAAAGGUUGAUGAAUUGAGAGCUAAUAUUAAAGAGUUGUUGUUGAAGCUUCUUGAAAGCUAUGGUGGUGAGAGUAAUCCAAAUAGAGGUGAGAGAUGUACGGCUGUUCAUGAUGGUGCUAGUAGUAGUAUUGAGUUAUUUGAUCCUUUUACACAAUUUAAAAAGAUGAAAGAAAGUUCAAAUGAUGACAUUAGUGGAAAAAAUGAUGUUGAAAAGUACUUGUCAGAGACUUGUGAGAGUGCUAGUAAUCCCCAGUUUGAUAUUUUGACUUGGUGGAAAUUGAAUGGGCCUCGGUAUCUGAUUUUAUCUCAAAUUGCCAAAGAUGUUUUGGCAAUUCCGGUGUCUACUGUGGCUUCUGAAUCAGCAUUUAGUACAGGAGGGCGCAUUCUUGAUCCUUUUAGGAGUUCUUUAACUCAUAAAACAGUCGAGUCAUUAAUAUGCACUCAAAAUUGGCUUCGUUCAACUCUAUUAGGAGAGCGUACAAUACAACCAAGUCAGGAAGAAGCUGAAUUCUAUGAAUUAGUUGAAACAUGUAAUAUUGUAAUUUAUUAUGUUAUUUUUUUCUAUUUCACUUAUAACAUUUUGAAUAUUAGAAUUAAUUAUUUUAAUAUAAUUGUUUUAAUUUCUUGAAGAAUUUUUUAGGCCAAUGCAAUCUCAAGAACAACAGCAAGUAGCUGAGGAGUAAAUGACAAUUGAUUGAUGUUGCUUACCAGUAAGUUUUCUUUAUUUUUUUUAAACUAGCAUCUUAUUUAUAUAGAUUGUUUAUUUAAUUAUUUAUUGUUUAAAUUUUUUUUAUAGAUCCAAAUAUUGAGUUGGAAAAUGCCUAAAGUUGAUGUUGAUAUUGAUGAAGAUGGGAGAAUAUUGUUGGCAUUUGUUUGCAAUUUUUUUUUUAUUUUGUGUUGUAAGUUGUAAUUGUUGUUAUUUUUAUUUCUCUUUAUAACAUUAUGAUUAUGUUUAUAUAGAUGGAGUAUUGGAGUUUGGUUAUGUAUUUUGAAAUUUUAAUAUUUCAUAUUUUGGGAGUAUCUUAUUAAUAGUUAGUAAGAUAUUAGUGAUAAAAUGUGUUUUGAAUACUUUGUAUUUAUUGUUAAUAUUUGUAAUAAAAUUAGAAUAAAUUAAUUGUUAAAAAAAUUAUUACAUUCAUGAGGCCCAAUGGGCUAAAAAUUCAAAAUAGGCCCAAUAGGCCCAGAAUCGAAAAAACCGAACCGAACCGAACCGAUCCGAAAAGAACCGUUUGAGUUCGGUUCUUAUUGAGUUCGGUUCUUAUUCAGUUCUUUUGAUAAAAUAACUGAUUUAAAUCGGUUCUACUUAAUUUCGAUCCGAACCGAACCGUGCCCACCCUUACUCUUUUGUUCCCUCUCAAAGGAAAAUAUCUAAUCACCGGAUAAUGAUUCCGGUGACACAAAAGAUCGAAACACCCCCUAAAUUCCCUAAAUUUAUGAUAAUACCCCACCAUGGAUGAUUCCGUUGAAAUGCCGCCUUACGAUGAAAGGCCUAAAAAGGGUUUUAACUUCACCUCCAUGCGCUUGAUCUUAACCCUCGUUUUCCCAAUUUUAACUUGCUUUUUGUUGGCAUUUUUUAUUGGAAUCGUAGUUGUUUUAUUCGGCGAAUCAUCAGUUUCCAGUUCCAUUUUUGUCCCUUCCCAGUGCAAGAUAGUGUCCAACAGUAAGCUUUUUUUAACAUUUUCAAUUUUUUUUCCAUUUAUGAAGUCCAAAAAAUUUAUUAAUUUUGAUUUUUUUGAAUGAUUUUUCAGGUGUUGAUAUAAGGUCAUCAAAAGUUCGUAAACUUGGGGUGUUCAAUUAUAAGGCGAAGCGCGUGUUUUAUCCAUUUGAAGCAAGUAAAUUUCGCUGUCGGUAUGAUUACUAUUGGGCUUCUAUCUUCAAGGUAUUCAUACAUUUUCCCCUGUACUAUAAGCUUCUUAGUGGCGGUCUUGUGUGCGGAAGUGAACGGUGUGGCUGACAGCUUCUUGAAAAUUAUAAGUUUGAACAGAGCAUGUUAGAGCACCACCAAAAGGCUCUUUAAAUAAGAUUUUAUUAUUUAUUUGAAGAGCCACAUCAAUAUUGAAAACUUCAAAAGACACUUCAAUUAAAAUUCUUCAAAUAAGAAUUGAUUCUCUCUCUUCAAAUUUGGAGAGUUAAUUUAUUCCUCUUCAAUUUAUAUUUUAUUACUUUUCAUUGAAGAAAGAGAGAAGUGCUUUAAUUGCUAUUGACUUUUCCUUUAAAAAACUAAUUAUAUGAUUAAAACAAUAUUAACUUAUUUAUAUUUGAAGAGUCUUUUGGAGAAUAUCAUAUUUUUUCACCCUUCUAUUUGCCACAUAGGUAAACAAAUAGAUAUUUAAAGAGUAAAAUUUAUAGAGGCUUUUAGAGAUGCUCUUAGACUUUUGUUGACCAAAUUCGAAAGCCAAAUGGCACAGCUCAGAAGCUUUUGAAUUGAAUAACUUACUAGGAAGCUCCAAUUUUUUGUUGGCUACAGUAAAAGGAUGUUGUUUUAUUCUUCUUAUACUUUACGCUUGCAUCAGCUUAAAUCACUUCUUAAACGCUUUGCUUUAACUCCACUGCUUCGCUGGGGCGGAUUUACCUUGGAACAAGUGGGGACUUAAGUCCCCACUGAAAAAAAAAAAUUGUUUUAAUAAUUAAUUUGAUUUGCCAAAACUUCUCAAUAAAUUUUUCUUAAGCCCCCCAUAAUUUCUUUCAACAAACAAUUGAUCUAAAUGAGUUAUUUUCUGUCAGUUGUAUCCAAAUGAGUUCUCUGCAAUUGAUAUCAUGGCACUUAAAAUUCAACUUGAUACAUAUAUUUUGGAUAUGCGCACUAGUGCGAGACUAAAAGACAUAAGGUAUAUCCAUUGGUUUACUUGUUAAUAAUAUUAGCAUUGACUUUACCUGUUGCCACUGCUAGUGUAGAGAGAGUAUUUUCAGCCAUGAACAUUUUGAAGAAUUGAUUAUAAAGCUGUGAGUAAUGGAUGAAUGAUAGUUUAAUUAUUUACAUAGAAAAAUACUUAUUUAAUAAUAUUGAUAAUGAACUUGUAAUGCAACAUUAUUAAUGUAUGAAAACUUGAAAGGACAAUUGUAAACAUAUAUUGAAGUAUGAUAAAUCUUUCAAAUUUAUAUAUUUAUUACUUUUUAAAUUUUUUUAUAUUGCCGUUGAAUGAGCCCCCAGUCAAUCAAUAUGUUGUCUUCGCCCUACUUCGUACUCUUCUAUAUAUGUAUCGGGUAUGCAGUUUUAGUUAACAGCUGAGACUACGUGUUUGUUUGACGUGGUAGUUACGUUACGAGUCUGUUAAACAUUCAAUGAUUAAAGUAUUAUCAGUUAUUUCAAAGGGACAAAUAAGAUUAGCUACAACACACCCACUAGUUUUAUAAAAUUCGAAUGAGAUGGAAUAAAAUAAAAAAAUAAAUAAGUAAAUUGACUUUUAGUUUUAGUGGUUGAAUAUAUUUUGCAUUCUCUUAGGGCACUGCUGUAAUUAUUCCUUAAACGUCAGUCAUACCCACAUAUAAUAGACACAAGAAAUGAAAUCUAAAAUCACCUGUUUAGUUAAAGAAUCAUCAUGAAAAAAUUUUGCCAUUUUGAUUUGAGGAUCCACAUUUUGAACAACCAACUUAUGUUCAUCAAAAACGGAUCAUGGCCUGUGAGUAGAAAAAUUAUUUUUGGACAAAUUAUUUUUUUUAAUAGAAUAAUUUCUCAAGGGACUAUUAAAAUUACUAAUAAAAAUGUCAGACACACCCACGUACCAUCGACACAAUUGACUAUGAGGAUCCAUGUUUUGAACUGCCACAUAAUGUUCAUCAAGAAUAGAAUAUGGCUCGUGAAAAGAAAAUUUUCUGAUUUUGGCCUGGAACAAAAAAAAAUUAAAUUGAAGGAGAAUCUGCUACUUUCUCAUUAAGAAAGGCAGACAGGGUAUACUAUGGUACCAUACAAUAUAAAAAGUCUCCGUUCUCUGGCUUUUCAAACUCUGAAGGGGGCAAUAUUCCCCAAUUCCCCCUUGAAAAUUCUGAUUACGACAUUAUUCAUCACUUGAUACAUAAGUACAAGUAGUGACAAAAUUAGGAAAAAUAUGACUCAUAAGUAAUUACUAGGCAGGGCUCUUGAGAGCAACAUUGUACUAGGCUUUAUAUGCAAACAUGGUGUGGUACAUAGAGCACGUUGAAUUCCACACUAUAACACAAACCCAGAAAGACAAGUAAUAUCUCAACUGAUAUAAAGACAAAAAGAAGAUAAAAUGAUACAGAACAAAGAAUUUCUAAGAGAUAGCAACAUACAAUAGACUGAAGCCAGUUGAUCUGCUCAUUGAUUGCAGCCUUAAACUUGCAAAUGUUUACUGUAGCCUGGUGCUCUAAGAAGUGAAAAUGAUGCAAACCUUGAUUCCCUGUUUACUUCCAUUUACCAUCAAACAUUCUAUUCAUAAGAAAAAAAAUGUUUAGAUAUCUUGCCGUAAAUAUAGCCAUUUGAUUGUCUUAAUAAAGCCACACACAACCAUUCAUAUUGAUCCACAUUGCCACAUAGCCUGAUUUAAGCAUACAACACCUGAAUGUAUACUGACUCCUAACCUUAUCAAUACAUUGGCGACAACUUAAGAAGAAAACUAUUUCUCCAUCUCUUUUUUGAAAUUUCACAAUAAAAUAGCACAAUGUAAGAGCUGCAAUGAAAAUGGACCAUCUGGAACUAUGGCGGAAGCUUCAACUAGUGUAGUGAUUUGACCUUCUUAUUAACCUAGCGAGAUCAAACACUGCCCUUGAUCUUGAACAGAUCAAUACGAUACGCACAACUUAUGAUUGAAUCCAGAAACAAUCAAAUCUUUAGCAAGAAUAAUUAAUCAGAAUCAAGAAACAAGUUUAAUGAAUAUAAACCUAUAAUUGGAACAAACACAGCAAAAGAACCCAAGAAUGACACAACCAGCACCAAGGGAGAAGCUUUCCAGUGAGAUUAUAUUGAUGAUCAAAGAAGAAUCUUUUUACAAAGCUAACAAAAGAGAUUUCAGAGAAUAAGCUAUGACCCUCUCUCUUCUCAAUCUCUGUCUAGUUUGUUAACAGUGAUGACCCCAAUCUCCUUCGUUAGCCAGCUUCAUAACUGCGUCAGUGACAAACUAGCAAACCCAGAUUGAGCAGACUAACGACACGUGCAUAACGGCUUUAACGAACUUGGUUAAAGAACUGCUCACAUGUUCGUCACGCGUGUUGCUUAAAUGAUAGCCAAAACGACUUCAACCAGAUGCCGUUUUGAAGCUUAUGAAUUAUAAGUGAAAACACGUGCUUGUCUCGUGACAUUUAAAUGCAACAACAAGCCCAAAACACUGCCGGUCCACUAUGUUGAGUUUGCCAUCUCUAAGCUUCACAACUAGCAGCGGACAAGAUGAUAAUUUAAUUGACUUGGAGAGCUUUUAUAUCACUUUUACAACAUUCUAUAUAAUUGUGAUAUUGGGAAUCGUCGGUGUUGUAUAUGUGAACCCUCGUUGGCGACACUGGUGGUUUUAUCUUUAUUGAAAUAUGGAUGACUUUUCGUUACUAUUUUGUUGUACAUAACCUUAUUCUCAGGAGAUUUAAUCAUUGAAAUUAACAUGUUAGUUUCAUUAGAAGGCUGAGUGGUUAGGGCUGCUACCUUCCAACUUGGAGGGCAAUAGUUUGAACCCACAAGCGCAAUGUGGGGGUAUUUCAUUCUUUAAUUACAUUGUAUAAUUGAAUAAAGAUAAUAUUCUCUCUUACCCAAGUGUGAGUGGAGUAGACAUCCUUCGAAUAUUAGCGAGGGUUAAAACUUGGGCAGAGCUCAAUAAGUAUUGAUGUAAGUUGGUCCUAAUAAUAGUCUGAUUUGUAAAUAUCAGUUAUAGUCUCAUGUUUCCUUCCUUAAUUAUAUUGCAUAAUUAAGUAAAUGUACUCUUUUCUCUUACCCAAGUGUGAGUGGAGUAAACAUCUCUCGAAUAUUAGUGAGAGUUAAAAUCUGGGCAGAGCUCCAUAAGUAUUGAUGUAAUUUGAUCCCAAUAAUAGUAUGAUUUGUAAAUACCAGUUAUAGUAUCAUGUAAUAUGAGUUGUAAUUUGAGUAAUAAUUUCAUGUAAUUACAAAAAAAAAUGUUACUUUCAUUACUUUUUUCUUCGUUAAAAUUCUCAAGUAUCAAUUAUGUUUGCUUAAGAAAUAAAAUUUCAUUAUGAAAAUUGUAGCAGUAUUUCCGAGCACCUCACAUUUUCAAUGAUUUUUCAUAAAUCAAUUAAUCUGCCAUACCAAUAUCAGGUUUAGUUUUUCAGACUAAAUGAUCAAGAAAGCAAACAUACAAAUUCACAUUUUAGAGGGGUAAACUAGCUUUUAGAUUUUAGAACUAGGCUAGCUACCUCACCAAAUUCCAAUCUGUACAGUGAACUACAAGAUUAAGAAAAUAAUGUAUUUAUAGUUUAAUUGAAUCAUGAGAAAACAAUGUAGUCAUAGCUCAAUCGGACAUGAUCACGGAGAGGCAUAUUCUUUUCAAGUUAAUUUGAUCCAUUUAUAAGAAAUGAAGUGGAUUGAAGUUAAAAGUUCAAAUAACAAAUCCUUGUUCUUGAGUUUUACGACGUCGUUACUCCUUCAAGAGGCUGAUUAUGCGAGUGAAUGAGGAAACAGAAUGCAUUAUCCAAUUUCACUCAUAUAGAAAAUUAAUUUUUUAUAUAUACUAAUCAACACUAGAUUGAUUAUGUUUUGUAUGUUUAUAUGCUAAUCAACAAUAAAUUAUAGUAAAUGAAGAAAUGCUUCAAAAUUUUUUAAUUUAAUUUAGAAAAUCAAUUAUUAACAUUAAUAUUCCUAAUAAAAAUUAUUUUCCAUCGGUAUUCAAAAUUUUCACUUAUAGAAAAUGCGUUUUACGUGAAUACAAGUUAUUGUGUAAAUUUGAAUGAUAGCGAAAAAUAUUUUUUUUAAUAAUUGUAAAAAUAAUUAACCAUAACAAAUCGCUUGCGUAAAUAAUAAUCAUUAUUUAAAAGGUAGAAAGAUGGUUAGUGCACAAUCAAAUUUUAAGCCCCUACCUCCUCGGCCCAAUAUUCAAACUUAGAUGAUCAGCCAAAUAAAAUUAUUUGAAAAUCAUUCAAUCAGGUUCUCGGGGCAAAAAUACAAGAUCCUUAUUUGCAUGAUAUAUAUGAAUUAAUGUAAUUUAUUUGAAUUAUCCAAAUUCAUUAGAGAUAAAACUAUAAAAUAUACGAAAAAAGUUAGAAGGAAGGGUGUGUUGGGAUAUUUUACAAACUAUAGGAAUCUGGUGAGAUUUUGAGCCAAACUGUAGGGAGUUGAAGGCAUUUGCCCAAUAUGUUUAGCCGUACACUAACCGUUAUUUGAUCUUGUUGUUGGUCCCGGAUGAGCUAUAGUCUUAUUUUAAUUUUAUUUAAACUCACCAUAAGAUUCGCAGAGCUCCUAACUAACUUAAAUGACUCUGCAGAGCAUGUCAACACAUAGCAUGUUUAACCGUUUUAUUUGUAGAAGAAUUUAUGAUUUCCCAUUAGCAUUAUUAUUGAAGUGGGGCGGGUCAAAUCUCAAUUGCUUGAAAAUUUUAUUUAUUAUUAUUAAUUUUGAAGUGGGGUGGGUAACGGUUCGUUCAAUUCGAGGGAAUCAAAUAUAUCAUCCAAGGUAGAAUUGUGGAAAAUUAAAGCAAAAUAAGAAAUAUGGACAGAAAAGAAGAAAGUUAAUGCAUGAAAGACAUUUACAGUUGAAAUUGAUAAUCAUGUUUCUAUUUUGUUAACUAAUCAAAUGGAAAACUGAACUGUAAACAAACAUUAAAACGUGUGGACCAAGCUAGCUGCCCUACAAGUCUACAAUAAUAAUUGAGUACUUUGAUUCAUCCUUCUAUGAAUUUCUACCCAUAUUGACUCCUCCGAAAUUUCCACAAAAUAAAAAAAAAAAAAAAACUGAAUUUCCACAAAAUG
rnacentral:lncRNA from 1 species